rnacentral:lncRNA from 1 species
AAAAACUGAGAAACAAUGGCGGCUGAACAAGAAGCUGUGAGCAAUAAGCGAGUGAUUCUGAGCAACUAUGUGACAGGUUUUCCAAAAGAAUCAGACAUGAAGAUAACAAGUGGAUCAAUAAAGCUGAAGGUAGCAGAGGGUUCAAAAGACACAGUGCUUUUGAAGAAUCUUUAUCUUUCUUGUGAUCCUUACAUGCGAUGGCGUAUGAGCAAGCUUGAUAGACCUUCUUUUGUUGAUUCAUUCCAUCCUGGUGAGGUUAGUUCAUCACGACCCAUCUCUUGAUUUUUCCAUUUGGUUUAAGUUUUGGUGAGUUUCUGAGUUCAUUUUUACGGUUUUGGAAUGUGAACACAAUUUUGGUGCUGUAACUGUCAUUAAUGAUAUGUAGUAAUUCAAUCAGAAUUUGGAUUUAUUGCUGAUAUAAGCUCUGCUCAUUUUUUAAAAUCUGGUGUCCACAUGCAUGUUUAUAAUCUUUUUGGUUGAGAUUGUAUGUAGAUUCAUACAGUAUUCUUGUCUAACAAUUACUAACCACAACCUUAUAAGACGAUCGAAACUAAGCUCAGAUCAAUAAUCCAAUCAAGAGAGGAUCCUAACUCAAGCUUGUCAUGUAUGGGAAUAUUUCGGUUAAAUUGUAAUCAUGAUCAUGAAUCAUGCAGGAAAAAGGGAAGUUGAGGUCAAUUUAUGCACUUGAUGGAAUUAAAGAACCAAUAUUUGGUUUACAUUAUUUCUUAGUAAUGGUGACUGUGCCUUCUAGCAGAAUUUUACAUGCUUUAUGUUCUAACUAAGCAUCAAUAUUUGAUCGUGAUCAUUAGCGAGGUCAAUAAUUUUUUUUGACUAUUUUUUCAACAUAAGGUCGAUUUGUUGAAGAACAAGUUUGGAUUUGAUGAUGCUUUUAACUACAAGGAAGAGCCAGACUUGGAUGCAGCACUCAAAAGGUCAGCUGCAACAAACGUUUCAACUCUAAUAUUUCAUUUUAAUAUUACAGAGCUUUGGUUGAAGUGUGUGAGUUGAUCCCAAAAACGUAACUUCAUCAGUGUCUCUGUUUUCAAAAAACAGGACAAAUAGAAAUCUGAUUUUGCUUUAAAAAUUUCCUAGAUGCUUCCCUCAAGGAAUCGACAUAUAUUUCGAAAACGUUGGGGGAAAGAUGCUGGACGCAGUGCUACUCAACAUGAGGCUCCGGGGCCGCAUUGCGGUAUGCGGUAUGAUCUCGCAGUACAACCUGGAAAAACCUGAAGGCGUACACAACUUAGAGCAACUAAUCGGGAAACGGAUUCGCCUGGAAGGAUUUCUAGCUGGUGAUUACUAUCACCUCUAUCCAAAAUUCUUGGAACUGGUCAUUCCUGCAAUCAGAGAAGGAAAGAUGGUGUAUGUGGAAGACAUAGCCGAAGGACUCGAGAAUGCUCCCGCAGCCCUUGUCGGGCUCUUCACUGGCCGGAACGUCGGCAAGCAGCUAGUUGCAGUUGCUUAAUACAAAAGCCAAUAUGGAUGAGCUGAGAAUAUGUGACUGAAUCCAUUGUCCGGUUAAAAAUGUUUGCAUGUGUUAAUAUGAACUAUCCUCGUUUAGUAAUGGGAUUGGAUUGUCCUGUCAUUACUUAAUUUUGUUGAGCUAGGGCAUCUGUGUGUAAAGUGUCAAAUAAUUUGGAUUCAGACAAGAACUUAGUGGAUGCAUUGAAGGAUUUUUUUUUUCUUUUUUUUUCUUUUCCAAGAUAUUGAGAUAAUGAUUGGAACAUUUGAGGGAUAAGAUCAAAGUAUCUUUUAGGAUACCUCAUUGGUAAGUAUUAAAAUAUCAAUUGCGUCUUUAUAAGGACAGGUGGUCCAGGAUCAAGAUUAAUGAAGAACAAAUUACAGCCAUUAGAUUAAAGUGAAAUUAAAGCUGUGAAUAGUACACACUUGUUGUGUGAAAAACUUAAAGGAGACAUUCCUCUGUACAAAAUUAACUUAAUAAUAUGUCCUUAUUCAUUCAUUUGAUUCUUCCUUCUCAAUCGUCAUUAAUAAAUUAAUAAUACAAAUAAGUCCCCGUUAAAGGUUAAGUCCCCGAUUGGCUUUACCGUCACGCUCAUGCAUGAUCAAAUUUCAGUUAAUGCUGACGUGAUCGAUGAUGAUUUCAUUGGGAGCUUCCUUUGUCGUGGCACUCUCAUGUUCACAUUUAUUUUUAGGGUUAAUAAUAAUAAUAGCUUCUAGAAACGCUUUGUUUUAAUGAGAUUUUAUUUUUCAAUUAGUGUAAAAAAAAAAUAACAAAAAUUAAUAAAAACUGAUUAUUUAAUGAUGUUCGGCCCUCGAGACAGUUUAUACUCGUAAUUUAUUGUUUGAAAAUUAUUUCAACAUAUGAAAAACAAAAUUUCCCAAAUUUACAACGAAUUUUAAAACAAAAUUUCGAAAUUUCAAAGAAAAUUACAAAUUUGACUAGAUUGACUGGAAAAAAUAAAAUAAAUAAAAUCGUCAAAAAUCCUGGGACCGACCAUUUCAAAAGUCUGGCUCUUUUCCAGGCUUUCCUUCCAAAUUUUCACACACAAAAUUUCUCGUAACUGCUACACAUUAAACGCGUUUCACAUUUUCACUCUCUCUCUAUAAAUAAAUACGCACAUAAAAUUUCUCACCAUCCAAAAACAAAAUCUACAUAAAAAAUGGCGGGUGAAGAAGCAGUGAGCAACAAGCAGGUGAUUCUGAGCAACUACGUGACAGGGUUUCCCAAGGAAUCAGACAUGAAGAUAAUAACAGGCUCAAUAAACCUGAAGGUGCCAGAGGGCUCAAAAGACACAGUGCUUUUGAAGAAUCUUUAUCUUUCCUGUGAUCCUUACAUGAGAGGACGUAUGAGUAAGCUUGAUAAGCCUUCGUUUGUUGCCUCCUUCAACCCUGGCGAGGUCAGUUUCUUCAAUUCCCACCUCUUGGUUUCAUAAUCUUUUAUGGUCUUAGAGGUGUUUUAGGGAAACAUUAUGGUUUUGGUUUGUGGGCAUGAAUCCUUGAAGAGAGUAUGAUGUGUCGGACUAUGUAUGCAAUAAUAAGUAUAGGGGAUCUUGUUAAGAGAAGAUUCUCUUAAUGAGAUUAAAACUUUUGUCUUAUCAAAACAUAUGUUUAGUUAUGAUAUCAUGUUAGCAUUGUUUCUGAGGAUUUGAUUGCUUGCUUUGGGAAAGGGAUGUUGAGGUUACAUUAUUCAGUAAUGAUUUUUUUUUUUUUUCAAAUGUUCAAAUUAUGCAGCCUUUGAGCGGAUAUGGAGUGUCCAAAGUGUUGGAUUCCACACAUCCAAAUUAUAAGAAAGAUGACUUGGUCUGGGGCUUAACCAGUUGGGAGGAGUACAGUCUCAUCCAAUCACCACAACAUCUGAUUAAAAUUCUGGAUACAAAUGUGCCUCUGUCAUACUAUACUGGGAUUCUUGGUAAGUUGUUACUAAAUUUAUCGAUGUCCAGUUUGCAUGAGCCGAAAAUCGUGUUUUAUUCAAUGCAAUGAGAUAGGGAUAUAUAAUAUGCCUGCUUGAACGUCUAGCAUUUUGAAUUUUCAACAAUUGGUCCGUCUGUAUGGGCAUGUAACUGAAGGAUUUCAUUUGAGGAAUUUACUAUUGUUGCUGAUUAUUGGGUAUUUUUCUGUUGAUUCUAGGUAUGCCUGGUUUGACUGCAUAUGGUGGUUUAUAUGAGCUUUGCUCUCCUAAGAAAGGAGAGUAUGUCUAUGUAUCUGCAGCAUCUGGAGCUGUUGGUCAGCUAGUUGGGCAAUUUGCAAAGUUGGUUGGUUGCUAUGUUGUUGGAAGUGCAGGAAGCAAAGAAAAGGUGAGUUUGCACUCUUGACCCUUAAGCUCCAAAUAAAAACAUAAUAACUUCCAAAAGAAUUGUGCAUGUCACAGUAUUUGUGUUCUAACUGAUCAUGGAUAUUUGAUCAGUAGUCUAGUAGAAACAGACCUAUUAAUACAUAGUUGAUUCGUCCUCAAGAAAAUUUAGUUGAUAUAUGCUUGAAAUUAUAUUCUGUUUUUUAUGCCAGAUUAUAUUAUUAGAUGACUAUAUUAACCAGAUUCUUUUUCUUUGUGCUGUUUCUCAUUUGAUUACGUUUUCAACAUUAGGUCAAUCUGUUGAAGAACAAGUUUGGGUUUGAUGAUGCUUUUAACUAUAAGGAAGAGCCAGACUUGGAUGCAGCUCUUAAGAGGUUAGCACGAAUGAAUGCUUUAACCACUUUUCUCACUUCAUUAUUACAAUGCGCUGAUUGAUGUUAUCUGCGUUGGUCCUGUAAAUGUAAAACAGGACAAACAGAGAUCACUGAUCUCAUUUGUUACAUUGAUAUUUUCUACCAUUGCCAUACAUAGUAUAAACUUGGAAUGAAGAUAGAUAUUCAAUUCAGAGGGAAAUUUUCACUUGCAGCUAACAGAAUCAUGUUUGUGAUGUAUGUUUAUUUAGGAAAUGAAAAGAUUCGUUGCAUUAUUUUAUUCCAAGUUUGCUGAAAUCAUAUUUGUUUUCCCAGGUGCUUUCCUGAAGGCAUCGACAUCUAUUUCGAAAAUGUUGGGGGUAAGAUGCUUGAUGCAGUCCUACUCAACAUGAGAAUUCAUGGCCGCAUCGCCGUAUGCGGAAUGAUCUCACAGUACAACCUUGAGAAGCCUGAAGGCGUACACAACUUGAUGCAAGUAGUUGGAAAACGAAUUCGCAUGGAAGGGUUUCUUGCCGGUGAUUUCUACCACCAAUAUCCGAAAUUCUUGGAACUGGUUAUGCCGGCAAUCAAAGAAGGAAAGUUAGUAUAUGUCGAGGACAUAGCUGAAGGCCUGGAGAAAGCUCCAUCAGCCCUAGUUGGGAUAUUCACUGGGCAGAAUGUUGGAAAACAACUGGUUGUAGUUGCUCCUGAAUGAUAUGAUUACAAUAUGCUUUAAAAGUGGACUGUGCCAUGCACUUUAAAAGCUUAGUGAAGAUGCCUCUGUCUUAUUUUUGAUACAUGUUAUGUUUGUUUGAUCAAGUUGUACUCAGCUAUAAAUGAAAGAUUCAGAACAUGUGUAUGGUACUGGUUUCUAAAUCAAUGAACGCUUUGAAAUGUUAGUGUUUUCACUGGAGAAUGCAGUUUAAUUCAUCAACAAUGUCCCAACAAGACCCUCAAGAGUGGUAGCUUGCAAAGUUAAUUACUAUAUUUUUUUCUUUCCGAUAUAUUGUUCAUUUCAUAGAAAGUUUACAUUAAUUAAAGUCUCAUGUUUCUUUGAAAGGUAAGCAAGUGUGAAUGUUUCUAUCUAGAGCUGGAAAAUGCAUUUCCGUGCAACUUACUUGAUGAAUGAAGUUUUCAUCUCUGACCUUGAUGUUUCCCAGAGCUGCAUUCAUUUCAGCUGAUCUAUUUCAUUUCGUUUGCAAAGGAGUGACACAAAACCUCCUUUGUUAAGGGGAGAAUUUAGAGUGGCUUCAACGGUUAACAAAUAGCCUAAUGUAAGACUUAAUCAAUUUCCUGCCCGGUUGCUUACCACUACUUAUCACUUUAACGUAUGAAACCUAAUCAAGAUUCCUUUGAUGAUUUUUCUAUUUGCUAAUUGAUUGAUAAGCUCUUCAGUGAAGAUAUAGUGUCCGCAAGCCAUAUGUUGAUAGAGUUAGAGUUUGCAGAAGCUACUGUACCAUAUGUUGUUAGAGGCGGUAAAAACGGAGGCAGAUCAACACACAUUUAAAUUUCAAUGACAAUUUACUGGAAAUAAAUUUCCUAUGACCCUACAUGUGACUAAUUGAUGAGAACUUGACAAUGACAAAAGAAAGUGUAUGAGCUUUGCAGGCUGGCUUGCCAAUAUUGACUGUAUGGCACCAUCCGCAAGUAAGUAUCAUUACUGUUUAAUCAACUUGGUGGAGUCCACUGGGACCACCCCACAUGGUCAGUCUUAUCUCUACUCCUAAAUUUUCAAUAUUCCAUACAUCAAACCAAUUGCAGUUUUGAUAUCAAAUUCAAUUUUAUUGUUGGUGACGAUUCUGAUUCCUUUCAUUCUCACAAAACGGAACCAUGGUUGCUGUUGGAGAGAUCUUACUCAACGCCUUCCUUGAGGUGUUGUUUGACAGGUUGGCUUCUCGUAAUUUGCUCCGCUUUGUGCGUCAACUCCAAGGCGGGGUUGAUUCGGAGCUCAAGAAGUGGGAGAAAAAGCUGAAGAUGAUUCAGGCUGUGCUCUGCGAUGCAGAGGAGAAACAACUGACCGAUGAGGCUGUGAAGAUGUGGCUGGACGAACUCCAAGACUUAGCUUAUGACGCUGAGGACAUUCUUGAUGAGUUUGCUACUCAAGCUUUGGAAAGCAAGUUGAUGGCGCAAAACCAGGAUAGCUCUGGCCAGGUUCUCAGUCUCAUCCCGGCUAGUUUGAAUCCGAAUGCUAUUAUGUUCAAUUAUAGCAUGGGGUCCAAGAUUAAAGAUAUGACUAGCCGGCUGGAGCAACUCUGCCAAGAAAGAAUUGAACUUGGACUGCAACGGCUUACUGGAGGGGCGUCAUCAACCGCUGCUGCUGCACACCGGAGGCCACCCAGUUCGAGUGUCCGAACAGAACGUGAAGUAUUUGGAAGAGAAGAAGAUAAGGCCAAAAUUCUUGAUAUGGUCAAUACCCCAAGUGAUCACGCCAACUUUGUUGUAAUACCUAUUGUUGGAAUGGGCGGGAUAGGAAAAACAACUCUUGCUCGGGAGGUCUACAAUGACAAGGCAGUUGAGGAUUCCAAGUUUGACGUAAAAGCAUGGGUUUGUGUCUCCGACAACUUUGAUGUUUUCAACAUUUCAAAGGCACUUCUCGAGUCAAUCACCUCCGCAGCUAGUGAUCUCAAGACUUUAAAUGAAGUGCAGGUUCAACUGAAAAAAGCAGUGGACGGAAAAAGAUUCUUGCUGGUCUUAGAUGAUGUUUGGAACGAGGACUACAGCUUGUGGGUAGACUUAAAAGCUCCGUUCCUGGGUGCUGCACCAAACAGUAAGAUGAUCGUCACCACACGCAAUUUAAACGUUGCAUCAACAAUGGGACCAAUUGAACAUUAUAAUCUCAAGAGUCUGUUAGAUGAUGAUUGCUGGUCCAUUUUCAUACAGCAUGCAUUUGAAGGUAGAGAUCUUAACGCAUAUCAAAUUUCAGAAUCAUUCAGCAAGAAAGUUGUUGGCAAGUGUGGGGGCUUGCCUCUGGCAGCAAAAACGCUCGGGGGCCUUCUGCGCACAACAAGGCAUGAUGCGUGGGACGAUAUAUUGGAUAGCAAAAUAUGGGAUUUACAUCAACAAAGCAGCAUUCUCCCUGUGUUAAGAUUGAGUUACCAUCAUCUUCCGUCUCAUUUGAAAAGAUGUUUUGCUUUUUGUGCCAUCUUUCCAAAAGAUUAUGAAUUCACUGAGAAGGGGCUAACUUUCUUGUGGAUGGCUGGAGGUAUUAUUCGACAGUCAAGAAACAGUGAGCAGCUGGAAGAUUUGGGCAGCAAGUGCUUUCAUGAUCUAGUGUCAAGGUCUAUUUUUCAACAAACCAGCUCUGGUAGUUCUAAAUUUGUAAUGCACGACCUUAUCCAUGAUUUUGCUGAAUUGGUUUCUGGAGAGACCAUUUUAAGGUUAGAGGAAUCCACCAACUUGUCGUCAAGGAGAUUUGAAAGAGUUCGCCAUUCUUCCUAUGCCCGUGGUUGGCUUGAUGGUAAAAAUAAGUUUGAGGUUUUCUAUGAAAUUGAACAUCUGCGAACAUUCUUGCCAUUCUGCAUAAGAGGUGGCCCUAAUACUAGUUACGUAACUAGUUUACUUCUAUAUGAUUUGUUGCCGAAGUUUAAAAAGUUGAGGAUGCUAUCUUUAGAAGGAUACCAGAUUGGUGAGUUACCAAUUCCAUUUGAAGAUUUGAGACCUUUAAGGUUCCUCAACCUUGCCGACACUGACAUAAGAAGUUUACCCGAGUCAACAUGCAAAUUGCUGAACUUGGAAAUUUUGAUAUUACGAAAUUGUUCCCGUUUGAUAAAGCUUCCGCCCAAAAUGAGGAAUUUGAUCAAUUUACGCCAUCUCGAUAUAAAAGGUGCAAAGCUGCUGAAGGAGAUGCCAUUGGGAAUGAAAGCGUUGAGGAGUCUUCAAACAUUGUCCAAUUUUAUUGUAGGCAAGGGUGAAUCUGCAUCUGGUUUGGAAGAUUUAAAAAGUUUAAACUUUCUUUGUGAUGAACUCUGCAUUGCUGGAUUAGAGAGUGUGAAUAGUCCACAGAAUGCAAGAGAAACCGCAUUAUGCGAGAAGCACAAUCUUGAAGCAUUGACUCUAGAAUGGGGGUCUCAAUCUAACAGUCCUCGGGAUGCAGUACUAGAGGAGAAUGUACUUGACACUCUACAGCCUCAUAAACGUAUAAAAGAGCUGGCAAUCAGGCACUAUGGUGGUGCAAGAUUUCCACUUUGGAUCGGACAUCCUUCGUUCUCCGAGAUGAAGGUCCUUAAAUUGGAGAACUGUGACAAGUGUGUAUCUCUGCCAUCGCUUGGCCUGAUGAAUUCACUUAAGCACCUUGCUGUUAAAGGGCUGAAGAAACUAAAAAGCAUAGAGUCUGCGGUCUUUCCAUCAUUGGAGAUUCUAAGUUUUGAGAAUUUGCCAGAAUGGGAGCAUUGGGACACCAAUAUCAAUGGAAAUGUGCACGUUGAAAUAUUUCCUCAUCUCCAAGAACUUUCCAUUGCAGAAUGUCCCAAACUCUCUGGAGAACUGCCUGAGCUCCUGCCCUCCUUGGAGACACUUGUCGUUAGUAAAUGUGAACAGUUGGCAGUUCCAUUGUCUUGCUAUCCGAUGCUCUGCAGAUUAGAAGUUGAUGAGUGCAAAGAACUCGUGUGCGGGACUCCAAUUAAUUUUAAGUUGGUAAAGUCUUUGACCAUUUCAAAUAGUUCAUUAGACAUGAAUGGAUGCAAUGGGAUGCUAUACCAUGGUCCAGCUGGCUCUUCACUGUCUAAACGCAUGACUAUUACAAAUGUUUUGGAGUUUGGAAAAUUAUUGAAGCCUGGAUUUCAGAUAUUAGAAUAUUUGGUAAUUGGCAAUUCUGAACAGCUCAAGUCAUGGAGGCGGGCCAGGAGACCUAGACGUUUUAAUGAACCAGAACACGGGCUAAAAAUUCUCGCUUCCCCUGAAGAGGUAACAAUUGAAGAAAGUUGCGUAAAUCUUGUUUUGUUUGCAGAGAUCAAUUUCUUUCCCAGAAAUCUGCGCUCUCUUCUAAUUUUCAAUAACAUACCUUUAAAAUCCUUACCCGAGGAAAUGAUGGACAACAAUUCACAACUGGAAAGCUUGUGCAUCAGAAAUUGCGAUUCUCUAACAUUCAUCACAAGACACAAGCUACCUUCAUCUCUAAAAAGUAUAGCAAUUAAGAAUUGUGAGAAAUUGCAACGUCCGUUCGAUGAUGAAGAGGAUGCUUCUUCUUCUUCUUCUCCUUCAUCCUCGUCUUCCCCAGUGAUGCUGCAAUGCCUGACUAUAGAGAACUGCCCAGAGCUCACCAGUUUAUCAUCGGGAAUCCAAUUCCUUGAGGCGCUUGAAGUACUCGAGCUAAGGGAUUGUCGAAAGCUGGAGUCAUUACCGGAUGGCCUGCAAAAUCUUAACUGUUUACAGAGCAUUCAUAUAGAUGGAUGUCCAAGUCUUGUUUCCUUCCCAGAAAGAGGGCUUCCCAACACCAUUUCGAGAGUUUACAUUCGUGGUUGUGAGAAGCUUGAAGCCCUGCCCAACGACAUGCACAAACUCAACUCUCUCGAAACUUUAAACAUACGGAAAUGUCCAAAUCUUGUAUCGUUUCCAGAGGAAGGUUUUCCUACCAGUCUAGUAUCACUUACAAUUGGAUAUGUCAAAAUGUAUAAGACACUCGUCCAGUGGGGGUUGCAUAGGCUUACCUCUCUUACACACCUCGAGAUUAUUGGAUGUGAUGAUGAAGCAGAGUGUUUUCCAGACGAGGAGAUAGGAAUGAUGCUGCCCACCUCUCUCACUCAUCUGCAACUUUCGGAAUUCAAAAAAUUGAUAUCUCUCUCUUCGACGGGUUUUCAGAGCCUCAACUCUCUUCAAUCUUUGUGGAUAUUGGGUUGCCCAAAUCUCACAUCAUUCCCAGAGGUGGGCCUUCCAUCCUCACUUUUGGAAUUACACAUUGUCAAGUGUCCAAAGCUUAAAGAAGUUUGCAAAAGAGACCAAGGAGAAGAGUGGCCCAAAAUUGCUCACAUCCCUUGUUUUGAGAUAGACUGGAAAUUCAUAUACGAUCCAGAAUCAGAGGAGUAGAUUCUCCUAUUAAGGUCAGUUGAUUUUUUAUUAUCCGUUAUAACAAGCUCCUCCUUUUUUAUUUUUUUAAUAAUAAUUUAGCAGUUCUAUAUAAUUAUAAAUCCUCCGCCCUUAAUUGAAAAUGUCACUCAUUUGAUUCCAUUUUCACAAGUCAGAUCGUAUGUUGAGGUUAUUUGCAUUUUAUCGGUGUUUAUUAAGGUAAUUAGUGCGUUAUAGGUUGAUUACUCACAGAUUAAGUUAUAACAUUUAUCUUAAAAUUUAAUGUCAUAGACAGAGAUGAUUUUUUAAUCCAAAGUUUUCUUGAUUCACUUCAAUUAGCAUUUUCUUUUCCCCAGAUCAGGCACGCGGAGAGUUCCAAUCAAGAAUUGGAGCAUGUGAAUGGGAUUUUUGUGAAAACAUAAUGAUGCAGGAACUGGGAUCUCAAAGUCAACAGAAUUUUAUUUACUCAUUGACUUUUCAACUCCUGUGGUUAUUUAUGGGUGAAAGAAAGAUAAGGGCAAUUUCAAGAAAUUUGCAAACUCUGUCAAUUUCUUUUAAUUGUACCAAUUUGUCGUUUAUGCUUUGGUUUUAUUUUUUCAGUUUUGUUUAUUGCUUAGAUGGUAGCAUACUUGAAAUGAUACAUAGCCUUCACCGGCAGAAUUCUAGUCUUGGCUUUCACCUCUCUAACUCAUCUCAUCUGUUCCUAUUGGGAUUCCAGAAAUUGAAAUUUCUGUCAUCAAUGGGUUUCAAAGCCUCACCGCUCUCCGAUUUUUGUGGAUCGGGAAUUGCACAAAUCUCACAUCAUUUCCAGAGGUGGGCCUUCCAUCCUUGCUUUUUGGAAUUACAAAUUGGAAAAUGCUACUUUCCCCGGGUCAAAUCCCAGGUCAAACCCCGAAUUAAACCAAAACGACACCGUUUUGGUUUCUUUUUUUUGUCCUUUUUGCUUCCAUGAAACGUGGUCGUUUCAGCCAAACAAAAGCAAAUGUCUUCGUUUUUUACUUCCUCUCCUCUUCGAUUCUCCUCUUCGUUUUACCAACAGACCAACAGAGCACAAAUUGCAGAAGUCACUUGCACAUCAAUUCAUCACAAAAUGCAGAGUUUUACUAAAGAAAAAAACGAUGCCGUUUUUCUUGCCAAAUAUUUUCCAUUUCCUUCGUUCAUGGAGCUCCUGCCACCGCCAAAGCCAAAUAUUUCCCCUUUCAUUUCCUUCGUCAAUCAAGCUCCAGCCACUUGCUUCGUCGAUCGAGCUCUAGCCACAGCCAUUCGCAAAUCGCAGUCCACAAUCCGCGCCUGAAAUUGUCAUUCACAAUCCACAACUCACAACCAUGACUUCACACAGAGAACGACUCCCACAGCCUUCACGCGACAGCGAGAUCGAGCUCUUUAACAUUCGAAGAACAUAUCUGGUUGCGAAAGUUGAUUUUUAAUUUGCUUGCGAGCUGAGAUGCUUCGAAUUCUCUGUUUUUUUUUUUUUUUUGUAAAUUACUAAGCCAAAAGCUUUGCAUAAGCUUCUGCUUCGGUUUUGAAGAUUGUGAAGCUGGAAAUGUUUUUUCCCUUUUUAUAAAUGGAUAAUUGAAAGUUUGAACUUUACCUUCGUACUUUCUUUUUCAUAAAUUGCUCAUGGUGCAGUCUCAUUUUGCUAGUUGAAGAAACAGUUAAGGGGGUCUGUAGUUGGGAAGAAAGAGGAAACGAAAAUGAAAAGAAAAAGCUUAAGUCUCGGUGCGUUCAAGUAGCAUUUUUUCAAUUAAAAAAUUUAAUUCUCAAAACGGCGUCGUUUUCUAAAGUUUCGGGGUUUGACCCGGGAUUUGACCCGGGGUAAAUAGCAGAACUCUUACAAAUUUACAGUUGUCAGAAGCUUGAAAAAGUGUGUAAAAGAGAUCAAAAUUCUUGUCUUGGCUUUCACGUAGGGAUGGCAAAAAUCCCCACGGGGACGGGUACCCUCGGGGAUUUUCCCCAUUCGGGGAGGGUAUGGGGAUAAUUUCAUACCCAAUUUCUUAUUCGGGGAGGGGACGGGGAAAUUUUGUUACCCAAUUUCUUAUUCGGGGAGGGGACGGGGAUGAGGUGGAAUCCCCAUCCCCUACCCAUUUCCCCAUUUUAAUUUUUAAUUUUAUUUUAAUUUUUUAAAAUUACUAGUAAAUAAAUAAUAAAAUUUAAAUUAUAAAAUUAUAAAUAUUGGUAAAAAUAAAAAAUAUCAAAAUAUUUAUAUUAUUAAACUUUUAGGCUUAAUUAACUAAUUAAAGUCCUAAAUUUUUAUUUAGGACAUUAAAAAGACCGAGUAGAUUCUAUUAGCCCAAAAGUUUUUUAUUUUUAAUAUUCUUUAAAUAUUUUAAACUUAAAUCUAUUUUUUAUUUAUUUUUAGAUGUUAUAAUUGCCCACAUCGAAUCACAAUUUUAAUAUCUAAUCUAAUCUAAUCUAAUCUAAUAUUUACUCUUGAUUUGCUCCGAUUUAACUAUUGUGUUGUAAAGGGAAUAGUCCACAUUUAUAAAGUGCCCACGCCACCAUUAAAAAAGUUAAUUUUGAAUCUAAAUUCGAUUUUAUUUGUAACAAUUUUGUAUUAAACUAUUAAUUUGUUCAUGAUAGUUUGUAAAAGAAGUUUGUAUCCCUUGCAUGCUGUGUUACUUACUAAUUUAAUGUAUGUGACUUUUGUAAUGGAUAUUAAUGUAAGAUAUAUUUCAAAUUUUACUUUUAUUUGAAUUUUUUAUUUUAAUAUGAUUAACUCAAAAUCGAAAAAAAAAUAUUAGUUAUUCGGGGAUCGGGGACCCUCGGGGAUCCCCUGUUAUUAUUCGGGGAGGGGAUGGAGAUUCGCUCAAGUAAUUCUGACGGGAACGGGGAGGGGACGGGGACAUACGCAAAAUAUCGGGGAUGGGUACGGAGAGAUUGGUCCCCUCCCCUCCCCUCCCCAUUGCCAUCCCUACUUUCACGGAUAGUUUUUAUCACGUAACCACGUGAGGAAGCAUGUGCUGGAGCCUGAAUUCAGUUAGUUAAAGUUUGUUAACCACGUGUCAACAAACUGUAUAAUCUGGAAAAUAAGCUAGCUAUUGAAACAGGGUAUAAAGGCUGGUUUUUCAGGGACUAUCGAGAGCUGAUUCUAGAGUCUUGUAGAAAGAGGUUUGUGAGAGAGAAAGUGUCAUCUUGUUCUCUGUAAAAUCCGAUAUAGGGCUCUGUAACGAUCUCCAUUGUUGAAUCAAUAAAACUCAUCUAGAAGCUUCUCUCGUGGACGUAUUCUGAGCAAUCAAUGCACAGCUGAACCACGUAAUAUCUUGGUUUCUGUGGGUUCUUGUUUUGGUUCUUGAUAAAUUCUUGUUGUUGUAUUGAGGUGUGAUUUGAUCUGUCUAAACUUGUAUCUGUGCAACUUGAAUUGAUUUGAUGAUAAGAAUCUUGGGCAGUGAUCAGAUUCGUUUAGUUUAAAGAACAAGCUGAUUACUACCGUACCUAUGCAUGGACCUGCAACCUGUGCUGACAAAACUGAAACUGUGAGUUUGAGGUAAAAAGGUCCUGGACCCUCACAGUUUAACUUUGACUUGUUGCUUUCUGGAUAAACAUAUUUUAGAAAUUUGCAAUUUGUUGUUAAUUAUGGUAUGUGAUUUUCUUCUUUGUUUUCGCUUUUGUAGAAUCUACCGUAUUACAUAUUGGCAGUUGUAUCUGAGGUACCUUUUUUGCAUUUAACUUGCCUUUAUCUGUUUUGCCUGUUACUUAACAACACAAACACAUCAUUUCCCAAACAUUUGGAGAAGCAUCUCAAGAUGCUUAACAAACUUGACAAACUUCAAGAUGCUCCCAAGCCUUGAUUCUUCACAAUGGAAGACCUGUGAGUACACUUAUGCCCGCAAUUAUUGUGAAGUGAUUGCAACUUUGAUGCAGCGAAAUGGUUUGCUGAUGCAAAGCUUUAAAACUGUUAAGAAUUACCCUGCAGGCUUGUUGGAUGUUGUAUACUCCAAAAGCCACCAACACCAAGAACUAUAACAGCAAGACUAGGUUUGCAUUAAUUCAAUUAGCUGAAAUAAUGAUGCAAAUGGCACUAUCCAGCUCGACUUAGAGACUAGUCAGGUCAAUCAUCCAUUUCAUCAACAGUUAAUGUCAGGAUGGUGGCUAGCAGAGGAAACAAAGGAUAUGUUGGAAUCAAUAAGAACAGUGAGAAGCAUGAGAGGAGCUUUGAUUAUAAGUAGGCUCAAUGAACUAGUGUUGGUAAGUGGUAAUUAGAGCAAUUUGUGAGCUUAGUAGAGUUUCAAUAUUUUCUGUUUGGGAUAUAGUUGAUAAGUUGAUACUCUGAUUAAGAAGGCUGAUUAUAGUAGCUGACUAUAUUAACCGGGUUCUCUUUUUUGGUUUGCUGUUGUUUUUUCUUUCAAUAUCUUUUUCAACAUUAGGUUUAGCUGUUGAAGAACAAGCUUGGGUUUGAUUAUCAGGUAAGAACAAAUGAAUGCUUUAACCAUGUUUCUCACUUAUCACAAUGCACGGAUUGAAGGCGUCUGAGUUGAUCCUGAAAAUUUGAUGGAAACACUUCUCUGUUUUCAUAAAACAGGACAACCAGAAAUAUCUGAUCAUGCCUGAGAAUUCGUCGCAUUGAAAUUUUCUACCAUUGCCAAACAUAGAAUAAACCAGGGAUACAUUAGCUUAAGACUCAAUUUUGAGAAGGAAGUUUGUACUUGCAGACUAUAAAAUCAUGUCUACCUUGUAUGUUUCUGUGGGGAAUGAAAGAUUCUGUGUGUUCUUUUACUUCGGGUUUGCUGAAAUCACAUUUGUUUUCUCAGAUGCUUUCCGGAAGGUAACAACGUCAAUUUCAAAAAUGUUGGGGUAAGAUGCAUCAUGCAGUGCUGCUCAACAUGAGAAUUCCUGGCCGCAUUACCCGUAUGUGGAAUGAUCUCACACUACAACCUUGAGAAGGUUGUAAGGAGUACACAACUAGAUGCGAGUAGUUUCAAAAUGAAUUCACAUGGAAUUAUAUGUUGCCGCUUAUUACUAUCACGUCUAUCCGAAAAUUCUUGGAAUUUGUCACCGGCAUUGAAGGAUUGUAUACGUGAAGACAUAGCUGAUGGCCUUGCGAAAGCUCCAUCAGCACUUAUAUCGGAAACAGCUGGUUGUAGUUGCUCCUGAGUGAUAUGAUUAAUAGAUACUGUAAAAAUGAACUGUGCCACUCAUAUCGAAAACCAGCUGUUAUGAUGUGUUGGUAAUGUGUUUGAUGCUUGUUUGAUUUAUGUUGUAUUCGGCUAUAAAUCAAAGAUCAGAACAUGGGUGUGUUACUGGUUUCCAAAUCAAAAAAUGCCUUGUGAUGUUAGUGUUCACUGUUUUCACAGGAGACCAGGUUCCUUGUUAAUGAGUCAAGAAGAAGACAAGUGAAUCCAUGUCUGAGUUCAAAUGUGUCUUUUCUAUUUCUUUUACCGACACAUUUAUUUUGAUUUCUUUGACUAGAUGACUAAAGAGUAAAGAUAGAAGAAAUCAAAACAAAUGAGUCAGGUCCCACCUGGCCCAUUGGCCCAUCUCUCUUCCAGCCCAAAUCACUCUCAUUCGCUAUUUUGCCACCUUCAUUUCACUGCCCUCAUAGCUCCCCGUUCUCACGGUGGCUGCCAUCUUUCUGCUCACGCAUCUUUCAAAUUUCAAACCUAACAGCAUUCUGUUGCUCUGUCGUGGGUACUUCAACUUCUGUCACCUUCGGUAAGCUUAUCUCUGCCCCUCUGUGGCUGUCUCUCUCUUUACAAUGUUGUUUCUUAUUCAAUUUACAGAAUUGAAUUCACUGUUCAGUUUAUGGGUUAGAUUUUUAUUCAAAAUAAUAUUAAACCCACCUCAGAUUUUAUCCCGUAGUAUGUAAAGUUCAUGUAAAGUUUCCACCUUUACGACCGUCCGAUGUUUAAAGUUCUAAUUUUGUUCCGGGGUUUUAUCAGUGUAUUUAGAAAUUAUGUCCAUUGUUUUUAUGAAAAUGGAACUAUUUUCAUUUGUUUAUUUCUCUAUGGAUGAGAAAACCGGUCUUUAAGCUUUAUAAUCUUUAUUUGAUUAUUAGAUUUCUCUUUUGUUAUUCAGAUGAGUUCAGUUUUCCAAUUCUGUGCAAUUGUUUUGUUGCAUUUUUCAAUUUUAUCUUUUUCCAAUGCGACGUUUAUGUUUGUAUUUUCUUAAAAGUGGACAUGAAUUUUGAUUUGUUGUUGCUUUGUUGUGAUUGAGUAGCCAAUUUUAAGUCCAUAUUAAACUUUCUCAAUUAUUAGUUGAAUUAUUUGGAUUUGAAAUUUUAAGUUCUUAAAACCGCCAUUUUAACUUGUUUGUUAAUGGCUCUGUUGAGCUUCAACAUUUGUUUUCAAGAACAAAAUUGAUGGAACUAUAAACCUUCGUUUCUCACAUGCGGGCAACAUGUUAUGUUAGACAGAGUGAAAUCGACAGAAGAAACCAAAACAUUGGAAACAGAGACACAGAGAGAGAUCAGCAGAAAUGGCUUGGUGCAGAGUACGCUCAGCUUCAUCGACACUCUUCAUUAGGCUUCUCUGCCCUUUCAUUCUCAACAAUAACACUACUUAACGCUAUCAGUCCUGUGGUACUCUUGUUUCUAUACUUGUGGAAUCUCUUUUUUAAUCCUCAAAGUUUGAAUUAAAUUAUAUUGCCUCUGUAUUUCUGCAGAAACGGAAUCAGUUGGUGAUGACAUUAAUUCUCAAGUUGGAAGUUGCAUGCCACUUUCUUGUAUGCAUGUUGGGACCAUCAUCAACAACAUUGAGGUAAACUCAGCCAAGAUUUUGAAAAAGAAUCCACUUCAAGGUACUGCUUAGUUUCUGGAAAUGAGAAAUUGAUUGACACUAGACGUCAACCCACCAUUGAUACAGCGUCUAACCCCAGCCAUGAAGCUAAGAUGCUUAGGAAGGCUGGUCAGAGCCAUUGGUUGGGCCAAAGACCUGUGAUUAGAGGAGUACCCAUGAAUCCAGUUGAUCAUCCUCGUGGUCGAGGUGAGGGACAAGGCAAAAGUAGUGGUAAGCAUGGAAGGUGUUCACUUACACCUUGGGGCAAGCCUUGUAAGUGGUGUAAAACUGCAUCUCGUAAGAAGAAAAGGAAAUUUAGCCGUCUGAUAAUAUUGUCCUUCUGUGCUAUUUAGCCUUUUUAAUAUUGUUACAUUGUUUGUUAUAUCUUUGAUGUUAGUUUUGGACCAGCUUUUAACUGAUCCAUAAUGAAACUGAAGUUUAAUUUUCGAUUGAACUUUUACUGGUUUUACUCCUGUCAUUUCAAUUUAGCUUUGAUUUAAGAUGCUGAAUUCUGUGAUUGGAGUAUGUAGAUUGGAAAGAGAGAUAUUAUGGGAUAGAAUAUAGAUUUUGUGUUUUGGUUUCUCAUGUUUAGAGAUAUUCUGUUCUUUUUCAUUUAUUCAAUUUGGUUAGUGGUGAUCUCUUAAAGAGUUAAUGCAUGUGUGUUUAUGUACUUUUCUUUUGGCCUUGAUUCUAUUUCUUGGGGAGUUUAUACAGAUUCCUCUUUUAUGCUUCACAUGCCACAUGCCACAUGAAAGAUGAAAGCCUUUUGUGUGAUUAGAAUUGACUUGCAUCAUAGUAACUUUGAACCACUGUAACAUUUUUAUAAUAGCAGUCUGCGAUCUCCUUGAAGGAUUCAAAGCAUUUUUUUUGUUAGUCUUGGCUUGCAUUAAAAUCCUUUAUACCGAUUGGUUGGUCUCCUUUAAAGCAAUUCCUGUUUUAAGUAAUCAAAAUCUUGAUUCGGAAGUGUGUUUUAGCACUACUAAAGGUUCUUUUAAAUACUAAAUUGAUUGUGAGUCUUCUAUAUCAUCUGAUUGAAAUACAUGAAAGCGAUAUUGGCUACAAAAGUACACUUGGGGUUGUUUAUAAAGUCUUCAACAGGAUUUUUUUUUCCCCUUCCUCAUGGUUUAUUUUUUAGUUGUUGUUUAACAAAACACUUAAAAGGUUCUCUUUAUAGGUUUCUGAAAAUAAUUUUAACAUAACCAUUUUUCAGAAGCACUUUAGAUACCUGUGGCAUUUAGAAAAUUUUGUUCCAGCAUUCACAUAAUAUACAUAGAAAUUUGAAUUUAUUUAAUUAUGAGCAUGUGCUAGUGCCUAUUGGCAUCCACUUGUAUAUACAAAUGUAUUAUACAAUACAAUAUUAGCUUGACUGUAGCAUAGAGGAGAAUAGGGUCGGAAUUGGUCUGAAUUCUGAUCUUUGAAUAAAUAUAAUAGCUGAUUGAAGCUGCUCAUGUGACUCCAUUGUCAGCAGCUUACACAAGGUCUUUUAGCUUUUUAAAAAGUUUUGUGAUAUUUCAUAGUUCACAUGGAUUGCUACAGUAUAGAAUACCCAAUUAGGGCAUUUUUAAUUCCUAUGCAUAGGAGUCUUCCUUCAUGCGCACGCGCGUACACACAUAUAUUUCCCACUUCCGUUCACUCCAAAAGUGAAAAUUGCGGGCAAUUUUUAUCUUCAGUAAAAUUGGAGUAGAUGUUGUUCUUAUUGGCGCAAAUUUGCGUACCAUGUUUGUGGGACCCUUAACCUUGCGCCUUUGUUACAAUCAUAUGCAUUCAGGCUUUUGGUAGACCCUUGGAUAGUAUGAUCAGUGUAUUAGAAUUUAGAAUUCGUGUUUAUAAGGGUCAGUUUGGUAAUGUUAUAAUUUUUAAAAUAAUUACUGUUAGCUAUACUAUAGAAAUAAUCAGUUGUGAAUAAAAUCAGUUAAACAGUUGAUAAAUUUUGUUUUUAAGGUGUUGUGAGUUUUAAACAAUUUGUAUGUAUUUAGUAAAUCUCGCUUUUAAAGUAUUAUAAGAAUGCAAAGACUUAAAUAGAUAGAAAUCUAUAAAAUUUAUUUACAUGUGCAUUUAUACAAUAAUAUUUUAUGCAUGUAUAUAAUAAUUAAUAACAGAAAUAAAUAUUUUUAUUUUAUUAAUUAUAUAUUUUUCUUAUUAUCUCAAUAUAAUUGGUAAUAAUAAUCUUUUUAAUAGUACAUUUAUUAAUCAGUAAUCGAAAUGGGCUGGAAUCGGAAUGGGGAAUGAAAAUCAUAAUAAUUUGUUUACUUUAGCUGUAGGAAUCAAAAUCACAUGGAGCUAUAUUAUCAUUAAUAUAUUUAUUUUGUCUUGGAAUCGAAAUAGAUUGUUACAAAUUACUAAACUGAUUUUAUUAUUAUCAAUAUUAUUAUUAAACAAGGUAAAGGGAAUUUUUAAUUUUCACUAGGUGUAGAAAUGUCGAUUCACUUCUCAUUCUCAUUCUCUGUUCUCAUUCCCCCUCCUCAUAGGAUUACCAUUUCACAUUCUCAAAAAUUUAUAAUUGACUCACAUUUCAUUCUCAUUCCUCCUUAUUUUGGAAGUAAAUAAGUUAAAGAAUCAUAUUCCUUUAUUCUUGUUUUUCAUUCACAUUCCUUCUCCUUAUUUUGGAAGUAAAUAACUUAAAGAAUCAUAUUCCCUUAUUCUUGUUCUCGUUCUCGUUCUCAUUCUCAAUUAGUAAGCACACUACAAAUGCAAUGAUUUUGUUUCCUAAUUAAACAAGGAUAAUUUUUAGAUUUUUAUAAUAUAUGUUAAGAUAUAUGUAGAAUUGUAUUAAAUAUGAAACUGACUCCCAAAAUCAUAUUUUAAAAAACUAUUUUUUUCUUAUUUUUUGAAAUUUAUUGUAGGCUAGGGUGAUUUUAUCAAAGUAAUUUUUUUAAAAAUUUUCGGACCCAUUUGGGAUUGUUUUUGGAAGACUCAAAAAGGAUUUUGAAUAGCUAAAAUCUAAGUUUGGUGUUUUAUAAUUUUUUUUUAAAAAAAUUACUUCUGAUAAAAUUAUCUUAUCCACGUUAAAUUUUAAAAAGAAAGGAAAAAGUAAUUUUUUAAAAUCUGAUUUUAAGAAUCAUUUUUAUACUUAAUACAAUUUCAUAAAUAUCCUGAUAUAUAUCAUAAAAAUUCAAAAUUAUCUUUAUUAGUUAGGAAAUAAAAUCAAUAAUUUUAAAAAGAUUAUUAUUAUUUCUAAUUAUAUUGAGCUAACAAAAAGAAAUAAAAUUACUAAUAUAAAAUUUAUUUUAACUAUUAAUUAUUAUAUUUACCAAUAAAAAACAUUUUAUAUACACGUUUAUAAAUAUUUAAAUAAAAUUUAUUCAUGUCGAGUUCAACCAUUUAUAUUAUUACAGCAAUUUAACAACUGGUUGUCGUUGCUCGGGAAUUAUAGAAUUACCAUAUGUUGUAAAAAUGCACUAAGCCAUGCCAUGUGUUUGAUACAGGUUAUGCUUGUUCGAUUAAAUUGUACUCACCUAUAAAUCAAAGAUUCAGUACAUGUGCAUGUUAGUGGUCUUCAGAAUCCAGAAUAAUAAAUGCCUUGAAAUGCUUGAGUUCAAUGAUUUCGCAGAAGACCAAGUUCCUUGUUAAUGAGUCAGCAUGACUGAAUCCUUCACUAAGCCAAAUUUGUUUUCACUUUUAGUUUAGAAAUUGUCAUUAAUUAAGAAAGUGUUUGAUAAAAUGCUUUGGAAGGCACUGUUCGUUGGACGUUUGCCCAGAAUUUAUGAAAUCAUUGGUGUUUCAUCCUACUUGUAACACUCUUCUUUAUUUUCUAUUCUAACGAAGAAAUCUUUUAUUAGAAAAGUGACAAGAUUGCACCUUUCAUUUGUAUGUUAAGGAGGUGUAAAAUUUUCUCGUUAAAAUCCCAUCAUGAAAAAAACUCACGGGCAAAAACCUACUGCAAAUUAAAGAAAGAAGAGUAAAUCAUGAUAAAUACACUCUCUUUUACAAUGCAAGCGGAUGCUUCAAUGAGUGGAUCAUGCGCCAAACUUGUAUAUCGUUGUUGGUAGUGCUUUGUUGAAUCAAUAUGAUAGAUUUUCACUUUUCUUUUUUUUCUUUUCUUUUUUUUUUCCUUGUGGAUACGAAAAUGAUUUGGGUUAAACUAUACUUAAUGCCGGUUUGGUACGACUUCUCUACUAAUUAAAAGAGUUUUUUUUCUUAAAUGUUCAAAAAGAUUUUUUAUUAUAAAUUGUAAUUUGAGUGGAUUUCUUGGGAUUAAACAAGUUACAUUUUUGUCUCUAUAAAGAAGUUCAAGUUAUAGAUUUUGGCAAUAGAGAUGUAGAGGUUUUUUUUUUUUCAGAGAACUAAAUUGUGGAGACUAUCUUUAUUUGGUUAUACAACUUUUUUUUUUUUAAUUUCAUAACAUAAUUUUAAAAGACUUAUUUAAUAAAUUUGAUAUUUUUUUGUAAAAAUUAUCAUUCACGUCCAAACUACUGAAGAUUUUUUUGUUAAACGCACUACUUAAAAGUUAUAUUAAUUAUAAACUUUCUAAAAAAAAAAAACAAUUCAAAGAGUUAUAGCAAACAAAGUGCUAGUUAACUUCAGUCGAUAAUAAUCUUCUAAUCCGUCCUACAAAUGACUUUCGACAAGAGUGGUGCUACUCACAUCUCUUCAAAACCCAUUUGACACCCCGUUUUCUUUAUUUAAAAUUUUAUACAUUUGAAAAUUAUUUUUUCUUUUACUUGACACUCUUCAAAUUCUAAAACUAAGCUUCAAAGAACCUUCGUCAUUAAAUCUCAUUGCCUUCCUUUAUUCUUGUUACUUGAGAAGAAGAAUGAGAGUCUGGAAGAAUGAAAGAAAAUUCAGCGAGAUAGAAAUCUAGUAAUUUCAUACCAUGAUUCAGAAUUUUUUUUUUCUCAAAAGAAUCUACUAUUCUUCUAUAUUUUAUAUAAAAAAAAGAGGAAAAGAGGAAACUGAGAGACUCUUUGUUUAAUGCUUGAAAGUUAGAAAGAAAAGGUCAGGAAGCUGCCUGGUAAUGAGAGUGAUGCAUCAGCACUAAUUUCUAUCUCGAUAGCUACCAAUUACCACCCCUAGAAAGGCUGUUGAUCAACAAGCCAUAUCUACUGGUUUCCUUUCUUUAAAAGUUCUAAUGGUCCCCUUAAAAAUCUCUAUAUGCUCAGUCUUCUCAUGAUAUAUCUGAUUUUCGCUGAGAAUUAUAGCAAGCGCUUCAGAUAUCAUAAUACUUUGUGACUGACUACUGUGCAUGCUUAAUUAUAAGAUUAUUCCUUGUGGCCAAAUAAAAUGACCCCCUUUAGAGCCUCUGUAUUUGAAAAAGCAAGACAAUGAGCUUAAUUAUUGUCAAGGUCUCCAGUAGGAUACUCCUAAAUCCAUAUACCCACCCACCAGAACUCCAAUCUUGAAACUUAUAGAUCAAACCAUAACUUAAUGUGCCUGGCAACCAGGGAUAUGUCAGGCCUUUAAAAAACCACUACAUACAUUUGAGUCUGAAAUUGCUCCAAUUAGUAUUAUGAUUAUUAUUUUAAAAAACUCAACCUAAGCAAAGUGCCUCAGCAUACAAUAUUUAUUGACAACUAAAAAGUAAUAGUGGGUGGGGGUUGCCCUGGGUUUUGUUUAAAAAUUGAAGUAAAAAAUUUUCAAAUUUCAAAUUUCUAGUACAAAGAAAAUUGAUGACUAAAUUAAAUUCUGCAAAUUAAUUUCUAAUAUUACAUGAAAAUAUAUCAAGUUAAUUGGUAACAUUGUUAAUCACUUAAUCCUCAAUCUAAUACGUUAUGUAUUUGUUACUCUGUCUUAAAUCAAAAGUGGCGGUGAUUUAUUUUUAUUUUCACUAAUAAGAAAGGCAUGUUAGAGCUUUUAUUUUGUUGAAAAUGAACCAAAAAACUCCGAUUGGGAGAUUAUAAAUGUAUUUAACAAUAAUUUAACUUCCAUUUUGAAAGUCAUUAUAUUGUUUAUUCAGGAGAAGCGUUCUUUUAUAUUUUAUAGAUAUAAUGUUUGCUAAUCCUAAUUUAAGCUAAAGCAUAUGCAUUUCCUAAUUAAUUCUAAUUUAAGCUUAUUCAACUGCAUUCAAUUAAUGUUCGAUAAUACAAAUUCUAAAUACUAUAUACUCUAAGAAUUUUAAUCGUAAUGACAAGGUGAUCAUUUAAUUAUUACCGUUAAAUUAUAUAUGUAUGGUGGAGACGAGUCCACACGGUUUUGACGAGAAAUUAAAGACAAUAUUUAGUUAAGCUAGUAGUAUUUGUUCUGUUUAGUACGUCGUUUUACCAGCAAGCAUCCCGGCAAUGCACGCAUUAAUAAAAAAAUUUAUCUGUUUGGACUGAUUGGUAGUGAAAAAUUCCACAUACUUUAAAUUAAGAAAAUGCUAAGUAUCUUAAAGAAAACAAUUAAAAUAUUGUCACUUGAUGCUUGAAUCAUUAUUGUUAAAUAUCUCCGUUGAGUUGUAUUCCCCAGCUGUGAGUAUCAUUAUUGUCUUUGCUAUCUAAUCAAUUCAAUUUUCUUUCUGGAGACAAGAUUUUGAUUCCUUUCAUCGUUACAAAAACGGAACCAUGGUUGAUGUGGGAGAGAUCUUACUCAACGCCUUCUUUCAGGUGUUGUUCGACAGGUUGGCUUCCCGUGAUUUGCUCAGCUUUGUCCGUCAACUUGGAGGGGGGGUCGAUUCCGAGCUCAAGAAGUGGGAAAGAAAGCUGAAGAUGAUUCAGGCGGUGCUCAACGAUGCAGAGGAGAAGCAACUGACUGAUGAGGCUGUGAAGAUGUGGCUGGACGAUCUCCAAGACUUGGCUUAUGACGCUGAGGACAUUCUUGAUGAGUUUGCUACUCAAGCUUUGGAAAGCAAGUUGAUGGAGCAAAAUCAGGAUAGCUCUGGCCAGGUUCUCAGUUUCAUCCCGGCUAGUUUGAAUCCGAAUGCUAUUAUGUUCAAUUAUAGCAUGGGGUCCAAGAUUAAAGAUAUUACUAGCCGGCUGGAGCAACUCUGCCAAGAAAGAAUUGAACUUGGACUGCAGCGGAUUACUGGAGGGGCAUCAUCAACUGCUGCUGCUACACAGCAGAGGCCGCCCAGUUCGAGUGUCCCAACAGAACGUGAAGUAUUUGGAAGAGCAAAAGAUAAGGCCAAAAUUCUUGAUAUGGUAUUGGCCGAUACCCCAAGUGAUCAUGCCGACUUUGUUGUAAUACCCAUUGUUGGCAUGGGCGGGAUAGGAAAAACAACUCUCGCUCGGGAGGUUUACAAUGACAAGGCCGUUGGCGGUUCCAAGUUUGAUGUAAAAGCAUGGGUUUGCGUAUCUGACGUCUUUGAUGUUUUGGGCAUCUCAAAGGCACUUCUCGAGUCAAUCACCCGCAGGCCAUGUCUUCUAAACAGUUUAAAUGAAGUGCAGGUUGAAUUGAAAGUAGCUGUGGAUAAAAAAAGAUUCUUGCUGGUCUUAGAUGAUGUUUGGAACGAGGAGUACAGCUUGUGGGUAGACUUAAAAGCUCCGUUCCUGGUUGCUGCACCAAACAGUAAGAUGAUCGUCACCACACGCAAUUCAAAUGUUGCAUCAACAAUGGGGCCAGUUGAACAUUACAAUCUCAGGAGUCUAUCGGAUGAUGAUUGCUGGUCCAUUUUCAUAAAGCAUGCAUUUGAAUCUAGAGAUCUUAACGCACAUCAAAUUUCAGAAUCAUUCCGCAAGAAAGUUGUUGCCAAGUGUGGAGGCUUGGCCCUGGCAGCAAAAACACUCGGAGGCCUUCUGCGUACGACGAGGCAUGAUGCGUGGGAUGAUAUAUUAGAGAGCAAAAUAUGGGAUUUACCACGACAAAGUGGGGUUCUCCCAGUAUUAAGAUUGAGUUACCAUCAUCUUCCUUCUCAUUUGAAAAUGUGUUUUGCUUUCUGUGCAAUCUUUCCAAAAGAUUAUGAAUUCAAAGAGAAGGAGCUGACUUUUUUAUGGAUGGCCGGAGGAAUUAUUCGACAGUCAAGAAGCAAAGAGCGGCUAGAAGAUUUGGGCAGCAAGUGCUUCCAUGAUCUGGUGUCAAGGUCAAUUUUUCAGAAAUCAGCAAUCUCUGCUAGUUCUAAAUUUGUAAUCCAUGACCUUAUCCAUGAUCUUGCUGAAUUGGUCUCUGGAGAAACCAUAUUUAGGUUAGAGGAGGCCAAUACUCUGUCAAGAAGAUUUGAAAGGGUUCGCCAUUCCUCCUAUGCUUGUGGUGGAUAUGAUGGUAAAAAUAUGUUCGAUGUUUUCAAUGAAAUUGAACAUCUACGAACAUUCUUGCCAUUACGCUUACGCAUAAGAGGUGGCUUUAGUUCUGGUUACAUAAGUCGAACGGUCCUAUCUGACUUGCUGCCAAAGUUCAAAAGGUUGAGAAUGCUAUCUUUAGAAGGAUACUGUAUUGGCGAGUUACCAAUUCCAUUUGAAGAUUUGAGACUUUUAAGGUUUCUCAACCUUGCUGACACUGACAUAAGAAGUUUACCCGAGUCAACAUGCAAAUUGCUGAACUUGGAAAUUUUUAUAUUAAGAAAUUGUUCCCGUUUGAUAAAGCUUCCAGCCAAAAUGAGGAAUUUGAUCAAUUUACGCCAUCUGGAUAUAAGAGGUGCGAAGUUGCUGAAGGAGAUGCCAGUCGGAAUGAAAGAGCUGAAGAAGCUUCAAACAUUGUACAAUUUCAUUGUGGGCAAGGGUGAAACUGCAUCCGGUUUGGAAGAAUUAAAAAGUUUAAACUUUCUUUGUGAUGAACUUUGCAUUGCUGGAUUAGAGAAUGUGAAUAAUCCACAGAAUGCAAGAGAAGCGGCAUUAUGCGAGAAGCACAAUCUUGAAGCACUGACUCUAGAUUGGGGGUCUCAAUUUGACAAUUCUCGAGAUGGAGUAGUAGAAGAGCAUGUACUGGAAAUUCUACAGCCUCAUAAACGUAUAAAAAAGGUGGCAAUCAGGAACUAUAGAGGUGCAAGAUUUCCACAUUGGAUAGGAGAUCCUUUGUUCUCCAAAAUAGAGUUCCUUGAAUUGGAGAACUGUGACAAUUGUGUAUCUUUGCCAUCGCUUGGCCGUUUGAGUUCACUUAAACACCUUGCUGUUAAAGGGCUGAAGAAACUAAAAAGCAUAGAGUCUAAGGUUUAUGGGGAGGGUUUCUCAAUGCCUUUUCCAUCAUUGGAGAUUCUAAGUUUCGAGAAUUUGCCAGAAUGGGAGCAUUGGGACACCGAUAUCAAAGGAAAUGUACUUGUUGAAAUAUUUCCUCGUCUCCAUAAACUUUCCAUUGUGGAAUGUCCCAAACUCUCCGGAGAACUGCCUGAUCUCCUGCCCUCCUUGGAGACACUUGUUGUUAGUAAAUGUGAAAAGUUGGUAGUUCCAUUGUCUUGCUAUCCGAUGCUCUGCAGAUUAGAAGUUGAUGAGUGCAAGGAACUAGCGUGCGCGACUCCAAUUGAUUUUAAGUUGAUAAAGUCUGUGACUAUUUCAAAUUGUUCACUAGACAUGUAUGGAUGCAAGGGGAUGCUAUACAAUGGUCCAGCUGGCUCUUCACUGCCGAAAUCCAUGACUAUUACAAAUGUUUUGGCGUUUGGAAAAUUAUUGAAGCCUGAAUUUCAGAUAUUAGAAACUUUGGUAAUUGACAAUUCUGAACAGCUCAUGUCAUGGAGGCAGCGUGGGAAUUUCCGAGAAGAAUAUUUGGCCGUUCGCCGAAGGCUUAUCAAACCAUUACAAGGGCUAAAUAUGCUCGCUUCCCCAGAAGAGGUAACAAUUGAAGAAAGUUGUGUGAGUUUUGUUUUAUUUUCAGAGAUCAAUUUCUUUCCCAGAAAUCUGCGCUCUCUUCUAAUUUGCAGCAGCACAGCUUUAAAAUCCUUACCCGAUGAAAUGAUGGACAACAGUUCACAACUCAAAAGGUUGUAUAUCAGAGAUUGCGAUUCUCUAACAUUCAUCACAAGACGCAAGCUACCUUCAUCUCUAAAAAGUAUAGAGAUUCAGAAUUGUGAGAAACUGCGACAUUUGUUCGAUGAUAAAGAGGAUGCUUCUUCUUCUUCUCCUCCUUCAUCCUCGCCCUCCCCAGUGAUGCUGAAACACCUGAGUAUAAAUAAUUGCCCAGAGCUCACCAGUUUAUCAACAGGAAUCCAAUUACUUGAGGCGCUUGAACACCUCGACAUACGGGAUUGUCGAAAGCUGGAGUCAUUACCAGAUGGCCUUCACAAUCUUAACUGUUUACAGGAGAUUACUCUAAACAGUUGUCCAAGUCUUCUUAGAGGGCUUCCCAACACGAUUUCAAGGGUUGACAUUUACAGCUGUCCAAGUCUUGUUUCCUUCCCAGAAAGAGGACUUCCCAACACGAUUUCAAAGGUUGACAUUUUUAAUUGUGAGAAGCUCGAAGCCCUGCCCAAUGACAUGCACAAACUCAACUCUCUUCGAGAUUUAAGCAUAUUGGGGUGUCGAAAUCUUGUAUCCUUUCCAGAAGAAGGUUUUCCUACCAGUCUAACAUCACUUAGAAUUGGAGAUUUCAAAAUGUAUAAGACACUCAUCCAGUGGGGGUUGCACAGGCUUACCUCUCUUAGACGCCUCUAUAUCGUUGAUUGUGAUGACGAAGCAGAGUGUUUUCCAGACGAGGAGAUAGGAACGAUGCUGCCUACCUCCCUAACUCAUCUAUCCUUUCGGGGAUUCCGAAAUUUGAUAUCUCUGUCUUCGACGGGUUUUCAGAGCCUCAACUCUCUUCAAUACUUGUGGAUCAGGGAUUGCCCGAAUCUCACAUCAUUCCCAGAGGUGGGCCUUCCAUCCUCACUUUUGGCAUUAUGCAUUAUCGAUUGUCCAAAGCUUAAAAAAGCGUGCAAAAGAGAUCAAGGAAAAGAGUGGUCCAAAAUUGCUCACAUCCCUCGCAUUGACAUAGACAGGAAAUUCAUAUACGAUCCAGAAUCAGAGGAGUAGAUUCUACUAUUAAGGUCAGUUGAUUUGUAUUAUCCGCCAUAACAAGCUCCUCCUUUUUUUUUAAAUAAUAAUAAUAAUUCUUACCAAUUAAUGAUGGUAAGAUGUGUACUUAUUCUUUCUUCCGGACAACCUUGCCUUCUUUCUUCGGUAGCAUAUCUAAUGAAUAUUUCUCUGUUUAGUUAAGGAUGAAUGCUUGGAGUGGAGUAUUUGGUAACAUUUCUGCCGUAGAUGAAACCUUGAAGAAAUGCCUGCACUUCCUGAGACCAAAUACAGGUCUGAUUCACAACAACACCUGUCCCAGAAAAUAUGAUACAAGCCAAAGCCAUGUUCUGAAGCAGAAAUAACGCAUUUCAAUUUUUAUCUGGUAAAAAUACACAGCCCUCGCCUACAAAAUUCUUAUCUUGGCUUUCACGGAUAUUUUUAUCACGUAACCACGUGAGGAAGCAUGUGCUGGAGCCUGAAUUCAGUUAGUUAAAGUUUGUUAACCACGUGUCAACAAACUGUAUAAUCUGGAAAAUACGCUAGCUAUUGAAACAGGGUAUAAAGGCUGGUUUUUCAGGGACUAUCGAGAGCUGAUUCUAGAGUCUUGUAGAAAGAGGUUUGUGAGAGAGAAAGUGUCAUCUUGUUCUCUGUAAAAUCCGAUAUAGGGCUCUGUAACGAUCUCCAUUGUUGAAUCAAUAAAACUCAUCUAGAAGCUUCUCCCGUGGACGUAUUCUGAGCAUUCAAUGCACAGCUGAACCACGUAAUAUCUUGGUUUCAGUGGGUUCUUGUUUUGGUUCUUGAUAAAUUCUUGUUGUUGUAUUGAGGUGUGAUUUGAUGUGUCUAAACUUGCAUCUGUGCAACUUGAAUUGAUUUGAUGAUAAUAAUCUUGGGCAGUGAUCAGAUUCGUUUAGUUUAAAGAACAAGCUGAUUACUACCGUACCUAUGCAUGGACCUGUAACCUGUGCUGACAAAACUGAAACUAUGAGUUUGAGGUAAAAAGGUCCUGGACCCUCACAGUUUAACUUGGACUUGUAGCUUUCUGGAUAAACACAUUUUAGAAGUUUGCAAUUUGUUGUUAAUUACGGUAUGUGAUUUUCUUUUUUGUUUUCGCUUUUGUAGAAUCUACCGUAUUACAUAUUGGCAGUUGUAUCUGAGGUACCAUUUUUGCAUUUAACUUGCCUUUAUCUGUUUUGCCUGUUACUUAACAACACAUCAUUUCCCAAAGAUUUGGAGAAGCAUCUCAAGAUGCUUAACAAACUUGACAAACUUCAAGAUGCUCCCAAGCCUUGAUUCUUCACAAAGGAAGACCUGUGAGUACACUUAUGCCCGCAAUUAUUGUGAAGUGAUUGCAACUUUGAUGCAGCGAAACGGUUUGCUGGUGCAAAGCUUUAAAACUGUUAAGAAUUACCCUGCAGGCUUGUUGGAUGUUGUAUACUCCGAAAGCCACCAACACCAAGAACUAUAACAGCAAGACUAGGUUUGCAUUAAUUCAAUUAGCUGAAAUAAUGAUGCAAAUGGCACUAUCCAGCUCGACUUAGAGACUAGUCAGGUCAAUCAUCCAUUUCAUCAACAGUUAAUGUCAGGAUGGUGGCUAGCAGAGGAAACAAAGGAUAUGUUGGAAUCAAUAAGAACAGUGAGAAGCAUGAGAGGAGCUUUGAUUAUAAGUAGGCUCAAUGAACUAGUGUUGGUAAGUGGUAAUUAGAGCAAUUUGUGAGCUUAGUAGAGUUUCAAUAUUUUCUGUUUGGGAUAUAGUUGAUAAGUUGAUACUCUGAUAAAGAAGGCUGAUUAUAGUAGCUGACUAUAUUAACCGGGUUCUCUUUUUUGGUUUGCUGUUGUUUUUUCUUUCAAUAUCUUUUUCAACAUUAGGUUUAAGAACAAGCUUGGGUUUGAUUAUCAGGUAAGAACAAAUGAAUGCUUUAACCAUGUUUCUCACUUAUCACAAUGCACGGAUUGAAGGCGUCUGAGUUGAUCCUGAAACGUGCCUCAGCAAGUAUUAUGAUUAUUAUUUUAAAAAACUCAACCUAAGCAACGUGCCUCAGCAUACAAUAUUUAUUGACAACUAAAAAGUAAUAGUGGGUGGGGGUUGCCCUGGGUUUUGUUUAAAAAUUGAAGUAAAAAAUUUUCAAAUUUCAAAUUUCUAGUACAAAGAAAAUUGAUGACUAAAUUAAAUUCUGCAAAUUAAUUUCUAAUAUUACAUGAAAAUAUUAUCAAGUUAACUGGUAACAUCGUUAAUCACUUAAUUCUCAGUCUAAUACGUUAUGUAUUUGUUACUCUGUCUUAAAUCAAAAGUGGCGGUGAUUUAUUUUUAUUUUCACUAAUCAGAAAGGCAUGUUAGAGCUUUUAUUUUGUCGAAAAUGAACCAAAAAAACUCCGAUUGGGAGAUUAUAAAUGUAAUUAACAAUAAUUUAACUUCCAUUUUGAAAGUCAUUAUAUUGUUUAUUCAGGAGAAGCGUUCUUUUAUAUUUUAUAGAUAUAAUGUUUGCUAAUCCUAAUUUAAGCUAAAGCAUAUGCAUUUCCUAAUUAAUUCUAAUUUAAGCUUAUUCAACUGCAUUCAAUUAAUGUUCGAUAAUACAAAUUCUAAAUACUAUAUACUCUAAGAAUUUUAAUCGUAAUGACAAGGUGAUCAUUUAAUUAUUACCGUUAAAUUAUAUAUGUAUGGUGGAGACGAGUCCACACGGUUUUGACGAGAAAUUAAAGACAAUAUUUAGUUAAGCUAGUAGUAUUUGUUCUGUUUAGUACGUCGUUUUACCAGCAAGCAUCCCGGCAAUGCACGCAUUAAUAAAAACAUUUAUCUGUUUGGACUGACUGGUAGUGAAAAAUUCCACAUACUUUAAAUCAAGAAAAUGCUAAGCAUCUUAAAGAAAACAAUUAAAAUAUUGUCACUUGAUGCUUGAAUCAUUAUUGUUAAAUAUCUCCGUUGAGUUGUAUUCCCCAGUUGUGAGUAUCAUUAUUGUUGUUUGUGCGAUAUGUUUCGACGAAGACCAGCAGUGAUGAGCAGGCGUCUGGUAGCAGGGUUCCUCGAACAGGUAUAUCUUGCAAGAGUCUGGUAGCAGGGGGAGCAAGAGCAGGAGUAUCCUGCUCGUCCACGAGUACGUCAUCCACGAGGCCGGUCUCCUGUUGGGAGCGUAAAGCCAUUCCUGCUAUAUUCCUGCUAGCGGUUGAGUCGAGGAGACCCGGUCAACGACAGUUGACGAGACAUGCUCUCCAGUCCGAGAAUCAAGGCGCGAAGGCCACGCAACCACCCACGACUACGGAAAUGGAGCAUCCACUUUCGAGAAGUGGGAGGAUGACAAGCGCAAAGGGAGGAAAUGCAUGGGCUCAGAAGUGGCCUAUAAAAAGGUAACCAACGAAGGUAAAAGGGUUAGCAAUUUUGAGAUUAUAACAGAGACUAAGGAAAUUCUAAAGAAGAGAAAACUAUUAAAAAGCCAUAAGAUCUGUGGCAAGCGUUCCCAGAGCCUUCAUAUCUGACUUGAGCGUCGGAGGGUUUACGCCGGGAAAACAACCGGCGUGCUCUGACUUGUUUCUGUGGACGCAGGAAUACUUGGAGAAGAAAGCAUACAAGGAGAGAUCCUGGUCGAGGUGAGGUUGAUUGAGCAGAUAUCCUGGUCGUAGGAAGAGCGUAACCAGAAUCUCGCAUCAAUAUUUUGGCGCCGUCUGUGGGGAGCUGAGCAAAAAGUUUCUGUUGAUAGCAAAGAAGAGGAGUGAAGCAAGUGAAAAGCAAUGGAGACAGGAGGAAGUAGUGCACAAGGGGGUGAUAUGAGGCUUAACGAUUCCGUGACGCUGAGGGAGAUAGCCAGUGAAGCACGGGAAAAAGCCAUGUUCGACCGGAUGGAACGGAUGGAAAAGCAGAUGGAGACCUUGACAACCAUCCUACAUGAGCUGCGGAGCGAACGAAGGGUAACCCAGGAGGAAAGGGUGAGAGGUGGUGGAGUGGCACCAGGUCCCGAUAGUGCGAGGAGAAGUCAAACCACCGGGAGAUUUGGUGGUGAGAGAGGUAACAUACCUCUGCAGGGAAAUUGCAUAGAGAGGAAGAGCAGUCCCCGGCAAGACAGAUUUUUGACGAGGACGACGGGGUGGCGAAUGCAGAGGAAGCAGAGUUGAGGCAAUACUUGCAUGAUGUAGUGCAAGAGCGGGAUCAAGUCGCAGCACGUGACCCUGGUCGUGCAGAGCAGCUGGAGGAGGAAGUGUGCAGGCUAGCGCAGAUAAUUGACGACAUACAAGGAAGGAGCAGAGCUCCUGGUUGGAGGAUAAUGCUGGACGGAGAAUCACCGCUCGCAGCAGAGAUCAUGAGGGCAGUUAUUCCAAGAGAUUUCCGCCUCCCAGACCUUAGAUAUUCGGGAUGAACUGAUCCGCUGGUGCACAUAGAGCGCUUCAACGACAUAACUGGGGUACAAGGAUUAUCUCAAUCCUAAAGGUGCAGGGUGUUCCCACUAUCCCUUGAGGGACGCGCACGAGAGUGGUACAGGAAACUUCCUCGGGGGAGCAUUAAAACCUUCGAGCAGAUGUGCCAGGAAUUUGCAGAACAGUUCCGUGGGGCAAUGGCACCAGAAGAUGACAUGAUGGAGUUGAAAAACAUGAAGCAGGGGGAACAAGAAACACUUCGGGAAUUCAUCAAGAGGUUUCACCGUGCUGUCCUCGACUUGGGAGCCUUCAACCACCCUCAAACGUUAAGGGGAUUGAAAGAAGGGGUGAAGAUAGGAAGGCUGUGGUACAACUUGAGAAGCCCAGUUAUUCAGACGUAUGCGGCCGCAUACGAGCAGGCUAAGAGAGACAUUGAGAUUGAAGAGGAGAAGGCAGCACAGAUUAAGACAGACCAGUUAGAAGGGUGGGGGAGGAAAGAGAAGAAAGCAUUACCGGGGAAUGGGCCGAUCAGGAGGAGGAACCACCAGGCCUCGAGUAGUGGAGCAGAAGGUCGGGUAACUGCUUACCAGCCUCAUCAGAGGCCACUACAGUAUCAGCACAGCAGGGCGCAACCUCCUCGUUCCCCAGCUGGGGAGCCUUGGAGAAGGCAUGACUCGGCGUAUGGUGGUCUUCAUCAACACUCCCACGGUAGUAGAAGGGGCAGACCAGAAGCGCUGCCACCGCCUCCAACUCAGAACGGAGCAAAUAGAGAAAGGGCAGUGCACCUGAUCGACCAGAACCAGGACUAUGGGCGAUAUACUUCCUUGAAGAUGUCCCUGGCCGAGGUGUACGAGGCCAUAAAGGAUCGAGGGUCGUUAUACCUCCCUGCCCCAAUAACAAAGCUACCCAGCAGGAGGGAUAGGGGACGCUAUUGUAAGUUCCAUGGCACUCAUGGCCACACCACAGCAGAUUACAGGGAUCUCAAGACCCAGGUUGAAGAUUUGGUGAGAAAUCGGUAUCUGGACGAGUUUAUAGAUGGGACCUUCCCAAUGGUAGCCUCGACCAGCGAAUGGGAGCAGAGUGACAGGAACUUGAGGCGCGAGCAGCCUGCAGUAAGGGUGAUAGCUGGGGGCCCAACAUUGGCCGGAGAUUCCAACAGGUUGAGGAAGAAUUACGCUAGAUACGCCAUGACCAGCAAAGAUGUAUUCUUCACCACCCCAGCAGCCAAACGUGCAAGAGUCAGGCAAGUGCCAAUUAUGUGGACAGAUGAGGAUGAAGAAGGGAUUCUAUACCCCCACGAGGAUGCUUUGGUCAUCAAGGCCACUGUUGCCAGCAAGAAGUUUGACAGGAUACUGGUUGACACAGGGAGCUCAGUUGAUGUGUUGUUUAAGUCAACCCUGGAGGAGAUGGGAAUAGCAGACCUGAAGUUGGAUUACACCAAUACCUCCUUGAAGGGGUUUGGAGGAGGAAAGUUGGUCCCUCUGGGCGUGGUCGAGCUGCCUAUCACGAUUGGGAGCUCCCCGACAGAAGGGACAAUGAUACUGGACUUUGUGGUAGUGGAUGAGGAAGGUCCUUAUCAGAUGAUCCUAGGCCGGCCAUUUCUGACGAUGAGCAAAGCGGUGCUGUCCAGCCAUUAUCUGGCUCUCAAGUACCGGGUGAAUGGGGUAGUUGGAGUGGUACGAGGAGACCAGAGGAUCGCAAGAAGCUGCUACUCCUCGGCAGCAAAGGAAGCAAUGCAGAUAACAUCCCUUGAUACCCGAGUGGAAGCCAGGAAUGGCAGCUAGUUGGACCCGGAGUUUACAAGCUGGUUCGCACGGAUGGCCACAAGGUGAAACGCCCAUGGAGCGCGACACACCUCAGGAAAUAUUUCUAGUAAGACUUACUCAUCUUUUAAAGUUAUUUCUGUUCGUGCCCGUUGUUUUCUAUUUUUCAUUUCUUAUUUCAAAGCAAUCUCAUGUAAGCCGAAUUCAAUAAUAAAUGAAUCAAUGAGGAGUUUCAGUCAACUACACUGUUCAAGAAAUUAUCAAAGGCAUGCAAAGGCUAGUCAAGUCUCAAAGCCUGUUUAUGGCGAGACCAGAAGCCAAGCGUGCCAGGAUCUGCUCGACCACGAGAAGGCGAGCAGAGUCCCAAGCUUUCAAGAAAUUAUCAAUGGCAUGCAAAGGCUCACCAAGUCUCAAAGCCUGUUUAUGGCGAGACCAGAAGCCAAGCGUACCAGGAUCUGCUUGACCACGAGAAGGCGAGCAGAGUCCCAAGCUUUCAAGAAAUUAUCAAAGGCAUGCAAAGGCUCACCAAGUCUCAAAGCCGGUUUAUGACGAGACCAGAAGCCAAGCGUUCCAGGAUCUGCUCGACCACGAGAAGGCGAGCAGAGUCCCAAGCUUUCAAGAAAUUAUCAAAGGCAUGCAAAGGCUCACCAAGUUUCAAAGCCUGUUUAUGACGAGACCAGAAGCCAAGCGUGCCAGGAUCUGCUCGACCACGAGAAGGCGAGCAGAGUCCCAAGCUUUCAAGAAAUUAUCAAAGGCAUGCAAAGGCUCACCAAGUCUCAAAGCCUGUUUAUGGCGAGACCAGAAGCCAAACGUGCCAGGAUCUGCUUGACCACGAGAAGGCGAGCAGAGUCCCAAGCUUUCAAGAAAUUAUCUAAGGCAUGCAAAGGCUCGCCAAGUCUCAAAGCCUGUUUUAUGGCGAGAUAGAAGCCAAGCGUACCAGGAUCUGCUCGACCACGUGAAGGUGAGCAGAAUCCCCAAGCAUCGGAAUAUUUUCCAAGGCAUGCAAAGGCUCGCCAAGUCUCAAAGCCUGUUUUAUGGCGAGACAGAAGCCAAGCAUGCCAGGAUCUGCUCGACCGCGCGAAGGCGAGCAGAAUCUCAAGCAUUGAAGAAUUUUCCAAGGCAUGUGGCAAAACCAUAUGCCGAGCCAGAACCUGCUAAACUAGACGAAGACGAGCAGAUUCUCAGACGAAAAAUAACUCAUGAUUACAACACAAGAAAGUAAUCAAAAACAUUUUUAUUAAUUUGUUAAUAAUUAACAGAGGAGAUAAUCUUCACAAACAUUGUUCAUUACAAUACAAGAAAUAUAUUAAGAGGACGGUGGAUCCGUAAGCCGAGCAGCCUCAGUCGGUUGGUCCACCUCAGGUGCUGGGGGAGUAUCACCGGUCGCGUCCGGGGGGGUGCUUGCCUCACCCACAUCAACAGGAACGGCACGAGGAGGAGAGUUUUCCUCAACUACGAUUGGUUCCACCGUUUCGGCAUCUUCCUUUGCAGCCUCCUCGUCCAUAUGUUGGGCGACACCAGUUGCAAGGUCGUCCAUCUUCAGAUCAGGAUGCUGCUUCCCGAGGACGACCAUGAUGCAACGAUAGGAAUGCCGAAGCCCCUAGUCGUACUGGUUGUCGGCCUCCCUCUCCAAGUUCUCGACCUGAGCUCGGUGGGAAUCGCGGAGAGAUUCGAGCUGAGCCUCAUAUAUAGCCUUCUGCCUUUGCAGAUCCUCCUCGACCUUGGUCAGCUCCUCCUCGAGGGUAAUGGCUUUUGCUUGAGCAAGAGAUUCUUGCUCUAUCAGCUUGAGGUUCUCAACAUUCAGCUCCCCUGCUUUCUUCUCGGCAGCGUCAGCUCUGGUCGUCGCCGAUUGAAUGUCCUCCUUAAUCUUGCGGUCGUAGCGGCCAACCUUCGCCUUGUAAUAGGUGGUCAUGCAGCUGAGGUAGAAAGCGCUAUACUGCAUGGCCCCCACCAGCUCACCCAAGGUGCAGCCGUCAAAGUCCUCCAGGUCCUUCUUGCUCACGAGUUUAGAUAACUCAUUGAGGUAGGGGACCAAGUGUUCUGCUUGGCUGUCAGGUAAGCGAGAUCGAGGCCCGACAGGAGGAGAAGAGGAAGCAGGAUCCGUGGCUGCUCCACUAGUUUCCCCAACUUUGGCAGGAGCAGGAGGUAAAGUCUUCAAGGGAGAGACUUGCUGUACGAUGUUGGCCUGCUUUGCAGAAGGGGCGUCCUUGUUCUGGUCCCUCUUCGUGGCUUGAGGUUGAGAACGUUUCCUGUUCAGAGCCCCAAUCACAGCGUCCUCCAUCUUAUGGCCAGGGAGUACCAAGCGAGACUCGAGCAAGUUGUAAACAGUUAUCAAUUCUCGGCUCGGGCAAGAGUUGGCUAGUAUAGCCUCGACCCGUUUGAGCUGAUCAGGUUGGAGCGAGAAGUGAACACCCCAAGAACCUGCAACACAAACAAACAUUUGAUUAGAGACAAACCAGUAAAGUGCAAACAACAAGGGAGACAAGACAUCUAAUACGAGCAGGCAACCUGGGACCAUGAAACGGGGUGGGACGCGACAAUCCUUCCCGUCUAUUUGUGCAACUUGACCCCAAGGACCCCCAGCAAAAAAGAAUUUCCUCUUCCAAGUCCCACCACCACCAGUUGGAAGAUCAGUUAUGGGUUUCUUGCUCUUGGUACUAGAUUGGAAGUAGUACCAGCCGGCAUCUUUGGGGCUGCUCUUUAGCUGGUACAGGUGCUUCACCUCAUCAACCGUGGGCUCGCUUUGGCAACAUCUGUCCCACAAUAUGAACAGACCAGAGAGCACCCUCCACCCAUUGGGGUUCAGUUGACCAGGAGCUAGAUUGAGCCCGUGGAGUAUGCGAGCAAAAUAGGGUUGCAAGGGGCACCUUAACCCGUACUUAAAACUCUCCUGGAACAAGGUGACAUAUCCCCUAGGAGGCCUGCUAGGACUAUCUUUUUUUCCUGGGAUCCUAAGGAGUACUUCACCAGGAAUAUGAUACCUGAGCCAGAGGUCAUCCAGCUCGUUGAAUGUGGUCGUGCAGGUCAUGUAAUCAAUAGCAUAAUCCCGCAACAAGGCUCUACCUCCUACUGUACUACGCCCUUCUGGUCGCAGUGUUCCCGGUGAAGAUCCCUCACCAGAGUCACCUCCUUGAUCCUCACUUAGGGUGUCUUCCGAGCCAGAAGGUCCUUCCUCGCCACUACUUCCGCUCGUGGAGGUUGUUUGGGGGGACAUCCUCCUAGCGCUAGUCCCGACACUAGACCUAGUGGGCUCUAAGGGGAUCCCGGGGUCAAAAGCAGAAUCAGUGAGCAGACUAGGCAAGAAACCUAGUUCGUCGUCAUCAGUCUCAAUGACUUUCUCCUUACCCUUCGACAUUCCCUAAGUUCUAACCAAAACACCACCACCGACUACAACCCCAAGUAAAGCAAAGAGAAAAGAAAUUAUCUACAACUAUCCGAGACCGAGGAGAUAGAAGUAAUACCUGAAGUAAUGGUUCAGUUAGAGAAAGGCAGGGGAGGAGACUUUUAUGCCGAGACUUCUUUGCCGGAGAGACAGAGACAGAGAUGGAGUAAAUGACGAAUUUUCCCUUUGAGAGGUUUUGGGUUUUCCUAAUGGAGAAUGAACUUUUGGAUUGCCAGCAUUUAAUAGCAUCGAAUCCCAAGGGUCUCGUAACCGUCGGUUUAAAAUUCAAAUAGAUGGGUAGAUUUCUGCCACAUCACCUGGUCCACAAUUAAAUGCGACACGACUCUUGGCAGCCUUUUCCUAUCCCGCGCGAGCAAGAACUGUCGAGUUUCUACUGUUGGCUCACUACGCUACCCAACACAAGAAACUGGGGGACUGGUGUUUGUGCGAUAUGUUUCGACGAAGACUAGCAGUGAUGAGCAGGCGUCUGGUAGCAGGGUUCCUCGAACAGGUAUAUCUUGCAAGAGUCUGGUAGCCGGGGGAGCAAGAGCAGGAGUAUCCUGCUCGUCCACGAGUACGUCAUCCACGAGGCCGGUCUCCUGUUGGGAGCGUAAAGCCAUUCCUGCUAUAUUUCUGCUAGCGGUUGAGUCGAGGAGACCCGGUCAACGACAGUUGAUGAGACAUGCUCUUCAGUUCGAGAAUCAAGGCGCGAAGGCCACGCAACCACCCACGACUACGGAAAUGGAGCAUCCACUUUCGAGAAGUGGGAGGAUGACAAGCGCAAAGGGAGGAAAUGCAUGGGCUCAGAAGUGGCCUAUAAAAAGGUAACCAACGAAGGUAAAAGGGUUAGCAAUUUUGAGAUUAUAACAGAGACUAAGGAAAUUCUAAAGAAGAGAAAACUAUUAAAAAGCCAUAAGAUCUGUGGCAAGCGUUCCCAGAGCCUUCAUAUCUGACUUGAGCGUCGGAGGGUUUACGCCGGGAAAACAACCGGCGUGCUCUGACUUGUUUCUGUGGACGCAGGAAUACUUGGAGAAGAAAGCAUACGAGGAGAGAUCCUGGUCGAGGUGAGGUUGAUCGAGCAGAUAUCCUGGUCGUAGGAAGAGCGUAACCAGAAUCUCGCAUCAACAAUUGUCUUUGCUCUCUAAUCUAUUCAAUUUUCUUUCUGGAGACAAGAUUUUGAUUCCUUUCAUCGUUACAAAAACGGAACCAUGGUUGAUGUGGGAGAGAUCUUACUCAACGCCUUCUUUUAGGUGAUGUUCGACAGGUUGGCUUCCCGUGAUUUGCUCAGCUUUGUCCGUCAACUUGGAGGGGGGGUCGAUUCCGAGCUCAAGAAGUGGGAAAGAAAGCUGAAGAUGAUUCAGGCGGUGCUCAACGAUGCAGAGGAGAAGCAACUGACGGACGAGGCUGUGAAGAUGUGGCUGGACGAUCUCCAAGACUUGGCUUAUGACGCUGAGGACAUUCUUGAUGAGUUUGCUACUCAAGCUUUGGAAAGCAAGUUGAUGGCGCAAAAUCAGGAUAGCUCUGGCCAACUUCUCAGUUUCAUCCAGGCUAGUUUGAAUCCGAAUGCUAUUAUGUUCAAUUAUAGCAUGGGGUCCAAGAUUAAAGAUAUCACUAGCCGGCUGGAGCAACUCUGCCAAGAAAGAAUUGAACUUGGACUGCAACGGAUUACUGGAGGGGCAUCAUCAACUACUGCUGCUGCACACCAGAGGCUACCCGGUUCAAUUGUCCCAACAGAACGUGAAGUAUUUGGAAGAGAAGAAGAUAAGGCCAAAAUUCUUGAUAUGGUAUUGGCCGAUACCCUAAGUGAUCAUGCCAACUUUGCUGUAAUACCCGUUGUUGGCAUGGGCGGGAUAGGAAAAACAACUCUCGCUCGGGAGGUUUACAAUGACAAGGCCGUUGGCGGUUCCAAGUUUGAUGUAAAAGCAUGGGUUUGCGUAUCUGAUGUCUUUGAUGUUUUGGGCAUCUCAAAGGCACUUCUCGAGUCAAUCACCCGCAGGCCUUGUCUUCUAAACAGUUUAAAUGAAGUGCAGGUUGAAUUGAAAGUAGCUGUGGAUAAAAAAAGAUUCUUGCUGGUCUUAGAUGAUGUUUGGAACGAGGACUACAGCUUGUGGGUAGACUUAAAAGCUCCGUUCCUGGCUGCUGCACCAAACAGUAAGAUGAUCGUCACCACACGCAAUUCAAAUGUUGCAUCAACAAUGGGACCAAUUGAACAUUACAAUCUCAAGAGUUUGUCAGAUGAUGAUUGUUGGUCCAUUUUCAUAAAGCAUGCAUUUGAAUAUAGAGAUCUUAACGCACAUCAAAUUUCAGAAUCGUUCCGCGGGAAAGUUGUUGCCAAGUGUGGAGGCUUGGCCCUGGCAGCAAAAACACUCGGAGGCCUUCUGCAUACGACGAGGCAUGAUGCGUGGGAUGAUACGUUAGAGAGCAAAAUAUGGGAUUUACCUCAACAAAGUGGGGUUCUCCCCGUAUUAAGAUUGAGUUACCAUCAUCUUCCUUCUCAUUUGAAAAGAUGUUUUGCUUACUGUGCAAUCUUUCCAAAAGAUUAUGAAUUCAAUCAGAAGGAGCUGACUUUCUUAUGGAUGGCUGGAGGAAUUAUUCGACAGUCACGAAACAGUGAGCAGCUGGAAGAUUUGGGCAGCAAGUGCUUUCAAGAUCUAGUGUCAAGGUCUAUUUUUCAACAAACCAGCUCUGGUAGUUCUAAAUUUGUAAUGCCCUAUCUUAUCCAUGAUCUUGCUGAAUUGGUUUCUAGAGGGACCAUUUUCAAGUUAGAGGAGUCCACCAACUUGUCGUCGAGGAGAUUUGAAAGAGUUCGCCAUUCUUCCUAUGCCCGCGGUUGGCAUGACGGUAAAAAUAAGUUUGAGGUUUUCUAUGAAAUUGAACAUCUACUAACAUUCUUGCCAUCACGCAUAAGAGGUGGCACUAAUACGAGUUACAUAACUCGAACGGUUCUAUCUGAUUUGUUGCUGAAUUUCAAAAGUUUGAGGAUGUUAUCUUUACAAGGAUACUGUAUUGGUGAGUUACCAAUUUCAUUUGAAGAUUUGAGACUUUUAAGGUUUCUCAACCUUGCUUACACUGACAUAAGAAGUUAUCUGAGUCAACAUGCAAAUUGCUGAACUUGGAAAUUUUGAUAUUAAGAAAUUGUUCUCGUUUGAUAAAGCUUCCACCCAAAAUGAGGAAUUUGAUCAAUUUACGCCAUCUCGAUAUAAGAGGUGCGAAGUUGCUGAAGGAGAUGCCAUUCGGAAUGAAAGAGUUGAAGAAGCUUCAAACAUUGUCCAAUUUUAUUGUGGGCAAGGGUGAAACUGCAUCUUGUUUGGAAGAUUUAAAAUGUUUAAACUUUCUUUGUGAUAAACUUUGCAUUGCUGGAUUAGAGAAUGUUAAUAAUCCACAGAAUGCAAGAGAAGCCGCAUUAUGUGAGAAACACAAUCUUGAAGCAUUGACUCUGGAUUAGGGGUUUCAAUUUGACAAUUCCUGAGGAGUAGUAGAAGAGCAUGUACUGGAAAAUCUACAGCCUCAUAAAUGUAUAAAAAAGGUGGCGAUCCGGAACUAUGGUGGUGCAAGAUUUCCCCUUUGGAUAGGAGAUCCUUUGUUCUCCAGGAUAGAGCUCCUAAAAUUGGAGAACUGUGACAAUUGUGUAUCUUUGCCAUCGCUUGGCCUAUUGAGUUCACUUAGACGGCUUGCUGUUAAAGGGCUGAAUAAACUAAAAAGCAUAGGGUCUGAGGUUUAUGGGGAGGGUUUCUCAAUGCCUUUUCCAUCAUUGGAGAUUCUAAGUUUCGAGAAUUUGCCAGAAUGGGAGCAUUGGGACACCGAUGUCAAAGGAAAUGUGCUUGUUGAAAUAUUUCCUCGUCUCCAUCAACUUUCCAUUGUGGAAUGUCCCAAACUCUCGGGAGAACUGCCUGAGCUCCUGCCCUCCUUGGAGACACUUUUUGUUAGUAAAUGUGAAAAGUUGGUAGUUCCAUUGUCUUGCUAUCCGAUGCUCUGCAGAUUAGAAGUUGAUGAGUGCAAGGAACUAGCAUGCGGGACUCCAAUUGAUUUUAAGUUGAUAACGUCUGUGACUAUUUCAAAUAGUUCCUUAGACAUGAAUGGAUGCAAGGGGAUGCUAUACGAUGGUCCAGCUGGCUCUUCACUACCAAAGCCUAUGAUUACUACAAAUGUUUCGGAGUUUGGAAAAUUAUUGAAGCCUGGAUUUCAGAUAUUAGAAACUUUGGUAAUUGCCAAUUCUGAACAGCUCAAGUCAUGGAGGCAGAAUGGGGAUUUUCCGGAAAAAUACACGGCCCCUGAACAUAGGUUUAAGAAACCAGUACGAGGGCUGAAUAUGCUCGCUUCCCCUGAAGAGGUAACAAUUGAAGAAAGUUGCGUACGUCUUGUUUUGUUUCCAGAGAUCAAUUUCUUUCCCAGAAAUCUGCGCUCUCUUCUAAUUAACAACAACACUGCUUUCAAAUCCUUACCCGAGGAAAUGAUGGAAAACAAUUCACAACUCGAAAGGUUGUAUAUCAGAGAUUGCGACUCUCUAACAUUCAUCGCAAGACGGAGGCUACCAGCAUCUCUUAAAAGGCUUGAGAUAGAAAAUUGUGAGAAAUUGCAACGUCUGUUCGAUGAUGAAGAGGAUGCUUCUUCUUCUUCACCUUCACCCUCGUCUUCCCCAGUGAUGCUGCAACACCUGAGUAUAGAGAACUGCCCAGAGCUCACCAGUUUAUCAUCGGGUGUCCAAUUCCUUGAGGCGCUUGAAGACCUCGACAUACAGGGUUGUCCAAAGCUGGAGUCAUUACCGGAUGGCCUGCCCAAUCUUAAAUGUUUACAGAGCAUUUAUAUACGGGGAUGUCCAAGUCUUGUUUCCUUCCCAGAAAGAGGGCUUCCCAACACGAUUUCAAGGGUUGACAUUUGCAGUUGUGACAAGCUCAAAGCCUUGCCCAAUGAUUUGCACAAACUCAACUCUCUUCGAGAUUUAAGAAUACGGCUGUGUCGAAAUCUUGUAUCGUUUCCAGAAGAAGGUUUUCCUACCAAUCUAACAUCACUUACAAUUGGAAAUUUCAAAAUGUAUAAGACACUCGUCCAGUGGGGGUUGCACGGGCUUACCUCUCUUAAACGCCUCUCGAUCAGUGGAUGUCAUGAAGCAGAGUGUUUUCCAGACGAGGAGAUAGGAAUGACGCUGCCCACCUCUCUCACUCAACUGCUCCUUUAGGGAUUCGAAAAACUGAUAUCUCUGUCUUCGACGGGUUUUCAAAGCCUCAACUCUCUUCAAUACUUAUUGAUCUGGGGUUGCCCAAAUCUCACAUCAUUCCCAGAGGCGGGUCUUCCAUCCUCACUUUUGGAUUUAGGCAUUUACAAUUGUCCAAAGCUUAAAAGAGCGUGCAAAAGAGAUCAAGGAAAAGAGUGGCCCAAAAUUGCUCACAUCCCUCGCAUUGAGAUAGACAGAAAAUUCAUAUACGAUCCAGAAUCAGAGGAGUAGAUUCUAUUACAAAGGUCAGUUGAUUUCUAUUAUCCUCUAUAACAAGCUCCUCUUAAUUUUUUUUUUCUAAGUAAUAAUUUUGCAGUUCUGUAUAAUUAUUAAUCGUCUGCUCUUAAUUGAAAAUGUCACUCACUUGAUUCCGUUUUCACUAGUCAAAUUGUAUGUUGAGGCUAUUUGCUUUUUAAUUAUAACACUUAUCUUAAAAUUUAAUACCAAAUUUUUUUGAUUCACUUCAAUUAGCAUUUUGUUUUCCCCAAAUUAGGCAAGCCGAGAGCUUCAUUAACUAGAGUUUUUUAUUUUUCGGACCUUGCAUCUGAAAGGUUCAGUGUAUUUUUUUUUUUUUCAAAUUUAUUGUUCAGAUCUCAGACGAGUAUACGGUUUAGAUUACAAAACACCUAUGAUUAAUUUCUUUUUUUUUUUUUUAAUUUCAGGGAGAAGAAGUGGUCAGUUUCAAUCCGGAAUUGGAAUAUGGCAAUUUGGUUCAAGCACACACACCUGGUCACUUGGUCAGUGAACCUGAACUUUACGCAGUUUUUUCAACUCAGUGAUUUUUGGAACGCAUAUUGGUGUAAGGAAAUCAAUAGAAAUUUAUGCAUAGUCAAAUUCUGAUAUUUGCUAUAAUAUUAUACAUUCUAAAGUUUCUCCAGUUUGUUCUCAGAUUACCAUCAUUUUUUGCCUUCACCAAAAAAAAAUCGAGUGGCUUUCCAGUGGAUAUUUAAUCGGAGGUAUGACUGGAUUUUUUUCACUUCUGUAAAUCUUGCAUUUUAAACUGGCAAAUUUAACUUUAAUUUUAAUACGACUUGUUUGAGGGAAAUACUCCGACGAGACCAGACGUGAUGAGCAGAUGUUUGGUGGCAGAAGUCUGCGAGCAGGUGUGUCCUGUAAGAGCCAGGUAGCAGGGAAACAGGGGCAGAAAUAUCCUGCUCAUCCACGAGCAUGUCAUCCGCGAGGCCAAUUUCCUGUAAGAAACAUAAAGCCAUUCCUGCUGUAUUCUUGCUAAGGGUUGAUUCGAGGAGACCCGGUCAACGACAGUUGGCGAGGCAUGCUCUCCAGCCCGAGAAUCUAGGCACGAAGGCCACGCAACCACCCACGACUACGGAAAUGGGGAAUCCACGUUCGAGAGGUGGGAGGAUAACAGACGUAGACUGCGGAAAACUGGGAUUCAGAGGAAGCCUAUAAAAAGGUAGCCAACGAAGGUAAAAGGGUUAGCAAUUUUGAUUCUAAAAGAGAGAAAACAACCUAACAACCAUAAGAUUUUUGGCAAGCGUUCCCCGAACCUUCAUAUCUGACUUGAGCGUCGGAGGGUUUGCGCCGGGAAAACAACCGGCGUACUCUGACCUGUCUGUGUGCGCAGGAACCUCUGGAGAAGAAGCUUUACGAGGAGAGAUCCUGGUCGUGGUGAAGUUGAUCGAGCAGAGACCCUGGUCGUAGAACGAGGAGAACCAGAAUCUCGCAUCAACACGACUUUGUUGGUGCCUUGUGUUCCAGAAACUAGAAUGAUGUGUAGUUUUCAGAUUAAGGGGCUUGUAAAUUCUCUAGUAAGAAUCCAAUAAUUUGCUUUUGCACAUUCAUUUUAUUUGUGGAUCCUUGCAUCUGAAUUUGAUCAAUCCAAAAGGAAUUGCUUUUAGACAGAAGAAGAAUUGCAGUACCUAGCCUACGACAUAGUAAAUGGACCUGCAAACCUGUAACUAUUAGUUUGAGGUAAAAAAUUCAUGACCCUCACAUGUUAACUUCUUCUAGUUACUUUCAUCAAAAACACAUUUAAGAAAUUUGCAAUUUUUUGUUAGUUUUGUAUACCGAUGUUGUUUUCUGUUUUAGCAUUUGUAUAAUCUACUGUAUUAUAUUUUGGCGGUUGCAGUAUCUGAGGUAUCUUUUGCAUUUAACUUGCUUUAUUUGUUUUGCUUGUGACUUAAGAACACCAAUAUUUGCCAGAGAUUUAGAGAAGCAUAUCAAGAUGCUUGGCAAACUUGACAAACUUCAAGAUCCUUCAUUCUUCACGACCCAAAACUUGUGAGUACACUUAUGCCCGCAAUUAUUGUGAAACGCUUGCAAUUUUGAUGCAGCGAAAUGGUUUGUUGAUGCAAAGGUUUAAACUUUUAAGAUUUACACUGCAGGGUAGUUGGAUGCUGUAUAGUCGAACGGCCACCAACAUCAAGAACUAUAACUCCAAGACCGGGUUUGCAUUAAUUCAAUCAGCUGAAAUAAUGAUGCAAAUGACACUAUCAGCUGGACUUAGAGACCAGUCAGAUCAAUCAUCCUUUUAUCAACAGUUAAUGUCAUGAUGGUGUCUAUCGGAGGAAACAAAGGAUGUGUCGGAAUCAAUAUGAACAGUGAGAAGAAUGAGAGGAGCUUUGAUUAUAAGUAGGCUCAAUGAACUCAUGCUGGUAAGUGGUAAUUAAAGAAAUUUGUGCGCUUAGUAGCAUUCAAUAUUUUCUGUUUGGGAUAUAGUUGAUGAGUUGAUACUCUGAUUAAGAAGCCUGAUUAUAGUAGCUGACUUUUUUUUUGUGGUUUGCUGUUGUUUAUUCUUUCGAUUAAUUUCAACAUUAGGUUGAUCUGUUGAAGAACAAACUUGGGUUUGAUUAUGCUUUAACUACAAGGAAGAGCCAGACUUGGAUGCAGGCGUUCAGCUUUUAAUGGGUAAGAACAAAUGUAUGCUUUAACCAUGUUUCUCACUUAUUACAAUGCACACAUUGAAGGCAUCUGAGCUGAUCCUGAAAAUGUGAUGGAAAUACUUCUCUGUUUACAUAAAACAGACAAAUAGAGAUCUCUGAUCAUGCCUGAGAAUUCGUUGCAUUUAAAAUUUCUACCAUUGCCAAAAAUAGAAUAAACUACGGAUACAUUAGCUUAAGACUCAAUUUUGAGAAGGAAGUUUGCACAUGCAGCCUAAAAAAUCACGUCCGUGUUGUAUACUUGUAUGUUUCUUUGGGAAAUGAAAGAUUCUGUGUUCUUUUAUUUCAAGUUUGCUGAAAUCACAUUUGUUUUCUUAGAUGCUUUUGGGAAGGUAACAACAUCAAUUUCAUAAAUGCUGGGGUAAGAUGCAUCACGCAGUGCUACUCAACAUGAGAAUUCCCGGCCGCAUUACCUGUAUGUUGAGUGAUCGCACAGUACAACCUUUAGAAGCUUGUAAGGAGUAGACAACUAGAUGCGAAUAGUUUCAAUAUGGAUUCGCAUCAAAUGAUCUCUUGCCAGUGAUUACUAUAACCUCUAUCCCAAAAUUCUUGGAACUGGUCAUACCAAUAAUGAAGUAUUGUGUACGUUGAAGACGUAGCUCAAGGCCUUGCGAAAGCUCCGUCAGCCUUUGUAUUGGAAAACAGUUGGUUGUAGUUGCUUCUGAAUGAUAUUAUUAAUAGAUACUGUAAAAAUGAAGUGUGCCACUCAUUUUCAGAGCCCUGUUAAGAUGUGUUGGUAAUGUGUUUGAAGGUUGUUUGAUUUGUGUUGUAUUCAGCUAUAAAUCAAAGAUUCAGAACAUGGUUAUGUUACUGGUUUCCAAAUAAAAAAAUUGCCUUGUGAUGUUAGUGUUCAUUGUUUUCACAGGAGAUCAGGUUCCCUGUUGAUGAAUCAAGAAGGCAAACGCAUCCAUGCCUUAAGUUCAAAUGUGUCUCUUCUAUUUUCUAUUACUGACUCCUUUAUUUUGAUUUCUUCAUUGUAAUGGAAUUGGUUUUCAUUCCAAAUUAGUCAAAACCUCCUAGAGUCAUUAAGUUCUGUUAGCAUUUGAAGAUAGAACUAGAACUAAAUGAUUGACUGGAUUAAAUUCCGAUAAAGAAUUAAGUUAUGUAUUUAGAGAUAUUUUGUUUUUUUUUUCAUUUGUUCAAUUUGGUUAGUGGUGAUUUCUUAAAGACUCAAUCCAUGUGCGUUUAUGCAUUUUUCUUUUGCCUUAAUUUCUGUUUCUUGGGGAGUUUAUACAGAUUCUUAUUUUAUGCUUCACAUGCCACAUGAAAGAUCGAAGCAUUUUGUGUGAUUAGAACUGACUUGCAUCACAGUAACUUUAAACCACUGCCACAUUUUUAUAAUAACAGUCUGAGAUCUCCCUGAAGGAUUCAAAGCAUUUUAUUUUAUAUUAACCUCCUUUAAGUGGGUUUCGACACUACCACAAGUUCUUUAAAUACUAAAACGAUUUUGAGUCUUUUGUAUCAUCUGAUUGAAAUACCUGAAAGCACUCGUGGCUGCAAAAAUAUAUCGAUUUUGAGUAUGGCGUGCAUGUAAAUUAUAUCGAUUUUUUCUAUAUGACAAGUAAGACUCUCUUUUACAAUGGCACGGAUGCGUCAUUGAGUAAUCAUGAUUCUUGCUGGUAGUGCUUUGUUGUAUCAAUCUGCUAGCUAUUCAGCUUUCUUUCUUUCUUUCUUCUUUUUUUUUUUUUUUUUUUGUUUUCAAAUAGCUUGUGGUUGUAGAAAUAUUUCAAUUAAACUAUACUUAAGUACUUAUUUAGUAUAACUUCUUUACUAGCCAAAAUAAUUUUUUUUUGGUUUUUUAUAAUUUAAUUAUACUUUAACUAGAGUUUUUGGGAUUAAACAAGUGAUAAUUUCUCUCUAUUAAGAAAAACUCAAAAUUUUUUAAUUACUAGAAUGCGUCUAAAUUAAAUUACAAUUAUAGACACUAAAAUAUAGUAAAUUUUUUUUUUUACUCUUUAAAACUGUCUUUACAUUCGAUAUCAUAUUUUUUUCUUAAAAUCUAAAUUGAUAUUUUUAUUUUAUUUUUGAUUAAUCUUAGAACACAUAUAAAGUGAUUCAUAUUGAUUUUAUACUAACAAACUAUCAUAGCACAUUCGAAAAUAAUUAACUCGUUCUUAUUUGCAUAGUGAAAAAGGCAAAUAGCUCACCCAAAUGUUAAGGAACUGGAGAGCUGCUGCUGGAGACGAAAGGAUGUGAAAAGCAUGGUAAAGAAAAAUUGCAUAAUUCUCACUUAGAAGAGGAAGAAAAAAAAAAUACAAUUAGAAUGAGAGGUAGCCAGUAGCCAGUAGCCGCCACCACCACCAGUCAAACUAUUUCGACACACUAAUACUGUAAUACAUAUCAAAAUGCAAUAUCGGUCCUAACAAAAUGAAAAUAAAAAUUCAUUACGAAUAUGUGUUAAAGAUAUCCCAAGUAUUGAUGUGAUUGAAAUAUUUGAGAUUGAAGUAGAAAUAAGACUCAAAAUCAAUUGAGAGGAAUAAAUGAGAAACUCUAAUACUAAUAAAAUAUAUUCACAAAUCCUAAUGCUAAUUAAAAUCACGGAUUAAAAAAAAUAAUAUGAAUGAAUUACAGGCGCAACUGUUUCAUUAAAAAAUUAAUAAAAUCGUGUAUUAAUAUUUUGUACACAUACAUUUUUCCAUAUAUAACUUUUGGUAAUUUAGUUUUCCACUUAUCAUUUUUACUCCAAAAAAAUAAUUGAGAAUAUUAUUUAUGUUUUGGUGCAAAAUAUUUAAACAACAUAAAAAUUUUCAGUUUAAUAAAUCUAAACAAUUCUCAAGUUAUAAAUGAAUUUAAUGGGUUUAAUUAGUAAAAAUACUAUUAUUUUAUAAAUUGGGUUUAGUAAUGGUAUAUUGGGUAUUUAAAUGGGUUUGUUGAGUAAAUUUUAAAAUUUUAAAGUUCAAGGGUAGGUUUAUUUAGUAAAUGGGUUAAUGCAGCAAUUUUCAAACUAAAUUUUUGGAAAAAGAGGCUAUUGAGUUUUUUUUAAGAAAAAGAAUUAAAAUGUUGAGAAUACCUUUAUUUAAUUUUAUAAUCUAAUUUUAAAAAAUUUACCCAAUAAAUUUUAUAAUUUUUUAUAAAAAUUAUCAUUAACAUCCAAACAGCUGAAGAUUAAAAAAAAAAAAAGAAGGGAACUGUACUAGCAAAAGUUAGAUUAACAAUAAAUUUAGUCCAAAGAAUAAAGUUAUAGCUAAAAAGUGCUCCUAUCCUAUUUUUCUCUAUUUUAACAAUAAUCUUCCAAUCCAUUUUACAAUGGACUUAACAAAUGGGCUCAAUCUCUAAACUUCAUUUUCUUUUGCUAACCCAUGGCCAUUAGCCAGAAAGCCUAAAACAAUUUUAGGAUCACAUGUGUAAAUGGAACCCCAAGAUUGAUCAAGAAUUAACAAGACAAGAUGAAGAGAUGAUCUUGUAACUAAGAAUGAAGAAAUUGAAUCAAGACAGUACUCUAGUAAAACCCAGAAAACAGAGCUUGAAGAAUCACGCACAAAGCAGUAAAUUUGUAAAACCAGAAUUGGAGCUUCACUUCUCAAGAUAGACGAAACAGGAUACAAUCUAGCUUUGGUCAACUUCGUUUGGCCACGUCAUAAAGUCUUCCCCCACAGUCUUUCCCGCCAAAACAGAAAAGCUUUAAAAGCCAUUUACCCUCCUGAGUUACUUGCUCCUAUUACAUCAAGGCCCUGUAAGUCUAUAUUUAUUAUUACAAAAGCACCCUUAAACCGAGAUUUGAGAUAUUUUUUCAAAGAUCGAAGCGCAUGAUUUCACGGCUAUGUUGCAUAGUGAAUUUUAGUGCUUUACAGUUAAGGGAUAGUUUAAAUUCAUUACAAAGCAUUCGCAAAGAAAUUGUUUUUAAAUGAAACUCCUCGUCUUGACCAGAUUAUUUAUUAUUAUUAAAAAAAAAAUGUUCAAAACUUAGCCAAAGUGAUAAACUCGUAAUUAUUCUACAAAGGGAACAAUUUUGAACGGUGGGAAAUUCCAUAAUUAUGCUUUUCUGUGAAUUAUUUUAAAUAAAAUUAUAAAAAUUAAUAUAAAAUUAUAAUAAUGAUAGAGCCACAAACUCUUGUACAAAUUUAUUUUAUACAAACUCAUGUGGCAUGAUAAGAUUGGUUGAAUUAAAUAUUACUUGGCCCACAUGAUUUGUUUUUAUUAUUUUAUAUUUUUAUUCAACCAAUAAAUUAAUACCACGUCAGUUUGUACAAAAUAAAUUUAUACAAAAAUUUGUGACUCGAUCAUCACUCAUAAAAUUAAUACCCGGUAAAGACUGUAGAGAGACAAGUGCCCCCAACAGAAUCAAGUGAAUAUGCCCCACAAAGAUCACAUGAUCAUUUCUGUUCUUUUUCUUUUUGAUAAUUUUAUCUGUGGUUUCAACUUUUAUGCUUUAUUGUCGUAUCCCGUUGAGGGCUCCGCUGCACCCAUUACAACUUACCCCUAAAUUGCCUCUUACUAACUAAACCGUUAGAUUUUAUGGAAGCACGUUCAAUGUUGAAUUUUAAUUAUGUCAUCGAAUUUCGUUUAGCUCCUUAAACUCCAUUUUAUUUGUAAUUUCUUCAUAAAAUAUUCAAAGCUUCAUCAAGCUCCUGAUGGACCAUCAUGGCUAGGGGUGCAUUAGAGCCGAACUGAAAUAUGUUAGUUCAGUUCAGUUUGGUCAGUUUAAAUCGAAUGGUUUAGAAUAUAUAAACUGAUCAAUUUUAAUUUUGAAUUGAACCGAACCGAAAAUCAAUUGGUUCACUAUUAGUAUUUUUGUAUAAACAAGAAUGAUUAGUGAUUAUAAUUAAAUUGGACUAAAAAAAAUUCAAACUAAGGUGAAAAAUAUCAAAUCUUAGACAAUAUAAAAAAAAAUAUUAAAUUUUUUUAACCGAAACGAACCGAAUUAUUUUGACUCAGUUUGGUUCAUAAUUUUUUAAACCAAACUGAUUUAUUCCCACCCCCUAAUCGUGGCUCUCUAUCUUUAGUCAUUCACCCUUGAGUUUGAUGCCAAUUGUUGGGUUUCAAAUGAUUAUACACUCAAAUGGAACCCUCAUAACAAAAAACUAACAGAAACAAUAAGAACACGAUGUUAAAAUCUUAAAUCAAUCGCAAAAAAGCACCCAAAACAGAUCGAUUAGGAACAGUUAAGAACAAAAGAUUUGAUGGUUCAAAAUCAUAAUGUGACCUACGUACUUUCAUCCAAGAAUCAUACUAAUUGCUUUACUAGUUGUCAAACUCAAGAUCACAAGAUUGUUUAUCACUCUACAUAAAAAUUUUUUUUAGAAGAAAUACUCCCCAAUUUUUCUCUUAAUAGUUAUGAAUCAACACCCCUAGGAAGCCUGUUGAUUUACUUUUCCUUAUUUCCUAUGAUCGGUUGCUGCAACUUAAUCCUUGCCAAGCUCCAACAUAGUCCAAACACUUUUAACGGUACAGGCAUAGUGCACCUUCAGAAACUUUACAGCUCCUCUUAAAACCUCAGGCAUCGUAAGCACAUUAAGCAGCCGACAACACUCUUCUUCAUUUCUUCAUUGUCAAUUUCCUUCUUGGAACAUUGCUCCAUUGAGAGUCUGCUAGAAUUGCUCCAAUUAUUAUUAUUAUUUAAAAAAAAAAGAAAACCCUGCAAUAAGAGUAUAAGACUAAGCAACGGUCCUUUUUUUUUCCCCAUUCUUGAACCUAAAGUAUUUGAGUAUGCAAAUUAAUAAAUAAAUUCAUUUAUUUUUAUUAAAAUUUUGUAAAAUUAUAAUUUUUAAUAAAAAUAAUUAUUAAAAUUUUGUAAAAUCUAAAUUUAGAAAAAUUCAGUUGGGCACCUCUAUUUGAGAUUUAUUUUUUAUUAAAUUUAGGGAUAUUUUUAUAAUUAUAAUUUUUAAUUUUAAAAGUUUUUAUAAGAUAAAAUAGUCUUUUAAUUUAUUUAGGGGGUAAAAUUGGUGUUUUAUUAAAAUUAUUUAAUUGUGUUAAUGCAAAAGUGGCUAUUUGAUACAAAUGUGAAAAGAAAGGUGGUGCAAAAUAUAUGUUAAAAUUUUAUAUUGGUUGGAUGAACAUAAGCUAAAAUAAAGGUGGUGCAAUGAUAAUUUCCCUAUCCUAAAACUUAAUUGACUUAAUUCUUACGGUGCAAGGAAGAGGUUUCCAAGUUUAAAUCUAAAGGCUUGUAUUUAAUUUGGGGUUGGGAAAGCACUGAGAAAUAAAUGUAACUAAGGAAAAAAAAAAAGUCACGCAGUCCAAAUAAGUAGAUAUAUUUAAUAUGAGGUGGGGAUGGGUGAACUGUAAUUCAGAAAAAAAUAAAAUAAAAUUUUAUAUAAAGUUGAGGGUGUGUUUUAAUGGUUUCUUAUGCUGCGUUUAUUUUUUGGACUAGAGUGAGAAUUCUAAAAAGUGAGAAUCCUAUGAUUAGGUGUGUGGAGUGGGAGUGGGAGUAUGGUAUUUACUUAGACUAAAUAAAAGUAUGGAUUGUCAAUCAGAAUCUCAAUUAUUUGUUACUUUGUCUUGGAUUGAGAGUAAAUUAUUUUAAAUUACAAUUUUAUCCUUAUGUAAAGAAUUAUAAUUUGUAAUUAAAAAAUUAAUAAAAAUAUAUUGGAAAAUAAAAUAAAUAUUUUAUUAUAUUUAUAAAAUAAUAAUAAUUAAUAAAAUUCUUAAUUAUGUAAAUCAUAAUUUUUUAUUAAUUUAAAUUUAAAUUAUGUGAAUAAAAUUAUUAAUAAUAGCAACACAAAUGAAACAUUAUUAUUAAUAAUAUAGUAUAAAAUUAAUAUUUUUUUAGAAUAAAAUAUUUAUUAUUAUUAAAUAAAUAAAUAAUAUUUAUUAAAAUUAAUGUUUAAUAUUAUUAAUUUAAAUAUAAUAUUUAUUUAUUUUUAUUUUAUUUUAUUAAAUUUAAUAAAAUAAAUAUGUUAUAAUUAUUAUUUUUAAUAAAUAUGAUAUUAUUUAUUUUAUUAAAUAUUAUUUAUUUAUUUUAAUUAUGAGGGUAAAAAUGGAAGAGGGGGAGUGGAUUCCCACUCCCACCUCCCCCCAUGGGAGUGGGAAUCCCACUCUCCCCUUAAAAAUGGUAAGUAAAUAUUAGAAUGGGAAGAAUCUACACUCUACACUUUCUAGAAAAUAAACACUACCUUUAUUUAAAUCGAUUUGUUGGAUAUUUAGCUAAAAUGAGAGUAGCUCUCUAAUAAUUAUUGCAUUAUUACAAACAUAUCCAACGGUUAUAAUAGCGCGCUGAAUCAAUGCUUCAGAAGGAUGACAGUCUGAGUGAAAAGGAAAUAAACGCUUUCAAUUGAAUUACUACCACUACACUCCAAUACUCUAUUAUUGUUUGUGUGCUUGCUUGUGGACCUUUUUACUUCUUACUAUCAUUAUUGAAUUCCAUUUCCAAAUUUUCAGCAUACUUUUGCUUUCUUUCAGUAUCUUCAGUUUCUCUUUUGCUUGCUAUCAAUUCAGUUUUCUUCUUGUGAAGAUCGAACGGAACCAUGGUUGCUGUGGGAGAGAUCUUACUCAACGCCUUCUUUCAGGUGUUGUUUGACAGGUUGGCUUCCCGUGAUUUGCUCAGCUUUGUCCGUCAACUUGGAGGCGGGGACGAUUCCGAGCUCAAGAAGUGGGAAAGAAAGCUGAAGAUGAUUCAGGCGGUGCUCAACGAUGCAGAGGAGAAGCAACUGACCGACGAGGCCGUGAAGAUGUGGCUGGACGAUCUCCAAGACUUGGCUUAUGACGCUGAGGACAUUCUUGAGGAGUUUGCUACUCAAGCUUUGGAAAGCAAGUUGAUGGCGAAAAAUCAGGAUCGCAUUGGCCAGGUUCUUAGUUUCAUACCGGCUAGUUUGAAUCCGAAUGCUAUUAUGUCCAAUUAUAGCAUGGGAUCCAAGAUUAAAGAUAUUACUAGCCGGUUGGAGCAACUCUGCCAAGAUAGAAUUGAACUUGGGCUGCAACGGAUUGCUGGAGGGGCAUCAUCAACUACUUCUGCUGCACAUCAGAGGCGAGACAGUUCGAGUGUCCCAACAGAACGUGAAGUAUUUGGAAGAGAAGAAGAUAAGGCCAAAAUUCUUGAUAUGGUAUUGACCGAUACCCCAAGUGAUCGUGCCAACUUUGUUGUAAUACCCAUUGUUGGCAUGGGCGGGAUAGGAAAAACAACUCUUGCCCGGGAGGUCUACAAUGACAAGGCCGUUGAAGAUUCCAAGUUUGAUGUAAAAGCAUGGGUUUGUGUCUCUGAUGUCUUUGAUAUUUUGGGCAUCUCAAAGGCACUUCUCCAGUCAAUCACCUCCGCAGCUAGUGAUCUCAAGACUUUAAAUGAGGUGCAGGUUCAACUGAAAAAAGCAGUUGACGGAAAAAGAUUCUUGCUGGUCUUAGAUGAUGUUUGGAACGAGAACUACAACUUGUGGGAAGACUUAAAAGCUCCGUUCCUGGAUGCUGCACCAAACAGCAAGAUGAUCGUCACCACACGCAAUUCAAGUGUUGCAUCAACAAUGAGACCCAUUGAACAUUUCAAUCUCAAGAGUCUGUUGGAUGACGAUUGCUGGUCCAUUUUUAUAAAGCAUGCAGUUGAAGGUGGAGAUCUUAACGAGGAUCAAAUUUCAGAAUCAUUCCGCAAGAAAGUUGUUGGCAAGUGUGGAGGCUUGCCUCUGGCAGCAAAAACUCUCGGGGGCCUUCUGCGUACGACGAGGCAUGAUGGGUGGGAUGGUAUAUUGGAUAGCAAAAUAUGGGAAUUACAUCAACAUAGCAGCAUUCUCCCUGUGUUAAGAUUGAGUUACCAUCAUCUUCCGUCUCAUUUGAAAAGAUGUUUUGCUUUUUGUGCCAUCUUUCCAAAAGAUUAUGAAUUCACUGAGAAGGAGCUGACUUUCUUAUGGAUGGCUGGAGGUAUUAUUCGACAGUCAAGAAACAAUGAGCAGCUGGAAGAUUUGGGCAGCAAGUGCUUUGGUGAUCUAGUGUCAAGGUCAAUUUUUCAACAAACAGCAAUCUCUGAUAGUUCUAAAUUUGUAAUGCACGACCUUAUCCAUGAUCUUGCUGAAUUGGUCUCUGGAGGAACCAUAUUUAGGUCAGAGGAGGCCAAUACUCUAUCAAGAAGAUUUGAAAGGGUUCGCCAUUCUUCCUAUACCCGUGAUUGGUAUGAUGGUAAAAAUAAGUUCGAGGUUUUCAAUGAAAUUGAACAUCUACGAACAUUCUUGCCGUUAAGAGGUAACUAUUGUACUAGUUACAUAACUCGACCGAUUCUAUCUGAUAUGCUGCCAAAGUUCAAAAGGUUGAGAACGCUAUCUUUACAAGGAUACUGUAUUGGUGAGUUACCAAUUCCAUUUGAAGAUUUGAGACUUUUAAGGUUCCUCAACCUUGCUGACACUGACAUAAGAAGUUUACCUGACUCAACAUGCAAAUUGCUGAACUUGGAAAUUCUGAUAUUAAGAAAUUGUUCCCGUUUGAUAAAGCUUCCGCAGAAAAUGAGGAAUUUGAUCAAUUUAUGCCAUCUGGAUAUAAGAGGUGCGAAGUUGCUGAAGGAGAUGCCAGUCGGAAUGAAAGAGCUGAAGAAGCUUCAAACAUUGUCCAAUUUUAUUGUAGGCAAGGGUGAAUCCGCAUCUGGUUUGGAAGAUUUAAAAAGUUUAAACCUUCUUUGUGAUGAACUUUGCAUUGCUGGAUUAGAGAAUGUGAAUAAUCCACAGAAUGCAAGAGAAGCCGCAUUAUGUGAGAAGCACAAUCUUGAAGCAUUGACUCUAACAUGGUGGCCUCAAUUUGACAGUCCUCGAGGUGUAGUAGUGGAAGAGAAUGUACUUGACGUUUUGCAGCCUCAUAAAUGUAUAAAAAAGGUGGCAAUCAGGAACUAUGGUGGUGCAAGAUUUCCACCUUGGAUAGGAGAUACUUUAUUCUCCAAGAUAGAGCUCCUUGAAUUGAAGAACUGUGACAAUUGUGUGUCUUUGCCAUCGCUUGGCCUAUUGAGUUCACUUAAACACCUUGCUGUUAAAGGGCUGAAGAAACUAAAAAGCAUAGAGUCUGAGGUUUAUGGGGAGGGUUUGUCAAUGCCUUUUCCAUCGUUGGAGGUUCUAAGUUUUGAGAAUUUGCCUGAAUGGGAGUAUUGGGACACCAAUAUCAGAGGAAAUGUGCUCGUUGAAAUGUUUCCUCGUCUCCAUAAACUUUCCAUUGUGGAAUGUCCAAAACUCUCUGGGGAACUGCCUGAGCUCCUGCCCUCCUUGGAGACACUUGUUGUUAUUAAAUGUGAAAAUUUGGUAGUUCCAUUGUCUCGCUAUCCGAUGCUCUGCAGAUUAGAAGUUGAUGAGUGCAAGGAACUAGCGUGCGGGACUCCAAUUGAUUUCAAGUUGAUAAAGUCUGUGACUAUUUCAAAUAGUUCCUUAGACAUGGAUGGAUGCAAGGGGAUGCUAUACGAUGGUCCAGCUAGCUCUUCACUGCCAAAGCCCACGAUUACUACAAAUGUUUUGGAGUUUGGAAAAUUAUUGAAGCCUGGAUUUCAGAUAUUAGAAACGUUGGUAAUUGGCAAUUCUGAACAGCUCAAGUCAUGGAGGCAGCAUGGGGAUUUUCUAGAAGAAUAUAUGGUCGCUCGCCAAAGGUUUAAGAAACCAGUACAAGGGCUGAAUAUGCUCGCUUCCCCUGAAGAGGUAACAAUUGAAGAAAGUUGCGUACGUCUUGUUUUGUUUCCAGAGAUCAAUUUCUUUCCCAGAAAUCUGCGCUCUCUUCUAAUUAACAACAACACUGCUUUCAAAUCCUUACCCGAGGAAAUGAUGGAAAACAAUUCACAACUCGAAAGGUUGUAUAUCAGAGAUUGCGACUCUCUAACAUUCAUCGCAAGACGGAGGCUACCAGCAUCUCUUAAAAGGCUUGAGAUAGAAAAUUGUGAGAAAUUGCAACGUCUGUUCGAUGAUGAAGAGGAUGCUUCUUCUUCUUCUUCUCCUUCAUCCUCGUCUUCCCCAGUGAUGCUGCAACGCCUGAAUAUAAAGAACUGCCCAGAGCUCACCAGUUUAUCAUCGGGUGUCCAAUUCCUUGAGGCGCUUGAAGGCCUCGAGAUAUGGGAUUGUCCAAAGCUGGAGUCAAUACCGGAUGGCCUGCACAAUCUUAAAUGUUUACAGAGCAUUCAUAUAGAUGGAUGUCCAAGUCUUGUUUCCUUGCCCAAUGACAUGCACAAACUGAACUCUCUUCGAGAUUUAAACAUACGGGCGUGUCCAAUAUCGUUUCCAGAAGAAGGUUGUCCUACCAAUCUAACAUCACUUACACUUGGAUAUGUCGAAAUGUAUAAGACACUCGUCCAGUGGGGGUUGCACAGGCUUACCUCUCUUAGAAGCCUCGACAUUUUUGGAUGUGAUGAUGAAGCAGAGUGUUUUCCAGACGAGGAGAUAGGAAUGACGCUGCCCACCUCUCUCACUCAUCUGCACCUUUUUGAUUUCGAAAAAUUGAGAUCUCUGUCUUCGACGGGUUUUCAGAGCCUCACCUCUCUUCAAUCUUUGGAUAUCUGGUUUUGCCCAAAUCUCACAUCAUUCCCAAAGGUGGGCUUUCCAUCCUCACUUGUGGAAUUACGCAUUAGAGAUUGUCCAAAGCUUAAAAAAGCGUGCAAAAGAGAUCAAGGAAAAGAGUGGCCCAAAAUUGCUCACAUCCCUUGCGUUGAGAUAGACGAUAAAUUCAUAUACCAUCCAAAAUCAGAGGUGUAGAGUGUAUUAUUAAGGUCAGUUGAUUUAUGUUAUCCACCAUAACAAGCUCCUCCUUUUUUUUUAAAUAAUAAUUUUGCAGUCACUCGCGUGAUUCCGUUUUCACAAGUCAGAUUGUAUGUUGAGGCUAUUUGCCUUUUAAUCGCAGAUUAAAUUAUAACACUUAUCUUAAAAUUUAAUACCAUAGACAGAUAGACGAUUUUUUAAUCCAAAGUUUUUUUAUUCACUUCAGUUAGCAUUUUUUUUUUCCCCAAAUCAUGCAAGCCGAGAGUUUCAAUCAACAGAAUUUUAUUCACUCAUUGACUUUUCAACUGCUGUGGUUAUUUAUGGGUGAAAGAUAAAUUUCUUAGAUGGUAGAUAUAUCGACAUUUUAGAUUUCAGAUAUUUGUCACCAAUUUCAUUCCUUUUUUUAAAAUUUUUUUUAAGCAAGUUUGACUAAUUUUAACCAGAAUUGGAGUAUAAUAUUUUGGAGCAAGCAUACUUGAAAUUUCUGUCUUCAAUUUUUUUGAUGCUUUUUUAAUUUUGAUCUAGUAAAAAUACAUAGCCUUCACCGGCAGGAUUCUAGUCUUGGCUUUCACCUCUCUAACUCAUCUGUCCCUAUUGGGAUUCCAGAAAUUUAAAUUUCUGUCUUCAAUGGGUUUUCAAAGCCUCACCUCUCUUCGAUUUUUGUGGAUUGGGAAUUGCACAAAUCUCACAUCAUUUCCCGAGGUCGAGGAAAAGAGCGGCCCAAACUAUCAGCGGUGUUGAUUCUCUUAUUAAGGUCAGCUGAUUUCUAUUAUCCACUCUGACAAUCUCCUAUUAGUGUUUUUUUUUUAAAAAAUUUGCAGUUCUGUAUAAUUGAAAUGCCACUCACUUGUUUCCUUCUUCACAGGUCAGAUAGUAUGUUAAAGCUAUUAGUGCUGCCUCAUAGGUUGAUUACUCACAGAUGAAAUCAUAACUUUUAUCUUAAAAUUUAAUAGCAUACACAGAUAGACGAUUUUUAGUCCAAAGUUUUUUUUAUUCACUUCAAUCAAAAUUUUAGAUUGCAGAUUUUUGUCGAGUAUUUUCAUUCCAAUUUUUUCAUUUUUUAUUUUAAACCAGAAUUGGAGUAUAAAAUUUUGGAGCGCGCAUACUCUGAUGCAUGCAAUUAACUGUUUUUAAUCGUUGGAUUUUGAAAUUAAUGAUGGUAAGAUGUGUACUUAUUCUUUCUUCCAACAACCUUGCCUUCUUUCUUCGGUCGCAUAUCUAAUGAAUAUUUCUCUGUUUAGUUAAGGAUGAAUGCUUGGAGUGGGGUACUUGGUAACAUUUCUGCCUUAGAUGAAUCCUUGAAGAAAUGCCCGCAGUUCCUGAGACCAAAUACAGGUCUGAUUCAAAACAGCACCUUUCCCAGAAAAUAUGAUCCAAGGCAAAGUCAUGUUCUGAUAAUGUUUCCUUAAGUACUAAGUUGCAAGGAAACUUGAUUCAUUAACUACAGUUUUUUAUUUUUAGGACCUUGUAUCUGAAAGGUUCAGUGUUUUUUUUUUUCAAAUUUAUUGUUCAGAUCUCAGAGGAGUAUAUGGUUUAGAUUACAAAACACCCAUGAUUAAUUUCAUUUUUUUUUUAAUUUCAGGGAGAAGAAGUGGUCAGUUUCAAUCCGGAAUUGGAAUAUGGCAAUUUGGUUCAAGCAAACACACCUGGUCACUUGGUCAGUGGUCACUUGGUCAGCGAACCUGAACUUUACGCAGUUUUUUCAACUCAGUGAUUUUUGGAACGCAUAUUGGUGUAAGGAAAUCAAAAGAAAUUUAUGCAUUGUCAAAUUCUGAUAUUUGCUAUAUAUUAUACAUUCUAAAGUUUCUCCAGUUUGUUCUCAGAUUACCAUCAUUUUUUGCUUUCACCAACCAAACAAAAACAAAAUGAGUGGCUUUCCGGUGGAUAUUUAAUCGGAGGUAUGACUGGAUUUUUUUCACUUCUGUAAAUCUUGCAUUUUAAACUGGCAAAUUUAACUUUAAUUUUAAUAGGACUUUGUUGGUACCUUGUGUUCCAGAAACUAGAAAGAUGUGUAGUUUUCAGAUAAAGGGGCUUGUAAAUUCUCUAGUAAGAAUCCAAUAAUUUGCUUUUGCACGUUCAUUUUAUUUGUGGAUCCUUGCAUCUGAAUUUGAUCAAUCCAAAAGGAAUUGCUUUUAGACAGAAGAAGAAUAGCAGUACCUAGCCUAUGACAUAGUAUAUGGACCUGCAAACCUGAAACUAUUAGUUUGAGGUAAAAAAUUCAUGACCCUCACAUGUUAACUUCUUCUAGUUACUUUCAUGAAAAACACAUUUAAGAAAUUUGCAAUUUUUUGUUAGUUUCGUAUCCGAUGUUGUUUUCUGUUUUAGCAUUUGUAGAAUCUACUGUAUUAUAUUUUGGCAGUUGCAGUAUCUGAGGUAUGUUUUGCAUUUAACUUGCUUUGUUUGUUUUGCUUGUGACUUAAGAACACCAAUAUUUGCCAGAGAUUUAGAGAAGCAUAUCAAGAUGCUUGGCAAACUUGACAAACUUCAAGAUCCUCCAUUCUUCACAACGCAAAACUUGUGAGUACACCUAUGCCCGCAAUUAUUGUGAAAUGCUUGCAAUUUUGAUGCACUGAAAUGGUUUGUUGAUGCAAAGGUUUAAACUUUUAAGAUUCACCCUGCAGGGUAGUUGGAUGCUGUAUAAUCGAAAAGCGACCAACAUCAAGAAUUAUGACUCCAAGACCGGGUUUGCAUUAAUUCAAUCAGCUGAAAUCAUGAUGCAAAUGACACUAUCAGCUGGACUUAGAGACCAGUCAGAUCAAUCAUCCUUUUAUCAACAGUUAAUGUCAUGAUGGUGGCUAUCGGAGGAAACAAAGGAUGUGUCGGAAUCAAUAUGAACAGUGAGAAGAAUGAGAGGAGCUUUGAUUACAAGUAGGCUCAAUGAACUCAUGCUGGUAAGUGGUAAUUAAAGAAAUUUGUACGCUUAGUAGAGUUUCAAUAUUUUCUGUUUGGGAUAUAGUUGAUAAUUUGAUACUCUGAUUAAGAAGCCUGAUUAUAGUAGCUGACUUUUUUUUUGUGGUUUGCUGUUGUUUAUUCUUUCGAUUAAUUUCAACAUUAGGUUGAUCUGUUGAAGAACAAACUUGGGUUUGAUUAUGCUUUAACUACAAGGAAGAGCCAGGCUUGGAUGCAGGCGUUCAGCUUUUAAUGGGUAAGAACAUAUGUAUGCUUUAACCAUGUUUCUCACUUAUUACAAUGCAUGCAUUGAAGGCAUCUGAGCUGAUCCUGAAAAUGUGAUGGAAAUACUUCUCUGUUUACAUAAAACAGGACAAGAGAUCUCUGAUCAUGCCUGAGAAUUCGUUGCAUUUAAAAUUUCUACCAUUGCCAAAAAUAGAAUAAACUAGGGAUAGAUUAGCUUAAGACUCAAUUUUGAGAAGGAAGUUUGCACAUGCAGCCUAAAAAAUCAUGUCCGUGUUGUAUACUUGUAUGUUUCUUUGGGAAAUGAAAGAUUCUGUGUGUUCUUUUGUUUCAAGUUUGCUGAAAUCACAUUUGUUUUCUUAGAUGCUUUUGGGAAGGUAACAACAUCAAUUUCAUAAAUGCUGGGGUAAGAUGCAUCACGCAGUGCUACUCAACAUGAGAAUUCCCGGCCGCAUUACCUGUAUGUUGAGUGAUCGCACAGUACAACCUUUAGAAGCUUGUAAGGAGUAGACAACUAGAUGCGAAUAGUUUCAAUAUGGAUUCGCAUCAAAUGAUCUCUUGCCAGUGAUUACUAUAACCCCUAUCCCAAAAUUCUUGGCAUUGGUCAUACCAAUAAUGAAGUAUUGUGUACGUUGAAGACAUAGCUCAAGGCCUUGCGAAAGCUCCGUCAGCCUUUGUAUUGGAAAACAGUUGGUUGUAGUUGCUUCUGAGUGAUAUUAUUAAUAGAUACUGUAAAAAUGAACUGUGCCACUCAUUUUCAGAGCCCUGUUAAGAUGUGUUGGUAAUGUGUUUGAAGGUUGUUUGAUUUAUGUUGUAUUCAGCUACAAAUCAAAGAUUCAGAACAUGGUUAUGUUACUGGUUUCCAAAUCAAAAAAAUGCCUUGUGAUGUUAGUGUUCAUUUUUUUCACAGGAGAUCAGGUUCCCUGUUGAUGAAUCAAGAAGGCAAACGCAUCCAUGUCUUAAGUUCAAAUGUGUCUCUUCUAUUUUCUAUUACUGACUCCUUUAUUUUGAUUUCUUCAUUGUAAUGGAAUUGGUUUUUUAUUCCAAAUUAGUCAAAACCUCCUAGAGUCAUUAAGUUCUGUUAGCAUUUGAAGAUAGAACUAGAACUAAAUGAUUGACUGGAUUAAAUUCCGAUAAAGAAUUAAGUUAUAUAUUUAGAGAUAUUAUGUUUUUUUUUUUUUCAUUUGUUCAAUUUGGUUAGUGGUGAUUUCUUAAAGACUCAAUCCAUGUGCGUUUAUGCAUUUUUCUUUUGCCUUAAUUUCUGUUUCUUGGGGAGUUUAUACAGAUUCUUAUUUUAUGCUUCACAUGCCACAUGAAAGAUCGAAGCCUUUUGUGUGAUUAGAACUGACUUGCAUCACAGUAACUUUAAAUCACUGCGACAUUUUUAUAAUAACAGUCUGAGAUCUCCCUGCAGGAUUCAAAGCAUUUUAUUUUAUAUUAAACUCCUUUACGUGGGUUUGGACACUACCACAAGUUCUUUAAAUACUAAAACGAUUUUAAGUCUUUUGUAUCAUCUGAUUUAAAUACAUGAAAGCACUCGUGGCUGCAAAAAUACAGUUGGGGCUAUUUCUAAAGUCUUCAACAGCAUUUUCUUUUUAACCUUUAUCCUCAUGGUUGUUUUUGCAGUUGUUCUUUAAGAAAACAUUUAAAAGGUUCUCUUUAUGGAUUUUUGAAAAUAAUUUUAACAUGAGCAAUUUUCAGAAGCACUUUAGAUGUCUGGCAUUUAGGAAAUUUUAUUUCGGUGUCACAUAAAAUACUUAGGAAGUUAAAUUUAUUUAUUUAUGAGCAUGUGCCAGUGCCCAGUGGCAUCCUCUUCACUUGUGAUAGUCAAAUGUAUUAUACGAUACAAUAUUAGCUUGACUGUAGCACAGAGGAGAAUAGGGUUGGUGUUGGUCUGAACCAGCUUAUGUAACAGCUGCCAAAGGAUAAUUUAAUUGUACUUUGAGUAAAGCUUUUGCGAAUUAAACAAGUGAUAAUUUGUUUUUAUUAAGAAAAACUUAAGGAAUUAGGCUAUUUUAACUGACCAAAUUACACAUUAAAAAUUCAUUUACAAAAAUAGUUUUUAGUUAUUAAAAUAUUCCUAAAUUAAAUUAUAAUUAUGGACACUAAAAUAUUUUUUUUAUAUUUUACUCUUUGAAACUGUCUUUAUAUUCGAUAUUAUAUUUUUUUCUUAAACUCUAAAUUGAUUUUUUUUUUUGAUUAAUUUUAAAACACCUAUAAAGUGAUUCAUAUUGAUUUUAUACUAACAAACUAUUAUAGCACAUUCGAAAAAUAAUUAAAUCGUUCUUAUUUACAUAGUGAAAAUGCAAAUAGCUCGUUCAAAUGUUAAGGAAUUGGAGAGCUGCUGCUGGAGAUGAAAGAUGUGAAUUAAACAUCAGAAAAAAAAUUAUGUUUACUAUCUUGCCAGACCAAGCACCGAAAAGCAUCGUAAAGAAAAAUUAGAUAAUUUAGAAGAUAAAGCACGUGGAAUGGAGGCAGAAAGCAAGUAAUGAUAACUCUUUCGACAAACUAAUAUAUACCAAAAUGCAAUAUCAAAAAUGAAAAUAAAAAUUCAUUACGAAUACGUGUUAAAGAUAUCCCAAGUAUAGAUGUGACUGAAAUAUUUGAGAUUGAAGAAGAAUUAAGACUCAAAAUCAAUUGGGAGGAAUAAAUGAGAAACCUCAAUACCAAAAAAUACACGCGCAAAUCCUAAUACUAAUUGUAAUUGCAGAUAAAUAGCAUAAUACGAAUAAAUUCCAUGGGCAACUAUUUCAUUGAGAAAUUAAUUAAAUCGUGUAUUAAUAUUUUGUAUACAUAUAUUUUUCUAUAUAUGACUUUCGGUAAUUUAAUUUUCCACUUAUCAUUUUUACUCCAAAAAAAUAAUUGAGAAUAUUAUUUAUGUUUUGGUGCAAAAUAUUUGAACAAUAUACAAAUUUUCAGUUUAAUAAAUCUAAACAUCUAUUAAGUUAUAAAUGAAUUUAAUGGGUUUAAUUAAUAAAAUUACUAUUAUUAUAUAAAUUGGAUUUAGUAAUGGUACAUUGGGUGGGUUUGUUGAGUAAAUUUUAAAAUUUUGAAAUUUAAGGAUGGGUUUAUUUAGUAAAUGAGUUAAGGGAGUAGUUUGUUGGGAUUCACAUAACGCCACCAAAUUCAAAUGUAAAAUUUAUGGAAAAAGAAGCUAUUGAGUUAUUCUUUUUAAAAAAAGAAUUAAAAUGUCAAGAAUACCUUUAUUUAAUUUUAUAAUCUUAUUUUAUAGUCAUAUUUUAUUUCCACCUUAACAUAAUUUUAAAAAACCUUAACUAAUAAAUUCUAUAUUUUUUUUAUAAAAGUUAUCAUUAAUAUCCAAACGGCUAAAGAUUUUUUUUUUUAAAAAAAAAGAAACUAUGCUUACAAAAGUUGUAUACAUUAACAAUAAAUUUAGUCCAAAGAAUAAAGUUAUUCCAAACAAGCACUCCUAUUCAUCUUGCUAAUGAAUCAAGAUGACUGAAUCCAUUCUCUAAGCCAAAUCUAUUUUCACUUCUAGGUCAGAAAUUGUCAUUAAAAAAGUGUUUGAUAAAAUAUGCUCUGGGAACACUAAUUCGUCAGAUGGUUACUCCAAGUUUAUGAAAUCAAUGGGGUUUCAUCAUAUUCAUAACAUUCUUCUUUAAUGUCUAUUCUAACAAAGAAAUUACUAGAAAACUUUUACUAGAAAAACUAACCACAAUUCAUCAUUCAUUUAUAUCUUAAGUAAGCGUAAGAUUUUAUCAUUAAAAUCUCAUCAUGAAAAAACUCAUGGGAGAAAAACUAUAAAAAUUGAAGAAAAAAGAGUAUGGCGUGCAUGUAAAUUAUAUCGAUUUUAUCUAUAUGACAAAUAAGACUCUCUUUUACAAUGGCACGGAUGCUUCAUUGAGUAAUCAUGAUUCUUGCUGGUAGUGCUUUGUUGUAUCAAUCUGCUAGCUAUUCAGCUUUCUUUCUUUCUUUCUUCUUUUUAUUUUUUUUGUUUUCAAAUAGCUUGUGGUUGUAGAAAUAUUUCAAUUAAACUAUACUUAAGUACUUAUUUGGUAUAACUUCUUUACUAGCCAAAAGAUUUUUUUUUUGGUUUUUUAUAAUUUAAUUAUACUUUAACUAGAGUUUUUGGGAUUAAACAAGUGAUAAUUUCUCUCUGUUAAGAAAAACUCAAACGGUAGGGUUAUCUCAAUCCACCAAACUAUUUAUUAAAAAUCCACUUAUGAAAAUAAUUUUUAAUUAUUAGAAUGCCUCUAAAUUAAAUUACAAUUAUAGACACUAAAAUAUAGUAAAAAAAAUUUUUUUUUACUCUUUAAAACUGUCUUUACAUUCGAUAUCAUAUCUUUUUCUUAAAAUCUAAAUUGAUUUUUUUUUUAUUAAUCUCAGAACACAUAUGAAGUGAUUCAUAUUGGUUUUAUACUAACAAACUAUCAUAGCACAUUCGAAAAUAAUUAACUCGUUCUUAUUUGCAUAGUGAAAAGGCAAAUAGUUCAUCCAAAUGUUAAAGAAUUGGAGAGCUGCUGCUGGAGAUGAAAGAUGUGAAAAGCAUGGUAAAGAAAAAUUACAUAAUUCUCACUUAGAUGAGGAAGAAAAAAAAAAGAAUACAAUUAGAAUGAGAGGUAGCCAAUAGCCACUAGCCGCCGCCACCGCCACCAGUGAAACUAUUUCACAUAAUAGAAGAUAAAGCACGCGUAAUGGAGGCAAAAAGCAAUUAAUGAUAACUCUUUUCGACACACUAAUACAUAUCAAAAUGCAAUAUCGGUCCUAACAAAAUGAAAAUAAAAAUUCAUUACGAAUAUGCGUUAAACAUAUCCCAAGUAUUGAUGAUGUGAUUGAAAUAUUUGAGAUUGAAGUAUAAAUAAGACUCAAAAUUAAUUGAGAGGAAUAAAUGAGAAACUCUAAUACUAAUAAAAUACAUUCACAAAUCCUAAUGCUAAUUAAAAUCACGGAUUAAAAAAAAUAAUAUGAAUGAAUUACAGGCGCAACUGUUUCAUUAAGAAAUUAAUUAAAUCGUGUAUUAAUAUUUUGUACACAUACAUUUUUCCAUAUAUAACUUUUGGUAAUUUAGUUUUCCACUUAUCAUUUUACUCCAAAAAAAUAAUUGAGAAUAUUAUUUAUGUUUUGGUGCAAAAUAUUUAAACAACGUAUAAAUUUUCAGUUUAAUAAAUCUAAACAUUUCUCAAGUUGUAAAUGAAUUUAAUGGGUUUAGUUAGUAAAAAUGCUAUUAUUAUAUAAAUUGGGUUUAGUAAUGGUAUAUUGGGCAUUUAAAUGGGUUUGUUGAGUAAAUUUUAAAAUUUUAAAAUUUAAGGGUGGGUUUAUUUUAGUAAAUGGGUUAAGGCAGCAAUUUCCCAAACUAAAAUUUUUAGAAAAAGAGGCUAUUUAGUUUUUUUUUUUAAAAAGAAUUAAGAUGUUGAGAAUACCUUUAUUUACUUUUAUAAUCUUAUUUUAAAAAAUUUACCCAAUAAAUUUUAUAAUUUUUUACAAAAAUUAUCAUUAACAUCCAAACAGCUAAAGAUUAAAAAAAAAAAAAAAGAAGGGAACUGUACUAGCAAAAGUUAGAUUAACAAUAAAUUUAGUCCAAAGAAUAAAGUUAUAGCUAAAAAGUGCUCCUAUCCUAUUUUUCUCUAUUUUAACAAUAAUCUUCCAAUCCAUUUUACAAUGGACUUAACAAAUGGGCUCAAUCUCUAAACUUCAUUUUCUUUUGCUAACCCAUGGCCAUUAGCCAGAAAGCCUAAAACAAUUUUAGGAUCACAUGUGUAAAUGGAACUCCAAGAUUGAUCAAGAAUUAACAAGACAAGAUGAAGAGAUGAUCUUGUAACUAAGAAUGAAGAAAUUGAAUCAAGACAGUACUCUAGUAAAACCCAGAAAACAGAGCUUGAAGAAUCACGCACAAAGCAGUAAAUUUGUAAAACCAGAAUUGGAGCUUCACUUCUCAAGAUAGACGAAACAGGAUACAAUCUAGCUUUGGUCAACUUCGUUUGGCCACGUCAUAAAGUCUUCCCCCACAGUCUUUCCCGCCAAAACAGAAAAGCUUUAAAAGCCAUUUACCCUCCUGAGUUACUUGCUCCUAUUACAUCAAGGCCCUGUAAGUCUAUAUUUAUUAUUACAAAAGCACCCUUAAACCGAGAUUUGAGAUAUUUUUUCAAAGAUCGAAGCGCAUGAUUUCACGGCUAUGUUGCAUAGUGAAUUUUAGUGCUUUACAGUUAAGGGAUAGUUUAAAUUCAUUACAAAGCAUUCGCAAAGAAAUUGUUUUUAAAUGAAACUCCUCGUCUUGACCAGAUUAUUUAUUAUUAUUAAAAAAAAAUGUUCAAAACUUAGCCAAAGUGAUAAACUCGUAAUUAUUCUACAAAGGGAACAAUUUUGAACGGUGGGAAAUUCCAUAAUUAUGCUUUUCUGUGAAUUAUUUUAAAUAAAAUUAUAAAAAUUAAUAUAAAAUUAUAAUAAUGAUAGAGCCACAAAUUCUUGUACAAAUUUAUUUUAUACAAACUCAUGUGGCAUGAUAAGAUUGGUUGAAUUAAAUAUUACUUGGCCCACAUGAUUUGUUUUUAUUAUUUUAUAUUUUUAUUCAACCAAUAAAUUAAUACCACGUCAGUUUGUACAAAAUAAAUUUAUACAAAAAUUUGUGACUCGAUCAUCACUCAUAAAAUUAAUACCCGGUAAAGACUGUAGAGAGACAAGUGCCCCCAACAGAAUCAAGUGAAUAUGCCCCACAAAGAUCACAUGAUCAUUUCUGUUCUUUUUCUUUUUGAUAAUUUUAUCUGUGGUUUCAACUUUUAUGCUUUAUUGUCGUAUCCCGUUGAGGGCUCCGCUGCACCCAUUACAACUUACCCCUAAAUUGCCUCUUACUAACUAAACCGUUAGAUUUUAUGGAAGCACGUUCAAUGUUGAAUUUUAAUUAUGUCAUCGAAUUUCGUUUAGCUCCUUAAACUCCAUUUUAUUUGUAAUUUCUUCAUAAAAUAUUCAAAGCUUCAUCAAGCUCCUGAUGGACCAUCAUGGCUAGGGGUGCAUUAGAGCCGAACUGAAAUAUGUUAGUUCAGUUCAGUUUGGUCAGUUUAAAUCGAAUGGUUUAGAAUAUAUAAACUGAUCAAUUUUAAUUUUGAAUUGAACCGAACCGAAAAUCAAUUGGUUCACUAUUAGUAUUUUUGUAUAAACAAGAAUGAUUAGUGAUUAUAAUUAAAUUGGACUAAAAAAAAUUCAAACUAAGGUGAAAAAUAUCAAAUCUUAGACAAUAUAAAAAAAAAUAUUAAAUUUUUUUAACCGAAACGAACCGAAUUAUUUUGACUCAGUUUGGUUCAUAAUUUUUUAAACCAAACUGAUUUAUUCCCACCCCCUAAUCGUGGCUCUCUAUCUUUAGUCAUUCACCCUUGAGUUUGAUGCCAAUUGUUGGGUUUCAAAUGAUUAUACACUCAAAUGGAACCCUCAUAACAAAAAACUAACAGAAACAAUAAGAACACGAUGUUAAAAUCUUAAAUCAAUCGCAACGGUCCUUUUUUUUCCCCAUUCUUGAACCUAAAGUAUUUGAGUAUGCAAAUUAAUAAAUAAAUUCAUUUAUUUUUAUUAAAAUUUUGUAAAAUUAUAAUUUUUAAUAAAAAUAAUUAUUAAAAUUUUGUAAAAUCUAAAUUUAGAAAAAUUCAGUUGGGCACCUCUAUUUGAGAUUUAUUUUUUAUUAAAUUUAGGGAUAUUUUUAUAAUUAUAAUUUUUAAUUUUAAAAGUUUUUAUAAGAUAAAAUAGUCUUUUAAUUUAUUUAGGGGUAAAAUUGAUGUUUUAUUAAAAUUAUUUAAUUGUGUUAAUGCAAAAGUGACUAUUUGAUACAAAUGUGAAAAGAAAGGUGGUGCAAAAUAUAUGUUAAAAUUUUAUAUUGGUUGGAUGAACAUAAGCUAAAAUAAAGGUGGUGCAAUGAUAAUUUCCCUAUCCUAAAACUUAAUUGACUUAAUUCUUAUGGUGCAAGGAAGAGGUUUCCAAGUUUAAAUCUAAAGGCUUGUAUUUAAUUUGGGGUUGGGAAAGCACUGAGAAAUAAAUGUAACUAAGGAAAAAAAAAAAGUCAUGCAGUCCAAAUAAGUAGACAUAUUUAAUAUGAGGUGGGGAUGGGUGAACUGUAAUUCAGAAAAAAUAAAAUAAAAUUUCAUAUAAAGUUGAGGGUGUGUUUUAAUGGUUUCUUAUGCUGCGUUUACUUUUUGGACUAGAGUGAGAAUUCUGAGAAGUGGGAAUCCUGUGAUUAGGUGUGUGGAGUGGGAAUGAGAGUAGGGUAUUUACUUAGACUAAAUAAAAAUAUGGAUUGUCAAUCAGAAUCUCAAUUAUUUGUUACUUUGUCUUGGAUUGAGAGUAAAUUAUUUUAAAUUACAAUUUUAUCCUUAUGUAAAGAAUUAUAAUUUGUAAUUAAAAAAUUAAUAAAAAUAUAUUGGAAAAUAAAAUAAAUAUUUUAUUAUAUUUAUAAAAUAAUAAUAAUUAAUAAAAUUCUUAAUUAUGUAAAUCAUAAUUUUUUAUUAAUUUAAAUUUAAAUUAUGUGAAUAAAAAUUAUUAAUAAUAGCAACACAAAUGAAACAUUAUUAUUGAUAAUAUAGUAUAAAAUUAAUAUUUUUUUAGAAUAAAAUAUUUAUUAUUAUUAAAUAAAUAAAUAAUAUUUAUUAAAAUUAAUGUUUAAUAUUAUUAAUUUAAAUAUAAUAUUUAUUUAUUUUUAUUUUAUUUUAUUAAAUUUAAUAAAAUAAAUAUGUUAUAAUUAUUAUUUUUAAUAAAUAUGACAUUAUUUAUUUUAUUAAAUAUUAUUUAUUUAUUUUAAUUAUGAGGGUAAAAAUAAAAGAGGGGGAGUGGAUUCCCACUCCCACCUCCCCCCAUGGGAGUGGGAAUCCCACUCUCCCCUUAAAAAUGAUAAGUAAACACUAGAAUGGGAAGAAUCCACACUCUACACUUUCUAAAAAAUAAACACUACCUUAAUUUAAAUUGAUUUGUUGGAUAUUUAGCUAAAAUGAGAGUAGCUCUCUAAUAAUUAUUGCAUUAUUACAAACAUAUCCAACGGUUAUAUAUGCUUGCCUGUGGAAAUAAAAGUCCCAAGUUUCUUUGAAAGGUAAGCUAGUGUGAAUGUUUUCAUCCGUGCAACUUACUUGAUGAAUGAAGUUUUCAUCCCUGACCUUGAUGUUUCUGGUGGCUACAAUCAUUUCAGCUGAUCUAUUCCAUUUUGUUAAGGUGAGAAUUUAGAGUGGCUUUAACUGUUAGCAAAUAGCCUAAUGUAAGACUUGAUCAACUUCCUGCCCUGUUGUAUGCUUAUGAAUUUUGAUAGAGUUAUGAGUUUGCAGAAGCUACUGUAUUAUAUGUUGUUAGAGGCUGUAAAAAUGAGGCAGAUCAAACACACAUUUAAAUUUCAAUGACAAUUUACUAGAAGUAAAUUUCCUAUGACCCUCCAGGUGACUAAUCAAUGAGAACUUGACAAUAACAAAAGAAAGUGUAUGAGCUUUGCAGGCGGGCACGCCAAUCUUGACUGCAUGGCACCAUCCGCCAUUUGCAAGUGAAUAUCAUUAUUGUUUAAUCAACAUGGUGGAGUCCACUGGGACCACACCACAUGGUCAGUCUUAUCUCUAUUCCUCAAUUUUCAGUAUUCCAUACAUCAAAACAAUUUCAGUUUUGUUAUCAAUUAUAAUUUCAUUGUUGGAGACGAUUCUGAUUCCUUUCUUUCUGACAAAACGGAACCAUGGUUGCUGUGGGAGAGAUCUUACUCAACGCCUUCUUUCAGGUGUUGUUUGACAGGUUGGCUUCCCGUGAUUUGCUCAGCUUUGUCCGUCAACUUGGAGGCGGGGUCGAUUCCGAGCUCAAGAAGUGGGAAAGAAAGCUGAAGAUGAUUCAGGCGGUGCUCAACGAUGCAGAGGAGAAGCAACAGACUGACGAGGCUGUGAAGAUGUGGCUGGACGAUCUCCAAGACUUGGCUUAUGACACUGAGGACAUUCUUGAUGAGUUUGCUACUCAAGCCUUGGAAAGCAAGUUGAUGGCGCAAAAUCACGAUAGUUCUGGCCAGGUUCUCAGUUUCAUCCCGGCUGGUUUGAAUCCGAAUGCUAUUAUGUUCAAUUAUAGCAUGGGGUCCAAGAUUAAAGAUAUCACUAGCCGGCUGGAGCAACUCUGCCAAGAAAGAAUUGAACUUGGACUGCAACGGAUUACCGGAGAGGCAUCAUCAACUGCUGCUGCUGCUGCACACCAGAGGCCACCCAGUUCGAGUGUCCCAACAGAACGUGAAGUAUUUGGAAGAGAAGAAGAUAAGGCCAAAAUUCUUGAUAUGGUAUUGGCCGAUACCCCAAGUGAUCAUGCAAACUUUGUUGUAAUACCCAUUGUUGGCAUGGGCGGGAUAGGAAAAACAACUCUUGCCCGGGAAGUCUACAAUGACAAGGCCGUUGAAGAUUCCAAGUUUGAUGUAAAAGCAUGGGUUUGCGUAUCUGACGUCUUUGAUGUUUUGGGCAUCUCAAAGGCACUUCUCGAGUCAAUCACCCGCAGGCCUUGUCUUCUAAACAGUUUAAAUGACGUGCAGGUUGAGCUGAAAGCAGCUGUGGAUAAAAAAAGGUUCCUGCUGGUCUUAGAUGAUGUUUGGAACGAGGACUACAGCUUAUGGGUAGACUUAAAAGCUCCGUUACUGGUUGCUGCACCAAACAGCAAGAUGAUCGUCACCACACGCAAUUCAAGUGUUGCAUCAACAAUGAGACCCAUCGAUCGUCACCACACGCAAUUCAAGUAUUACGAUCUCAAGAGUCUGUUAGAUGAUGAUUGCUGGUCCAUUUUCAUAAACCAUGCAUUUGAAUCUACAGACCUUAGCGCACAUCGAAUUUCAGAAUCAUUCCGCGAGAAAGUUGUUGGCAAGUGUGGGGGCUUGCCUCUAGCAGCAAAAACACUCGGGGGCCUUCUUCGUACUAAAACGCAUGCUGAGUGGGACGGUAUAUUGGAUAGCAAAAUAUGGGAUUUACCUCGGCAAAGCAGCAUUCUCCCCGUGUUAAGAUUGAGUUACCAUCAUCUUCCUUCUCAUUUGAAAAGAUGUUUUGCUUUUUGUGCCAUCUUUCCAAAAGAUUAUGCAUUCACUGAGAGGGAGCUGACUUUCUUAUGGAUGGCUGGAGGUAUUAUUCGACAGUCAAGAAACAAUGAGCAGCUGGAAGAUUUGGGCAGCAAGUGCUUUGGUGAUCUAGUGUCGAGGUCAAUUUUUCAACAAACAGCAAUCUCUGAUAGUUCUAAAUUUGUAAUGCACGACCUUAUCCAUGAUCUUGCUCAAUUGGUCUCUGGAGAAACCAUAUUUAGGUUAGAGGAGGCCAAUACUCUGUCAAGAAGAUUUGAAAGGGUUCGCCAUUCCUCCUAUGCCCGUGAUUGGUGUGAUGGUAGAAAUAAGUUGGAGGUUUUCAAUGAAAUUGAACAUCUACGAACAUUCUUGCCAUUUUGCAUAAGAGGUGGCGUUACUUCUGGUUGGAUAACUAGCACGGUUCACUACGAUUUGUUGCCGAAGUUCAAAAGGUUGAGGAUGCUGUCUUUAGAAGGAUACCAUAUUGGUGAGUUACCAAUUCCAUUUGAAGAUUUGAGACUUUUAAGGUUCCUCAACCUUGCUGACACUGACAUAAGAAGUUUACCUGAGUCAACAUGCAAAUUGUUGAACUUGGAAAUUCUGAUAUUAAGAAAUUGUUCCCGUUUGACAAAGCUUCCCCAGAAAAUGAGGAAUUUGAUCAAUUUACGUCAUCUGGAUAUAAGAGGUGCAAAGCAGCUGAAGGAGAUGCCAUUUGGAAUGAAAGAGUUGAAGAAGCUUCAAACGUUGUCCAAUUUUAUUGUAGGCAAGGGUGAAUCUGCAUCUGGUUUGGAAGAUUUAAAAAGUUUAGACCUUCUAUGUGAUGAACUCUGCAUUGCUGGAUUAGAGAAUGUGAAUAGUCCACAGAAUGCAAGAGAAGCCACAUUAUGUGAGAAGCACAAUCUUGAAGCAUUGACCCUAGAAUGGGGGUCUCAAUCUGACAGUCCUCGGGAUGCAGUACUAGAAGAGAAGGUACUUGACACUCUACAGCCUCAUGAACGUAUAAAAGAGCUGGCAAUCAGGAACUAUGGUGGUGCAAGAUUUCCACCUUGGAUCAGAGAUCCUUCGUUUCCCGAGAUGAAGGUCCUUAAAUUGGAGAACUGUGACGAUUGUGAAUAUCUGCCAUCACUUGGCCUGUUGAGUUCACUUAAGCACCUUGCUGUUAAAGGGCUGAAGAAACUAAAAAGCAUAGGGUCUGAGGUUUAUGGGGAGGGUUUGUCAAUGCCUUUUCCAUCAUUGGAGGUUCUAAGUUUUGAGAAUUUGCCUGAAUGGGAGUAUUGGGACACCAAUAUCAGAGGAAAUGUGCUCGUUGAAAUGUUUCCUCGUCUCCAUAAACUUUCCAUUGUGGAAUGUCCCAAACUCUCUGGGGAACUGCCUGAGCUCCUGCCCUCCUUGGAGACACUUGUUGUUAGUAAAUGUGAAAAGUUGGUAGUUCCAUUGUCUCGCUAUCCGAUGCUCUGCAGAUUAGAAGUUGAUGAGUGCAAGGAACUAGCAUGCGGGACUCCAAUUGAUUUUAAGUUGAUAGAGUCUGUGACUAUUUCAAAUAGUUCCUUAGACAUGAAUGGAUGCAAGGGGAUGCUAUACGAUGGUCCAGCUGGCUCUUCACUGCCAAAGCCUAUGAUUACUACAAAUGUUUCGGAGUUUGGAAAAUUAUUGAAGCCUGGAUGUCAAAUAUUAGAAACUUUAGUAAUUGGCAAUUCUGGACGGCUCAAGUCAUGGAGGCAGCAUGGGGAUUUUCUAGAAGAAUAUAUGGUCGCUCACCAAAGGUUUAAGAAACCAGUACAAGGGCUAAAUAUGCUCGCUUCCCCUGAAGAGGUAACAAUUGAAGAAAGUUGUGUGAGUUUUGUUUUGUUUCCAGAGAUCAAUUUCUUUCCCAGAAAUCUGCGCUCUCUUCUAAUUUGCAACAGCACUGCUUUGAAAUCCUUACCCGAGGAAAUGAUGGAAAACAAUUCACAACUGGAAAGGUUGUAUAUCAGAGAUUGCGACUCUCUAACAUUCAUCGCAAGACAGAGGCUACCAGCAUCUGUUAAAAGGCUUGAGAUAGAAAAUUGUGAGAAAUUGCAACGUCUGUUCGAUGAUGAAGAGGAUGCUUCUUCUUCUUCUUCUUCUCCUUCAUCCUCGUCUUCCCCAGUGAUGCUGCAACACCUGAUAAUAGGGAAAUGCCCAAAGCUCACCAGUUUAUUAUCGGGUGUCCAAUUCCUUGAGGCGCUUGAAUUCCUCAAGAUAGAGCAUUGUCCAAAGCUGGAGUCAAUACCGGAUGGCCUGCCCAAUCUUAAAUGUUUACAGAGCAUUUAUUUACUCAAUUGUCCAAGUCUUGUUUCCUUCCCAGAAAGAGGGCUUCCCCACACCAUUUCAUUUGUUUGCAUUUGCGGAUGUGACAAGCUUGAAGCCCUGCCCAAUGACAUGCACAAACUCAACUCUCUUCGACAUUUAAGCAUACAGCUCUGUCCAAAUCUUGUAUCGUUUCCAGAAGAAGGUUUUCCUACCAAUCUAACAUCACUUACAAUUGGAGAUUUCAAAAUGUAUAAGAUACUCGUCCAGUGGGGGUUGCACAGGUUUACCUCUCUUAGACGCCUCUAUAUCGUUGAUUGUGAUGACGAAGCAGAGUAUUUUCCAGACGAGGAUAUAGGAAUGACGCUGCCCACCUCUCUCACUCAACUGGAACUUUCGGGAUUCAAAAAAUUGAUAUCUCUGUCUUCGACGGGUUUUCAGAGCCUCACCUCUCUUCAAAGAUUGCGGAUCUGGGAUUGCCCAAAUCUCACAUCAUUUCCAGAGGUGGGCCUUCCAUCCUCACUUUUGGAAUUACACAUUUACAAAUGUCCAAAGCUUAAAAAAGCGUGCAAAAGAGAUCAAGGAAAAGAGUGGCCCAAAAUUGCUGACAUCCCUUGCGUUGAGAUAGACAAUAAAUUCAUAUACGAUCCAGAAUAAGAGGAGUAGAUUCUACUAUUAAGGUCAGUUGAUUUGUAUUAUCCGCUAUAACAAGCUCCUCCUUUUUUUUUUUUAAAUAAUAAUUUUGCAGUCACUCACGUGAUUCCGUUUUCACAAGUCAGAUUGUAUGUUGAGGCUAUUUGCCUUUUAGUCGCAGAUUAAAUUAUAACACUUAUCUUAAAAUUUAAUACCAUAGACAGAUAGACGAUUUUUUAAUCCAAAGUUUUUUUUAUUCACUUCAGUUAGCAUUUUUUUUUUUCCCCAAAUCAUGCAAGCCGAGAGUUUCAAUCAAGAAUUGGAGCAUGGGAAUGGAAUUUUUGUGAAAACAUAAUGGAUGAACGAACAUUUCAUCUGUGAUCUCAAAGUCAACAGAAUUUUAUUCACUCAAUGACUUUUCAACUGCUGUGGUUAUUUAUGGGUGAAAGAAAGAUAAGGGCAAUUACAAAAAAUUUGCAAAAUUUGUCAAUUUCUUAGAUGGUAGAUAUAUCGACAUUUUAGAUUUCAGAUAUUUGUCACCAAUUUCAUUCCUUUUUUUUUAUUUUUUCAAGCAAGUUUGACUAAUUUUAACCAGAAUUGGAGUAUAAUAUUUUGGAGCAAGCAUACUUGAAAUUUCUGUCUUCAAUAUUUUGAUGCUUUUUUAAUUUUGGAUCUAGUAAAAAUACAUAGCCUUCACCGGCAGGAUUCUAGUCUUGGCUUUCACCUCUCUAACUCAUCCGGCCCCAUUGGGAUUCCAGAAAUUGAAAUUUCUGUCUUCAAGGGGUUUUCAAAGCCUCGCCUCCCUUCGAUUUUUGUGGAUCGGGAAUUGCACAAAUCUUACAUCAUUUCCCGAGGUCGAGGAAAAGAGCGGCCCAAACUUGCUCGCAUCCCUUGGGUUAUGAUAGAUGGAAAAUUCAUAUACGAUCCAGAGUCAGAGGUGUUGAUUCUCUUAUUAAGGUCAGCUGAUUUCUAUUAUCCACUCUGACAAUCUCCUAUUAGUGUUUUUCCCUUUUUUUUUUUCAAAAUUUUGCAGUUCCGUAUAAUUGAAAAUGCCACUCACUUGUUUCCUAUUAGUAUGUUGAGGCUAUUUGCUUUCUAUCGGUGUUUGUUAAGGUAAUUACUCACAGAUGAAAUUAUAACUUUUAUCUUAAAAUUUAUUGCCAUUGACAGAUGGACGAUUUUUAGUCCAAAGUUUUGUUAUUAACUUCAAUCAAAAUUUUAGAUUGCAGAUUUUUGUCAAUUAUUUCAUUUUUUAUUUUUAUUUUAAAGCAGAAUUGGAGUAUAACAUUUGGAGCGCGCAUACUCUGAUGCAUGCAAUUAACUGUUUUUAAUCGUUGGAUUUUGAAAUUAAUGAUGGUAAGAUGUGUACUUAUUUUUUCUUCCGGACAACCUUGCCUUCUUUCUUCGGUAGCAUAUCUAAUGAAUAUUUCUCUGUUUAGUUAAGGAUGAAUGCUUGGAGUGGUCUGAUUCACAACAACACCUCUUCCAGAAAAUAUGAUACAAGGCAAAGCCAUGUUCUGAAGCAGAAAUGAUACAGCAGUUGCGGUACCCGAGGUACCUUUUGCAUUUAACUUGCCUUUAUUUGUUUUGCUUGUGACUUAAGAACACAUCAUUUCCCAGAGAUUUGGAGAAGCAUCUCAAGAUGCUUAACAAACUUGACAAGCUUCAAGAUGCACUUGCUCCCAAGCAUUGAUUCUUCACAAUGGAAAACCUGUGAGUACACUUAUGCCCGCAAUUAUUGUUAAGUGUUUGCAAUUUUGAUGCAGCGAAAUGGUUUGUGGAUGCAAAGCUUUAAAACUGUUAAGAACUACCCUGCAGGCUUGUUGGAUGUUGUAUACUUCAAAAGCCACCAACACCAAGAACUACAACAGCAAGACUAGGUUUGCGUUGCUUCAAUCAGCUGAAAUAAUGAUGCAAAUGACACUAUCAAGCUGGACUUAGAGACUUGUCAGGUCAAUCAUCCAUUUCAUCAACAGUUAAUGUCAUGAUGGUGGCUAUCAGAGGAAACAAAAGAUCUGUUGGAAUCAAUUCAAACAGUGAGAAGCAUGAGAGGAGCAUUGAUUAUAAAUAGGCUCAAUGAGCUCAUGCUGGUAAGUGGUAAUUAAGAAAUUUGUGAGCUUAGUAUAGUUUCAAUUUUUUUCUGUUUGGGAUAUAGUUGAUAAGUUGAUACUCUGAUUAAGAAGCCUGAUUAUAGUAGCUGACUGUGCUAACUGCGUUCUUUUAUUUUUUAUUUUUUUGGUUUGCCGUCGUUUUUUCUUUUGAUUAUUUGUUCAACAUUAGAUUGAUCUGUUGAAGACUACGAGGAAGAUCCAGACUUGGAUGCAGGCGUGCAGCUCGUAAUAGGUGAGAACAAAUGAAUGCUUUAACCAUGUUUCUCACUUAUGACAAUGCACGGAUCAAAGGCAUCUGAGUUGAUCCUGAAAAUGUGAUGGAAAUAGGUCUCUGUUUUCAUAAAACAGAACAAAUAGAGAUCUCUGAUCACGCCUGAGAAUUCAUUGCAUUGAAAUUUCUACCAUUGGCAAACAUAGAAUAAACUGGGGAUACAUUAGCUUUAGACUCUAUUUUGAGGAGGAAGUUUGUACUUGCAGCCUAUAAAAUCAUAUCCCUGUUGUAUGUUUCUUUGGGAAAUGAAAGAUUCUGUGUGUUCUUUUAUUUCAAGUUUGCUGAAAUCACAUUUGUUUUCUAAGAUGCUUUACAGAAGGUACCAACAUCAUUUUCAAAAAUGCUGGGGUAAGAUACAUCGUGCAGUGCUCCUCAACAUGAGAAUUCCUGGCCGCAUUACCCAUAUGUGGAAUGAUCUGAGAGUACAACCGUGAGAAUGUUGUAAGGAGUACACAACCAGAUGUGAGUAGUUUGAAAAUGAAUUCGCAUGGAAUGAUUUCUUGCCAGUGCAGAAAUGGCUUGGUUCAAAAUAUGCUCAGCUUCAUUGACACUCUUCGGUAGGCCUCUCCGUCCUUCCAUUCUUAACUACAAUACUACUCUUGUCUGUCUAGUUAUGGAAUCUCUCUUUUAAUCCUCAAAGUUUGAAUUAUAUUAUAUUGCCUCUGUGUUACCGCAGAAACUGAGUCAGUUGGUGAUCCUUCAAAACAAGAAAAACCAAAAACAGAUACAGCGCGCGAUAAGAUAAUGAGACAGAUGGCUCCCGUUGCUGCAUGCCACUUGCUUGUGUGCGUAUUGGGACCAUCAUCAACAACAUUGACGUAAACCCAGCUCAAGGUGGGAAGCUAGUUCGAGCUGCAGGGACGUUAACCAAGAUUUUGAGAAAGAACCCACUUCAAGGUGUUGCUUAGUUAGGCUACGUUGUGGAAAUGAGAAAGUGAUUGACCCUAGAUGUCGCGCCACCAUUGGUACAGUGUCUAACCCCAGCCAUGGAGCUAAAAAGCUUAGUAAGGCAGGUCAGAGAAGUUGGUUGGGUCGAAGAGCUGUGGUUAGAGGAGUAGCCAUGAUUCCAGUUGAUCACCCUCAUGUUGAACAAAGCAAAAGUAGCGGUAACAAUGGAAGGUGUUCACUCACACCUUGGGGCAAGCCUUGUAAGUCUGGGAAUUAAACUGCAUCUCCUAAGAAGAAAGAGAAAUCAGCUGUCUGAUAAUAUUGUCCUUUUCUGCUAUUUGGUCUUUUUAACAUUGUUACACUGUUUUUACAUCUUUGAGGUUAGUUUUAGACCAAUUUUUAACUGAUCCAUAAUGAAACUGAAGUUUAAUUUUUGAUUAAACUUUCACUGGUUUUACUCUUCUGUCACUUCAAUUUAGCAUUGAUUUAAGAUACUGAAUUCUGUGCUUGGAGCUUGUAAAUUGGAAAGAGAUAUUUUGGGAUAGAAUGUAGAUUUUGUGUUUUGCUUUCUCAAGCUAGUUGUGACUUCUUAAAAGAGUCAAUCCAUGUCUUUAUAUAUUUUUCUUUUGUCUUGAUUCUGUUUCUUCAUACAGAUUCUUAUUUUAUGCUUCACAUACCACAUGAAAGAUGAAAGCCUUUUCUGUGAUUAGAAUUGACUUGCAUUAUAGUAACUUUAAACCACUUGGAUAUUUUUAUAAUAGCAGUCUGAGAUCUCCUUAAAGGAUUCAAAAGCAUCCACUGGCAUCCACUUUACUCGUAUCGGUCAAAAGUUUUGUGCAAUACAAUAUUAGCUUGACUGUAGCGCAGAGGAGAACAGGUUGGUGUUGGUCUGAAUUCUGAUAUUUGAAUAAAUAUAACAGCUCAUGUGACUCCACCACUUUUUACUUGUUCUGUAGUCUGUACCUACCUCCAUUGUCGGCACUGCCCAUACAAGGUCUUUUAGCUUUUUAAAAAGUUUCAUGAUAUUCCAUAGUUCACAUGGAUUUCUACAGUUUGUAGAAAACCUAAUUAGGGCACAUUUAAUUACUAUGCAGAAGAUUCUUUUAUCUUGCUCACCAAUAAUUCUUUGUACUUAUUUGAAAGAUGUGUUUCAAAAAAAUAAAAAAAAACUAUUUGAAAGAUGAGAAAUCCCUUAGCCGAACGACAAACUCAUCUAUCAGUCCUAUCAAAAAAAAAAAAACUCAUGUUUUAGUGGUUUUUUUUUUUCACUUGUAUUCAGUCGCACAAGUGAAGAUUGUGGGCAAUUUUUUCCUUGAGUAAAAUUGGAAUAGAUGUUUUUAUUGACACAAAUUUUUGAGCUAUGUUUGGGAAACCCUUAGACUUAAGACUUUGUUACGAUGAUAUGUAUCUAAGCUUUCAACAGACCGUUGAGGUCUUAUUAUCAAAAUACUAGAAAUUUACAAUUCAAUUUUGGUAAGGACCAAUUUAAUAAUGCUGUAAUUUUUAAAAUAAUUACCGUUAACUGUGUUGUAAAAAUAAUCAAUUAUGAAGAAAAUUAAUUAAACAUUUAGUAAACUUUAUUUUUACAAGUGCUUUGAAUUUUAAAAAUAGUCAUAUGUGUUCAGAAAAUCUCACUUCUAAAAUAGUAUAAGAAUGGAAAAAACUUAAAAAGACAAAUGUAUAAUAUUUAUUUACACAUGCAUUUAUAAAUAUGUGUAUAUAAUAACAUUUUAUGUGUACAUAUAAUAAUUGAUAACUAAAAUAAAUAUUUUUAUUUAUUAAUUAUUUUUUUGUCUCAAUGUAAUUGGUAAUACUUUUUUUUAAUCUUCUCAUCCUAAGUUUUUUUAUUGUUUUGUACAAAAUUCAAGGUUUGGACUUUUAUAAAAUGUCCACUCAAAAAUAAAUUGUUUUCUAACUAAGAUUUGUUGCUAAUGUAUAACUCAAAGUAAUACUAGCUAUUUGUAAUUUUAUUUCAAAAUUUUUAUUCAAAUGAUAUGGUAACUAAUGUACAUUAGUUGAUAGCAAUUUUUUUUUUUUUACAAUAUUCAAAUCAAUCAAUUGCAUCAUCUCAACAUUUUUAUGAUGUCGUGUUAUUUUAAACGAAUUUUUUAUUUUUAUAUAAAAUUUAUUAUGUUUAACAUCAUUUGCAUAACUUGACCUUUUUUUUUUCCUACAAAUAUUAAGUCAAAUUUACUCACCCUAUAUUUCUAUCUAAAAUCUACCUAAAACUCAUGCAUCACUGUAAAACAAAUCCAAAGAUUGCGGUACGUUUUUCUUGGUAACAAAUCAAUAAUUAGGUCAAGUACUACUACUAAGCGUGCUCAAUUAAUUCUAAAAUACUACGGUGAUCAAAAUCAUACUUGACGCAAGAGGAUAAGGGCUAAACCUCAAUUAGGCAUUAUUCAUCCAAAAUUCGUUGACCCGGCAUUCUUUGCAAGUUGUAGCACGGGACAGCUAAGAUUAGCAAAUGCUGUGGACCAUAUGCCCCCAUACAUUUGUGACAUGUGAAACUUGGCAUUAAAGGAAAGGCAACGUGUUAAAAUUUAAUAGCGCCCAAUUCUUCAUUGAAUGAUUAUCAGAUCCAAUGAGCAUCCUUUGAUUGGAUUAUUUUAAGUCAAUUAUUGGUGGAUUGGGGCCCACUUGACUCUACCAAAUCGGGCUCCACCAUAUCACCUAUUAACGACCACCUGUCCUUAUCAUAAAUAGCAAAUGUCACUUGUUUUAUUUUGUAUUUUACCAAAAGCAAAGUCACUAUGAACCCAAAUGAAAGUGACCCCAAUUUUGGGGGUCAUGAGCUUUGGAUUAUUAUGGACACAAGAGACAAGCGCAAAGUUUCUCAUUUAUCACCGGAUAAGAUUUAAGUUAUCAACCCAACAUUAAUAAAUUCUGCUUAAAGUAAAGUUUGAAGCUUCAUUUUGCGAAUAUUCAAUGGUUAACAUUUAAGUAAUUAACCUGAUAUUAAUCCAAUUAAACUUUUUAUGUAAUCCAAGUCAAAAAUAUGUUGAUAAACCUAAAUUAAUCUAAUUGGACAUAUUAUUUCAACUUGAAAAGGCGAAUCUAUCAUUUUUCAAUUAAUUUUGAAUCAAGCUAUGUAAAAUAUAAGCUUAUUAAAGACAUAUUUUUAUCAUGUUAAAAUAUCGAAAUACUUCUUACUCGUUUCGUAAUAACAUUAACAAACCUUUUGGUAAAUUUGACAGUCCAAUCAAUUCAGUUGGUUUUUUGUUAUUGAAACUCCAACAAAAUUCAUCACGAUUAUUAAAAACCCAUUAAAAAAAAAUGAAGGUAACUAUUUAAAAAAUUCUAAUUGAAUUAUUUAACAACUACAUUUCAACUAAAUUGUGUUGCUAAUUAACUUCCUCAACUUAAACUAUAUUUUUCUCAAUUAAUUCAUAACAAAUAAUGUUAGAUAUUUUAUUCGAAUAAUAACAUUCAACAUCCUUAUUCUUUAUGAUUAUUGCAUAAAAACAUAUUUUAUCCAUUUACAUCACAUAUGUUCCUAAAUUGUAUAAGAAAAUCACCAAAUUUACUCUUGUAAGUUACUAUAUCAAUGAACAUGAAAUUCACUAAUCAUUAAAGUCUCGGAAUGACAUCAUGAGAGGGAUUCAGUUACAUUUAUUGAUAGGAUUAGAUAUAUGUCUUCUCAAAUAUUAGUAGGAGCAAUUUAACAGAUGCAGCUACUAAAAAUAUAGAAUUACUUAUCUCGUCAAUAACUAACGAUAUUUUUUAUCUAUGCUCAAUAAAUUGUAAUAUUUGUAGAUUGUAACAAUUGUUAAAAAAAAAGAGCUCCCUGAGACUAAAUGACAAAAGGACUGUUUUGAAAUAGAUAGAUAAAAUAUGCCCUUAUUUGAGAAAAUGUAAAACACUAGGGAUCUAAAUGUUAUUAUAAUCCCAUGCACAAAAAUACCAAAAAUAACUAAUAACAACUAACCGAAAAUCCCAGGCGUCAUAUUCCUUUUUUCCGCGUUUUAAAAUGCCCUCUGAUUCAUUCACAGUCAGACGCUGUCGGCAUUUCUCUUCUCUCCCUCUCUCUCCACGUAUUAAAACAUGUAAAGUACGGAAAAAUUUAAAAAAAAUUUUAAAAUUACAUAAUUUAAAAGAUAUAAAAUUAUAAAUUUUUAAAAUUAUACGGUUUUAAAAUUUUUUUAAAUUUUUUCGUAUUUUAAAAUUUCAGACUAAAAAAUUAUUAUACGAAUACUUCGUAUAACCGCUUUGCGCUUAAAAUCUGUGCCUAACAAACUCACGAAAUCACUCCUCAUUUUCCUCUCUCCCUCUCCUCCUCUCAUUCCCUUUCAAAUCCUUCCACCACCUUCCCCGCCUCUCUCUCUUUCUCUCUCCCCUCACCGCCACAGCUCAACUUUUCCAUGUAAACCACCACGGGCGCCGUCGUUUCAACCUCCCACUCAUCCGACGUCGUUUUGUGUGAAUAAGAUAACGAUUUAAAUUAAAAUACGAAAAUGGAGAACUUAACGGCGCAGUUGAAGCGAGGGAUAUCGCGGCAGUUCUCGACGGGAUCGCUGCGGCGGAGCCUGACGAGGCAGAUGUCGAGGCAGUCGUCGUUCGAUCCGAGGAGGAAUAACAUGAGGUUUAGCUUCGGGAGGCAGUCGUCGUUGGAUCCGAUACGCAGGAGUCCGGUUCAGGACGAGUUGACGGUGCCGGAGAACCUUGACUCGACGAUGCAGCUGUUGUUUAUGGCAUGCAGAGGUGACGUCAAGGGAGUCGAGGAUUUGCUGAACGAAGGCAGUGAUGUCAACAGCAUUGAUCUUGACGGACGGUUUUGGCGAGAAAUCAAAGAAUUAAGAGACAAUAUUUAGUUAAGCUAAUAGUAUUUGUUCUGUUUAGUACGUCGUUUUACCAACAAGCAUCCCGGCAUUGCACGCAUUAAUAAAUUUUUUUUAUCUGUUUGGACUGAUGGUGGUAAAAAAUUCCACAUACUUUAUAUUAAAAAGGAAAAAGGACAAACACACCCCUAACGUCAACUUGGAGGGGGGUCGAUUCCGAGCUCAAGAAGUGGGAAAGAAGAAAGCUGAAGAUGAUUCAGGCGGUGCUCAAUGGUGGGUAUGACGGCAAAAAUAAGUUGGAGGUUUUCUAUGAAUUUGAACAUCUAAGAACAUUCUUCCCAUUACACAUAAGAGGUGGCUCCAAAACUGGUUACAUAACUCGUAUGGUUCUAACUGAUUUGUUGCCGAAGUUUAAAAGGUUGAGGGUGCUAUCUUUACAAGGAUACCAUAUUGGACCAAUUCCAUUUGAAGAUUUGAGACUUCAAAGUAUAAUUACCCAAAGUGUAUACAAUAAAAGCCAAAUUUAAGAAAUUCCUGAACCUUGCUGACACUGACAUAAGAAGUUUACCAGAGUCAACAUGCUCAAUGUUGAACUUGGAAAUUUUGAUAUUAAGAAAUUGUUUCCGUUUGAUGAUACUCCCACCCAAAAUGAGGAACUUGGUUAAUUUACACCCAGACUCUUUUCUUUUGACAUGGGGUUAACGAUCAAAGUUGGUUUCGUGCGGUAUAUAUUUACAAAUUGAUAGGUAUGCCUGGUGUUGAUGCAGGAUUCCGGUUCUUCUCGUUCUACGACCAGGAUCUCUGCUCGAUCAACUUCGUCACGACCAGGAGGUCUCCUCGCAAGACUUUUUCUCCAGAGAUUCCUGCGCACACAGACAAGUCAGAGUACGCCGGUUGUUUUCCCGGCGCAAACCCUCCGACGCUCAAGUCAGAUAUGAAGGUUCGGGGAACGCUUGCCACCGAUCUUAUGGCUUUUUCGUGGUUUUCUCUUCUUUUUAAUUCCUUUUCUAAUGAGAAAAAUGCCAACCCUUUUACCUCGUCGGCUACCUUUUUAUAGGCUUCCUCUGAAUCCCAGUUUUCCGCUCUUUUCGAGACGGUAUGGGACUCUGACUGCUGUGUUAUGGGCAAACGUGGGAUCUUGCGUGUUACGCCACCGUUCUGGGAAAAGCGCGGCAGUCGUGGUUCUGUGAGAUCUUGCGUGUUACGCCACGGUUCUGGGGAAAGCGUGGCUGUCGUGCUUAGGUUCUCGGGCUGGAGAGCAUGUCUCGUCAACUGCCGUCGACCGGGUCUCCUCGCCUCUCGACCUCUAGCCGGAAUGACCUUAUGCCUCUUACAGGAAAUUGGCCUCGCGGAUGACCUGCUCGUGGACGAGCAGGAUAUUUCUGCUCCUGUUCCCCCGCGUACCAGGCUUUUACGGGACACACCGGUUCGCAGAACUCUGCCAUCAGAUAUCUGCUCACCGUGCCUGGUCUCGUCGACGUAUUUCUCCCAAACACCGGUCCCCCAGUUUCUGGUGUUGGGUAAUGUAGUGGACCAGCAGUAGAAACUCGUUAGUACUCGCCCGCGUGGGAUUGGAAAAGGCUGCCAAGAGUCAUGUCGCAUUUAAUUGCGGACGAGGUGACGUGGCAGAAAUCCCCCCCUCCAUUUGAAUUUCAAACCGACGGUUAUGAGAUCCUCGGGAUUCAGCGCCGUUAAAUGCUGGCAACCCAAGAGUCCGUCCUCAUUAGGAAAACCAAAUCCUCUCGAACGGCAUAUUCGUCAUUCACUCCGUCUCCGUCUCUGUCUCCCCGGCAAAGAGGUUCCGGCAUAAAAGCCCUCCAUCUCUGAUUUUCACCGACUGAACCGUUACUUCAGGUAUUUCUUCUAUCUCCUUGGUCUCGGAUAGUUGUAGAUAAUUUCUCUUCUCUUCUGUUGGGUAGUAGUUGGUGGUGUUGUGGUUAGAGCUUAGGGAAUGUCGAAAGGCAAAGAGAAGGUCAUUGAGGUUGGUGACGACGAGUUGGACUUCCUGCCUAGUCUGCUCACCGAUCCUGCUUUUGACCCCGGGAUCCCCUUAGAGCCCAUUAGGUCUAGUGUCGGGACUAGUGCUAGGAGGAUGUCUCCCCAAACAACCUCUACGAGCGGAAGUAAUGGUGAGGAGAGAUCUUCUGGCUCCGAGGAUACUUUGAGUGAGAAUGGCGAAGGUGACUCUGGUGAGGUGUCUCCAUCUGGAACAUCACGACCAGAAGAACGGGGUAUAGUAGGAGGCAGAGCCUUGUCGCGCGAUUAUGCCAUUGAUUACAUGACGUGCACGACCUCGUUUGACGAGCUCAAUGACCUCCGGCUUAGGUAUAGCAUUCCUGGUGAGAUACCUCUCAAGGUCCCAGGAAAGAAGGAUGCUCCCAGCCGGCCUCCUAGGGGAUAUGUUACCCUGUAUCUGGACAGCUUUAAGUACGGGCUGAGGUGUCCCUUGCAACCUUACUUUGCCCGGAUACUUAACGGGCUAAAUCUAGCUCCUGGUCAGCUGAAUCCCAAUGGGUGGAGAGUGCUCUCUGGUCUGUUCAUAUUGUGGGACAGAUGUUGCCAAAGCGAGCCCACGGUUGAUGAGGUGAAGCACCUGUACCAGCUAAAGAGCAGCCCCAAAGAUGCCGUCUGGUACUACUUCCAAUCUAGCACCAAGAGCAGGAAACCUAUAACCGACCUCCCUACUGGUGGUGGUGGGAAUUGGAAGAGAAAAUUCUUUUUUGCUGGGGGUCCUUGGGGUCAGGUUGCACAAAUGGACGGGAAGGAUUAUCGGGUCCCACCCCGUUUCACGGUCCCAGGUUGCCUGCUCGCUUUAGAUGUCUUGUAUCCACAAUUGUUAUUGCUUUAUUGGCUUGUCUCUAACCAAGUGUCUGUUUGCGUUGUAGUUUCUUGGGGUGUUCACUUCCCGCUCCCACCUGACCAGCUCAAACGGGUCAAGGCUGUGCUCGCCAAUUCCUGCUCGAGUCGAGAACUGCUAACUACAUACAACUUGCUCGAAUCUCGCUUGAUACUUCCUGGCCAUAGGAUGGAGGACGCCGUGAUUGGGGCUCUGACCCGAAAACGUUCUCGACCUCCAACCACGAAGAGGGACCAGGGUAAGGAUGCCCCUGCUGCAAAGCGGGCCAGCAUCGUGCAGCAGGUCCCACCCUUGGAGAUUUUACCUCCUGCUCCUGAAAAAGUCGGGGAAGCUAGUGGAGCAGCCACAGAUCCUGCUUCCUCAUCUGUUCCUGUCGGGCCUCGAUCUCGCUUACCUGACAGCCGAGCAGAACACCUGGUCCCCUACCUCAAUGAGUUGUCUAAACUCGUGAGCAAGAAGGACCUGGAGGACUUCGACGGCUGCACCUUGGGUGAGCUGGUGGGGGCCAUGCAGCAUAGCGCUUUCCACCUCAGCUGCAUGACCACCUAUUACAAGGCUAAGGUUGGUCGAUACGAUCGGAAAAUGAAGGGGGAUAUUCAAUCGGCGACGACCAGAGCUGACAUUGCCGAGAAGAAAGCAGGGGAGCUGAACCUCGAGAAUCUGAAGCUGAUAGAGCAAGAAUCACUUGCUCAAGCAAAGACCAUUACCCUCGAGGAGGAGCUUACCAAGGUCAAGGAGGAUCUGCAAAGGCAGAAGGCUAUGUAUGAGGCCCAGCUCGAAUCUCUCCGGGACUCCAACCGAGCUCAGGUCGAGAACUUGGAGAGGGAGGCAGAGAAUCAGUACGACCAGGGACUUCGGCAUUCCUAUCGUUGCAUCAUGGCCGUCCUCGGGAAGCAACACCCUGAUCUGAAGAUGGAUGACCUUGCGGCUGGUGUUGCCCAACAUAUGGACGAGGAGGCGGCCAAGGAAGAUGCUGAAGGGGUAGAGCCGAUCGUGAUCGAGGAGGAAAGCUCUCCUCCUCGUGCAGUCCCUGCUGAUGUUGGCGAGGCGAGCACCCCUCCGGACGCAACUGGCGAUACCCCUCCCGCACCUGAGGAGGUCCAGUCAACCGAUGCUGCUCGGCUCACUGAUCUACCAUCUUUUUGAUAUAUUUCUUUUUGUAUUGUAAUAAACAACGUUUAUGAAAUUUAUCCCCUCUGUUAGCCAUUAACACAUUAAUAAAGAUGUUUUUUGAUUACUUUCUCGUCUUGUAAUCAUCACUUAUUUUCCGUUUGGGAAUCUGCUCGUCUCGUCUGGUCGAGCAGGUUCUGGUUUGGCAUAUGGUUUUGCAACAUGCCUUAGAAAAAUUUCUUUUUUUUUUUUUUUUUUUUUUUUUUUUUUUUUUUUUGCUUGGGGAUUCUGCUUGCCUUCGCGUGGUCGAGCAGGUCCUGGCAUGCUUGGCUUCAGUCUCGCCAUAAAAAGGCUUUGAGACUUGGUGAGGCCUUUGCAUGCCUUAGAAAACUUUUUCGAUGCUUGGGGAUUCUGCUCGACUUCGCUCGGUCGAGCAGACCCUAGCAUGCUUGGCUUCCGUCUCGCCAUAAAAAGGCUUUGAGACUUAGUGAGCCUUUGCAUGCCUUAGGUGGCUUCUUCAAAGCUUGGGAUUCUGCUGCCUUCUCGUGGCCGAGCAGAUCCGGGCAUGCUUGGCUUCUGUCUCGCCAUAAGACAGGCUUUGAGACUCGACGAGCCUUUGCAUGCCUUAGAUGGCUUCUUCGAAGCUUGGGAUUCUGCUGCCUUCUCGUGGCCGAGCAGAUCCGGGCAUGCUUGGCUUCUGUCUCGCCAUAAGACAGGCUUUGAGACUUGACGAGCCUUUGCAUGCCUUAGAAAUUUUCUUGGUUUCAAGCGAAAGGAAUUCCUCGACGUUCCAUUAAUGGCAGGAUUCGGCUUACAUGAACUUGUUUGGACAUAAAGCGUGAAAGAUAAACGAUAAUGAUCAUGAGCAAAAAUAGCUUUCAGAUGUGAACAAAUCUUACUGGAAGUAUUUUCGGAGGUGUGCUGCGUUCCAUGGGCGUUUCAGCUCGUGGCCGUCCGUGCGAACCAGCUUGUAAGCUCCGGGUCCCGCUAUCUGCUUGACUCUAUAUGGCCCUUCCCAAUUCGGUCCCAGCACUCCUUGAGUCGAAUCUUUGGUGCUCUGAUUCACUCUUCUCAGUACCCAGUCUCCGACCUUGAAUUGCCGUAUGUUCACCUUCUGGUUAUAAUACCGAGCAACCCUCUGUUGGUAAAGGGCUGAUCGCUCGGCUGCUUGCUCCCUCCUUUCCGUUAGCAGAUCAAGAUUCAAACAUAUCUGCUCGUCGUUCUCCUGCUCGUUGAAAUGACCUGUCCGGUGUGUGGUCGUUCCUAUCUCAGCCGGCACGACCGCUUCAUGUCCGAAAGCCAAAGCGAACGGUGUCUCCCCAGUUGCGGUUUUGUGGGUUGUUCUGUAUGCCCAUAGCACACCUGACAGCUCGUCAACCCACGCACCCUUUUUUGCUCCAAGCCUGGUUUUCAAAAGCCUCUUGAUGGUCUUGUUGGCUGCUUCUACUUGUCCAUUCGAUUGAGGGUGAGCAGGCGAGCAAUACUUCAGCUCUAUCCCGAGGUUCUGGCAGAAAUCCCUGAAGCUGUGAUUAUCGAACUGCCUGCCAUUAUCCGUUACCAAGGCAUAAGGGAUCCCGUAUCGACAGACCAGGUUUCUCCACACGAAGUCUGUUGUUUUCUUCUUUGUGAUCCUGCUAAGGGCUUCUACCUCUAUCCACUUCGUGAAGUAAUCUAUAGCAACUAUUGCAUGUGUUGCUGCUCCUUGUGCCUUUGGCAAUGGGCCGAUCAGAUCAAUUCCCCAUUGAGCAAAUGGCCAAGGGGAGGCCAUGGAGGUGAGCUUCUCUGGGGGUUGGUUAGAGAAAUUUGCAAAACUCUGGCAGCUUACACAACUCCUGGUCUUCUCUUGCGCAUCCUGGUGCAUUGUCGGCCAGAAAUAUCCCUGCCUAAGAACCUUGUGGGCCAGGGACCUCCCGCCAGAAUGAUUUCCGCAAAUUCCUUCAUGUACUUCUCUCAGUACGUAAUCCGCGUCGUCCUCAUCCAAACACCGAAGGAACGGUAGUGUAUAUCCUCGCCGAUACAGCGCCCCAUCAAUCAUCGUGUAUCUCGAGGCCUGGGCUCUAAUCUUGCGAGCUCGCAGCUUAUCUGGUGGUAAUACUCCGUCUCUAAGGUAUGAAACUAUCGGGUCCCUCCACGAGCAUUUUUGUUCUAUCCGCAACACCCCCGAAUUCUGAUCGAUACUUGGGCUGGACUUCACCUCCAGAGGGACCGACUUUGGCAUUUUUGGGUCGGCUACUGCUGCCAUCCUCGCCAAAAUGUCUGCUCGACUAUUCUGCUCCCUGGGGAUCUGUACCACCUCCACUGCUUCGAACUUCCCCAUCAUCUGCCUGACUAUCUUCAGGUACUGCUCCAUCUUCUCCUCUCUUGGUUGGAAUCUUUCACUGACGUGAUUCGCAACCAGCUGGGAAUCAGUUCUGAUCUUAACUCUGUCUUCUUUCACGGCCUUAGCCAAUUCCAGACCUGCUAUCAAGGCUUCAUACUCUGCCUGGUUAUUUGUGGCUGCAAAUUCCAACUUUACAGCAUAAGAGAUCUCCUCCCCCUCAAGGCCUUCCAGGACAAUCCCUGCUCCUGAACCCCGCUCCCCUGAUGACCCGUCCACAGACAUCUGCCAUACUUGAUUUUCGUCAUUGCCUAUAACUGCAUCCUGUUGAUCUGAGCAUACUUCGGGCUCUGUGAAUUCAGCUACGAAAUCGGCCAUUGCCUGGGCUUUUAUCGCUGCGCGGGGUUUAUAGUCUAUGUCGAACUCGCUCAGCUCUACAGCCCACUUGACGAGCCGACCAGAGGCAUCUGGCUUGUGCAGAGUUUGACGCAAUGGCUGGUUUGUUAUUACCGAGACCGGGAAUGCUUGAAAAUAUGGCCUCAACUUCCGAGCAGCAACCACAAGGGCAAGUGCCCAUUUCUCCAACAGUGGGUAUCUAGUCUCAGCGUCGAGUAGGGCCUUGCUGGUGUAGUAUAUCGGAUACUGAACUCCUUCUUCCUCUCUCACCAGAACAGAACUGGCGGCCCGAUCCGACACCGCCAAAUACAGAUACAACUUGUCCCCAUCCCUUGGUGUGGACAGCAGCGGAGCUUGCUGCAAGUAUUGCUUCAAGUUCUGGAAGGCUUCCUCGCACUCUGGGGUCCAUUCUGUUUUCUUUCCCCUCCUUAUCACUUGAAAGAAUGGCUGACACUUAUCUGUAGCCUUGGAGAUGAAUCUGCUCAACGCCGCCAACCUCCCUGUGAGGCUCUGCAUCUCCUUCAGGUUACGAGGAGACGUCAUUUGCACAAUCGCCUGGAUUUUCUCGGGAUUUGCUUCAAUCCCCCUAUGGCUCACCAUGAAUCCAAGGAAUUUCCCUGACUCGACCCCAAAAGCACACUUUUCCGGGUUGAGCUUCAUCUUAUACUUCCUCAAAAGCUCGAAUGUCUCCUCGAGGUGUCUGACAUGUUCCUUCGGGAUUUUGGACUUGGUGAUCAUGUCAUCCACGUACACCUCCAUGGUUUUCCCAAUCAACGGCUUAAAGACUUUGUUCACCAGCCUUUGAUAGGUGGCCCCAGCAUUUUUGAGACCGAACGGCAUUACCCUGUAACAGAACAAACCUUGGUUAGUGACGAAAGCCGUGCUCUCCUCAUCCUGCUCGUACAUGGGGAUCUGGUUGUAUCCCGAGAACGCGUCCAUGAAGCUGAGCAGACCAUGUCCAGCCGUUGAAUCUACUAGCUGAUCGAUCUUUGGUAGAGGGAAGCUGUCUUUUGGGCACGCCUUAUUGAGGUCUGUGAAAUCCACACACAUCCUCCACUUGCCGUUUGCCUUCUUUACCAACACCACAUUCGAUAUCCACUCAGGGUAACUGACUUCCCGAAUGAACCCUGCUCUCAAGAACUUCUCCACCUCGCUAUUUAUUGCCUCAUACAUCUCCUGGUUGAAGCACCUCCUCUUCUGCCUUACUGCCCGAGCACCUUUCUUUAUUGCCAGCUUAUGACAUGCUACCUCAGGGUCAAUCCCUGGCAUGUCUUCAUGUGUCCAAGCAAACACAUCAGAAUGAGCCUGUAAGCAUUUCACCAACUCCUGCUUUUGCUCUCCCUCAAGCCUCGACCCGAUUCUGAUCAUCUUUCCCGGAUUCUCUGGUCCCAGGCUUACUGUUUCCAGAUCUUCUACAGGUUCUUGUCUGCCCUUCUUGUUUUCCACUCGGGUAUCGAGGGAUGUUAUCUGCAUUGCUUCCCUUGCUGCCGAGGAGUAGCAGCUUCUUGCGAUCCUCUGGUCUCCUCGUACCACUCCUACUACCCCAUUCACCCGGUACUUCAGAGCGAGAUAGUGGUUGGACAACACCGCUUUGCUCAUCCUUAAAAAUGGCCGACCUAGGAUCAUCUGGUAAGGACCUUCCUCGUCCACUACGACAAAGUCCAGUAUCAUUGUUCUUUCUGUCAGGGAGCUCCCAAUUGUGAUAGGCAGCUCGACCACGCCCAGAGGGACCAGCUUCCCUCCUCCGAACCCCUUCAAGGAGGUAUUGGUGUAUUCCAACUUUCGGUCGGCUAUUCCCAUCUCUUCCAGGGUUGACUUAAAUAACACAUCAACUGAGCUCCCUGUAUCAAUCAGUAUCCGGUCAAACUUCUUGCUAGCGACAGUAGCCUUGAUGACUAAAGCAUCAUCGUGGGGGUAUAGAAUCCCUUCCUCAUCCUCAUCCGUCCACAUGAUUGGCACUUGCCUGACCCUUGCUCGUUUGGCUGCUGGGGUGUUGAAGAGUACCUCUUUACUGGUCAUGGCGUACCUAGCAUAAUUUUUUCUCGAUCUGUUGGAAUCUCCGGCCAAUGUUGGGCCCCCAGCUAUCACCCUUACUGCGGGCUGCUCGCGCCUCAAGUUUCUACCACUCUGCUCCCCUUCACCUGUUGUGGCCACCAUCGGGAAAGUCCCAUCCAUAAACUCGUCCAGGUACCGAUUUCUCACCAAAUCUUCGACCUGGAUCUUGAGAUCUCUACACUCUGCCGUGGUAUGGCCAUGGGUGCCAUGGAACUUACAAUAACGUCUUCUAUCCCUCCUGUUGGGUAGCUUUGUUAUUGGUGUAGGGAGGUGCAGCAGACCUCGAUCCUUUAUGGCCUCGUACACCUCAUCCAGGGACAUCUUCAAGGAAGUGUACCGCCCAUAGUCCGGGUCCUGGUCGAUCAGGUGCACUGCUCUUUCUCUGUUUGCCCCGCUUUGAGUUGGGGGCGGUGGAAGUAAUUCUGGUCUGCUCGCUCUGCUACCAUGUUGGUGAAGACCACCAGAUGCCGACUCAUGCCUUCUCCAAGGCUCCCUAGCUGGGGAACGAGGAGGUUGCGCCCCGCUGCGCUGAUACUGUGGUGGCCUCUGAUGAGGCUGGUAAGCAGUUACCCGACCUCCUGCUCUACUACCGGAGGCCUGGUGGUCUCUCCUCCUGAUCGGCCCAUUCCCCGGUAAUGCUUUCUUCUCUUUCCUCCCCAACCCUUCCAACUGGUCUGUCUUAAUCCGUGCAGCCUUCUCCUCUUCAAUCUCGAUGUCUCUCUUAGCCUGUUCGUAUGCGGCUGCAUACGUUUGAAUAGCUGGGCUUCUCAAAUUGUACCACAACCUUCCUAUCUUCACCCCUUCUUUCAAUCCCCUUAACGCCUGAGGGUGGUUGAAGGCUCCCAAGUCGAGGACAGCCCGAUGAAACCUCUUGAUGAAUUCCCGAAGGGUUUCUUGCUCCCCCUGUUUCAUGCUUUUCAGCUCCAUCAUGUCGUCUUCCGGUGCCAUUGCCCCACUAAACUGCUCCGCGAAUUCCUGGCACAUCUGCUCGAAGGUUUUAAUGCUGCCCCGAGGAAGUUUCCUGUACCAUUCUCGUGCACGUCCCUCAAGGGAUAGUGGGAACACCCUGCACCUUUGGGAUUGAGAUAAUCCUUGUACCCCAGUUAUGUCGUUGAAGCGCUCUAUAUGCACCAGCGGAUCAGUUCUUCCCGAGUAUCUGAGGUCUGGGAGGCGGAAAUCUCUCGGAAUAACUGCCCUCAUGAUUUCUGUUGCGAGCGGCGAUUCUCCGUCCAGCAUUAUCCUCCAACCAGGGGCUCUGUUCCUUCCUUGCAUGUCGUCAAUUAUCUGCGCUAGUCUGCGCACUUCCCCCUCCAGCUGCAACGCACGACCAGGGUCACGUGCUGCAACUUGAUCCCACUCUUGCUCUACAUCAUGCAAGUGUUGCCUCAACUCUGUUUCCUCUGCAUUCACCACCCCGUCGCCCUCGUCACCAGUCUGUCUUGCUGGGGACUGCUCUCUUUCUCUAUGAAAUUCUCCCUGCAGAGGUACGUUACCUCUCUCACCACCAAAUCUCCCGGGGGUUUGACUUCUCCCCGCACUAUCGGGACCUGGUGCCACUCCACCGCCUCUCACCCUUCCCUCUUGGGUUACCCUUCGCUCGCUCCGCAGCUCAUGCAGGAUGGUUGUCAAGGUCUCCAUCUGCUUUUCCAUCCGUUCCAUCUGGUCGAACAUGACUUUUUCCCGUGCUUCGCUGACUAUCUCCCUCAGCGUCACGGAAUCGUUAAGCCUCCUAUCACCCCCUUGUGCACUACUUCUUCCUGUCUCCAUUGCUUUUCACUUGCUUCACCCCUCUUCUUGCUAUCAACAGAAGCUUUUUGCUCUGGUCCCCACAGACGGCGCCAAAAUGUUGAUGCAGGAUUCCGGUUCUUCUCGUUCUACGACCAGGAUCUCUGCUCGAUCAACUUCGUCACGACCAGGAGGUCUCCUCGCAAGACUUUUUCUCUAGAGAUUCCUGCGCACACAGACAAGUCAGAGUACGCCGGUUGUUUUCCCGGCGCAAACCCUCCGACGCUCAAGUCAGAUAUGAAGGUUCGGGGAACGCUUGCCACCGAUCUUAUGGCUUUUUCGUGGUUUUCUCUUCUUUUUAAUUCCUUUUCUAAUGAGAAAAAUGCCAACCCUUUUACCUCGUCGGCUACCUUUUUAUAGGCUUCCUCUGAAUCCCAGUUUUCCGCUCUUUUCGAGACGGUAUGGGACUCUGACUGCUGCGUUAUGGGCAAACGUGGGAUCUUGCGUGUUACGCCACCGUUCUGGGAAAAGCGCGGCAGUCGUGGUUCUGUGAGAUCUUGCGUGUUACGCCACGGUUCUGGGGAAAGCGUGGCUGUCGUGCCUAGGUUCUCGGGCUGGAGAGCAUGUCUCGUCAACUGCCGUCGACCGGGUCUCCUCGCCUCUCGACCUCUAGCCGGAAUGACCUUAUGCCUCUUACAGGAAAUUGGCCUCGCGGAUGACCUGCUCGUGGACGAGCAGGAUAUUUCUGCUCCUGUUCCCCCGCGUACCAGGCUUUUACGGGACACACCGGUUCGCAGAACUCUGCCAUCAGAUAUCUGCUCACCGUGCCUGGUCUCGUCGACGUAUUUCUCCCAAACACCUGGUAUGACUGCUUAUGCUGGAUUUUAUGAGGUGUGCUCUCCUAAGCAAGGAGAGUGGGUCUUAAUAUGGGCAAGGGUGCAGUUGGUCAGCUUAUGGGGCAGUUUGCAAAGUUACUGGGCUGCUAUGUUGUCGGAAGUGCUGGAAGCAAAGACCAGGUAUACAAACAAACAAUCCGUAUCAGUUGCUUGAUUGUUCCCAUUUUGCUUUCAAAAUAUCUAACUUACAUAAGGAAAAUUUUCACCAUCUCGUCUUUUCUUUGAUUUUGAACGCUAAGAUUGAUCUACUGAAGAAUAGGUUUGGGUUCGAUGAGGCGUUCAACUAUAAAGAAGAUCCUGAUUUGAAUGCAGCCUUGAUAAGGUUAGUAUAUCAGCAAACUACAAAUUAGAAGACAUUUUUUCCUGAAAAUCAAAUAAUGUUUCUAAUUUGACAGGUGGUUUCCUGAAGGCAUUGACAUAUACUUUGAAAACGUUGGUGGGAAAAUGCUCGAUGCGGUGCUGAUCAACAUGAAAAUCGGUGGUCGAAUUGCUGUGUGUGGGAUGAUCUCGCAGUACAACCUUGACGAACCCAAAGGCGUACACAACUUGACGCGUCUUAUUUCGAAACGGGUUCGGAUGGAAGGAUUCCUCGUAUCGGAUUACAAUAAACUCUAUCCGAAAUUUCUGGAAAUGAUCAUUCCUCACAUCAAGGGGGGAAAGAUUGUAUACAUUGAAGACACGGCUGAAGGUCUUGAGAGUGCUCGGGCAGCUCUCGUCGGUCUGUUCUCUGGCCGGAAUCUCGGGAAACAGGUGGUUGCAGUUGCUUCUGAAUGAAUGAAGGAUUUGGUUGUUUACAUCAUGCUUCUACUCGUCCAUUUAUUUAAUAAAAUGGUUACGCUCAAUGAGUGUAAUUUUUAUGAUGCUAAAUUAAAUGUGGAAUGUGGCUGCUGGUUUGAUAAUGUUAAAAGUGCUAAAAAAUUUCAUGUUAGGCGCGGUGUGCGUCUGUAUAUCAUUUUUAGGUACGGGCAUUCUAUCUUUUUUUUUUAAUUAAUACAGACACAUUCUUAAACUGUAUGGUUUAAGAGAGAGUUAAAAAAAACUUUUACCACAUGGUUUAAAAGCGUAUCCGUAUGGAAAAAAAAUGAAAGUCCAUUGGAGAAGAAUUUUAUAUAUAGUCCAGGAUAUUAAAGUGCGGGAAAACUAUAGAGUUUUAAAAACUUAAAAUUUAAAACGUUUAAACUGCACGAUUUAUGUGUUUUUCGAUGUGAUCCCACAUUUUAAAAUUGUGGAUUGGAACAUUUGUCUUUGAGGGAAAAAAAACAAUAACAACAACUUCUUUUGGAGACCGUGGGGCUCAUAUGCAGAUUCAACCCCGAGCUAUACACUGGAUCUGGUGGGCUAGGUUUGAACCCAAAACAAGCUCUAUUCAUUACACGGUUCAGCGGGUUGGUCCAUUUGACGCUUCUAACUUAACAAUUUAAUCAUAAUAAAUUGAAAAAAUAAAAUAAAACCCACGUAUCUAAAUUAUUGUAUUGAGCUAUUGGUGCAGAGAAUAAGUAUAUAUGAGAACAAAAACAACACGAUGUAGUCGCUCGUUUUGUCACUUCUAAAAUCAGGAUUUAGAGCAUCACCAAAAGGCUCUUCAAAUAAGAUUUUAUUACUCAUUUGAAGAGCCACAUCAAUAUUUAAAGCUCCAAAAGACACUCUAAUUAAGAUUCUUCAAAUAAGAAUUGAUUCUCUCUCUUCAAAUUUGGAGAGUUAAUUUCUCCCUCUUCAAUUUAUAUUUUAUUACUUUUCAUUAAAAAAAGAGAGAGAAGUGCUUUAAUUGCUAUUGACUUUUCCUUUUAAAAACUAAUUAUAUGAUUAAAAUAAUAUUAACUUAUUUCUAUUUGAAGAGUCUUUUGGAAAAUAUCAUAUUUUUUCACCCUUCUAUUUGCCACAUAGGUAAGCAAAUAGAUAUUUGAAGAGUAAAAUUUAUAGAGGCUUUUGGAGAUGCUCUUAUGAUAGAGUCAUAGUGUUAACAGUACAUCGGUGUAUAAUUAUUUGUAAUGAAAUUAAUUAAUAUGGGUUUUAUGUUGUCUUUGUCAAUAAUCAAUUAAAUUUUUCGUUUUCAUUUAAAUGUUACUGAUCGAUGAAACAUUUGACUGCGUUCAAGUUAUCUUUUAAUUUUGUGAGAUCCACAUUGUUUUUAUUUCAAAAACAUAAUUUUUCAUAUUAUUAAAAAGCUGUUGCUUGGGCCUAGAGAAAUUGGAUUAAUGAAAUACCUUAAGGGUGUGUUUGACACAUUAUAUUGUAUUAUGUUGCAUUGCAUUAUUUUAUUUGGUGUUGCACUAUACUUUACUAAUUUUUUUGCAAUUAAUUUAAAUUACAUAGUUAGCAAAUAAUAUUUAUUAGUGCUUAGAAAAAUACUAAAUAUAGAAGUCUUAAAUUUUAGAAAUUUAACAAUUUUUUUACUAUAAAUGUUAAAAAAUAUAAUAAUUCUUCAUAAAGAUGGAAGCUUACAGCCUUAAGUUUUUGGAAGCAGAGCAUUUAUUUUUUAGUAUCUUCUAAAUAUAUAAUUUUUGAAAUAAAGAUAUAAGCACAUAAUUUAAUCACAUAGUCUUUAAAUAAUAUAACAACAUAAAUAAAUAGUUAAAAUGUGCAAGAUUAGUUCAAAACUCAUCUUAGGAUGAUAUAAUAAAAGUUUAUACACACCACAAGAUAAUCACAAAAUAAUAAAGUGAUAAAAUUAUUAUAACAUAUUCACUACCAAAAUAAAUUAUAUUAAAUAAUCCAAGUGAGAGUUCUGUAGUUUAUAUAAUAAUAUUAUUUAUGUUAUUAUUAUUAAUUUUAAAUUAAUAUUAUCCAAAUUUAUUCAUACUUAAAUAUGUAUUAUUAGUUAUAUUACAUUAUUUUUACAUAUUAAUUAUUGUAAUAUAAUUAAAUAAUGUAAAAUUAUAUUAUAUUUUUAUAUACUAUUUAAGUAUUUAUUAUUAAUUAUAUUCAAUUAUAAAUUUAUUAAUAAAUUAUAGUGCAAAAAAAAAUAGAAAUAAAAAUUAAUAUUGUAUAAUAAAUAACAUUCUGCUCCCAAUUUCUGGAUUUUAAAUUCCAAAAAUAGUAUUCACGUUCGCCACAUUCAAAAAUCCAACCUGGGCUUGGAGAUUCGAUUCAUCUCAUAGAUUAAUUUUAUAAACUAAUGUUUAGUGAAAAAUUAACCUUAAUGGGUCCUCCUCUCCAGGCCUAAUUCUUAAUUUUUUUUUUAAUUUGGUCCUACUUAAGUGGCUUCUAACGUUACCGUGUCUUUAUUUUGUGUACAGUUGUUUUACUAAUUUGUCAUUUAGUGCAAAUAACAGCACUCAACUUGUAAUAUCCAGUAUCCACAAAUCAGCCACUUCGGCCAAGGCCGAAGUGGUGGGCUGCUGCCCUCACAAUGCUUGUGAGGGCAGCGGUUCUAGCCCCCACAAAAGCAUUGUGGGGGUUAAAUGUUCUUUAUAUUUCCAAAAAAAUCCUUCUCUCUUGCAAAAUGUAAGUGGAGUAUGGACAUCCCUCUCCUGUGAGGGGUUAUUUGUCUGGGCAUGUACUUCAUAGAAUUCAUUGUAAUAAUGUAAGUCCCAAUCAUGUAUAUCUGAUUGUAAAUAUCAGUGUAAUAUCUCUGCUACAAUAAGCAGUUGUUGUAAAUAUCUGUCUGAUGAUUAAUCAGUAUUCAAAAAAAAAAAAGUAUCCACAAAUCAUGAACUCAUUUUUUAGUUCUUUCAUGUGUACUAACAUUCGUACAAAUAUACAAUAAGUUCAUAAUUUAGUCCAAGUUGACGAGAAAUUCUUGACCCACCCCUAAAUAUCUGUCCGCCAAUAGCGUGAAGUGGCCGGCAUAAAUUUAAAGCAGCUGGGACAUUGUAACUCAUCCAAAGAUUGUAUAACAUCUCUUUUUUGCUUUAUCGUUUUUCUCCAGUUGCAUAGUUUCUUAUCCUACCGCUUUAAAAACAAUUAUUCCUAGAAAUUUUCAUUUAUCUAAUGAAUUUUAAGAAUUUUUUCAGCAAACAAUUUUUACUUUUUUUUUUUUUUAUCAUUGAUGGGUAAAGAAAAUAUUAAUGAAAAAUGAGGAGUUAUUGGCUGGUUCAACGGAUUAAUUGCAAUGAUAAAUACAGGGAGGAUUGGAUUAUAUGGCAAAUUUUUAUAGUAAAUGUAAUAUAUAUGCUAACACUUUUUAUUUAUGGCAAAAUAUCUUCCUCUUUUGAGACUUUUCCCUCUAAGAAAAUUGGAGGAUACGACAAUAUAUAUAUAUAUAUAUAUACUAAUAUUUAUCAUUUAUAGAAAAGUAUCUAUCCCACUUAAGAUUUGCCCCACUAGAAAAGGAAAAAAAAAUCCCUCAAAAUAAAAGAGCGAAAUGGAAACAGAACAAAAUUUGAUUUUGUGGAUCUUGUAUUGUGUGAUAAGUCCGGCAUGCAAUUUUGGGCCAGCUUACCGUGCGCAUGGGAGCAUUCACAAAGUAUCUCUCGUCACUAUCGAAAACUUUUAACAGUCAAUACAAAUGCUUCCGUUUCAUCCCAUAAACAAAUAAAAUUCACAUCUGUACACAUCUACUUUGCUUUGCUAGAUAGAGUUCCUCUGCAUUUCCCAAUUGCCUAAAGAGAAGGGGAAAAGAAAAAGAGGGCCAAAAAAUGCCUGAAAUGGUAAGGAACAAGCAAGUGAUAUUGAAGGACUAUGUGUCUGGUUUCCCAAAAGAAACAGACAUGUACAUGACCGAAAGUUCCAUAGAAUUGAAGGUGCCAAAAGGUUCAAAUGGGGUUCUUUUAAAGAACUUGUACUUGUCCUGUGAUCCGUACAUGCGACCAAGAAUGACCUACAUCGAAGGAUCUUAUGUUGAAUCCUUUAAACCUGGCUUGGUUAGUGCACUCGCUCAUGGCCACGCUUUUCAUUUCCAUGGCUUCUUGCUCUUUUGUUAUAGAAAAUUUAUUUUUGGUUGCAGUUUGGUUCGACUGCUAAAAUCUCGUGCGAUAAUUGUAUAAGAUAUCUAGAGUUUGAACUUCUUUCACAUUAGGGUUCAAGGAAGUUAACUUAAAUGAUUUUCAAAAUUUUAAAUGUGUACCAAUGAAUUUAAUUUCAUAGCUUAAACUUAUUGUUUGAUCAUACUCUAACUUUGGACAGGAAAAUUAUAUUUUUCCUUUUGUUCUUUGACUUCGUGUAUGUUGUGUGAAGUACUUGUGCUUGAAAAUGAAUUGCUGACACAGAAAUUUCUAUGAAUGCAUGCAGCCCAUAAGUGGAUAUGGGGUGGCUAAAGUUUUGGAUUCAGAGAAUCCAGAGUUCAACAAAGGUGACUUGGUUUGGGGAAUGACUGGAUGGGAAGAGUAUAGUCUCAUUACGGCUCCACACUUGUUUAAAAUUCAGCACACAGAUGUGCCUCUUUCUUACUAUACUGGAAUCCUCGGUAAACUUUUUGUUUGCGCAAUUUAUGUGAGCAAAUUGUGUCUUCUUUUUCAUAUGUAAAUGUUUUUGAUAUCUUGAUGUGAAGGUAGAAAAUUGCAUGUUUUGAGUUUUUGCAUAUUUGAUGGAAACACAGAACCGUACCUGAAUAUUUCAGAACCCCCUUUUCUUUGAAGUUUGAACACUUUUCUUGAAUGUAUCAACUUUAUUUAUGGGAUAUGUUGCCAAAUUGGCAAAUCUAUUCGUUAUAAAACUUUCCUUUGACAGUUUAAUCUAAGCAGAUGUUAAUUCUGCAAAUAGAGUGUGCCUUAGUUUAGAUUGAUAGAUUUGUCUCCUUCUGUACAGUAAAAACUUUGAGCAUUUUCGCCAUAUUCUGAUCAAUACACUCCAACUAGUUAGUUCUUGAGGCGUUUCCUGGUUUCGUGGAGUGAGCCAAGAUGUAUACGUUUGCAAAUUGGCAAUGUCUUUUGCUUGAUGUGUUGUGAGUUGUGAGUGUCAAUAGGAAAGUUUCAAAGUGCGCAGUGCUCACUUGAGCACCCAUAUUACUUGGUGACCUGUUGCCUCAGCAAACAAGACCUCUGUUUUAUGAACUCCAAAAAGUUAUUCUGUUAAAAAGAUCGAGACAGAGGCCAUACUAUAUUUAUUAUUGCUAUAAAAGUGUCAAACAAUAUUCUUUAUUUAAUAUUCUAAACGAUUGAGCCAUUUAGUUAUGAUACUCUGCUGUACUGGGGCUAAUAAUCUAAGUCGGUUCAAAGUGGUAAAUUUAUAAAUUGAUAGGUAUGCCUGGUAUGACCGCUUACGUUGGAUUUUAUGAGGUCUGCUCUCCUAAGCAUGGAGAGUGCGUCUUCAUAUCAGCAGCAUCUGGUGCAGUUGGUCAGCUUGUGGGGCAGUUUGCAAAGUUAUUGGGUUGCUAUGUCGUCGGAAGUGCUGGAAGCAAAGACAAGGUAUGUAAUCUGUGUGAACUACUUGAUUGUUUCCAUGUUACUUUCAAACAUUUAAAUUAAAAAGGAAAUUUUCAUAAUCUUGCCUUUUCUAUGAUUUUCAACACCAAGGUUGAUCUACUGAAGAACAAGUUUGGGUUCGACGAGGCAUUUAACUAUAAAGAAGAAGCUGAUUUGAAUGCAGCAUUGAAAAGGUUAGCAUCAAUAAAUGCCUUAGCUUGAUGCAGCUUGAUGAAGUAUGAUACACAUUUCUGACCAAUAUACUGCGUUCCCUGAUCUCUUACUUGAAAUAUCUUGGUUUGAGAAUCUCAUGCCAAUGCCUUUAACAUUUUGGCAGGUACUUUCCUGAAGGAAUUGAUAUAUAUUUUGAAAACGUUGGUGGAAAAUUGCUUGACGCAGUGCUACCCAACAUGAAAAUCCGUGGUCGAAUUGCUGCAUGCGGUAUGAUCUCACAGUACAAUCUUGACAAGCCUGAAGGUGUGCACAACUUGAUGUAUCUUGUUUCGAAACGGCUUCGAAUGGAAGGAUUCAUUGUUCUGGAUCACUAUCACCUCUAUCCAAAGUUUCUGGAAAUGAUCAUUCCUCACAUCAAAGAAGGGAAGCUUGUAUACGUCGAAGACAUGGCUGAAGGUCUGGAGAGUGCUCCGGCAGCUCUCAUCGGUCUAUUCUCUGGCCAGAAUGUUGGGAAACAGGUGGUUGCUGUUGCUCCUGAAUGAAGAACAAGUUAGUGUUGUGUGUUCUUUUACCCUUUGACACAAAACUUCAAUGUUAAAGAGAGAAUGCUGCUCAUACUGCUUUAUAAAAUAAUCAAAUGAGUGCAAGUUUCAUGAUAUGUGCUGAAUAAAAAUAUUGGAAAUUAAGCAGCUAGCCUAGCUCCUUCUUGUAGUUGCAGUUUGAAUGAUGCUGCUGCACAACUGCUGCCGAAAAAAUCCUUAAUAGAUGAUUAGCAAGGUUUCAAAAAUAAAAAUAAAUGUUUGUGCAAUGUGCCGAAUAUGACAGCCACAAAGAAAGAGCAUACAAAUUGACUGGUUUUAUGUCUUCUCUAGGAGAAAGCUACAAUACAAGAAAUUGUAUUGAUGCCAUGGACCAAAUUUCUUAUUUAAACUUUUAAUUUUUUUUUAUUAAAAUUACUUAUGUUAUUAUGGUUUAUAUUUUUAGAAAUUCUUUAGAAAUUAAUACAGAACUAGUAGCAAGUUGAGAAAUCUAAUGAAUGGUCGAGAUAUGAUCAUGUUUAUUGAAUUAAAUUGACAAUCAUCAUUUUGAUAAAUUAUUGUUAGGAUAUUUGAUUCAUCACAGGUGUAAGUAACUAAAUGUGCUAAAAAAAAAGUUAAUGAGUUGUGAGUGUUUGAUAUUCGUUUGUUGUAAUUCUUUUAAUAAUUGUUGUGGGAAAAAAAUUAUGGUAAAAAAAUUAUAAUUAUAAAAUAAAAAUUAAUAAUAUAUUAUAAAUAAAAUUUUUAAAUAAUAAUUUUAAUAAAAUAAUAAAUAUAUUAUGAAUUUUUCAUUAUAAAUUUUUAAGUUAAAAUAAUAAAUAUUUAUUAAAUAUUUUAAUAGCACAACUUUUAAAUUAUAACAGUACAAUGUAAAUACCAGAGGUCUUAAAAAAUAAAAUUACAGUCAAGUUUUAAAACUGUUAAUAAUGCUAUUCAUAAAGGCGCUCGUCGUGUAAACAACACAUGGGACCCAACCAAUAAAUGUUUAUGAUCCUCAACUUUCCUCCUCACCGUCCCUGCAAACAAUUCUGAUUUUCUUGUCUGAGAAAAAAACUGAGAAACAAUGGCGGCCGAACAAGAAGCUGUGAGCAAUAAGCGGGUGAUUCUAAGCAACUAUGUGACAGGUUUUCCAAAAGAAUCGGACAUGAAGAUAACAUGUGGAUCAAUAAAACUGGAGGUAGCAGACGGUUUAAAAGACACGGUGCUUUUGAAGAAUCUUUAUAUUUCUUGUGAUCCUUACAUGCGAGAGCGUAUGAGCAAGCUUGAUAGACCUUCUUUUGUUGAUUCAUUCCAUCCUGGUGAGGUUAGUUCAUCACGACCCAUCUCUUGAUUUUUUUUUUUUUUCAUUUGCUUCAAGUUUUGAUGAGUUUCUGAGGUCAUUUGUACGGUUUUGGAAUGUGAACACUAUUAGUGAUUUUGGGGCUGUAACUGUCAUUAAUGAUAUGUAGUAAUUCAAUCAGAAUUUGGAUUUAGUGCUGAUAUGAUCUCUGCUCAUUUUUUAAAAUCUUGUGUCCAGAUGCAUUUUUAUAAUCUUGUACGGUUGAGAUUGUAAGUAGAUUAAUCUACGUGCAGUAUUCUUGUCUAAUGACUACUAACCACAACCUUAUGAGACGAUCGAAACCAAGCUCAGAUCAAUAAUCCAAUUGAGAGAGGGUCCUAACUCAAGCUUAUCGUGUGUAGGAAUAUUUCGGUUAAAUUGUAAUUCUUUUAAUAAUUGUUGUGAAAAAAAAAAAGUUAUGAUAAAAAAAUUAAUAAUUAUAAAAUAAAAAUUAAUAAUAUAUAAUAAAUAAGAUUUUUAAAUAAUAAUUUUAAUAAAAAAUAAUAAAUACAUUAUCAGUUUUUCAUCGUUAAUUUUUAAGUCACAACCACAAAUAUUUACUAAACACUUUAACACCAUAAUUAACACCACAACUAUUGAAUUAUAACUGUACAAUCUAGACGCCAAGAGGCCUUAGUAUGAAAAAAAAAAAUUACAGUUAAGUUAAAAUUCAUCAUACAGAUGUGCCACUUUCAUACUAUACCGGGAUCCUCGGUAAUGAUUUUUGUUACACAAUAAGAUUUGCUUAUAGUAAUAUCAAUACAUAUGCUGCUUAAAUGCUUUCUGAUUUUUUGCCGGCCAUUGUCCAUUUUGCCAGGGAGUCUAUAAUUGAAGGAAUUUACUGAAGGAAUGCUGAUUGUUGGGAAUUUGAUUAUUCUAGGUAUGCCUGGUGUAACUGCAUACGCUGGUUUAUACGAAGUUUGCUUUCCGAAGAAAGGAGAGUAUGUCUAUGUAUCUGCAGCAUCUGGAGCUGUUGGUCAGCUUGUUGGACAGUUUGCAAAAUUAGCUCGUUGCUAUGUUGUUGGAAGUGCAGGAAGCAAAGAAAAUAUAGCACCGUGCCUUCUAGCAGAAUUUUACUUGCUUUAUGUUCCAACUAAGCAUCCAUAUUUGAUCAUGAUAAUUAGCAAGGUCAAUAAUUUUUUUUUGACUAUUUUUUCAACGUAAGGUCGAUUUGUUGAAGAACAAGUUUGAACGAUGCUUUUAACUACAAGGAAGAGCCUGAUUUGGAUGCAGCACUCAAAAGGUCAGCUGCAACAAACGUUUCAACUCUAAUAUUUCAUUUUAAUAUUACAGAGCUUUGGUUGAAGUGUGUGAGUUGAUCCCAGAAACGUAACUUCAUCAGUGUCUCUGUUUUCAAAAAACAGGACAAAUAGAAAUCUGAUUUUGCUUUAAAAUUUCCCAGAUGCUUCCCUCAAGGAAUCGACAUAUAUUUCGAAAAUGUUGGGGGAAAGAUGCUGGACGCAGUGCUACUCAACAUGAGGCUCCGGGCCGCAUUGCAGUAAGCAGUAUGAUCUCACAGUAUAACCUGGAAAAACCCGAAGGCGUUCACAACUUAGAGCAACUGAUCGGGAAACGGAUUCGCCUGGAAGGAUUUCUAGCUGGUGAUUACUAUCACCUCUAUCUGAAAUUCUUGGAACUGGUCAUUCCUCCAAUCAGAGAAGGAAAGAUGCUGUAUGUGGAAGACAUGGCCGAAGGACUCGAGAAAAUUUCUCGUAACUGCUACACAUUAAACGCGUUUCACAUUUCCACUCUCUUUCUAUAAAUAAAUACGCACAUAAAAUUUCUCACCAUCCAAAAACAAAAUCUACAUAAAAAAUGGCGGGUGAAGAAGCAGUGAGCAACAAGCAGGUGAUUCUGAGCAACUACGUGACAGGGUUUCCCAAGGAAUCAGACAUGAAGAUAAUAACAGGCUCAAUAAACCUUAAGGUGCCAGAGGGUUCAAAAGACACAAUGCUUUUGAAGAAUCUUUAUCUUUCUUGUGAUCCUUACAUGAGAGGACGUAUGAGCGAGCUUGAUAAGCCUUCGUUUGUUGCCUCAUUCGAGUCUGGCGAGGUCAGUUACUUCAAUUCCCAUCUCUUGGUUUCAUAAUCUUUUAUGGUUUUAGAAGGUGUUUUAGGGAAACAUUGUGGUUUUGGUUAGUGGGCAUGAGUCUUUGAAGAGAUUAUAAUGUGUAGGACUAUGCAUGCAAUAAUAAGCAUAGGGGAUCUUGUUAGGAGAAGAUUCUCUUAGCAAAAUAAAAACUUUUAUCUUAUCAAAACAUAUGCAGGGAACUUAGUUAUGAUGUCAUGUUAGCAUUAUCUCUGAGGAUUUGAUUUCUUGAUGGGGAAAGGGGAAUUUAAGGUUACAUUAUUCAGCAAUGUUUUUUUUUUAAAAAAUUAUGUUCAAAUUAUGCAGCCUUUAAGCGGAUAUGGAGUGUCCAAAGUGUUGGAUUCCACGCCUCCAAAUUAUAAGAAAGAUGACUUGGGUGGCGUUUGUUUUUUAACUUAAUGACUUAAAGUGACUUAACUUAAUUAAUUAAGUUAAUUAGAGAUGUUUGUUUUUAUAACUUAAUGUGACUUUUUAAAUAAUUUUGACUUAAUAAAAUAAGCCAAUUUUAUUUACUUUUUACUUAAUAGAGACAUCUGAAUUAAGUCAAGUACUUUCUAAUGUCAAAAAUAUACAUGCUUUAUAAUUUAUUUUUCAUGUCUAUCCCAAAACUCACCCAUAGACAUUUACCCCACAUAAUAAUCUCAUCAUUAUUUUUUUAGCCGUCAUGAAAUCCCUCCUCACUUUGGUAUCAACUCCUCAACUAUUGAAGAUCAAAAUUACAUGCGACAACUUCGAGAUGAAUGGCAAAUCAACUGUUUCAAGCAUCUUAUUCGUUUUUUUUCUUUUUUAUAUUAUAUACGAUAAAAUUUGAAAUUUAUGGUAUUUUAUAUAUUAAAAUUCCAAAAUCAUUAUAUAUUCACUUGAAUAUAGUUUUACUUAUAAAUGUUAAAAUAUUGUGAUAUUUAAUAUAUUAUUUAUUUGACAUUCAAAUUUAAUAAGGAUACAAAUGUAAAAGUACAUAUUUUUCAGUUUUUUAAGUUGAAAAAAGCAAACAACUUAAUAAUUAUUUUUCGAGAUUCAGACGAAAAAACAAACAUAUUAUUCAGAUUCAGACAUUCAGAUCUAUUCAGAAUUUAGACUAAUUCAGGUCUAUUCAGAUUUCAGAUAAAAAAACAAACGCCACCUUGGUCCGGGGCUUAACCAGUUGGGAGGAGUUCAGUCUCAUCCAAUCACCACAACUUCUGAUUAAAAUUCUGGAUACAAGUGUGCCUCUGCCAUAAUUAAUUGACAGGUUGCUAUGUUGUUGGAAGUGCCGGAAGCAAAGAAAAGGUGAGUUUGCACCCUUAACCCUUACGCUCUAAAUAAAAACAUAACACCUUCUGAAAGAAUUGUGCAUAGAGAAUUUUGCAUGUCACAUUAUUUGUGUUCUAACUAAUCAUGGAUAUUUGAUCAUUAGUCUAACUAAAACUGACAUAUUACCACCUAGUUGACUGGUCUUUGAGAAAUGUUAGUUGAUAUAUGCUUGAAAUCAUACUUGUUUUAUUAGAUGAUUAUAUUAACCUGCUUCUUUUUCUUUGUGCUGUUUCUCGUUUGAUUACAUUUUCAACAUUAGGUCGAUCUAUUGAAGCACAAGUUUGGGUUUGAUGAUGCCUUUAACUAUAAGGAAGAGCCUGACUUGGAUGCAGCUCUUAAUAGGUUAGCACGAAUGAAUGCUUUAACCAUUUUUCUCACUUCAUUAUUACAAUGCGCUGAUUGAAGUAAUCAGUGUUGGCUCUGAAAAUGUAACGUAUACUUCUCUGUUUUCAUAAAACAGGACAAACAGUGAUCAGUGAUCUCAUUCGUUACAUUGAUAUUUUCUACCAUUGCCAUACAUAGUAUAAACUAGGAAUUCAGUUGCUUAAUAGAUAUUCAUUUCAGAGGGAAAUUUUCACUUGCAGCUAACAGAAUCAUGUUUGUGAUGUAUGUUUAUUUGGGAAAUGAAAGGAUUUGUUGCAUUAUUUUAUUCCAAGUUUGCUGAAAUCAUAUUUGUUUUCCCAGGUGCUUUCCUGAAGUUAUCGACAUCUAUUUCGAAAAUUUUGGAGGUAAGAUGCUUGAUGCAGUGCUACUCAACAUGAGAAUUUGUGGCCGCAUCGCUGUAUGCGGAAUGAUCUCACAGUACAACUUUGAGAAGCCUGAAGGUGUACACAACUUGAUGCAAGUAGUUGGAAAACGAAUUCGCAUGGAAGGAUUUCUUGCCAGUGAUUUCUACCACCAAUAUCCAAAAUUCUUGGAACUGGUUAUGCCGGCAAUCAAAGAAGGAAAGUUAGUAUAUGUCGAGGACAUAGCUGAAGGCCUCGAGAAAGCUCCAUCAGCCCUAGUUGGGAUAUUCACAGGUCAAAAUGUUAAAAAACAACUGGUUGUAGUUGCUCGGGAAUGAUAUGAUUACUAUAUGCUUUAAAAAGUGGACUUUGCCAUGCACUUUAAAAGCUUAGUGAAGAUGCCUUUGUCUUAUUUUUGAUACAUGUUAUGUUUGUUUGAUCAAGUUGUACUCAGCUAUAAAUCAAAGAUUCAGAACAUGUGUAUGAUACUGGUUUCUAAAUCAAUGAACGCGUUGAAAUGUUAGUGUUUUCACAGGAGAAUGCAAUUUAAUUCAUCAACAAUGUCCCAACAAGACCCUCAGAGCUGUAGCUUGUAAAGUUAAUUACGAUAUUUUUUUGUAAAGUAAAUUACCAUAUUUUUUUCUUUCCAAUAUAUUGCUUAUUUCAUAGAAAGUUUACAUUAAAGUCUCAUGUUUCUUUGAAAGGUAAGCAAGUGUGAACGUUUCAAUCUAGAGCUGGAAAAUGCAUUUCCGGGCAACUUACUUGAUACAUGAAGUUUUCAUCUCUGACCUUGAUGUUUCCCAUAGUUGCAUUCAUUUCAGCUGAUCUAUUUAAUUUUGUUUUCGAAGGAGUGACACAAAAUCUCCUUUGUUAAGGGGAGAAUUUAGAGUGGCUUUGACUGUUAGCAAAUAGCCUAAUGUAAGACUUAACCAACUUCCUGCCCUGUUGUAUGCUUAUGAAUUUUGAUAGAGCUAAGAGUUUGCAGAAGCUACUGUAUUAUUUGUCGUUAGAGGCUGUAAAAAUCAAACACAUUUAAAUUUCAAUGAAAAUUUACUGGAAGUAAAUUUCCUAUGAUCCCACAGGUGACUAAUUAAUGAGAACUUGACAAUGACAAAAGAAAGUCUAUGAACUUUGCAGGCUGGCAUGCCAAUAUUGACUGGGUGGCACCAUCCACCAUCUGCAAGUGAAUAUCAUUGUUGUUUAAUCAACAAGGUGGAGUCCACUGGGACCACACCACAUCGUCAGCCUUAUCUCUAUUCCUCAAUUUUCAGUAUUCCAUACAUCAAACCAAUUUCAGUUUUGUUAUCAAUUAUAAUUUUAUUGUUGGUGACGAUUCUGAUUCCUUUCUGACAAAAGGGAACCAUGGCUGCUGCUGGAGAGAUCUUACUCAACGCCUUCUUUCAGGUACUGUUCGACAGGUUGGCUUCUCGUAAUUUGCUCAGCUUUGUGCGUCAACUCCAAGGCGGGGUUGAUUCGGAGCUCAAAAAGUGGGAGAAAAAGCUGAAGAUGAUUCGGGCUGUGCUCUGCGAUGCAGAGGAGAAGCAACUGACUGACGAGGCUGUGAAGAUGUGGCUGGACGAACUCCAAGACUUGGCUUAUGACGCUGAGGACACUCUUGAUGAGUUUGCUACUCAAGCUUUGGAAAGCAAGUUGAUGGCGCAAAAUCACGAUAGUUCUGGCCAGGUUCUCAGUUUCAUCCCGGCUGGUUUGAAUCCGAAUGCUAUUAUGUUCAAUUAUAGCAUGGGGUCCAAGAUGAAAGAUAUUACUAGCCGGCUGGAGCAACUCUGCCAAGAAAGAAUUGAACUUGGACUGCAACGGAUUACCGGAGAGGCAUCAUCAACUGCUGCUGCUGCACACCAGAGGCCACCCAGUUCGAGUGUCCCAACAGAACGUGAAGUAUUUGGAAGAGAAAAAGAUAAGGCCAAAAUUCUUGAUAUGUUAUUAGCCGAUACCAUAAGUGAUCAUGCUAACUUUGUUGUAAUACCCAUUGUUGGCAUGGGUGGGAUAGGAAAAACAACUCUCGCUCGGGAGGUUUACAAUGACAAAGCCGUUGGAGGUUCCAAGUUUGAUGUAAAAGCAUGGGUUUGUGUAUCUGAUGUCUUUGAUGUUUUGGGCAUCUCAAAGGCACUUCUCGAGUCAAUCACCCGCAGGCCUUGUCUUCUAAACAGUUUAAAUGAAGUGCAGGUUGAAUUGAAAGUAGCUGUGGAUAAGAAAAGAUUCUUGCUGGUCUUAGAUGAUGUUUGGAACGAGGACUACAGCUUGUGGGUAGACUUAAAAGCUCCGUUCCUGGGUGCUGCACCAAACAGUAAGAUGAUCGUCACCACACGCAAUUCAAAUGUUGCAUCAACAAUGGGACCAAUUGAACAUUACAAUCUCAAGAGUCUGUCAGAUGAUGAUUGCUGGUCCAUUUUCAUAAAGCAUGCAUUUGAAUCUAGAGAUCUUAACGCACAUCAAAUUUCAGAAUCAUUCCGCAAGAAAGUUGUUGCCAAGUGUGGAGGCUUGGCCCUGGCAGCAAAAACACUCGGAGGCCUUCUGCGUACGACGAGGCAUGAUGCGUGGGAUGAUAUAUUAGAGAGCAAAAUAUGGGAUUUACCUCGACAAAGUGGGGUUCUCCCAGUAUUAAGAUUGAGUUACCAUCAUCUUCCUUCUCAUUUGAAAAGAUGUUUUGCUUUUUGUGCCAUCUUUCCAAAAGAUUAUGAAUUCACUGAGAAGGAGCUGACUUUCUUAUGGAUGGCUGGAGGUAUUAUUCGACAGUCAAGAAACAAUGAGCAGCUGGAAGAUUUGGGCAGCAAGUGCUUUGGUGAUCUAGUGUCGAGGUCAAUUUUUCAGCAAACAGCAAGCUCUGAUAGUUCUAAAUUUGUAAUGCAUGACCUUAUUCAUGAUCUUGCUGAAUUGGUCUCUGGAGAAACCAUAUUCAGGUUAGAGGAGGCCAAUACUCUGUCAAGAAGAUUUGAAAGGGUUCGCCAUUCUUCCUAUGCUUGUGGUGGAUGUGAUGGUAAAAAUAUGUUCGUGGUUUUCAAUGAAAUUGAACAUCUACGAACAUUCUUGCCAUUACGCUUACGCAUAAGAGGUGGCUCUAAUACUAGUUACAUAACUCGUACGGUUCUAUCUGAUUUGCUGCCGAAGUUCAAAAUGUUGAGAAUGCUAUCUUUACAAGGAUACCGUAUUGGUGAGUUACCAAUUCCAUUUGAAGAUUUGAGACUACUAAGGUUCCUCAACCUUGCUGACACUGACAUAAGAAGUUUACCUGAGUCAACAUGCAAAUUGCUGAACUUGGAAAUUUUGAUAUUAAGAAAUUGUUCCUAUUUGAUAAAGCUUCCGCAGAAAAUGAGGAAUUUGAUCAAUUUACAUCACCUCGAUAUAAGAGGUGCGAAGUUGCUGAAGGAGAUGCCAUUCGGAAUGAAAGAGUUGAAGAAGCUUCAAACAUUGUCCAAUUUCAUCGUGGGCAAGGGCGAAACUGCAUCUGGUUUGGAAGAUUUAAAAUGUUUAAACUUUCUUGGUAAUGAACUUUGCAUUGCUGGAUUAGAGAAUGUGAAUAAUCCACAGAAUGCAAGAAGAGCCGCAUUAUGCGAGAAGCUCAAUCUUGAAGCAUUGACUCUAGAAUGGGGGUCUCAAUCUGACAGUCCUCGAGAUGCAGUACCAGAAGAGAAUGUACUUGACACUCUACAGCCGCAUAAACGUAUAAAAGAGCUGGCAAUCAGACACUAUGGUGGUGCAAGAUUUCCACUUUGGAUCGGAGAUCCUUCAUUCUACGAGAUGAAGGUCCUUAAAUUGGAGAACUGUGACAAUUGUGUAUCUUUGCCGUCGCUUGGCCUGAUGAGUUCACUUAAGCACCUUGCUGUUAAAGGGCUGAAGAAACUAAAAAGCAUAGAGUCUGAGGUUUAUGGGGAGGGUUUCUCAAUGCCUUUUCCGUCACUGGAGAUUCUAAGUUUCGAGAAUUUGCCAGAAUGGGAGCAUUGGGACACCGAGAUCAAAGGAAAUGCGCCUGUUGAUUUAUUUCCUCGUCUCCAAGAACUUUCCAUUGCAGAAUGUCCCAAACUCUCUGGACAACUGCCUGAGCUCCUGCCUUCCUUGAAGACACUUGUUGUUAGUAAAUGUGAAAAGUUGGUAGUUCCAUUGUCUUGCUAUCCAAUGCUUUGCAGAUUAGAAGUUGAUGAGUGCAAAGAACUAGUCUGCCGGACUCCGAUUGAUUUUAAGUUGAUAAAGUCCAUGACUAUUUCAAAUAGUUCAUUAGACAUGAAUGGACGCAAGGGGAUGUUAUACGAUGGUCCAGCUGGCUCUUCACUGCCAAACCCCAUGACUACUACAAAUGUUUUAGAGUUUGGAAAAUUAUUGAAGCCUGGAUUUCAGAUAUUCGAAACUUUGGUAAUUGGCAAUUCUGAACAGCUCAAGUUAUGGAGGCAGCAUGGGGAUUUUCCGAAAAAAUACAUGGUCACUGACCAUGGGUUCAAGAAACCAGUACGAGGGCUGAAUAUGCUCGCUUCCCCUGAAGAGGUAACAAUUGAAGAAAGUUGCGUACGUCUUGUUUUGAUUCCAGAGAUCAAUUUCCUUCUCAGAAAUCUGCGCUCUCUUAUAAUUAACAACAGCACUGCUUUCAAAUCCUUACCCGAGGAAAUGAUGGAAAACAAUUCACAACUCGAAAGAUUGUAUAUCAGAGAUUGCGACUCUCUAAUAUUCAUCGCAAGACGGAGGCUACCAGCAUCUCUUAAAAGGUUUGAGAUAGGAAAUUGUGAGAAAUUGCAACGUCUGUUCGAUGAUGAAGAGGAUGCUUCUUCUUCUUCUUCUCCUUCAUCCUCGUCUUCCCCAGUGAUGCUGCAACACCUGAGUAUAGAGAACUGCCCAGAGCUCACCAGUUUAUCAUCGGGUGUCCAAUUCCUUGAGGCGCUUGAAGACCUCGUGAUACAGCAGUGUCGAAAGCUGGAGUCAAUACCGGAUGGCCUGCCCAAUCUUAAAUGUUUACAGAGCAUUAAUAUACGGGAAUGUCCAAGUCUUGUUUCCUUAACAGAAAGAGGGCUUCCCAACACCAUUUCAUUUGUUUACAUUUGCAGAUGUGACAAGCUCGAAGCCUUGCCCAAUGAUUUGCACAAACUCAGCUCUCUUCGAGAAUUAUUCAUACAGCUCUGUCCAAAUCUUGUAUCGUUUCCAGAAGAAGGUUUUCCUACCAAUCUAACAACACUUGUAAUUGGAGAUUUCAAAAUGUAUAAGACACUCGUCCAGUGGGGGUUGCACAGGCUUACCUCUCUUAAACGCCUCUGGAUUGCUGUACGUGAUGAUGAAGCAGAGUGUUUUCCAGACGAGGAGAUAGGAAUGACGCUGCCCACCUCUCUCACUGAUCUGCACCUUUUUGAUUUCGAAAAAUUGAUAUCUCUGUCUGCGACGGGUUUUCAGAGUCUCACCUCUCUUCAGAGUUUGUGGAUCGGGAAUUGCCCGAAUCUCACAUCAUUUCCAGAGGUGGGCCUUCCAUCCUCACUUUUGGGCUUAGACAUUAGAUAUUGUCCAAAGCUUAAAACAGCGUGCAAAAGAGAUGAAGGAAAAGAGUGGUCCAAAAUUGCUCACAUCCCUCACGUUGAGAUAGACGGUAAAUUCAUAUACGAUCCAGAAGCAGAGGAGUAGGUUCUACUAUUAAGGUCAGUUGAUUUGUAUUAUCCGCUAUAACAAGCUCCUCCUUUUUUAUUUUUUUUAAAAAUAAUAAUUUUGCAGUCACUCACGUGAUUCCGUUUUCACAAGUCAGAUUGUAUGUUGAGGCUAUUUGCCUUUUAAUCGCAGAUUAAAUUAUAACACUUAUCUUAAAAUUUAAUACCAUACACAGAUAGACGAUUUUUUAAUCCAAAGUUUUUUUUAUUCACUUCAGUUAGCAUUUUUUUUUUCCCCAAAUCAUGCAAGCCGAGAGUUUCAAUCAAGAAUUGGAGGAUGUGAAUGGGAUUUUUGUGAAAGAGUAACAUAAUGGAUGAACGAACAUUUCAUAUGUGAUCUCAAAGUCAACAGAAUUUUAUUCACUCGUUGACUUUUCAACUGCUGUGGUUAUUUAUGGGUGAAAGAUAAGGGCAAUUACAAAAAAUUUGCAAAAUUUGUCAAUUUCUUAGAUGGUAGAAAUUGGAGUAUAAUAUUUUGGAGCAAGCAUACUUGAAAUUUCUGUCUUCAAUAUUUUGAUGCUUUCUUAUCCCAUGCACAAAAGUACUAGAAAAAACUAAUAACAACUAACCGAAAAUCCCAGGCGUCAUAUUCCUUUUUACCGCGUUUUAAAAUGCACAACAAUGAUAUUCUUACAAAUUUGCAAAAUUUGUCAAUUUCUUAGAUUUCAGAUAUUUUAAUGCUUUUUUUAAUUUUUGAUCUAGUAAAAAUACAUAGCCUUCACCGGCAGGAUUCUAGUCUUGGCUUUCACCUCUCUAACUCAUCUGUUCCCAUUGGGAUUCCAGAAGCUAGAAAAAUGUGUAGUUUUCAGAUAAGGAGGCUUGUCAGUUCUCUAGUAAGAAUCCAAUGAUUUGCUUUUGAACGUCCAUCUAAUUUGUGGAUCCUUGCAUCAGAAUUUGAUCAAUCCAAAAGGAAUUGCUUUUAGACAGAAGAAGAAUAGCAGCACCUAGCCUACCCGCAAACCUGAAACUAUUAGAUUGAGGUAAAAAAAUCAUUGACCCUCACAUGUUAACUUCUUCUAGUUACUUUCGUUGGGAAAAAAAAAAACAUUUAAGGAAUUUGCAAUUUGUUGUUAGUUAUGGUAUCUGAUGUUCUUUUCUGCUUUAGCAUUUGUAGAAUCUACUGUAUUAUGUGUUGGCAGUUGCCGUAUCUGAGGUAACUUGCCUUUAUUUGUUUGCUUCUGACUUAAGGACACCAACAUUUGCCAGAGAUUUAGAGAAUCAUCUCAAAACACUUAGCAAACUUGACAAACUUCAAGAUGCACUUGCCCCCACGCCUUAUUCUCAACAACGCAAAACUUGUGAGUACACCUAUGCCUGCAAUUAUUGUGAAGUGUUCGCAAUUCUGAUGCAGAGAAAUGGUUUCUUGAUGCAAAGUAUUAAACUGUUAAGAUUUAUCCUGCAGGCUUGUUAGAUGCUGGAUACGCGAAAAGCCAACAACAUCAAGAACUGCAACUCCAAGACCAGCUUUGCGUUAAUUCAGUCAGCUGUAAUAAUGAUGCAAAUGACACUAUAUCAAGCUGGACUUAGAGACUAGUCAGAUAAAUCAUCCAUUUCAUCAACGGUUAAUGUCAUGAUGGUGGCUAUCAGAGGAAACAAAAGAUGUGUCGGAAUCUAUACAAACAUUGAGAAGCAUGAGAGGAGCUUUGAUUUUGAGUAGGGUCAAUGAACUCAUAUUGGUAAGUGGUAAUUAAAGAAACUUUGUAAGCUUAGUAGAGUUUCAGUAUUUUCUGUUUGGAGUAUAGUUGAUAAGUUGACUCUGUUUAAGAAGCCCGAUUAUAGUAGCUGACUGUAUUAACCUUUUUUUUUUUUUUUUUGGGUCUGCUGUUGUUUUUGGUUUCGAUUAUUUUUUCAACAUUGGGUUGAUCUGUUGAAGAACAAGCUUGGGUUUGAUUAUGCUUUAACUACAAGGAAGAGCCAGACUUGGAUGCAGGCGUUAAGCUUUUAAUGGGUAAGAACAAAUGAAUGCUUUAACUAUGUUUCUCACUUAUUAAAAUGCACGGAUUGAAGGCAUCUGGGUUGAUCCUGACAAUGUGAUGGAAAUACUUCUCUGUUUUCAUAUAACAGGACAAAUAGAGAUCUCUGAUCAUGCCUGAAUUUUUGUUGCAUUGAAAUUUCUACCAUUAUCAAACAUAGAAUGAACUAGGGAUACAUUAGCUUAAGACUAAAUUUUGAGAAGGAAGUUUGUACUUGCAGCCUAUAAAAUCAUGUCCAUGUUGUACGUUUCUUUGGGAAAUGAAAGAUUCUGUGUGUUCUUUUAUUUCAAGUUCACUGAAAUCACAUUUGUUUUCUCAGCUGCUUUCCAGAAGGUAACAACAUCAAUUUCAAAAAUGCUGGGGCAAGAUGUAUCAUGCAGUGCGACUCAACUUGAGAAUUCCUGGCCACAUUACCCGUAUGUCUAAUGAUCGCACAGUACAACCUUGAGAAGCUUGUAAUGAGUACACAACUGGGUGCAAGUAGUUUUGAAAUGAAUUUGCCUCAAAUGAUUUCUUGCCGGUGAUUAAUAUAACCUCUAUUCCAAAAUUCUUGGAACUGGUCAUACUAGCAAUGAAGGAUUGCAUACAUUGAAGACAUAGCUGAAGGCCUUGCGAGAGCUCUGUCAGCCCUUGUACCGGAAAACAGCUGGUCGUAGUCGCUUGUGAAUGAUAUGAUUAAUAGAUACUGCAAAAAUGAAUUGUGCCAUACAUUUUCAGCGCUCUGUGAAGAUGUCUUGGUCAUUUGUUUGAUGCUUGUUUGAUUUAUGUUGUAUUCAGCCAUAAAUCAGAGAUUCAGAACUUGGGUAUGUUUCUGGUUUCCAAAUCAAAAAAUUGCCUUGUGAUGUUAGUGUUCACUGUUUUCACAGGAGAUCAGGUUCCUUGUUAAUGAAUCAAGAAGAAGGCAAGCGCAUCCAUGUCCAAGUUCAAAUGUGUCUCCUCUAUUUUCUAUUACCCACUCAUUUAUUUUGAUUUCUUCAUUGUAAUUGAAUUAGUUUUUUAUUCCAAAUUAGUCAAAACCUCGUAGAGUCAUUAAGUUCUUUUAGCAUUUAAAGACAGAACUACGAACCAAAUGAUUUAAGUUCUUCGUUGUAAUUGAAUUUGCUUUCCCAUCUUUAAAGAUAUUAUGUUCUUUUUCACUUUUUCGAUUUGGUUAGUGGUGAUUUCUUAAAGACUCAAUCCAUUUGCGUUAAUACAUUUUUCUUUUGCCUUGAUUUCUGUUUCUUGGGGAGUUUAUACAUAUUCUUAUUUUAUGCUACACAUGCCAUAUACAGAUUCUUAUUUUAUGCUUCACAUGCCACAUGAAAGGUCAAAGCCUUGUGUGUGAUUAGAAUUUACUGGCAUCAUAGUAACUUUAAACCAUUGUGACGUUUUAGUAAUAACAGUCUGAGCUCUCCCUGAAGGAUUCAAAGCAUUUUAUUUUAUAUUAUACUCCUUUAUAUGGUUUGGCUGGUCUCUUUUAAGGCAAUUCCUGUUUAAAGUAAUCAAAAUUUUGAUUUCGAAGUGUCUUUCAACACUACCGCUAGUUCUUUAAGAAAAGUAAAUCGAUUUUGAGUCUUCUGUAUCAUCUGAUUGAAAUACAUGAAAGCACUCUUAGCUGCAAAAGUACACUUGGAGUUAUAAUAGCAUUCUGAAAUCUCCUUGAAGGAUUCAAAAGCUCUUUAUUUGCUAGUCUUUGCUUGCAAUAAACUCCUUUAAUAUACAUUGGUUGAUCUUCUUUAAAGCAAUUACCAUAAGUUCUUUAAAUAAUAAAACGAUUUUGAGUCUUCUGUAUCAUCUUGUUGAAAUACAUGAAAGCACUCUUGGCUGCAAAAAUGCACUUGGGGUUAUAUAUAAAGUCUUCAACAGAAUUUUAUUUCCCCCUUUAUCCUCAUGGUGGUUUUUUUAGUUGUUUUUUAAGAAAUCGCUUGAAGGUUCUCUUUAAAAAUAAUUUUAACAUAAGCAUUCUUUAGAAGCACUUUAGAUGUCUGGCAUUUAGAAAAUUUUGUUCCUGUGUUCACAUAAUAUAAUAUAUAUAUAGAAAGCUGACUGUAGAAUAGAGGAGAACGAGUUGGUGUUGGUCUGAACUCUGAUCUUUGAACCUCAUGUGACUCCACUACUUUUUACUUGUUCUGUACAAGGUCUUUUAGCUUUUCAAAAAGUUUUAGCUUUAUGGAUAAAAUACUGUUAAUUGUAAUCUAUAAAUAAUGAAAGGAAUUAAUAAAAUAUUAGGUAAAUUUUAUUUUCUAAAGUGUUAUGAGUUCUAAAACGGCUGUAUGUAUAUAAAUUUAUUUACACAUAUAUUUAUAAAUAUGAUUAUAUAAUAAUAUUUUAUGUGUACAUAUCAUAAUUGAUAACUAAAAUAAAUAUUUUUAUUUUAUUAAUGGUUUUUUCGUCUCAAUGUAGUUGGUAAUAAUAAUCUCUUUAGAUGUAACGAUUUUAUUUCCUAACUGAAUAAGGAAAAUUUUAGAUUUUUAUAAUAAAUGUUAAAUAUAUUUAGAAUUACAUUAAGUAUGAAAUAAUCCUCAAAAUUAGAUUUUGAAAAGUUAUUCUUUUCUUGCUUUUAAAAAUAUGUCAUAUGAUGAGAUGAUUUUACUAAAAGUGAUUUUUUUAAAAAAAAUUACUAAACAUCAAAAUUAACUCUUAACUUUUUAAAAUCAUUUCUAAUCUUCUCAUCCUAAGUUCUUUAUUGUUUUGUACAAAAUCCAAGGUUUUGACUUUUAUAAAAUGCCCACUCAAAAAUAAAUUAUUUUCUAAUUAAGAUUUGUUGUUAAUGUAUAACUCGAAGUAAUAUUAGAUAUUUGUAAUUUUAUUUCAAAAAUUUUAUUCAAAUGAUAUGGCAAGCAAUGAACAAUAGUUGAUAGCAAUUUGUUUUUUUUUUUAACAAUGUUCAAAUCAAUCAGUUGCAUUAUCUCACCAUUUUUAUGAUGUCAUGUUAUUUUAAAUGAUUUUUUUAAUUUUUAUAUAAAGCAUACGACGUGUUAACAUCAUUUGCAUAACUUGACCUUUUUUUUUUCCUACAAAUAGUAAGUCAAAUUUACUCACCCUAUUUGUACCUAAAAUCUACCUAAAACUCAUGCAUCACUGUAAAGCAAAUCCAAAGAUUGCGGUACGUUUUUCUUGGUAAGAAAUCAAUAAUUAGGUCAAGUACCGCUACUAAGCGUGCUCAAUUAAUUCUAAAAUACGGUGAUCAAACUCAUACUUCACGCAAGAGGAUAAGGGCUAAACCUCAAUUAGGCAUUAUUCAUCCAAAAUUCAUUGACUGGGCAUUCUUUGCAAGUGGUAGCAUGGGACAGCUAAGAUAAUUAGCAAAUGAUAUGGACCAUACGCACCCGUAUGUUUGUGACAUGUGAAUCUUGGCAUUAAAGGAAAGGUAAUGUGUUAAAAUUUAAUAGAGCCCAACUCUUCAUUGAAUGAUUAUCAGAUCCAACGAGCAUCCUUUGAUGGGAUUAUUUUAAGUCAAUUAUUGGUGGAUUGGGGCCCACUUGACUCUACCAAAUCGGGCUCCACCAUAUCACCUAUUAACGACCACCUGUCCUUAUCAUAAAUAGCAAAUGUCACUUGUUUUAUUUUGUAUUUUACCAAAAGCAAAGUCACUACGAGCACUAAUGAAAGUGACCCCAAUUUUGGGGGUCAUGAACUUGGGAUUAUUAUGGACACAAGAGACAAGCGCAAUGUUUCUCAUUUCUCACUAGAUAAGAUUUAAGUUAUCAACCCAAUAUUAAUAAAUUCUGCUUGAAAAGUAAAGUUUGAAGCUUCAUUUUGCGAAUAUUCAAUGGUUAACAUUUAAGGGUGCGUUUGGGAUUGAGGUUGGGCAGCUGUAGCUUAAAAGCUACAGUACUAAAGUGUUUGGUAAACACUAGCUACUGUAGCUUUUAAGCUAUGUUGAUAUAAUUUUUCACUUGUAUAAUAUAAAAUUUAUUAUAUCUUUAAUAAUUUUGAUAAAAUUAUUAUUUAAAAUUUAUAUUUACUAUAUAUUAUUAACUUUUAUUUCAUAAUUACAGCUUUUUUUUCACAGCAGCUGUAGCUUAAAAGCUACAGCACCUCAAUCCCAAACACACCCUAAGUAAUUAACCUGAUAUUAAUCCAAUUAAACUUUUUAUGUAAUCCAAGUCAAACAUAUAUUGAUAAACCUAAAUUAAUCUAAUUGGACAUAUUAUUUCAACUUGAAAAGGUGAAUCUAUCAUUUUUCAAUUAAUUUUGAAUCAAGCUAUGUAAAAUAUAAGCUUAUUAAGGACAUAUUUGAAAAAUUCAAAUUGAAUUAUUUGACAAUUACAUUUCAACUAAGUUGUACUGCUAAUUAACUUCCUCAACUUAAAAUGUAUUUUUCUCAAUUAAUUCGUAACAAAGAAUGUUAGAUGUUUUGUUCGAAUAAUAACAUUCAACAUCCUUAUUCUUUAUGAUUAUUGCAUAAAAAAUAUAUUUUAUCCAUUUACGUCACAUAUGUUCCUAAAUUGUAUAAGAAAAUCACUAAAUUUACUCUUGUAAGUUACUAUAUCAAUGAACAUGAAAUUAACUAAUCAUUAAAGUCUCGGAAUGACAUCAUGAGGGGGAUUCAGUUACAUUUAUUGAUAGGAUUAUAUAUAUACCUUCUCAAAUAUUAGUAAGAGCAAUUAAACAGAUGCAGCAAUUAAAAAUAUGGAAUUACUUAUCUCGUCAAUAACUAACGAUAUUUUUUAUCUAUGCUCGAUAGGCGUCUGAGCUAUAUUAUAAAUUGUAAUAUUUGUAGAUUGUAACAAUUAUUAAAAAAAAAAAAAAAAGCUCCCUAAGACUAAAUGACAAAAGGACUGUUUUGAAAUAGAUAGAUAAAAUAUGCCCUUAUUUGAGAAAAGGUAAAACACUAGGGAUCUAAAUGUUAUUAUAAUCCCAUGCACAAAAAUACCAGAAAAAACUAAUAACAACUAACCGAAAAUCCCAGGCGUCAUAUUCCUUUUUACCGCGUUUUAAAAUGCAACAAUGAUAUCACUACUACAAAAAUGACAUUUACUGACACUUUGUUUCUGACACUUAGUAAAAAGUGUCAGAAAUGGUGUACAUUUGGACCAUUUUCCUCCUUUAACAAGUAUGUAUCAUAAAUCAUUGAUACUAAGGUGUCAGUAGCUUAAAACUCAGUGAUUAUUGAUACUAAAGCAUCAGUGAUAAAAAAAUAAUAGUAUUAAUUUUGUUUUAAUUUGAACUCGAACUCAAGAUCUCUAAACUUAAAAUUUGUAAGUUUAGAGUGCAAACCAUUGAUGCAAGUGUUUUUAAAUUUUCAAUUUGAUUAAUUUUUUUAUUUAAUUAAAUUUUAUACAAUUACUUUGUGGACAAUAAUAAUAAUAAUAAUAGUUUUGAGAAUAAUAUUUUUUAUUUUGCCACAUGUCAGCUUGUAAUUCGUUGUUAAUAAUAAUAAUUUUACUUGACCACGUGUCGACUUAUAGUUUGUUGUUUUAUUAAAUUACAAUGCGAACAACUACACUAUAUAAUUUUUCAAAGUAUAAAAUGAAAAUAAGAAACCCUAAAUCUAACCUAAUCAAACACACCACUUCUUAAGUUGCUGCCGCCGCUCCCCUGCUCCUUGACUUUCACUGCUGCCGGCCGCUGCUCCUCGACUUUCACUGCUGUCGGCUGUCGUUCCUUGACGUCACUGCCGCCUUUGCUCUGCUGUUGCCAAGCUUCAGCCACCGACGACUAGCUAGCCACCUUUCAGUACGUCGCUGCUACCACUUUUAUGCCGUCACAUCAACUUCAGCUCAGCCAGCCACCGUUCCUUUACCGCCGAGAUCAAGAACCAUUUCUUUCUCUUCUCUCUUUUGGUACAGGUAUGAAAAUAUUGCAGAGGAGUUAAUCUGUUAAUUACCUUUCUGUACGUCGCUGCUGUCAUUCGUGUACGUCAUUGCUGCUACUCAUCUUGGUCACUGCUGCCGCUCCUCUGCCGCCACGACAAGCUUCAGCCUUUUUGACAAAACAUUUCACUUGGAAUUAUAAGCAAACCCUUUUGAGACCAUAAAAAACUAAGCCAAUUUCUUUGGUUUCAAGGCCUUGUUUUUUCACUUUGAAAUCGGAUCAUACAAUGACAAGCCAAUUGAAAACUUCUGUUCAAGAUUUCAUUGUUAAAUUCAGCUUUAUUUUUAUUAUUUGUGUUCCUUUCAUUUUCUUUCCCUUUUUUUGAUUUUUAAUUCAAUUUGGGAUUUGACAGAUAUAUUUUUUAAUUUUUAUAAAAAUUUAUCUUAUUUGCAGGAUGCUAAGGGACAGGAUGUUGAUCUUAGCAUCUACAAGGGAAAGGUUCUUUUGAUUGUCAAUCUUGCAUCACAAUGGUGUGCCUCAGCUCCUUUCAUUUUUAAUUUUUUUUCCAUAAUGAUUUAUUGAUUAUUGUUGAUGCUUCCAUUUAAUUAAUGCUAAUACGUGUUAUCUAUCUAUCGGGAGUCUAAAUUUUAUAGAAUUAUAUCAUACUCGGAAGUAUGCAUGCUCCCAAUACAAAUAAGUGUUUAUAAGAGAGGAUUUCACCCAAAAUCUUUAAUUCUUGCAAAAUGCUAGUGGCUCCGUUUGCACAAGUUUAGUUUUCAUCCAUGUUCGUUCCUUUACCAUAGCGGUUCCUUUACCACUGAGGUCAGACACCAUUUCUUUCUCUUCUCUGUUUUGGCACAGGUAUGAAAAUACUACAGAGAAGUUUCUCUAUUAAUUACCUUUUAUGAAAAUAAUAUAUAUAUAUUAUUCACAUGUUUAAUUGAGAACAUCUAAUAAUAUAGUAAUAAUAUAGUGGGCAAACUAUAGGAAGGUUGUUAGUAGACAAUUCUAAUUUUAGCUUUACUUUGCAAAUGAAAGAUUAGAAAUAUUCCGUCGAACCCAUUUUACUAUAUUGGAGGUUUGGGCUAAUCUUGUAUAGAUUUUUGCUCAGAAGAAGGAUGGUUCUCCAAGGGCGGUGGGUUGGUUUUUCUAUAGACUAUUCCCCUAUUUUCCCAUUUUGCUUUUCUUUGAGGAAACCUGGUCCAUUUUUUUUGUGUUUUCUUUCUUCAAUCAAAUAUGUAUUUCUCAAUCUCCUCUCAAAAAAUACCUAUCUCAUUUUAUUAUAUGUUUAUGAAUUACUAAUUGUAUUUUGUUAGUAUUCCAUGUUCGAAGAAGAAUAUUAGAUUGAAGAAAGAAGAAUAUUAGAUUGAAGAAAGAAGAAGUUGUUCCUUUGCUAAUCGUUUGAAACCCAGGUUUGCACUGAAUCUGAUUUUUAUCUUUAACUUUUUUACUUGACCCAUACUUGAAUCAAAUUUUUGCUCCACUUUCCUUUCUUUCGUCAAUUUAAUUAUCAAUCCACUUCAAACCUAAAAAGAUUUAGUAAUUGGGAAACCCUUUUUUUUUUAAAGAAUUGCAAAGUACUGUAAUUGGAAACUGGGUUCAUGUCUUAAAAAGUAACCUGAUUUGUAAUGUUUGGCUUAUAGUGGCCUUCUAUUUCUGUUUUUCAUCUCGGCUUGGUUAAUUUCUUUACUAGUCGUUUAAAUUUUGUUAAUUUUUAUUUUUCCUCUUUAAGCUCAUUAAAUAUCUUUUUUUUUUCAAUUUAUGGCUUUCGGUCCAACUGAUCAUCGUUGAAUGUGGGCACUAUAAAUGUUAUAGUGCUUGUUAACUUAAUGUAUUUGAUCAUAUAUUAUAGUAUUGUUUACUUUAAAUUUAGACAAUGAAAUAGAUUACAAAAAAAAUAACUUAUGCUUGUCAAGUUGUAGACACCAUCGUUCAUGUCAUCAUUACUGAAUAUUGAUGUACUUAUUAAGUGUUCUCUUUAAUACUUGAUAGAAUACUUUUGGUGAAGCAAUUUUGGUAUCAUGAUUGCAGGCUGUAAUUAACUUGGGAACGUGUAGAUUCUACAAUUUCUUUUUCUGAUUCCUUAACUUGCUUCUUUUAAUCCUACUCUUCUAUGUUGAAGUAAUUUAUGAAUAUUUUUGCUUCAAAAUAACUAAGAUAUAUUUUUCACAGUAUACUAAUUGAUUUUAUGCAUUUGUAGGUGGGAAAAAAAUGAAGCCGUGGAUGGAUAUUGAGUGACCUUGUGCUUUUUUUUUUUUUUUUUUGGGUUGGAAACUUAAUUGAGUAGUAGUUAGCACUUGUUGUUUAGAGAUUGUUGAAAAUUUAAUUUGAUACUUAUGUUAAGUCUUUUACAUAUAGUGAUGUAGUUGAAUUGUGUGAAUUUAUGUGAUGUAUUUGAGAUGUUUAUUAUAUGAAUUGUGUUGCAAGAUAUUUAAUAAUAAAUAUAUUUCGUGUUUUCUUUUGGUUGUACAACAAACACGAAAAAUAUAAUUAAAAUAAAAAUAUACUAUUAACCAAAAGCAGUAUAACAUUACUAAAUACUGACACUACAUAUUUAAAAUAACAAUAAGAAUUUUUUAUAUUAUCGAGUCAGUUUCUGAUACUAUAGUCACAUAAAUUACUGACAUGUAAAUAGUAUCAUUAAAUACCAACAUCAUCGUGUCAUUAUUUUAGUGAUACUAUAGUGAAACAAAUUACUGACACAAAAAUUACUGACACCAAAAAUUAGUGUCAGUGUGUUCUGGCUUGAGCAACACUGACACAAUUAACAAGUGUCAAUAAAAGUAAUUACUGACGCUAAAUUAGUGUCAGUAAAACUCAUUUUUCUAGUAGUGUAUUCUCACAAAAGUUGGUACAAAGGUUUGUACAACCAGGGCCUCUUUGUAAAUUAUUUCAAAGUUUUGUGUUAUUUUUUAAAUUUAUGAAUUUUGUUAAUUUUGAUUGAUUGGAGCAUUUCUCCUUCCAUCUCUUCUACAUCUAUCUUUAAAUUUCUUUAAAAUUUUGACUAUAUCUUUAUAGAGUUCUAAAUGAUUAUCUUUUUCAUAAAAAUCUAUACUUAAAUUAAUCCCUGAAUUUAUAAUCAUUUGUCUUCUUUGAGUCAUAGACCAAAUUUUUUCUUCUAACAUAUCUAUAUAUACUCCUAAGCUAUCUUUGCAGCUUAGAUACAUUCUAUCAAAGCUUUCGCAUAUAAAUUGUAAUUUGAGAUCUGCAUCUUGAAUCAACAUGUCUAUAUUAUCCAUUGUUUUACGCUCGAUUUUGAGUUCUAUUAUUAGUCUUGCACAUGUCUUGGAUUAUUUCGAGGGUAGUUAAAAUUGAUUCUAUUAAUGCUAUCCUGUUUUCUUCUUCAAAAGAAUCAAAUAUUUCUGAAUCAUUAAUUUCUUUUAUUUCUUCAUACAAGCGUUUGUUUGUCGCUAAUCUUGUUUUAAUCAAGGAAACUGUAUAAGCAGCUUGAUAUUCUUGACAAAAGUCUAAAUGAUCUAUUGCAUCUAGAAAUUUAUUAAUAGAUCUUUCCAUUUUUAAGAAAUUGAGUUACUCUUAUCACUUCCAAUCUUUUAACAUCUCAGAAAACAAACAAGGCCCAACAUGCUUCCGUUUGUAGCUAAAAUAAAAGAAGAGUUCAUAUCACUAACCAGUGUAAUAUCUCUCGGAAUUCUGAGAUAGACUCACUAAUUGCCUCUAACCAUAGAGAGGUCCAUGGUUAGCACCACUAUAGCUCCACAUAUCAUACAAAAUCACUUCAACGACUGUUCCAUAUGGCCCAAAGCAACACACAGCAGACUGGCCUAAUAGGAUAUGUUUAAGUGAUUUUCUUGCAGUUGUCUCUGGAAGAGUGCUUAGUAAUAGAAAAUCUUCUUCGUUUAGUACAAGUAUUGGCAUGUAAGGUUCUUGGUUAAUUUUUAAAAGAUGUAUAAGAUAUCUAGAAGAUGAUAAUUUCACUCAAAAGAGUUUUAUUUAUUCCAUCAUUGAAAUUGUUUACAGAGGAAGGUUACAGAGAAUACAGAGGUAAUUGAAGGUUAGACAUCUGAUAUAUUUCCUUUCUUACAUGCUUUCAUUUAUAUAUCUCUCUAGAGAUAAGAUUAUUUCUUUUACAUAACACAUGUUCGAUCCUUGUGGUGGAAUCUCAAUUUCCUUUUGAUAAGGUGACCCCUUCUUUAUCAUUGAAGCUAGUAGUUGUCUUCUUUUCAUGUUGGCAGACAUGAAAUAUCUGGUUCUGGUGAGCUUUUUCUUUUUUGGAAUCUGUCUUUUUGAAUUAUUGAUACUUUUUGGAUAGCACCUUUUAUCUUUUUCAGUGGUCCUCGUCACGUGCCAAUUAUCAGAUCUUCAUCUAUAGACAUGUCUUCCCCACUAGAAUCUCUUUUUUUGAUCCUUCGUAGUAGUAGCCACAUGAUGAUUGAUGCUUUAGCACCUUAUAUAUCUCGUGGUGUGUUAGCAAGGUGGAUUCCACGAGAUUUUCGAAUAUGCCCUUUUUCUUUUCUAAUAUGUUAUCCUCAUCUUUAUCAAAUUCACAUUUACAAUAUAAUUCUUUGAAGCUACAUGUAUAUUCUUCUAAAUAACAUAUAUUACAUAUUUCAAGCCUUGUUAGCUUCAUUAAAUUUUCUAUCUGUUUUCUUUUUAUUUCUUGUUGAAAAUCAAUUUCCUAAUCUUCUCCCAAGAAUUUUUUUCUUAUUUCAUUUUUGAAUCUAUUUAAAACCUGAUCAACACUUUCGUUUCGAUUAUUAUUUUCUCCAUACAAUAUUCUAUUUUUAUGGUUAUCAUUUAAUCCCAUAAACCAAUGAGAAACAAUUCCUAUAAACGAAAUUUUAAGGAAUUCUAUACUAUUAUCCCUAUCAAUUUUGUGAAAUGCAAAAGCCAUUUUCAUAGAUUUAACCCAAGCGGUAAUCGUUUUAUCUCUAUCUUUGAUACAGUCUAAAUCUAACCAUACACCAUCAUGGUUGAUUGGUCUUUCUCUAUAUUCUCCUGGAGUUUUAUAAUCUUUUUUAGGCUUGUUAAUCCUAAAAUAUUGACCUUGUAAUCUUUCCUGAGUUGGUAUUUCUUCCCUAACAUAGGAAGCUCCAUUACUAGUUUCUCCUUGUUAAAAACCAUUUGGCUUUGAUUCAUUCAUUUUUAGAUGUUCUAUUCUAUUUUCAAUAUCCUGCAAAUUAAUGACUAUAUCACCUUCUUCUUCGGAUUCAGAUUCUUUAUUAGAUAUCUCUUGAUUAGGUAAUUCUAUGUUUUCACUUAGCAUUCUUAGACUUAUUAAUUUUUUGUCUUUGUUUAUUUUGUUAAAUAUCGGUUUAGAUAUUGUUAUCAUUUCUUUAUCUUUAAGUUCAUUAUAGUAAAUUAUGGUAUCUUGUAAAAUUUUGUUUUGUUUAUUGAUCUUCUGUACUUCAAUCCUUUUGUAAUUUUCCAUUUAUGCUUAUAGCGAAUUUAUUACCAAGUUGUUCAACAAUUUUUUCAAAUUUUUGUAGUUGGAUUUCAAUCUUGUUUGAAUUUAUUUUCAAUUGAACUUUUGUUCAUAAUAUUAAAGAUUUCUUGUUUUAAUCUAUCUUGAUCUUCAAUAUUAAAGUCUUUUAUUAAUAGCUUAACAAAAUCAAAUUCUUCACUCAUUCGCUCUCCUAUCAUUUUGACUUGUCUUAUAUUUUCAGCAUCAAAGCUUUUAAUCUCAAGUAUCUCAUUUAUACUUUCUAUAUCAUCUAUGGUUAAAUUAGGGUUUCCUAAUUUAUUUAAUAAAUAUAAUGAAAUCCAAUUUAAUUGAUUAUUUCCCCACAUAUCGGAAUCAUUUACUAAAUCAAAUGGUUGAAAUCUUCCAUAAGUAAAUCCUCUAUGCCUAUAGCUAGAAGGUGGUAAUAUGUUGGUUUCAAUAUUUUGAGAAAUUAACAAUGGUUUUGGUAAUUUAUUCAUAGUACCAUCUGCAUAAUAUCUCAUUAUAUUCUAAUAAGUAUUUAUGACAUAUAAUAUUUCUUAUAUCCUUAGGGAUAUUGUUUUAUGUUAAUCCUUUAUGUAUAUAGCAAAGUUUAUACAUAAUUAAAUCUUUAUAUCCUAUUAGCAUGUUGCUAGAAGGAUAAUAUUUACUUCUGAUUCUUUUAUUUUUCCAAUUGUAUUCACCUCGUUGUUUAACAUUUAAAAAUCCGUUGUAAUCUAUUAUAAGAUCAUCUACAUAAUCUUCAAUAGAGUUAAUAUUCCAUUGUUUCCAUGAAAAAUUAUUUCUAUAUACUUCUCUCCUGAUCCUAAAGAGAAGAAUAGGAUCAAUAUUUAAAUUUCUAAUUUUUAUUAUGAUGAGUUCUCCAAUUUUAAAUUCAUGAACUCUAACUAAAUAAAACUGUAUUAAUUGUUUAUCAUCCAAUAUAUUAACUUCUGAAUAAUAAUAUUGUUUAUGUUUUGUUAUAUUAUCUUUAAUUGUAUUUCUAUCUAUCAUUAAAUUAUAUCUUCCAUUAUUAAUGGAAUAAAUAACUGUUUCGUCUAUUUUUAUAUUUUAAACCAAAAACUUGGCUCUAAUACCGUUUUGCAGAAAUCAACUAAACCCAAAAUCCAAAUGAAUUCAAAUAGGGAUGUAUAUGAUUAAUUGUUAAGAUUUUAUCUAAAUUUUGUAAUUAUAAUUUUUCAAAACUCACAGUUUUGUGCAAUCAUUUGUGUAAUCCGUUGUGAGAAUGUCUUUUUCCUUGCAUCUAAGGCAACAAAGUGGAAAACGCGUACCAACGACUCACAUAACAAUAUAACAUCUGUCCCGGAUGGAGCCGGUUGUUCAUGUCAGCAACCUACUUUGAAACGACACGUGGACCGCAAUUUGUUCUUGUUCUCAACGUUGCUAUGAAAGAAAGCAUUUUUUUCCCCUUUUCUUCUUCAUUUUUUAAAGAAAUAUUUUACUAUAUAUUUAAAAAAAAAAAUCGUUGCAAUCUGAAGAUAUUAAAUUGUGGAUCUUGUAUUGUGUGAUAAGUCCGGCAUGCAAUUUUGGGCCAGCAUACCGCGCGCAUGGGAGCAUUCACAAAGAAUCUCUCGUCACUAUCGAAAACUUUUAAUAGUCAAUACAAAUGCUUCCGUUUCAUCCCAUAAACAGAUAAAAUUCACAUCUGUACACAUCUACUUUUCUUUGCUAGAUAGAGUUCCUCUGCAUUUCCCAAUUGCCUAAAGAGAAGGGGAAAAGAAAAAGAGGGCCAAAAAAUGCCUGAAAUGGUAAGGAACAAGCAAGUGAUAUUGAAGGACUAUGUGUCUGGUUUCCCAAAAGAAACAGACAUGUACAUGACCGAAAGUUCCAUAGAAUUGAAGGUGCCAAAAGGUUCAAAUGGGGUUCUUUUAAAGAACUUGUUUGGGAGAAAUACGUCGACGAGACCAGGCAUGGUGAGCAUAUAUCUGAUGGCAGAGUUCUGCGAACCGGUGUGUUCCGUAAAAGCCUGGUGCACGGGGGAACAGGAGCAGAAGUAUCCUGCUCGUCCACGAGCACGUCAUCCGCGAGGCCAAUUUCCUGUAAGAGGCAUAAGGUCAUUCCGGCUAGAGGUCGAGAGGCGAGGAGACCCGGUCGACGGCAGUUGGCAAGACAUGCUCCCCAGCCCGAGAAUCUAGGCACGACAGCCACGCUUUCCCCAGAACCGUGGCGUAACACGCAAGAUCUCACAGAACCACGACAGCCACGCUUUCCCCAGAACCGUGGCGUAACACGCAAGAUCUCACAGAACCACGACAGCCACGCUUUCCCCAGAACCGUGGCGUAACACGCAAGAUCUCACAGAACCACGACAGCCACGCUUUCCCCAGAACCGUGGCGUAACACGCAAGAUCUCACAGAACCACGACAACCACGCUUUCCCCAGAACCGUGGCGUAACACGCAAGAUCUCACAGAACCACGACAGCCACGCUUUCCCCAGAACCGUGGCGUAACACGCAAGAUCCCACGUUUGCCCAUAACGCAGCAGUCAGAGUCCCAUACCGUCUCGGAAAAAGCGGAAAACUGGGAUUCAGGGGAAGCCUAUAAAAAGGUAGCCAACGAAGGUAAAAGGGUUGGCAUUUUUGAGAUUAUAAAAGAAAUGAAAAAAGAAGAGAAAACGACGAGAAAGCCAUAAGAUCUGUGGCAAGUGUCCCCCGAACCUUCAUAUCUGACUUGAGCGUCGGAGGGUUUGCGCCGGGAAAACAACCGGCGUACUCUGACUUGUCUGUGUGCGCAGGAACCUCUGGAGAAGAAGCCUCACGUGGAGACCUCCUGGUCGUGAAGAAGUUGAUCGGACAGAGAUCCUGGUCGUAGAACGAGGAGAACCAGAAUCCCGCAUCAACAUUUUGGCGCCGUCUGUGGGGAGUGGAGCAAAAAGCUUCUGUUGAUAGCAAGAAGAGGGGUGAAGCAAGUGAAAAGCAAUGGAGACAGGAGGAAGUAGUGCACAAGGGGGUGAUAGGAUUAACGAUUCCGUGACGCUGAGGGAGAUAGUCAGUGAAGCACGGGAAAAAGUCAUGUUCGACCGGAUGGAACGGAUAGAAAAGCAGAUGGAGACCUUGACAACCAUCCUGCAUGAGCUGCGGAGCGAGCGAAGUAUAAUCCAAGAGGGAAGGGUGAGAGGCGGUGGAGUGGCACCAGGUCCCGAUAGUGCGGGGAGAAGUCAAACCACCGGGAGAUUUGGUGGUGAGAGAGGUAACGUACCUCUGCGGGGAGAAUUUCAUAGAGAAAGAGAGCAGUCCCCGGCAAGACAGACUGGCGACGAGGACGACGGGGUGGUGAAUGCAGAGGAAACAGAGUUGAGGCAACACUUGCAUGAUGUAGAGCAAGAGCGGGAUUAAGUCGCAGCACGUGACCCUGGUCGUGCAGUGCAGCUGGAGGAGGAAGUGCGCAGACUAGCGCAGAUAAUCGACGACAUGCAAGGAAGGAACAGAGCCCCUGGUUGGAGGAUAAUGCUGGAUGGAGAAUCACCGCUCGCAGCAGAGAUCAUGAGGGCAGUUAUUCCGAGAGAUUUCCGCCUCCCAGACCUCAGAUACUCGGGAAGAACUGAUCCGUUGGUGCACAUAGAGCGCUUCAACGACAUAACUAGGGUACAAGGAUUAUCUCAAUCCCAAAGGUGCAGAGUGUUCCCACUAUCCCUUGAGGGACGUGCACGAGAAUGGUACAGGAAACUUCCUCGGGGCAGCAUUAAAACCUUCGAGCAGAUGUGCUAGGAAUUCGCGGAGCAGUUUAGUGGGGCAAUGGCGCCGGAAGAUGACAUGAUGGAGCUGAAAAGCAUGAAACAGGGGGAGCAAGAAACCCUUCGGGAAUUCAUCAAGAGGUUUCAUCGGGCUGUCCUCGACUUGGGAGCCUUCAACCACCCUCAGGCGUUAAGGGGAUUGAAAGAAGGGGUGAAGAUAGGAAGGCUGUGGUACAAUUUGAGAAGCCCAGCUAUUCAAACGUAUGCAGCCGCAUACGAACAGGCUAAGAGAGACAUCGAGAUUGAAGAGGAGAAGGCUGCACGGAUUAAGACAGACCAGUUAGAAGGGCUGGGGAGGAAAGAGAAGAAAGCAUUACCGGGGAAUGGGCCGAUCAGGAGGAGGGACCACCAGGCCUCCGGUAGUGGAGCAGGAGGUCGGGUAGCCGCUUACCAGCCUCAUCAAAGGCCACCACAGUAUCAGCGCAGCAGGGCGCAACCUCCUCGUUCCCCAGCUAGGGAGCCUUGGAAAAGGCAUGAGUCGGCAUCUGGUGGUCUCCAACAACACCCCCACGGUAUCAGAGCGAGCAGACCAGAAGUACUUCCACCGCCCCCAACUCAGAGCGGGGCAAACAGGGAAAGAGCAGUGCACCUGAUCGACCAGAACCCGGACUAUGGGCGGUACACUUCCUUGAAGAUGUCCCUGGAUGAGGUGUACGAGGCCAUAAAGGAUCGAGGGCUGCUACACCUCCCUACACCAAUAACAAAGCUACCUAACAGGAGGGAUAGAGGACGUUAUUGUAAGUUCCAUGGCACCCAUGGCCAUACCACAGCAGAGUGUAGAGAUCUCAAGACCCAGGUCGAAGAUUUGGUGAGAAAUCGGUACCUGGACGAGUUUAUGGAUGGGACUUUCCCGAUGGGGGCCACAACAGGUGAAGGGGAGCAGAGUGGCGGAAACGUGAGGCGCGAGCAGCCCGCAGUAAGGGUGAUAGCUGGGGGCCCGACAUUGGCCGGAGAUUCCAACAGAUCGAGAAAAAAUUAUGCUAGGUACGCCAUGACCAGUAAAGAGGUACUCCUCAACACCCCAGCAGCCAAACGAGCAAGGGUCAGGCAAGUGCCAAUCAUGUGGACGGAUGAGGAUGAGGAAGGGAUUCUAUACCCCCAUGAGGAUGCUUUAGUCAUCAAGGCUACUGUCGCUAGCAAGAAGUUUGACCGGAUACUGAUUGAUACAGGGAGCUCAGUUGAUGUGUUAUUUAAGUCAACCCUGGAAGAGAUGGGAAUAGCCGACCGGAAGUUGGAAUAUACCAAUACCUCCUUGAAGGGGUUCGGAGGAGGGAAGCUGGUCCCUCUGGGCGUGGUCGAGCUGCCUAUCACAAUUGGGAGCUCCCCGACAGAAAGAACAAUGAUACUGGACUUUGUCGUAGUGGAUGAGGAAGGUCCUUACCAGAUGAUCCUAGGUCGGCCAUUUUUAAGGAUGAGCAAAGCGGUGUUGUCCAAUCAUUAUCUGGCUCUGAAGUACCGGGUGAACGGGGUAGUAGGAGUGGUACGAGGAGACCAGAGGAUCGCAAGAAGCUGCUACUCCUCGGCAGCAAGGGAAGCAAUGCAGAUAACAUCCCUCGAUACCCGAGUGGAAAACAAGAAGGGCAGACAAGAACCUGUAGAGGAUCUGGAAACAGUAAGCCUGGGACCAGAGAACCCGGGAAAGAUGAUCAGAAUCGGGUCGAGACUUAAGGGAGAGCAAAAGCAGGAGUUGGUGAAAUGCUUACAGGCUCAUGCUGAUGUGUUUGCUUGGACACAUGAAGACAUGCCAGGGAUUGACCCUGAGGUAGCAUGUCAUAAGCUGGCAAUAAAGAAAGGUGCUCGGGCAGUAAGGCAGAAGAGGAGGUGUUUCAACCAGGAGAGGUAUGAGGCUAUAAAUGGCGAGGUGGAGAAGCUCUUGAGAGCAGGGUUCAUUCGGGAAGUCAGUUACCCUGAGUGGAUAUCGAAUGUGGUGUUGGUAAAGAAGGCAAACGGCAAGUGGAGGAUGUGUGUGGAUUUCACAGACCUCAAUAAGGCGUGCCCAAAAGACAGCUUCCCUUUACCAAAGAUCGAUCAGCUAGUAGAUUCAACGGCUGGACAUGGUCUGCUUAGCUUCAUGGACGCGUUCUCGGGAUACAACCAGAUCCCCAUGUACGAGCAGGAUGAGGAGAGCACGGCUUUCAUCACUAACCAAGGUUUGUUCUGUUACAGGGUAAUGCCAUUCGGUCUCAAAAAUGCCGGGGCCACCUAUCAAAGGCUGGUGAACAAAGUCUUUAAGCCGUUGAUUGGGAAAACCAUGGAGGUGUACGUGGAUGACAUGAUCACCAAGUCCAAAAUCCCGGAGGAACAUGUCAGACACCUCGAGGAGACAUUCGAGCUUUUGAGGAAGUAUAAGAUGAAGCUCAACCCGGAGAAGUGUGCUUUUGGGGUCGAGUCGGGGAAAUUCCUUGGAUUCAUGGUGAGCCAUAGGGGGAUUGAAGCAAAUCCCGAGAAAAUCCAGGCGAUUGUGCAAAUGACGUCUCCCCGUAACCUGAAGGAGAUGCAGAGCCUCACGGGGAGGUUGGCGGCGUUGAGCAGAUUCAUAGCCAAGGCUACAGAUAAGUGUCAGCCGUUCUUUCAAGUGAUGAGGAGGGGAAAGAAAACAGAAUGGACCUCAGAAUGCGAGGAAGCCUUCCGGAACUUGAAGCAAUACUUGCAGCAAGCUCCGCUGCUGUCCACACCGAGGGAUGGGGACAAGUUAUAUCUGUAUUUAGCGGUAUCGGCUCGGGCCGUCAGUUCUGUUCUGGUGAGAGAGGAAGAAGGAGUUCAGUAUCCGAUAUAUUACACCAGCAAGGCCCUGCUCGACGCUGAGACCAGAUACCCACCGUUGGAGAAAUGGGCACUUGCCCUUGUGGUUGCUGCUCGGAAGUUGAGGCCAUAUUUUCAAGCAUUCCCGGUCUUGGUAAUAACAAACCAGCCAUUGCGUCAAACUCUGCACAAGCCAGAUGCCUCUGGUCGGCUCGUCAAGUGGGCUGUAGAGCUGAGCGAGUUCGACAUAGACUAUAAGCCCCGCGCAGCGAUAAAAGCCCAGGCAAUGGCCGAUUUCGUAGCUGAAUUCACAGAGCCCGAAGUAUGCUUAGAUCAACAAGAGGCAGAUAUAGGCAAUGACGAAACUCAAGUAUGGCAGAUGUCUGUGGAUGGGUCAUCAGGGGAGCGGGGUUCAGGAGUAGGGAUUGUCUUGGAAGGCCCAGAGGGGGAGGAGAUCUCUUAUGCUGUAAAAUUGGAAUUUGCAGCCACGAAUAACCAGGCAGAGUAUGAAGCCUUGAUAGCAGGUCUGGAAUUGGCUAAGGCCGUGAAAGCAAACAAAGUUAAGAUCAGAACUGAUUCCCAGCUGGUAGCGAAUCAUGUCAGUGAAAGAUUCCAACCAAGAGAGGAGAAGAUGGGGCAGUACCUGAAGAUAGUCAAGCAGAUGAUGGGGAAGUUCGAAGCAGUGGAGGUGAUACAGAUCCCCAGGGAGCAGAAUAGUCGAGCAGACAUUUUGGCUAGGAUGGCAGCAGUAGCCGACCCAAAAAUGCCAAAGUCGGUCCCUCUGGAGGUGAAGUCCGGCCCAAGUAUCGAUCAGAAUUUGGGGGUGAUGCGGAUAGAACAAAAAUGCUCGUGGAGGGACCCGAUAGUUUCAUACCUUAGAGACGGGGUAUUACCACCAGAUAAGAUGCGAGCUCGCAAGCUUAGAGCCCAGGCCUCGAGAUACACGAUGAUUGAUGGGGUACUGUAUCGGCGAGGAUAUACACUACCGUUCCUUCGGUGUUUGGAUGAGGACGACGCGGAUUACGUACUAAGAGAAGUACACGAAGGAAUUUGCGGAAAUCAUUCUGGCGGGAGGUCCCUGGCCCAUAAGGUUCUAAGGCAGGGAUAUUUCUGGCCGACAAUGCACCAGGAUGCGCAAGAGAAGACCAGGAGUUGUGUAAGUUGCCAGAGUUUUGCAAAUUUCUCUAACCAACCACCAGAGAAGCUUACCUCCAUGACCUCCCCCUGGCCAUUUGCUCAAUGGGGAAUUGAUCUGAUCGGCCCAUUGCCAAAGGCACGGGGAGCAGCAACACAUGCAAUAGUUGCUAUAGAUUACUUCACGAAGUGGAUAGAGGUAGAAGCCCUUAGCAGGAUCACAGAGAAGAAAACAACAGACUUCGUGUGGAGAAACCUGGUCUGUCGAUACGGGAUCCCUUAUGCCUUGGUAACGGAUAAUGGCAGGCAGUUCGAUAACCACAGCUUCAGGGAUUUCUGCCAGAACCUCGGGAUAGAGCUGAAGUAUUGCUCGCCUGCUCACCCUCAAUUGAAUGGACAAGUAGAAGCAGCCAACAAGACCAUCAAGAGGCUUUUAAAAACCAGGCUUGGAGCAAAAAAGGGUGCGUGGGUUGACGAGCUGUCAGGUGUGCUAUGGGCAUACAGAACAACCCACAAAACCGCAACUGGGGAGACACCGUUCGCUUUGGCUUUCGGACAUGAAGCGGUCGUGCCGGCUGAGAUAGGAACGACCACACACCGGACAAAUCAUUUCAAUGAGCAGGAGAACGACGAGCAGAUAUGUUUGAAUCUUGAUCUGCUAACGGAAAGGUGGGAGCAAGCAGCCGAGCGAUCAGUCAUUUACCAACAGAGGGUUGCUCGGUAUUAUAACCAGAAGGUGAACAUACGGCAAUUCAGGGUCGGAGACUGGGUACUGAGAAGAGUGAAUCAGAGCACCAAAGAUUCGACUCAAGGAGUGCUGGGACCGAAUUGGGAAGGGCCAUAUAGAGUCAAGCAGAUAGCGGGACCCGGAGCUUACAGGCUGGUUCGCACGGACGGCCACGAGGUGAAACGCCCAUGGAACGCAGCACACCUCCGAAAAUACUUCCAGUAAGACUUGUUCACAUGUGAAAACUAUUUUUGCUCAUGUUCAUUACCGUUUAUCUUUCACGCUUAUUGUCCAAACAAUUUCAUGUAAGUCGAAUCCUGCCAUUAAUGGAACGUCGAGGAAUUUCUUUCGCUUGAAACCGAGAAAAUUUUCCAAGGCAUGCAAAGGCUCACCAAGUCUCAAAGCCUGUCUUAUGGCGAGACAGAAGCCAAGCAUGCCAGGAUCUGCUCGGCCACGAGAAGGCAAGCAGAAUCCCAAUCCUCGAAGAAUCCAAGGCAUGCAAAGGCUCACCAAGUCUCAAAGCCUGUCUUAUGGCGAGACAGAAGCCAAGCAUGCCAGGAUCUGCUCGGCCACGAGAAGGCAAGCAGAAUCCCAAUCCUCGAAGAAUCCAAGGCAUGCAAAGGCUCACCAAGUCUCAAAGCCUGUUUUAUGGCGAGACAGAAGCCAAGCAUGCCAGGAUCUGCUCGGCCACUAGAAGGCGAGCAGACUCCAAAGCAUUCGAAGAAAUGCCCAAGGCAUGCAAAGGCUCGACAAAGUCUCAAAGCCUGUUUUAUGGCGAGACAGAAGCCAAGCAUGCCAGGAUCUGCUCGGCCACUAGAAGGCGAGCAGACUCCAAAGCAUUCGAAGAAAUGCCCAAGGCAUGCAAAGGCUCGACAAAGUCUCAAAGCCUGUUUUAUGGCGAGACAGAAGCCAAGCAUGCCAGGAUCUGCUCGACUACUAGAAGGCGAGCAGACUCCAAAGCAUUCGAAGAAAUGCCCAAGGCAUGCAAAGGCUCGACAAAGUCUCAAAGCCUGUUUUAUGGCGAGACAGAAGCCAAGCAUGCCAGGAUCUGCUCGGCCACUAGAAGGCGAGCAGACUCCAAAGCAUUCGAAGAAAUGCCCAAGGCAUGCAAAGGCUCGACAAAGUCUCAAAGCCUGUUUUAUGGCGAGACAGAAGCCAAGCAUGCCAGGAUCUGCUCGGCCACUAGAAGGCGAGCAGACUCCAAAGCAUUCGAAGAAAUGCCCAAGGCAUGCAAAGGCUCGACAAAGUCUCAAAGCCUGUUUUAUGGCGAGACAGAAGCCAAGCAUGCCAGGAUCUGCUCGACUACUAGAAGACGAGCAGACUCCAAAGCAUUCGAAGAAAUGCCCAAGGCAUGCAAAGGCUCGACAAAGUCUCAAAGCCUGUUUUAUGGCGAGACAGAAGCCAAGCAUGCCAGGAUCUGCUCGACUACUAGAAGGCGAGCAGACUCCAAAGCAUUCGAAGAAAUGCCCAAGGCAUGCAAAGGCUCGACAAAGUCUCAAAGCCUGUUUUAUGGCGAGACAGAAGCCAAGCAUGCCAGGAUCUGCUCGACUACUAGAAGGCGAGCAGACUCCAAAGCAUUCGAAGUAAUGCCCAAGGCAUGCAAAGGCUCGACAAAGUCUCAAAGCCUGUUUUAUGGCGAGACAGAAGCCAAGCAUGCCAGGAUCUGCUCGACUACUAGAAGGCGAGCAGACUCCAAAGCAUUCGAAGUAAUGCCCAAGGCAUGCAAAGGCUCGACAAAGUCUCAAAGCCUGUUUUAUGGCGAGACAGAAGCCAAGCAUGCCAGGAUCUGCUCGACUACUAGAAGGCGAGCAGACUCCAAAGCAUUCGAAGUAAUGCCCAAGGCAUGCAAAGACUCACCAAGUCUCAAAGCCUGUUUUAUGGCGAGGCAGAAGCCAAACGUGCCAGGAUCUGCUCGACCACUAGAAGGCGAGCAGUCUCCAAAGCAUUCGAAGAAUCUCCAAAGGCAUGUGGCAAAACCAUGAGCCAAGCCGGAACCUGCUCGUCUAGACAGAGACAAGCAGAUUCUCAACCGAAAAUUAAUUCAUAAUUACAUCACAAGAAAGUAAUCAAAAACCAUUUUUAUUAAUUUGUUAAUAAUUAACAGAGGGGAUAAUCUUCAUGAACAUUGUUCAUUACAAUACAAGAAAUAUAUCAGGAAGAUGGUGGACCAGUAAGCCCGGCAGCAUCGGUUGGCUGGACCUCCUCAGGUGCAGGAGGGGUAUCACCAGUUGCGUCCGGGGGGUGCUCGCCUCGCCAACAUCAGCAGGGACUGCACGAGCAGGAGAGUCUUCCUCCUCAAUCACGAUCGGCUCUACCCCAUCGGCAUCUUCCUUGGCCGCCUCCUCAUCCAUAUGUUGAGCAACACCAGCUGCAAGGUCAUCCAUCUUCAGAUCAGGGUGUUGCUUCCCGAGGACGGCCAUGAUGCAACGAUAGGAAUGCCGAAGUCCCUGGUCGUACUGGUUGUCAGCCUCCCUCUCCAAGUUCUCGACCUGAGCUCGGUGGGAGUCGCGGAGAGAUUCGAGCUGAGCCUCAUACAUAGCCUUCUGCCUUUGCAGAUCCUCCUUGACCGUGGUAAGCUCCUCCUCGAGGGAAAUGGCUUUUGCUUGAGCAAGUGAUUCUUGCUCUAUUAACUUCAGAUUCUCGAGAUUCAGCUCCCCUGCUUUCUUCUCGGCAACGUCAGCUCUGGUCGUCGCCGAUUGAAUAUCCUCCUUCAUCUUCCGGUCGUAGCGGCCAACCUUAGCCUUGUAAUAGGUGGUCAUGCAGCUGAGGUGGAAAGCGCUAUGCUGCAUGGCCCCCACCAGCUCACCCAAGGUGCGGCCGUCAAAGUCCUCCAAGUCCUUCUUGCUCAUGAGUUUAGUUAACUCAUUGAGGUAGGGGACCAGGUGUUCUGCUCGGCUGUCAGGUAAGCGAGAUCGAGGCCCGACAGGAGGAAAAGAGGAAGCAGGAUCUGUAGCUGCUCCACUAGCUUCCCCGACUUUUACAGGAGCAGGAGGUAAAAUCUUCAAGGGUGGGACCUGCUGCAUGAUGUUGGCCCGCUUUGCAGCAGGGGCAUUCUUAUUCUGGUCCCUCUUCGUGGUGGGAGGUCGGGAACGUUUUCGGGUCAGAGCCCCAAUCACAGCGUCCUCCAUCCUAUGGCCAGGAAGUAUCAAGCGAGACUCGAGCAAGUUGUAUGUAGUUAGCAGUUCUCGGCUCGAGCAGGAAUUGGCUAGUACAGCCUCGACCCGUUUGAGCUGGUCAGGUUCAAGCGGGAAGUGGACACCCCAAGAAACUACAACACAAACAGACACUUGGUUAGAGACAAGCCAAUAAAGCAAGAACAAUUAUGGAUGCAAGACAUCUAGAGCGAGCAGGCAACCUGGGACCGUGAAACGGGGUGGGACGCGACAAUCCUUCCCGCCUAUUUGUGCAACUUGACCCCAAGGACCCCCAGCAAAAAAGAAUUUCCUCUUCCAAGCCCCACCACCACCGGUUGGAAGAUCGGUUAUGGAUUUCCGGCUCUUGGUGCUAGAUUGGAAGUAGUACCAGCCGGCAUCUUUGGGGCUGCUCUUUAGCUGGUACAAGUGCUUCACCUCGUCAACCGUGGGCUCGCUUUGGCAACAUCUGUCCCACAAUAUGAACAGACCAGAGAGCACUCUCCACCCAUUGGGAUUCAGCUGACCAGGAGCUAGAUUUAGCCCGUUAAGUAUCCGGGCAAAGUAGGGUUGCAAGGGACACCUCAGCCCGUACUUAAAGCUCUCUAGAAACAGGGUAACGUAUCCCCUAGGAGGCCGGCUGGGAGCAUCCUUCUUUCCUGGGACCUUGAGAGGUAUCUCACCAGGAAUGCUAUACCUAAGCUGGAGGUCAUUGAGCUCGUCAAACAAGGUCGUGCACGUCAUGUAAUCAAUGGCAUAAUCGCGCGACAAGGCUCUGCCUCCUACUGUACCCCGUUCCUCUAGUCGUGAUGUUCCAGAUGGAGACACCUCACCAGAGUCACCUUCCCCAUUCUCACUUAAGGUGUCCUCAGAGCCAGAAGGUCCCCCCUCACCAUUGCUUCCGCUCGUGGAGGUUGUUUGGGGGGACAUCCUCCUAGCACUAGUCCCGACACUAAACCUAAUGGGUUCUAAGGGGAUCCCGGGGUCAAAAGCCGGAUCAGUGAGCAGACUAGGCAGGAAACUUAGUUCGUCGUCAUCAAUCUCAACGACUUUCUCCUUACCUUUCGACAUUCCCUAAGCCCUAACCACAACACCACCAACUACUACCUAAACAGAAGAGAAGAGAAAUUAUCUACAACUAUCCGAGACCAAGGAGAUAGAAGAAAUACCUGAAGUAAUGGUUCAGUCGGUGAAAGUCAGAGAUGGAGGCCUUUUAUGCCGGAACUUCUUUGCCGGAGAAACAGAGACGGAGACGGAGUGAAUGAUGAAUAUGCCGUUCGAGAGGAUUUGGUUUUCCUAAUGAAGACGGACUCUUGGGUUGCCAGCAUUUAACGGCGCCGAAUCCCGAGGGUCUCAUAACCGUCGGUUUGAAAUUCAAAUGAAGGGGGGGAUUUCUGCCACGUCACCUCGUCCGCAAUUAAAUGCGACAUGACUCUUGGCAGCCUUUUCCAAUCCCACGCGGGCGAGUACUAACGAGUUUCUACUGCUGGUCCACUACAUUACCCAACACCAGAAACUGGGGGACCGGUGUUUGGGAGAAAUACGUCGAUGAGACCAGGCAUGGUGAGCAGAUAUCUGAUGGCAGAGUUCUGCGAACCGGUGUGUUCCGUAAAAGCCUGGUGCACGGGGGAACAUGAGCAGAAGUAUCCUGCUCGUCCACGAGCACGUCAUCCGCGAGGCAAAUUUCCUGUAAGAGGCAUAAGGUCAUUCCGGCUAGAGGUCGAGAGGCGAGGAGACCCGGUCGACGGCAGUUGGCAAGACAUGCUCCCCAGCCCGAGAAUCUAGGCACGACAGCCACGCUUUCCCCAGAACUGUGGCGUAACACGCAAGAUCUCACAGAACCACGACAGCCACGCUUUCCCCAGAACCGUGGCGUAACACGCAAGAUCUCACAGAACCACGACAGCCACGCUUUCCCCAGAACCGUGGCAUAACACGCAAGAUCUCACAGAACCACGACAGCCACGCUUUCCCCAGAACCGUGGCGUAACACGCAAGAUCUCACAGAACCACGACAGCCACGCUUUCCCCAGAACCGUGGCGUAACACGCAAGAUCCCACGUUUGCCCAUAACGCAGCAGUCAGAGUCCCAUACCGUCUCAGAAAAAGCGGAAAACUGGGAUUCAGGGGAAGCCUAUAAAAAGGUAGCCAACGAAGGUAAAAGGGUUGGCAUUUUUGAGAUUAUAAAAGAAAUGAAAAAAGAAGAGAAAACGACGAAAAAGCCAUAAGAUCUGUGGCAAGUGUCCCCCGAACCUUCAUAUCUGACUUGAGCGUCGGAGGGUUUGCGCCGGGAAAACAACCGGCGUACUCUGACUUGUCUGUGUGCGCAGGAACCUCUGGAGAAGAAGCCUCACGUGGAGACCUCCUGGUCGUGAAGAAGUUGAUCGGGCAGAGAUCCUGGUCGUAGAACGAGGAGAACCGGAAUCCCGCAUCAACAGAACUUGUACUUGUCCUGUGAUCCGUACAUGCGACCACGAAUGACCUACAUCGAAGGAUCUUACGUUGAAUCCUUUAAACCUGGCUUGGUUAGUGCACUCGCUCAUGGCCACGCUUUUCAUUUCCAUGGCUUCUUGCUCUUUUGUUAUAGAAAAUUUAUUUUUGGUUGCAGUUUGAUUCGACUGCUAAAAUCUCGUGCGAUAAUUGUAUAAGAUAUCUAGAGUUUGAACUUCUUUCACAUUAGGGUUCAAGGAAGUUAACUUAAAUGAUUUUCAAAAUUUUAAAUGUGUACCAAAGAAUUUAAUUUCAUAGCUUAAACUUAUAUUUUGAUCAUACUCUAACUUUGGACAGGAAAAAUUAUAUUUUUCCUUUAGUUCUUUGCCUUGGUGUAUGUUGUGUGAAGUACUUGUGCUUGAAAAUGAAUUGCUGACACAGAAAUUUCUAUGAAUGCAUGCAGCCCAUAAGUGGAUAUGGGGUGGGUAAAGUUUUGGAUUCAGAGAAUCCAGAGUUCAACAAAGGUGACUUGGUUUGGGGAAUGACUGGAUGGGAAGAGUAUAGUCUCAUUACGGCUCCACACUUGUUUAAAAUUCAACACACAGAUGUGCCUCUUUCUUACUAUACUGGAAUCCUCGGUAAACUUUUUGUUUGCACAAUUUAUGUGAGCAAAUUGUGUCUUCUUUUUCAUAUGUAAAUGUUUUUGAUAUCUUGAUGUGAAGGUAGAAAAUUGCAUGUUUUGAGUUUUUGCAUAUUUGAUGGAAACACAGAACUGUACCUGAAUCUUUCAGAACCCCCUUCUCUUUGAAGUUUGAACACUUUUCUUGAAUGUAUCAACUUUAUUUAUGGGAUAUGUUGCCAAAUUGGAAAAUCUAUUCGUUAUAAAACUUUCCUUUGACAGUUUAAUCUAAGCAGAUGUUAAUUCUGCAAAUAGAGUGUGCCUUAGAUUAGUUUCAUAGAUUUGUCUCCUUCUGUACAGUAAAAACUUUGAGCAUUUUCGCCAUAUUCUGAUCAAUACACUCCAACUAGUUAGUUCUUGAGGCGUUUUAUGGUUUCGUGGAGUGAGGCAAGAUGUAUACGUUUGCAAAUUGGCAAUGUCUUUCUCUUGAUGGGUUGAGAGUUGUGAGUGUCAACAGGAAACAAGACCUCUGUUUUAUGAACUCCAAAAAGUUAUUCUGUUAAAAAGAUCGAGACAGAGGCCAUACUAUAUUUAUUAUUGCUAUAAAAGUGUGAAAAAAUAUUCUUUAUUUAAUAUUCUAAACGAUUGAGCCAUUUAGUUAUGAUACUCUGCUGUAUUGGGGCUAAUAAUCUAAGUCGGUUCAAAGUGGUAAAUUUAUAAAUUGAUAGGUAUGCCUGGUAUGACCGCUUACGUUGGAUUUUAUGAGGUCUGCUCUCUUAAGCAAGGAGAGUGUGUCUUCAUAUCCGCAGCAUCUGGUGCAGUUGGACAGCUUGUGGGGCAGUUUGCAAAGUUAUUGGGUUGCUAUGUCGUCGGAAGUGCUGGAAGCAAAGACAAGGUAUGUAAAAUUAGAAUUUGAUCAACAGAUUUGGAGUGUUUGUUUACAGAGAAAAUCUAAGAGAAAAUGUAAGAAACUUUAGCUGAGAAUAUUCAUUUUGUUCAACUUAAUAACAGAAUGAGAUUACAAAGCUUAUAUACUGCUAUCAAGAAUCAUCUUAACACAUACAUCAUUUUCACGUGUAUUUAUCUUUGAAAGAAGCUAAAUAACCAGCUUAACAAACUCACAACUACUUUGCUGACUGGACUGCCACGUCACCAUAACUAACUUAACUAAUCCAAUCAGUUAAUCACAGUUAACACAUAUUCUUAUCAUCCCCCCUCAAGCUUAAGUUCGGGGAAGGACAUUAAGCUUGGUACGAAGAUAAGCAAACUGAUCAAAAGAGAGGGGCUUGGUGAGAAUGUCUGCAAGUUGUUCUGAACUGGAAACAUGACUGAUCGUGAGUUGCUUCUGGGCAAUAUGCUCUCGAAUAAAAUGAAGAUCCAACUCAAUGUGCUUUGUUCGAGAGUGAUACUUAGGAUUGCUAGCUAAUGCCUCAGCACUCUGAUUAUCACAUUAUAGAACAGGACUUUGAGUUGGCUGAAUUUGCAGUUCUUGAAGCAAAUAAGUGAGCCAAAGAAUUUCAGAGGUUGCCGAAGCAAGAGCUCUAUAUUCAGACUCUGCUGAGGAACGAGAAACAAUGGUUUGUUUCUUGGAGGACCAAGAAAUAAUAUUGUUUCCUAAGAAUACACAAUACCCUCCAGUAGACUUUCGAUCAUCAGGAUCAGCUGCCCAAUCAGCAUCAGAAAAUGCUGUUAAAGUCACAGAGCCUGAAUUGAAGAAUUGAAUCCCAAAGUGUGAAGUAGCUUGAAGAUAUCGAAGAACCCUUUUACAAGCUUGCCAGUGUGCAAUGGUUGGAUGAGCUAGGAACUGACUAAGCUUGUUAACAGGAUAAGCUAUAUCAGGUCUUGUUAGCAACACAUACUGAAGAGAGCCCACAAUACUUCUGUAUAAUGAGGGAUUAUCAAAAACUUCACCACUGUCCUUUGUAAGCUUAUCACCUGGACUCAUAGGAGUAUUAAAACCUUUGCUGUCAAGCAUAUUUACUUUUCUAAGGAUAUCACCAAUGUAUUUGGUCUGAGAUAAAUGCAGUCCCUGAACAGAGGGUGUUACUUCAGUACCAAGAAAGUAGUUAAACUCUCCUAGAUCUUUGAGUGCAAACUCUGAAUGAAGAUAUUGAAUAACAGCCUCAAUAUGUUGAGAAUUAGAACCAGUAACUAAAAUAUCAUCAACAUAUAUAAGAAUGAGCACAAUAUCAUGGUCAAUAUGCUGAAUAAACAUGGAUGUAUCAGAUUUUGAGGAUUGAAAACCUUUAUGGAGUAAGGACCCUUUCAACCUCUCAUACCAAGCUCUAGGAGCUUGCUUGAGACCAUAUAAGGCUUUGUUUAACUUGCAAACAUAUGAUGGAUUUGCAAAGUCUAUAAAACCUUGUGGCUGAUGCAUGAACACAUCCUCUUCAAGCAUACCAUUGAGAAACGCAUUAUUAACAUCCAGCUGUCUAAUCUGCCAAUGAUGCAACACUGCUAGACUGAGGACAACUCUGACUGUGCAAGGUUUCACAACUGGGCUGAAGGUCUCAAAGAAAUCCACCCCUUGAGUUUGAUGAUAACCCUUGGCAACCAACCUAGCUUUGUAUUUGGAAAUGCUGCCAUCAGGGUUAUACUUCACCCUAAAUACCCACUUAUUACCAACUAUUUUAGCAGCACUUUCAGAGGGCACUAGAGUCCAGGUUUGAUUUCUUUGCAGAGCAUCAAAUUCCUCUUUCAUAGCACAAAACCACUUGGAGUCAUGCAAGGCACUUUUGACACUAGUUGGCUCAAGAUUUUCAGUAGCUGCUAGAUAUGACUUGGGUUUGAAGAUACCAGCUUUAGCUCUAGUAAUCAUUGGGUGAGAUGGUAAUGAAGAUGAGUGAGUUGGUUCAGCUGAAGGAUGAGAAUAAGAAGGUUGUGCUGAACUGGAACUUGAUGGAGGAGACAUUGCUGAAUGAAAAUUAGGAGAUGAUGACUCUACAUUGCUACUGUCAACCUGAGCAGAAGUUUGAAGAAAAGAAAGUUGUACUGGUGAAGAAGGGACAUCAACAUUGGAGACUUGUGAGGUAGAGUGUUUUAGAAACAAUUCUGUGUUAGGAAACUCAGUUUCAUUAAAAACAACAUGUCGAGCAACAAACACUUUACCAGAUGAAUUUAAACACUUAUAACCUUUAUGAAGUGGACUGUAACCAAUGAAAAUACAUUUUUGAGUAUGAAAGUCAAGUUUAUGCUGGUUAUAAGGUCUGAGGAAUGGAAAACAGGAGCAACCAAAAACCUUUGGAAACUGAUAGUCAGGCAGAUGAUUAUGUAAUUUCUGAAAUGGGGAUAGAUUGUUUAGAACUGAUGUGGGCAUUCUGUUGAUAAGGAAAGAAGCAGUGUGGAAUGCUUCCCACCAAAAGGAGAGAGGUAACUGUGAUUGAGCUAGAAGUGUCAGACCUGUUUCAACAAUAUGCCUGUGUUUCCUCUCAACAACACCAUUUUGAUGGUGUGUAUAUGGACAACUAUACCUAAAACAUAUACCCUCUUGCUGAAGAAAGGUUUUAAAAGCUAUAAAUUCACCCCCCAUAUCUGACUGUAGUGUUUUGAUAGACAAGGAGAACUGUUUUUCAACAAGAAGUUUGAAGUGUUUGAAGGUUUCUAAGGCUUCUGACUUUGCUGUGAGAGGAAAAAUCCAAGAAUAUCGAGUGAAAUCAUCCACAAAAGAGAUAUAAUAUCUGUAUCCACUCAUUGAAUAUUCAGGAGCUGGUCCCCAUAAAUCUGUAUAUAGAAGCUCAAGUGGUGCUUUUGUUUUAAUGGUAGUGACAGAAAAAUGAAGCUGAUGCAUUUUGCCAUGUUGACAAGCAUCACAGAAGCUAAUGAAUUUAUUUGAAAAGCAAUGUGUGGGAAGACUUUUAAUAAUUGUUUGCAAAGCAUGUUUAUUGGGAUGACCAUAUCUAUUAUGUAACAACUGAACUGAUAUCUUUCCAGCUCUAGAAGAAUUUCCAGAAACAGAACAUGCAAAAGCUUCAGACAUAUUUACAUUAUCCAACUUUGACACAUGAUUAUUUGACUCUGGUAAAGAGUUUACAACUUUAUUAUCAAAACAAAAUGACAACAUGGAACUUGGUUUAAAAAGAUUUGGAUUGCAAUCUGCAGAGUAAGGAGAGAAGACAUCAAGUGACAGUAGCUUGUAAAGACCACCUUUAACAAUCCCCUGUGCCAGCAAAGUUCCCUCCUUCUUGUCCUUAAUAAAGCACAUGGUGGAACAAAAUUCAAUGAUUAUGUUAUUAUCCAAAAGAAGUUUAGAUAUACUGAUGAGGUUUUUGGUUAUUUUAGGAACACACAAAGUAUUGGUUAAGGAUAAACAUGUGCCAAAAGAAGUAGAAAGAUGAGUGCAGCCAAUAUGUGUGAUAGUAAGACCUUGUCCAUUUCCAACAAACAACAGUUGAGUACCAUUAUAAGGAUUACCUUCAACCAGGUUUUGCACAUUGUUGGUGAGAUGAUGAGUGGCUCCACUGUCCAGAUACCAUCCCUGAUCAGCAACUCCUUCUGAGGUAGCCAUAUAAGCUGUUCUUGGCCCUGGGUUCUGCAUUGGAGAAUUUGAAACAAAAUUUCUGUUAAAUCUGUUUCUACAAUCAACAGCUGAAUGGUUUGGUUUAAAACAUAUUUGGCAGGUAAUAUUUCCUCUGCCACCUCCUCUACCAAAGCCACCAGAGGACCCUGGAUUUCCACCAUUAAAACCACCAUUUCCACUAAAUCCACCAGUAUUUCCAUUAAAACCACCAGAGUUUGAACCUCUUCCUUGGUUUCCAAACCAGCCUCUCCCUGAGUUUUGAUCCAUAAAGCCACCUCUGCCAGAUCCAUAACCUCCUCUAUUGUUGAAAUUUCCAUUUCCAUUUCUAUUCACAAAAUUAACAUUCCAAUUACCCUGGUUAUUAGUAUUCCAAUUAGCAUUGCUUCCUGACUUCUUCUGAUUAUUACCAGUCUGAGCCACAUUAGCACUAAAAUUCACCUUAGUUUCCUUAGCUACACCAGAAUGAUUACUCUCAAGCCUAGCUUCAUGAGAUAGCAACAUAGAAUAAGCCUCAUUGAUGCUCAUUUUAAGAGCAUUUGCCUCAAUAUAAACUACAACAGGAUAGUAAGCCUGACCUAGCCCUGAGAUUAAAUGUGUAAUGAAGUCAAUAGAGCUAACUGAACUUCCAGCCAUUGCUAAUUCAUCAGUUACUGACCUUAGUUUACAAAAAUAUUCAGUAAUUGACAUGGAUCCUUUCUUAAGAUUGUUUAGCAGCAUCUUUAAAUGCACUUUCUUAGCUGCUGUUUCAAAUCCAAACUGUUCCUCUAAGCUUAUCCAAAGUUCUCGAGAGUUUUUAGAAUUUACCACAAUGCUUAAGAUCUCCACACUGAUUGAAGAUAGAAGCCAGCUCAAGAUCAUCUGAUCUUGCCUUUUCCAAGUAGUGUAGGCAGGAUUUUCUGAGAUGACUGCCGCAUCUGUGCUUGUUGAUUCACCAGUCAGCAGCUGGUUUGGACAGGUACGUGAUCCAUCAAGAAAACCUUCCAGAUCAUUUGCUCGAAUGGCUGAAAGGAUCUGAGAUUUCCAUAUAGUAUAAUUCGAUCUGUCAAGCUUGAUUGGUGUGGCGAAAGUAAAUGUUGAGAUUGCGGAAGAAACAUUUGUACUAAGACUUGAAGAAGCCAUGAUCAAGAAGUGAUUCAAGGCUCUGAUACCAAAUUAGAAUUUGAUCAACAGAUUUGGAGUGUUUGUUUACAGAGAAAAUCUAAGAGAAAAUGUAAGAAACUUUAGCUGAGAAUAUUCAUUUUGUUCAACUUAAUAACAGAUUGAGAUUACAAAGCUUAUAUACUGCUAUCAAGAAUCAUCUUAACACAUACAUCAUUUUCACGUGUAUUUAUCUUUGAGAGAAGCUAAAUAACCAGCUUAACAAACUCACAACUACUUUGCUGACUGGACUGCCACGUCACCAUAACUAACUUAACUAAUCCAAUCAGUUAAUCACAGUUAACACAUAUUCUUAUCAUGUAAUCUGUGUGAAGUACUUGAUUGUUUCCAUGUUACUUUCAAACAUUUAAAUUAAAAAGGAAAUUUUCAUAAUCUUGCCUUUUCUAUGAUUUUCAAAACCAAGGUUGAUCUACUGAAGAACAAGUUUGGGUUCGACGAGGCAUUUAACUAUAAAGAAGAAGCUGAUUUGAAUGCAGCAUUGAAAAGGUUAGCAUCAAUAAAUGCCUUAGCUUGAUGCAGCUUGAUGAAGUAUGAUACACAUUUCUGACCAAUAUACUGCGUUCCCUGAUCUCUUACUUGAAAUAUCUUGGUUUGAGAACCUCAUGCCAAUGCCUUUAACAUUUUGGCAGGUACUUUCCUGAAGGAAUUGAUAUAUAUUUUGAAAACGUUGGUGGAAAAACGCUUGAUGCAGUGCUACCCAACAUGAAAAUCCGUGGUCGAAUUGCUGCAUGCGGUAUGAUCUCACAGUACAAUCUUGACAAGCCUGAAGGUGUGCACAACUUGAUGUAUCUUGUUUUGAAACGGCUUCGAAUGGAAGGAUUCAUUGUUCUCGAUCACUAUCACCUUUAUCCAAAGUUUCUGGAAAUGAUCAUUCCUCACAUCAAAGAAGGGAAGCUUGUAUACGUCGAAGACAUGGCUGAAGGUCUGGAGAGUGCUCCGGCAGCUCUCAUCGGUCUAUUCUCUGGCCAGAAUGUUGGGAAACAGGUGGUUGCUGUUGCUCCUGAAUGAAGAACAAGUUAGUGUUGUAUGUUCUUUUACCCUUUGACACAAAACUUCAAUGUCAAAGAGAGAAUGCUGCUCAUACUGCUUUAUAAAAUAAUCAAAUGAGUGCAAGUUUCAUGAUAUUUGCUGAAUAAAAUAUUGGAAAUUAAGCAGCUAGCCUAGCUCCUUCUUGUAGUUGCAGUUUGAAUGAUGCUGCUGCACAACUGCUGCCGAAAAAAAUCCUUAAUAGAUGAUUAGCAAGGUUUCAAAAAUAAAAAUAAAUGUUUGUGCAAUGUGCCGAAUAUGACAGCCACAAAGAAAGAGCAUACAAAUUGAUUGGUUUUAUGUCUUCUCUAGGAGAAAGCUACAAUACAAGAAAUUGUAUUGAUGGAGCCUUGGACCAAAUUUCUUAUUUAAAUUUUUAAUUUUUUUUAUUAAAUUACUUAUGUUAUUAUGGUUUAUAUUUUUAGAAAUUCUUUAGAAAUUAAUACAGAACUAGUAGCAAGUUGAGAAAUCUACUGAAUGGUCAAGAUAUGAUAAUGUUUAUUGAAUUAAAUUAACAAUCAUCAUUUUCAUAAAUUAUUGUCAGGAUAUUUGAUUCAUGUCAGGUGUAAGUAACUAAGAGAGCGUUUGGGACAGACACCACAGUUGCUCCCGAUGCUUUAUUUUAGGGAAAUAUCCCCUGGAAUAAUGCAUAGGGCGCAGCCCCAAACGGACCCUAAAUGUGCUAAAAAAAAAUUAAUGAGUUGGGUGUGUUUGAUAUUCAUUUGUUGUAAUUCUUUUAAUAAUUAUUGUAGAAAAAAAUAUGAUAAAAAAUUUAUAAUUAUAAAUAAAAAUUAAUAAUAUAAUAAAUAAAAUUUUUAAACAAUAAUUUUAAUAAAAUAAUAAAUAUAUUAUCAAUUUUUCAUCGUUAAUAUUUAAGUCACAAUAAUAAAUAUUUAUUAAACACUUUAAUACUAUAACUAACACUACAACUUUUGAAUUAUAACAGUACAUUCUAAAGACCGUGGAACAAUAGUACAAAAGGUGCUCGUCGUGUAAACAACACAUGGGACCCAAGCAAUAAAUGUUUCUGAUCCUCAACUUUCCUCAUCACUGUCCCUGCAAACAAUUCUGAUUUUCUUGUCUGAUAAAAAAACUGAGAAACAAUGGCGGCCGAACAAGAAGCUGUGAGCAAUAAUGUAAAGCCACAAAUUUUCAUAAUAUUAAAUUAUGAAAAUUGGGCUUUCAUUGAGAAUUAUGGGUGGCCUAUAACCCUUAUUAAGAAAGGGAUACUAAUUAUAAAUACAAGUUAUUUAUGAGAUAGUUUUGAAAAAAUGUUAUUUUUCCUUAUUAAAUAAGGUUUCUUAAGACUCCCUAUAAAUUCAUACUUUUUCCCUUCCAUGACCCUAAGUCCAUGACGUUUAUUCUUCUUCUCUGCUGCUCUUUACGCUCCUACCCAAAUCAUAGGAUUCAAACCUUUGUUUAGGAGAGAAUCAAAGCGACGAGUAAGUUAUUCUCCCUAUUCUCAACAGAUUUCUAAUCACUCUAUCUAGGGUUUAUAUUGGCACGAUUCUAGAUGGUUAUAGAUCAUAAUGCAUGAUUUAGAAUGUAUUUAGGCUUUGUUUAGGGUUUUGAUUUAUUAUGAGUUUAGUUAAUCAAUCCUUGACGUAUUAAGCACAGGAUAAUUCUGGACAAUAUGAGUAUCUCGAAUUUAAACCUAUAUUUUCUGAACGAGUUUUAUUAUAAAAUUUAUAUUUCUGGAAACUAGACAUGUAGGGCUUCUUGAGUAAAUUUUAUUUCAUUAAAUUCGACUUCGUUUUCAAUUUUAUAUUUAUUUUCGAAAUAGAAACCACUGCACUGGAAAACUGCGAUUCCAGCAUUGCGAUCGGAUUCACAAGACUAUUUGUACCACCAAACGAACUCGGAAAAUUCUGAAAGUUUAUAUGUAGGUUAAUAUAUGUGUCUAGGAUUACCAGUUUUAAUUUCAUAAUUUUCUGAUUAGUAUUUUAUUUUAUAAAAAUCACAGAACCCGUUCUGUUUGGUUUAGAUUAUGUGAAAACAGUUUCGAAUUUGCUGAGAAAUAAAUAGUUUCGAAAAUGUUUUUGAUAUCGGAUCCUCUUGCAAAUUUUACAUAGGGUACUCAUGGAUGUCCAGAAUAGUCCCAUAGAAUAUUAUAUCAUUCUGAGUCUUAGAUUAAGAGUUAAAUUCUGAGAAUCAGACCUGUACGGGUAUGAAUUAGAAAAUCAGAUUCUUAGAAUAAGUUAUUAAUUGUCAUAUCUUGUAUUUGUUUAAGGUGUUGAAGGUGAUUGAGGUUCUUAGAAGCUUAAAGGUGUGUUAAUUCAAAUUCAUUUGUCGAGGUAAGUUACUUCAUUCCUACUAUAUUGGAUAUGUAUAAGUAUUUUGAUAUUAUCAUUAUAAGUAUAAAUGUUUUCAUACUAUUUAGAAGAUUAAUGGAUUUUCAUAACAAAAUUAGCUUAUGAAAAUGUUUUCAAAACCUAAUUUCUUUUUAACAAAGCAUUUUAUAAAUACUUUUUAAAUAUGUAAGUUAUUUUGUUACAUGCCUACUUUUAUGAUUUUAUUUAUAAAAUAUUUUGCAAGCCUAAAUUAUUGUUAUGGACUUUUAUGAAUCCGAUACGAAUGUUUUAUGCCUAUGCAUGAUUUCAAUUAUAUAUGAUUGUAUGGGGGCCACCUCUUGGGACUAUAUGGGGGCCACCUCUUGAAGGCCAAAGUGUCGCAAAGUGCCACAUAUAGUGCAAAGUGCCACGUAUAAGUCAUUAUGUUUUGGCUCAUUGUCCGUAGUCAUUUUGAUUCUGAUUCUGAUCAUAUAAUACGAUAUAUGUCUGUUUUGGACCAGUACUGGGUUUCUGUUCUGAGUGUGCACACGAUAUUUUGAUUCUGUUUCUGGCCGGGUCACUGGGACUAUAGGUGACACUAUGUGACAAGAGCUAACCUUUUGUUUUCUGUAUACGUAUUAUAUGAUUUACUUCAUAAGUAAAUAUGCUUUUGGAUAUUCGGAAUUAUUAAGAAUUUAUGUUAUGUUAUCGUGAUAUAUUGUUUUAUGAAAUUUAUGGAUUAUGAUAUAUGUUUUAAACAAAAGAAGGCUUGCAAUAUUUUUGUAUCGAUAGGCCCAGUAUGUUAGAAAUUGUUUUACUUACCGAGUUGACGGCUCACCCCUCGUCAUUACUUUUUGCAGAUUAAGUUUCUUUUGAGAGGUGCGCUUAGCUUUGGAGUUAGUAAUUUUCCGUUUCCAUUUGCCAUUUGAAUAAGAGGAGGAAUAAACUCGUGUUUCUAUUUAGUUAUUUCUAUUAUGAACGUGUAAUUUGGAGUUUGAGACUUUUGUUAUUAUUUUUAUGUCCUCGGGAGAGAUUAUUUAGUAUUAGACGUUAGAAUUUGUGGAUUUAUUUGAAUAAGAAUUGGAGGUAUUUCAGUUUGAAACUUAUGAGUAAAGAUUAUGAUUUGUGAGUAACCUCCUUCUUCACGUGCUCCGCACGUGUUAGAUUUGGGGUGUUACAAAUAAGCGGGUGAUUCUAAGCAACUAUGUGACAGGUUUUCCAAAAGAAUCAGACAUGAAGAUAACAAGUGGAUCAAUAAAGCUGAAGGUAGCAGACUGUUCAAAAGACACGGUGCUUUUGAAGAAUCUUUAUCUUUCUUGUGAUCCUUACAUGCGAGAGCGUAUGAGCAAGCUUGAUAGCCCUUCUUUUGUUGAUUCAUUCCAUCCUGGUGAGGUUAGUUCAUCACGGCCCAUCUCUUGAUUUUUUUUUUUCAUUUGCUUCAAGUUUUGAUGAGUUUCUGAGGUAAUUUGUACGGUUUUGGAAUUUGAACACAAUUUGUGAUUUUGGUGCUGUAACUGUCAUUAAUGAUAUGUAGUAAUUCAAUCGGAAUUUGGAUUUAGUGCUGAUAUGAUCUCUGCUCAUUUUUUUAAAUCUUGUGUCCACAUGCAUUUUUGAAAUCUGGUACGGUUGAGAUUGUAUGUAGAUUAACCUACGUACAGUAUUCUUGUCUAAUGACUACUAACCACAACCUUAUGAGACGAUCGAAACCAAGCUCGGAUCAAUAAUCCAAUCGAGAGAGGAUCAUAACUGAAGCUUAUCGUGUGUGGGAAUAUUUCGGUUAAAUUGUAAUCAUGAUCAUGAAUCAUGCAGGGAAAAGGGAAGUUGAGGUCAAUUUAUGCACUUGAUGGAAUUAAAGAACCAAUAUUUGAUUUUGGUUUACAUUAUUUCUCAGUAAUGGUGACUUUGUGAUGUUAAAUUUAUGCAGCCUAUAAACGGAUAUGGGGUGGCCAAAGUUUUGGAUUCUACACAUCCAAAUAAUGCAAAAGAUGACUUGGUUUGGGGCUUUACCGGGUGGGAGCAGUACAGUCUCGUUACAGCUCCGCAGCUUUUGAUUAAAAUUCAUCAUAAAGAUGUGCCACCUUCAUACUAUACCAGGAUCCUCGGUAAUGAUUUUUGUUACACAUUAAGCUUUGCUUAUAGUAAUAUCAAUACAUAUGCUGCUUAAAUGCUUUCUGAUUUUUUGCCGGCCAUUGUCCAUUUUGCCCGGGAGACUAUAAUUGAAGGAAUUUACUGAAGGAAUGCUGAUUGUUGGGAAUUUGAUUAUUCUAGGUAUGCCUGGUGUAACUGCAUACGCUGGUUUAUAUGAAGUUUGCUCUCCGAAGAAAGGAGAGUAUGUCUAUGUAUCUACAGCAUCUGGAGCUGUUGGUCAGCUUGUUGGACAGUUUGCAAAAUUAGCUGGUUGCUAUGUUGUUGGAAGUGCUGGAAGCAAAGAAAAGGUGCUGUUAUAUCAUUCUUAAGUAGUAAAUAUAGCACCGUGCCUUCUAGCAGAAUUUUACAUGCUUUAUGUUCCAACUAAGCAUCCAUAUUUGAUCGUGAUAAUUAGCAAGGUCAAUAAUUUUUUUUUGACUAUUUUUUCAACGUAAGGUCGAUUUGUUGAAGAACAAGUUUGGACGAUGCUUUUAACUACAAGGAAGAGCCAGACUUGGAUGCAGCGCUCAAAAGGUCAGCUGCAACAAACGUUUCAACUCUAAUAUUUCAUUUUAAUAUUACAGAGCUUUGGUUGAAGUGUGUGAGUUGAUCCCAGAAACGUAACUUCAUCAGUGUCUCUGUUUUCAAAAAACAGGACAAAUUAAAAUCUGAUUUUGCGUUAAAAUUUCCCAGAUGUUUCCCUCAAGGAAUCGACAUCUAUUUCGAAAAUGUUGGGGGAAAGAUGCUGGACGCAGUGCUACUCAACAUGAGGCUCCGGGGCCGCAUUGCGGUAAGCAGUAUGAUCUCACAGUACAACCUGGAAAAACCCGAAGGCAUACACAACUUAGAGCAACUGAUCGGGAAACGGAUUCGCCUGGAAGGAUUUCUAGCAGGUGAUUACUAUCACCUCUAUCUGAAAUUCUUGGAACUGGUCAUUCCUGCAAUCAGAGAAGGAAAGAUGGUGUAUGUGGAAGACAUAGCCGAAGGACUCGAGAAAAUUUCUCGUAACUGCUACACAUUAAACGCGUUUCACAUUUCCACUCUCUCUCUAUAAAUAAACACGCACAUAAAAUUUCUCACUAUCCAAAAACAAAAUCUACAUAAAAAAUGGCGGGUGAAGAAGGAGUGAGCAACAAGCAGGUGAUUCUGAGCAACUACGUGACAGGGUUUCCCAAAGAAUCAGACAUGAAGAUAAUAGCAGGCUCAAUAAACCUCAGGUGCCAGAGGGUUCAAAAGACACAGUGCUUUUGAAGAAUCUUUGUCUUUCCUGUGAUCCUUACAUGAGAGGACGUGUGAGCGAGCUUGAUAAGCCUUCGUUUGUUGCCUCGUUCGAGUCUGGCGAGGUCAGUUACUUCAAUUCCCAUCUCUUGGUUUCAUAAUCUUUUAUGGUUUUAGAAGGUGUUUUAGGGAAACAUUGUGGUUUUGGUUAGUGGGCAUGAGCCUUUGAAGAGAUUAUAAUGUGUAGGACUAUGUAUGCAAUAAUAAGUAUAGGGGAUCUUGUUAGGAGAAGAUUCUCUUAGCAAAAUAAAAACUUUUAUCUUAUCAAAACAUAUGCAGGGAACUUAGUUAUGAUGUCAUGUUAGCAUUGUCUCUGAGGAUUUGAUUUCUUGAUGGGGAAAGGGGAAUUUAAGGUUACAUUAUUCAGCAAUGGUUUUUUUUUUUUUUUUUUAAUUAUGUUCAAAUUAUGCAGCCUUUGAGCGGAUAUGGAGUGUCCAAAGUGUUGGAUUCCACGCAUCCAAAUUAUAAGAAAGAUGACUUGGUCUGGGGCUUAACCAGUUGGGAGGAGUUCAGUCUCAUCCAAUCACCACAACUUCUGAUUAAAAUUCUGGAUACAAGUGUGCCUCUGCCAUACUAUACUGGGAUUCUUGGUAAGUUGUUACUAAAUUUAUCAAUGUCCAGUUCGCAUGAGCUGAAAAUCAUGUUUUAUUUAAUGCAAUGAGAGAGGGAAAUAGUAUGCUGCUUGAACGUCUAGCAUUUUGAAUUUUCAAUGAUUGUACCCUACGUAUUGGCAUGUAACUGAAGGAUUUCUCUUGAGGAAUUUACUAUUUUUUCUGAUUGUCGGGUAUUUUUCUGUUGACUCUAGGUAUGCCUGGUUUGACUGCAUAUGGUGGUUUAUAUGAGCUUUGCUCUCCUAAGAAAGGAGAGUAUGUCUAUGUAUCUGCAGCAUCUGGAGCUGUUGGUCAGCUUGUUGGGCAAUUUGCGAAGCUGGUAGGUUGCGAUGUUGUUGGAAGUGCCGGAAGCAAAGAAAAGGUGAGUUUGCACCUUUAACCCUUACGCUCUAAAUAAAAACAUAACACCUUCUGAAAGAAUUUGCAUAGAGAAUUUUGCAUGUCACAGUAUUUGUGUUCUAACUAAUCAUGGAUAUUUGAUCAUUAGUCUAACUAAAACUGACUUAUUACCACCUAGUUGAUUGGUCUUUGAGAAAUGUUAGUUGAUAUAUGCUUGAAAUCAUACUUUGUUUUAUUAGAUGAUUAUAUUAACCUGCUUCUUUUUCUUUGUGCUGUUUCUCGUUUGAUUACAUUUUCAACAUUAGGUCGAUCUAUUGAAGCACAAGUUUGGGUUUGAUGAUGCUUUUAACUAUAACGAAGAGCCUGACUUGGAUGCAGCUCUUAAUAGGUUAUCACGAAUGAAUGCCUUAACCAUUUUUCUCACUUCAUUAUUACAAUGCGCUGAUUGAAGUAAUCAGUGUUGGCUCUGAAAAUGUAAUGUAUACUUCUCUGUUUUCAUAAAACAGGACAAACAGUGAUCAGUGAUCUCAUUCGUUACAUUGAUAUUUUCUACCAUUGCCAUAUGCCCAUACAUAGUAUAAACUAGGAAUUCAGUUGCUUAAUUGAUAUUCAUUUCAGAGGGAAAUUUUCACUUGCAGCUAACAGAAUCAUGUUUGUGAUGUAUGUUUAUUUGGGAAAUGAAAGGAUUUGCUGCAUUAUUUUAUUCCAAGUUUGCUGAAAUCAUAUUUGUUUUCCCAGCUGCUUUCCUGAAGGUAUCGACAUCUAUUUCGAAAAUGUUGGGGGUAAGAUGCUUGAUGCAGUGCUAUUCAACAUGAGAAUUUGUGGCCACAUCGCUGUAUGCGGAAUGAUCUCACAGUACAACAUUGAGAAGCCUGAAGGUGUACACAACUUGAUGCAAGUAGUUGGAAAACGAAUUCCCACGGAAGGAUUUCUUGCCGGUGAUUUCUACCACCAAUAUCCAAAAUUCUUGGAACUGGUUAGUGGUUAUGGCGGCAAUCAAAGAAGGAAAGUUAGUAUAUGUCGAGGACAUAGCUGAAGGCCUUGAGAAAGCUCCAUCAGCUCUAGUUGGGAUAUUCACUGAGCAGAAUGUUGGAAAACAACUGGUUGCAGUUGCUCGGGAAUGAUAUGAUUAUUAUAUGACCAUGGACUUUAAAAGCUUAGUGAAGAUGCCUCUGUCUUAUUUGUGAUCCAUGUUAUGUUUGUUUGAGAUACAUGUUAUGUUUGUUUGAUCAAGCUGUACUCAGAUAUAAAUCAAAGAUUCAGAACAUGUGUAUGAUACUGGUUUCUAAAUCAAUGAACGCUUUGAAAUGUUAGUGUUUUCACAGGAGAAUGCAAUUUAAUUCAUCAACAAUGUCCCAACAAGACCCUCAGAGCUGUAGCUUGUAAAGUUAAUUACCAUAUUUUUUUGUAAAGUUAAUUACCAUAUUUUUUUCUUUCCAAUAUAUUGCUUAUUUCAUAGAAAGUUUACAUUAAAGUCUCAUGUUUCUUUGAAAGGUAAGCAAGUGUGAACGUUUCAAUCUAGAGCUGGAAAAUGCAUUUCCGGGCAACUUACUUGAUAAAUGAAGUUUUCAUCUCUGACCAUGAUGUUUCCCACAGGUGCAUUCAUUUCAGCUGAUCUAUUUAAUUUUGUUUUCGAAGGAGUGACACAAAAUCUCCUUUGUUAAGGGGAGAAUUUAGAGCGGCUUUGACUGUUAUCAAAUAGCCUAAUGUAAGACUUAACCAACUUCCUGCCCUGUUGUAUUCUUAUGAAUUUUGAUAGAGCUAAGAGUUUGCAGAAGCUACUGUAUUAUAUGUCGUUAGAGGCUGUAAAAAUCAAACACAUUUAAAUUUCAAUGAAAAUUUACUGGAAGUAAAUUUCCUAUGAUCCUACAGGUGACUAAUUAAUGAGAACUUGACAAUGACAAAAGAAAGUGUAUGAACUUUGCAGGCUGGCAUGCCAAUAUUGACUGGGUGGCACCAUCCACCAUCUGCAAGUGAAUAUCAUUGUUGUUUAAUCAACAUGGUGGAGUCCACUGGGACCACACCACAUCAUCAGCCUUAUCUCUAUUCCUCAAUUUUCAGUAUUCCAUACAUCAAACCAAUUUCAGUUUUGUUAUCAAUUAUAACUUUAUUGUUGGUGACGAUUCUGAUUCCUUUCUGACAAAAGGGAACCAUGGCUGCUGCUGGAGAGAUCUUACUCAACGCCUUCUUUCAGGUACUGUUCGACAGGUUGGCUUCUCGUAAUUUGAUCAGCUUUGUGCGUCAACUCCAAGGCGGGGUUGAUUCGGAGCUCAAAAAGUGGGAGAAAAAGCUGAAGAUGAUUCAGGCUGUCCUCUGCGAUGCAGAGGAGAAGCAACUGACCAACGAGGCUGUGAAGAUGUGGCUGGACGAACUCCAAGACUUGGCUUAUGACGCUGAGGACAUUCUUGAUGAGUUUGCUACUCAAGCUUUGGAAAGCAAGUUGAUGGCGCAAAAUCACGAUAGUUCUGGCCAGGUUCUCAGUUUCAUCCCGGCUGGUUUGAAUCCGAAUGCUAUUAUGUUCAAUUAUAGCAUGGGGUCCAAGAUUAAAGAUAUUACUAGCCGGCUGGAUCAACUCUGCCAAGAAAGAAUUGAACUUGGACUGCAACGGAUUACCGGAGAGGCAUCAUCAACUGCUGCUGGUGCACACCAGAGGCCACCCAGUUCGAGUGUCCCAACAGAACUUGAAGUAUUUGGAAGAGAAGAAGAUAAGGCCAAAAUUCUUGAUAUGUUAUUAGCCGAUACCCUAAGUGAUCAUGCUAACUUUGUUGUAAUACCCAUUGUUGGCAUGGGUGGGAUAGGAAAAACAACUCUUGCUCGGGAGGUUUACAAUGACAAGGCCGUUGGAGAUUGCAAGUUUGAUGUAAAAGCAUGGGUUUGCGUAUCUGACGUCUUUGAUGUUUUGGGCAUCUCAAAGGCACUUCUCGAGUCAAUCACCCGCACGCCUUGUCUUCUAAACAGUUUAAAUGAAGUGCAGGUUGAAUUGAAAGUAGCUGUGGAUAAGAAAAGAUUCUUGCUGGUCUUAGAUGAUGUUUGGAACGAGGACUACAGCUUGUGGGUAGACUUAAAAGCUCCGUUCCUGGGUGCUGCACCAAACAGUAAGAUGAUCGUCACCACGCGCAAUUCAAAUGUUGCAUCAACAAUGGGACCAGUUGAACAUUACAAUCUCAAGAGUCUGUCAGAUGAUGAUUGCUGGUCCAUUUUCAUAAAGCAUGCAUUUGAAUCUAGAGAUCUUAACGAACAUCAAAUUUCAGAAUCAUUCCGCAAGAAAGUUGUUGCCAAGUGUGGAGGCUUGGCCCUGGCAGCAAAAACACUCGGAGGCCUUCUGCGUACGACGAGGCAUGAUGUGUGGGAUGAUAUAUUAGAGAGCAAAAUAUGGGAUUUACCUCGACAAAGUGGGGUUCUCCCAGUAUUAAGAUUGAGUUACCAUCAUCUUCCUUCUCAUUUGAAAAGAUGUUUCGCUUACUGUGCAAUCUUUCCAAAAGAUUAUGAAUUCAAUGAGAAGGAGGUGACUUUUUUAUGGAUGGCCGGAGGUAUUAUUCGACAGUCCAGAAGCAAAGAGAGGCUAGAAGAUUGGGGCAGCAAGUGCUUCUAUGAUCUGGUGUCAAGGUCAAUUUUUCAGCAAACAGCAAUCUCUGAUAGUUCUAAAUUUGUAAUGCAUGACCUUAUUCAUGAUCUUGCUGAAUUGGUCUCUGGAGAAACCAUAUUCAGGUUAGAGGAGGCCAAUACUCUGUCAAGAAGAUUUGAAAGGGUUCGCCAUUCUUCCUAUGCUUGUGGUGGACGUGAUGGUAAAAAUAUGUUCGAGGUUUUCAAUGAAAUUGAACAUCUACGAACAUUCUUGCCAUUACGCUUACGCAUAAGAGGUGGCUCUAAUACUAGUUUCAUAACUCGUACGGUUCUAUCUGAUUUGCUGCCGAAGUUCAAAAUGUUGAGAGUGCUAUCUUUACAAGGAUACCGUAUCGGUGAGUUACCAAUUCCAUUUGAAGAUUUGAGACUUCUAAGGUUCCUCAACCUUGCUGACACUGACAUAAGAAGUUUACCUGAGUCAACAUGCAAAUUGCUGAACUUGGAAAUUUUGAUAUUAAGAAAUUGUUCCCGUUUGAUAAAGCUUCCGCAGAAAAUGAGGAAUUUGAUCAAUUUACGUCAUCUCGAUAUAAGAGGUGCAAAGCUGCUAAAGGAGAUGCCAUUUGGAAUGAAAGAGUUGAAGAAGCUUCAAACAUUGUCCAAUUUUAUUGUAGGCAAGGGUGAAUCCGCAUCUGGUUUGGAAGAUUUAAAAAGUUUAAACCUUCUUUGUGAUGAACUCUGCAUUGCUGGAUUAGAGAAUGUAAAUAGUCCACAGAAUGCAAGAGAAGCCACAUUAUGUGAGAAGCACAAUCUUGAAGCAUUGACUCUAGAAUGGGGGUCUCAAUCUGACAGUCCUCGGGAUGCAGUACUAGAAGAGAAUGUACUUGACACUCUACAACCUCAUGAACGUAUAAAAGAGCUGGCAAUCAGGCACUAUGGUGGUGCAGGAUUUCCACUUUGGAUCGGACAUCCUUUGUUCUCCGAGAUGAAGGUCCUUAAAUUGGAGAACUGUGACAAGUGUGUAUCUCUGCCAUCGCUUGGCCUGAUGAAUUCACUUAAGCACCUUGCUGUUAAAGGGCUGAAGAAACUAAAAAGCAUAGAGUCUGCGGUCUUUCCAUCAUUGGAGACUCUAAGUUUUGAGAAUUUGCCAGAAUGGCAGCAUUGGAACACCAAUAUCAAAGGAAAUGAGCCUGUUGAAAUAUUUCCUCGUCUCCAAGAACUUUCCAUUGCAGAAUGUCCCCAACUCUCUGGAGAACUGCCUGAGCUCCUGCCUUCUUUGGAGACACUUGUUGUUAGUAAAUGUGGAAAGUUGGUAGUUCCAUUGUCAAGCUAUCCGAUGCUCUGCAGAUUAGAAGUUGAUGAGUGCAAAGAGCUAGUGUGCAGGACUCCAAUUAAUUUUGAGUUGAUAAAGUCUGUGACUAUUUCAAAUAAUUCAUUACUCAUGAAUGGAUGCAAGGAGAUGCUAUGCCAUGGUCAAGCUGGCUCUUCACUGCAGAAACCCAAGACUAUUAUGAAUGUUUUGGAGUUCGGAAAAUUAUUGAAGCCUGGAUUUCAGAUAUUAGAAACUUUGGUAAUUGGCAAUUCUGAACGGCUCAAGUCAUGGAGUACUUUUAUUGAACCAGGGCUACAUUUGCUCGCUUCCCCUGAAGAGGUAGCAAUUGAAGAAAGUUGUGUACGUCUUGUUUUGUUUCCAGAGAUCAAUUUCUUUCCCAGAAAUCUGCGCUCUCUUCGAAUUUGCAACAGCACUGCUUUCAAAUCCUUACCCGAGGAAAUGAUGGAAAACAAUUCACAACUCGAAAGGUUGUAUAUCAGAGAUUGCGACUCUCUAACAUUCAUCGCAAGACGGAGGCUACCAGCAUCUCUUAAAAGGCUUGAGAUAGAAAAUUGUGAGAAAUUGCAACGUCUGUUCGAUGAUGAAGAGGAUGCUUCUUCUUCUUCUCCUUCAUCCUUGUCUUCCCCAGUGAUGCUGCAACACCUGAGAAUAGAGAAUUGCCCAGAGCUCACCAGUUUAUCAUCGGGUGUCCAAUUCCUUGAGGCGCUUGAAUACCUCAAGAUAGAGCAUUGUCCAAAGCUGGAGUCAAUACCGGAUGGCCUGCCCAAUCUUAAAUGUUUACAGAGCAUUUAUAUACGGAAAUGUCCAAGUCUUGUUUCCUUCUUAGAAAGAGGGCUUCCCAACGCCAUUUCAAGUUUUUACAUUUGCAGAUGUGACAAGCUCGAAGCCUUGCCCAAUGAUAUGCACAAACUCAACUCUCUUCGAGAUUUAAGCAUACAUGGGUGUCCAAGUCUUGUUUCCUUCCCAGAAAGAGGGCUUCCCAACGCCAUUUCAAGGGUUUACGUUUGCAGAUGUGAGAAGCUCGAAGCCUUGCCCAAUGAUUUGCACAAACUCAACUCUCUUCGAGGUUUAAGCAUACAGAUGUGUCCAAAUCUUGUAUCGUUUCCAGAAGAAGGUUUUCCUACCAAUCUAACAUCACUUACAAUUAGAUAUUUCAAAAUGUAUAAGACACUCGUCCAGUGGGGGUUGCACAGGCUUACCUCUCUUAAACGCCUCUGGAUUGCUGUACGUGAUGAUGAAGCAGAGUGUUUUCCAGACGAGGAGAUAGGAAUGACGCUGCCCACCUCUCUCACCGCUCUGCACCUUACUGGAUUCGAAAAUUUGAUAUUUCUGUCUUCAAUGGGUUUUCAAAACCUCACCUCUCUUCAAUCUUUGAGGAUCGAGAAUUGCCCGAAUCUCACAUCAUUUCCAGAGGUGGGCCUUCCAUCCUCACUUUUGGAAUUACACAUUAGAGAUUGUCUAAAGCUUAAAAAAGCGUGCAAAAGAGAUCAAGGAAAAGAGUGGCCCAAAAUUGCUCACAUCCCUCGCGUUGAGAUAGACGAUAAAUUCAUAUACGAUCCAGAAGCAGAGUAGAUUCUAUUAUUAAGGUCAGUUGAUUUGUAUUAUCCGCUAUAACAAGCUCCUCCUUUUUUUUUCAAAUAAUAAUUUUGCAGUCACUCAUAUGAUUCCGUUUUCACAAGUCAGAUUGUAUGUUGAGGCUAUUUGCCUUUUAAUUAUAACACUUAUUGGAGUAUAAUAUUUUGGAGCAAGCAUACUUGAAAUUUCUGUCUUCAAUAUUUUGAUGCUUUUUUAAUUUUUGAUCUAGUAAAAAUACAUAGCCUUCACCGGCAGGAUUCUAGUCUUGGCUUUCACCUCUCUAACUCAUCGUCCCCACUGGGAUUCCAGAAAUUGAAAUUUCUGUCUUCAAUGGGUUUUCAAAGCCUCGCCUCUCUUCGAUUUUUAUGGAUCGCUUCGAUUUUUGCACAAAUCUCACAUCAUUUCCCGAGGUCGAGGAAAAGAGCGGCCCAAACUUGCUCGCAUCCCUUGGGUUAUGAUAGAUGGAAAAUUCAUAUACGAUCCAGAGUCAGAGGUGUUGAUUCUCUUAUUAAGGUCAACUGAUUUCUAUUAUCCACUCUGACAAUCUCCUAUUAGUGUUUUUCCUUUUCUUUUUCAAAAUUUUGCAGUUCUGUAUAAUUGAAAAUGCCACUCACUUGUUUCCUUUUUCGCAGGUCAAAUAGUGCGUUGAGGCUAUUUGCUUUCUAUCGGUGUUUGUUAAGGUAAUUAGUGCUCCAUCAUAGGUAUGACUGGAUUUUUUUCACUUCCGUAAAUAUUGCAUUUCUAUCGGUGUUUGACUGGAUUUUUUUCACUUCCGAAAAUAUUGCAUUUUAGACUGGCAAAUUUAGCAGUAAUUUUAAUACAAUUUUGUUGGUGCCUUUUGUUCCAGAAGCUAGAAAAAUGUGUAGUUUUCAGAUAAGGAGGCUUGUCAGUUCUCUAAUAAGAAUCCAAUAAUUUGCUUUUGCACGUCCAUCUAAUUUGUGGAUCCUUGCAUCAGAAUUUGAUCAAUCCAAAAGGAAUUGCUUUUAGACAGAGGAAGAAUAGCAGUACCUAGCCUAUGUCAUAGUGUAUGGAACCGCAAACCUGAAACUAUUAGAUUGAGGUAAAAAAAUCAUUGACCCCCUCACAUGUUAACUUCUUCUAGUUACUUUCGUUGGAAAAAAAAACAUUUAAGGAAUUUGCAAUUUGUUGUUGGUUAUGGUAUCUGAUGUUCUUUUCUGUUUUAGUGUUUGUAGAAUCUACUGUAUUAUGUGUUGGCAGUUGCCGUAUCUGAGGUAACUUGCCUUUAUUUGACAAAGAUUUAGAGAAGCAUCUCAAAACACUUAGUAAACUUGACAAACUUCAAGAUGCACUUGCCCCCACGCCUUAUUCUCCACAACGCAAAACUUGUGAGUACACCUAUGCCUGCAAUUAUUGUGAAGUGUUUUCAAUUUUGAUGCAGAGAAAUGGUUUCUUGAUGCAAAAUAUUAAACUGUUAAGAUUUAUCCUGCAGGCUUGUUAGAUGCUGUAUGCUCGAAAAGCCAACAACAUCCAGAACUAGAACUCCAAGACCAGCUUUGCGUUAAUUCAGUCAACUGUAAUAAUAAUGCAAAUGACACUAUAUCAAGCUGGACUUAGAGACUAGUCAGAUCAAUCAUCCAUUUCAUCAACGGUUAAUGUCAUGAUGGUGGCUAUCAGAGGAAACAAAAGAUGUGUCGGAAUCUAUACGAACAUUGAGAAGCAUGAGAGGAGCUUUGAUUUUGAGUAGGGUCAAUGAACUCAUGUUGGUAAGUGGUAAUUAAAGAAAUUUGUAAGCUUAGUAGAGUUUCAGUAUUUUCUGUUUGGAGUAUAGUUGAUAAGUUGACUCUGUUUAAUAAGCCCGAUUAUAGUAGCUGACUGUAUUAACCUUUUUUUUUUUGGUCUACUGUUGUUUUUGGUUUCGAUUAUUUUUUCAACAUUGGGUUGAUCUGUUGAAGAACAAGCUUGGGUUCGAUUCUGCUUUAACUACAAGGAAGAGCCAGACUUGGAUGCAGGCGUUAAGAUUUUAAUGGGUAAGAACAAAUGAAUGCUUUAACCAUGUUUCUCACUAAUUAAAAUGCACGGAUUGAAGGCAUCUGGGUUGAUCCUGACAAUGUGAUGGAAAUACUUCUCUAUUUUGUUCCUGUGUUCACAUAAUGUUUGUGGGAUAUGCUUCGACGAAGACCAGCAAUGAUGAGCAGACACCUGGUAAUAGGGUUCCUCGAGCAGGUAUAUCUUGUAAGAGUAUGGUAUUCAGGGGAGCAGGAGCAGGAAUAUCCUGCUCAUCCGCGAGCACGUCAUCCACGAGGCCAAUCUCCUGUUGGAAGCAUAAAGCCAUUCCUGCUACAUUCCUGCUAAGGGUUGAGUCGAGGAGACCCGGUCAACGACAGUUGGCGAGGCGUGCUCUCCAGUCCGAGAAUCAAGGCAUGAAGGCCACGCAACCACCCACGACUACGGAAAUGGGGCAUCCACUUUCGAGAGGUGGGAGGAUAACGAGCGCGAAUGGAAGAAGGCCCGAGUUCAGAGAUGGCCUAUAAAAAAGUAGCCAACAAAGGUAAAAGGGUUAGAAUUUUUGACAUUGUAACAGAAAAAAAGAAAGCUCUAAAGAACUGAGACUAAAAAAGAAAAGCCAUAAGAUUUGUGGCUAGUGUUCCCAGAACCUUCAUAUCUAACUUGAGCGUCGGAGGGUUUACGCCGGGAAAACAACCGGCGUACUCUGACCUAGUUCUGUGUACGCAGGAACUUCUGGAGAAGAAGCCUUACGAGGAGAGAUCCUAAUCGAGGUGGAGUUGAUCGAGCAAAGAUCCUGGUCGUAACAAGAGAGCAACCAGAAUCUCGCAUCAACAUUUUGGCGCCAUCUGUGGGGACUUGAUCAAAAAGCUUCUGUUGAUAGCAAGAAGAGGAGUGAAGCAAGUGGAAAAGCAAUGGAGGCAAGAAGAAAUAGUGCACAAUGGGGUGAUAUGAGGCUUAACGAUUCCGUGACGCUGAGGGAGAUAGCCAGUGAAGCACGGGAAAAAGCCAUGUUUGACCGGAUGGAACGGAUGGAAAAGCAGAUGCAGACCCUGACAACCAUCCUACAUGAGCUGCGGAGUGAACGAAGGGGAACCCAGGAGGAAAGGGUGAGAGGUGGUGGAGUGGCACCAGGUCAUGAUAGUACGAGGAGAAGUCAAACCACCGAGAGAUUUGGUGGUGAGAGAGGUAACCUAUCUCUACGGGGAGAAAUUCAUAGAGAGGAAGAGCAAUCCCCGGCAAGACAGAUUUUUGACGAGGACGACGGGGUGGCGAAUGCAGAGGAAACAGAGUUGAGGUAACACUUGCAUGAUGUAGAGCAAGAGCGGGAUCAAGUUGCAGCACGUGACCUUGGUCGUGUAGUGCAGCUGGAGGAGGAAGUGCGCAGACUAGCGCAGAUAAUUGAUGACAUGUAAGGAAGGAGCAGAGCUCCUGGUUGGAGGAUAAUGCUGGACGGAGAAUCACCGCUCGCAGCAGAGAUCAUGAGGGCAGUUAUUCCAAGAGAUUUCCGCCUCCCAGACCUUAGAUAUUCGGGACGAACUGAUCCGCUGGUGCACAUAGAGCGCUUCAACGACAUAACCGGGGUACAAGGAUUAUCUCAAUCCCAAAGGUGCAGGGUGUUCCCACUAUCCCUUGAGGGACGUGCACGCAAGUGGUACAGGAAACUUCCUCGGUGGAGCAUUAAAACCUUCGAGCAGAUGUGACAGGAAUUUGUAGAGCAGUUUCGUGGGGCAAUAGCACCAGAAGAUGACAUGAUGGAGUUGAAAAGCAUGAAGCAGGGGGAACAAGAAACCCUUCGGGAAUUCAUCAAGAGGUUUCAUCGUGCUGUCCUCGAUUUGGGAGCCUUCAACCAUUCUCAGGCAUUAAGGGGAUUGAAAGAAGGGGUGAAGAUAGGAAGGCUGUGGCACAACUUGAGAAGCCCAGUUAUUCAGAUGUAUACAGCCGCAUACGAGCAGGCUAAGAGGGACAUUGAGAUUGAAGAAGAAAAGGCAGCACGGAUUAAGACAGACCAGCUAGAAGGGUUGGGAAAGAAAGAGAAGAAAGCAUUACCAGGGAAUGGGCCGAUCAGGAGGAAGGACCACCAGGCCUCAGGUAGUGGUGCAAGAGGUCGAGUAACCGCUUACCAGCCUCAUCAGAGACCACCACAGUAUUAGCACAGCAGAGCACAACCUCCUCGUUCCCCAGUUAGAGAGCUUUGGAGAAGGCAUGACUCGACAUAUGGUGGUCUUCAUCAACACUCCCACGGUAGUAGAGGGAGCAGACCAGAAGCGCUGCCACCGCCUCUAACUCAGAAUGGAACAAAUAGAGAAAGGGUAGUGCACAUGAUCGACCAGAACCAGGACUAUGGGCAGUAUACUUCCUUGAAGAUGUCCCUGGACGAGGUGUACGAGGCCAUAAAGGACCGGGGAUUGAUGUACCUCCCUGCCCCAAUAACAAAGCUACCCAGCAGGACGGAUAGGGGACGCUAUUGUAAGUUCCAUGGCACUUAUGGCCAUACCACUGCAGAAUGCAGAGAUCUCAAGACCCAAGUUGAAGAUUUGGUGAGAAAUCGGUACCUGGAUGAGUUUAUAGAUGAGACUUUCCCGAUGGUGGCCUCGACAUGUGAAGGGGAGCAGAGUGAUAGAAACUUUAGGCGCGAGCAGCCUGCAGUAAGGGUAAUAGCUGGGGGCCCAACAUUGGCCGGAGAUUUCAACAGAUCGAGGAAGAAUUAUGCUAGAUACGCCAUAACUAGUAAAGAGUUACUCUUCAACACCCCAGCAGCCAAAUGAGUAAGAGUCAGACAAGUGCCAAUCAUGUGGACGGAUGAAGAUGAAGAAGAGAUUCUAUACCCCCACGAGGAUGCUUUAGUCAUCAAGGCUACUGUUGCAAGUAAGAAGUUUGACCGGAUACUGGUUGAUACAGGGAGCUCAGUUGAUGUGUUAUUUAAGUCAACUCUGGAGGAGAUGGGAAUAGCAGGCCGGAAGUUGGAGUACACCAAUACCUCCUUGAAAGGGUUUGGAGGAGGAAAGCUGGUCCCUCUGGGCGUGGUCGAGCUGCCUAUCACGAUUGGGAGCUCCCCGACAAAAAGGACUAUGAUACUGGACUUUGUGGUGGUGGAUGAAGAAUGUCCUUACCAGAUGAUCUUAGGUCGGCCAUUUCUGAGGAUGAGCAAAGCGGUACUGUCCAACCAUUAUCUGGCUCUCAAGUACCGAGUGAAUGUGGUAGUUGGAGUGGUACGAGGAGACCAGAGAAUAGCACGAAGCUGCUACUCCUUGGCAGCAAGGGAAGCAAUGCAAAUAACAUCCCUUGAUACCCGAGUGGAAAACAUGAAUGGCAGACAAGAACCUGUAGAGGAGCUGGAGACAGUAAGCCUGGGACCAGAGAAUCCGGGAAAAACGAUCAGAAUCGAGUCGAGACUUAAGGAAGAGCAGAAGCAGGAGUUGGUGAAAUGCUUACAGGCUCAUGCAGAUGUGUUUGCUUGGACACAUGAAGACAUGCCAGAGAUUGAUCCUGAGGUAGCAUGUCAUAAGCUGGCAAUAAAGAAAGGUGCUCGGGCAGUAAGGCAGAAAAGGAGGUGCUUCAACCAGGAGAGGUAUGAGGCUAUAAAUGGCGAGGUGGAGAAGCUCUUGAUAGCAGGGUUCAUUUGCGAAGUCGAUUAUCCUGAGUGGAUAUCGAAUGUGGUGUUGGUAAAGAAGGCAAAUGGCAAGUGGAGGAUGUGUGUAGAUUUCACAGAUCUCAAUAAGGCGUGCCCGAAAGACAGCUUUCCUUUAUCAAAGAUCGACCAGCUAGUAGAUUCAACGGCUGGACACGGCCUGCUUAGCUUCAUGGACGCGUUUUCGGGAUACAACCAAAUUCCCAUGUAUGAGCAGGAUGAGGAGAGCACGGCUUUUAUUACUAACCAGGGUUUAUUUUGUUACAGGGUAAUGCCAUUUGGUCUUAAAAAUACUGGGGCCACGUACCAGAGGCUGGUGAAUAAAGUCUUUAAGCCAUUGAUUAGGAGAACCAUGGAGGUGUACGUGGACGACAUGAUAACCAAGUUGAACAUCCCGAAGGAACAUGUCAGAUACCUCGAGGAGACAUUCGGGCUUUUGAGGAAGUAUAAGAUGAAGCUCAACCCGGAAAAGUGUGCUUUUGGGGUCGAGUCAGGGAAAUUCCUUGGAUUCAUGGUGAGCCAUAGGGGGAUCGAAGCAAAUCCCGAGAAGAUCCACGCGAUCGUGUAAAUGAGGUCACCUCGUAGCCUGAAGGAGAUGCAGAGCCUCACGGGGAGGUUGGCGGCAUUGAGCCGAUUCAUAUCCAAGGCUACUGAUAAGUGUCAGCCAUUCUUUCAAGUGAUAAGGAGGGGAAAGAAAAUAGAAUGGACCCCAGAAUGUGAAGAAGCCUUCCAGAACUUGAAGCAGUACUUGCAGCAAGCACCUCUACUGUCCACACCGAGGGAUGGGGACAAGUUAUUUUUGUAUUUGGCGGUAUUAGAUCGGGCCGCAAGUUUUGUUCUGGUGAGAGAGGAAGAAGGGGUUCAGUAUCCGAUAUACUACACCAGCAAGGCUCUGCUCGACCCUGAGACCAGAUACCCACCGUUGGAGAAAUGGGCAUUUGCCCUUGUGGUUGCUGCUCAGAAGCUGAGGCCAUACUUUCAAGCAUUCCCAGUCUCGGUAAUAACAAACCAGCCAUUGCGUCAAACUCUGCACAAGCCAGAUGCUUCUGGUCGGCUCGUCAAGUGGACUAUAGAGCUGAGCGAGUUCGACAUAGACUACAAACCCCGAGCAGCGAUAAAGGCUCAGGCGAUGGCCGAUUUCAUAGCAGAAUUCACAGAGCCCGAAAUAUGUUUGGACCAGCGAGAUGUAGCUACAGACAGCAACGAAGCCCGAGUAUGGCAGAUGUCUGUAGAUGGAUCAUCCGGGGAGUAGGGAUCAGGAGCAGGAAUUGUUUUGGAAGGCCCAGAAGGGGAGGAGAUCUCUUAUGCUGUAAAGUUAGAAUUCGCAGCCACAAAUAACCAAGCAGAGUACGAAGCCUUGAUAGCAGGUUUGGAAUUGGCUAAGGCAGUGAAAGCGGAUAGAGUGAAGAUCAGAACUGAUUCCCAGCUGGUCGCAAAUCAUGUCAGUGAAAGAUUUCAACCGAGAGAGGAGAAGAUGGAGCAGUACCUGAAGAUAGUCAGGCAUAUGAUGGGGAAAUUUGAAGCGGUUUAGGUGAUACAAAUCCCCAGGGAGCAGAAUAGUCGAGCAGAUAUUUUGACGAGGAUGGCAGCGGUAGCAGACCCAAAAAUGCCAAAGUCGAUCCCUCUGGAGGUGAAGUCCAGCCCGAGCAUCGAGCAUAAUUUGGGGGUGCUGCGGAUAGAACAAAAAUGCUCGUGGAUGGACCCGAUAAUUUCAUACCUUAGAGACGGGGUAUUACCACCAGAGAAGCUGCGAGCUCGGAAGAUUAGAGCCCAGGCCUCGAGAUACACGAUGAUUGACGGGGUAUUAUAUCGGCGAGGAUAUACGCUACCUUUCCUUCGGUGUUUGGAUGAGGACGACGCGGACUACGUACUGAGAGAAGUACAUGAAGGAAUUUGCGAAAAUCACUAUGGUGGGAGGUCCCUGGCUCACAAGGUUCUAAGGCAGGGAUAUUUCUGGCCGACAAUGCACCAGGAUGCGCAAGAGAAGACCAGGAGCUGUGUAAGCUGCCAGAGUUUUGUGAGUUUCUCUAACCAACCACCAGAGAAGCUCACCUCUAUGGCCCCCCCCUGGCCAUUUGCUCAAUGGGGAAUUGAUCUGAUCGGCCCGUUGCCAAAGGGAUGAGGAGCAGCAACACAUGCAAUAGUUGCGAUAGACUACUUCACGAAGUGGAUAGAGGUAGAAGCCCUUAGUAGGAUCACAGAGAAGAAAACAACAGACUUUGUAUGGAGAAACCUGGUCUGUCGAUACGGGAUCCCUUAUGCCUUGGUAACGGAUAAUGGCAGGCAGUUUGAUAAUCACAGCUUCAGGGAUUUCUGCCAGAACCUCGAGAUAGAGUUGAAGUAUUGCUCGCCUGCUCACCCUCAAUCUAAUGGACAAGUAGAAGCAGCCAACAAGACCAUCAAGAGGCUUUUGAAAACCAGGCUUGGAGCAAAAAAGGGUGCAUGGGUUGAUGAGCUGUCAGGUGUCCUAUGGGUAUACAAGACAACCCACAAAACAGCAACUGGGGAGACACCGUUCGCCUUGGCUUUCGAACAUGAAGCGGUCGUACCAGCCGAGAUAGGAACGACCACGCACCGGACAGAUCAUUUCAAUGAGCAGGAGAACGACGAGCAGAUGUGUUUGAAUCUAGAUCUGCUAAUGGAAAAGAGGGAGCAAGCAGCCGAGCGAUCAACCAUUUGCCAGCAGAGGGUUGCUCGGUAUUAUAACCAGAAGGUGAAUGUACGGCAGUUCAAGGUCGGAGAUUGGGUGUUAAGAAGAGUGAAUCAGAAUACGAAAGACUCGGCUCAGGGAGUACUUGGACCAAAUUGGGAGGGGCCAUAUAGGGUCAAGCAGCUAGUUGGACCCGGAGCUUACAAGCUGGUUCGCUCGGAUGGCCACGAGGUGAAACGCCCAUGGAACGCAACACACCUCAGGAAAUAUUUCCAGUAAGAAUUGUCCAUGUUUUCAAGUUAUUUCUGUUCGUGUUUGUUGUUAUUUAUUUUAUGUCAAAACAAUUUCAUGUAAGUUGAAUCCUGCAAUUAAUGAAACGUCGAGGAAUUUCAUUCACUUGAAACUGUGAAAAAUCUACUAAGGCAUGCUAAGGCUCACUGAGUCUCAAAGCCUGUUUAUGGAAAGACCAGAAGCCAAGUGUGCCAGGAUCUGCUCGACCACGCGAAGGCCAGCAGAAUCCCAAAUCAUUGAAGAAUCUACCAAGGCAUGCAAAGGCUCGUCAAGUCUCAAAGCCUGUUUAUGGCGAGACCAGAAGCCAAGUGUGCCAGGAUCUGCUCAACCACGCGAAGGCGAGCAGAAUCCCAAUCAUUGAAGAAUCUACCAAGGCAUGCAAAGGCUCGUCAAGUCUCAAAGCCUGUUUAUGGCGAGACCAGAAGCCAAGUGUGCUAGGAUCUGCUCAACCACGCGAAGGCGAGCAGAAUCCCAAUCAUUGAAGAAUCUACUAAGGCAUGCUAAGGCUCACCGAGUCUCAAAGUCUGUUUAUGGCGAGACCAGAAGCCAAGUGUGCUAGGAUCUGCUCGACCACACGAAGGCGAGCAGAAUCCUAAAUCAUUGAAGAAUCUACCAAGGCAUGCAAAGGCUCGUCAAGUCUCAAAGCCUGUUUAUGGCGAGACCAGAAGCCAAGCAUGCCGGGAUCUGCUCGGCCAAGUAAAGGCCAGCAGACUCCCCAACAUCAAAAAAUUAUCCAAGGCAUGCAAAGGCUCGUCAAGUCUCAAAGCCUGUUUAUGGCGAUACCGGAAGCCAAGCAUGCCGGGAUCUGCUCGACCAAGUGAAGGCUAGCAGACUCCCCAACACUGGGAAAAUUAUCUAAGGCAUGAGAAAGCUCGUCAACUCUCAAGGCCUCCUCUGUGACGAGGUCAGAAGCCAAAUGGAUAAAUAAAUUAAAAUUCCAAUGCGAGGAAGCAAAUAAGAACAAUUUUAUUAAGCUCUUAAAAGUCUGCAAUUCUGUUACAUACAACGCUAAAAAAGCAAUUACAACGCAAGACAAGUUCAGGAGGACGGCGGAUCAGUAAACCGAGUAGCUUCGGUUGGCUGGUCCACUUCAGGGGUCGAGGGGGUGUCACCAGUUGCGUCCGGGGGGGUACUCGCCUCACCAACGUUAGCAGGGACUGCAUGAGGAGGAGAGUUUUCCUCCUCAACCACGAUUGGCUCCACCCCUUCGGCAUCCUCCUUUGCCGCCUCCUCGUCCAUGUGUUGAACAAUACUAGCCGCAAGGUCAUCCAUCUUCAGAUCAGGAUGCUGCUUCCCGAGGACGGCCAUGAUGCAACGAUAGGAAUGCCGAAGUCCCUGGUCGUACUGGUUGUCGGCUUCCUUCUCCAAGUUCUUGACCUGAACUCGGUGGGAAUCGCGGAGAGAUUCGAGCUGAGCCUCGUACAUAAUUUUCUGCCUUUGCAGAUCCUCCUUGACCUUAGUCAGCUCUUCCUCGAGAGUAACGGCCUAUGCUUGAGCAAGAGAUUCUUGCUCUAUCAGCUUCAGAUUCUCGAGAUUCAAGUCUCCCGCUUUCUUCUCGGCAGCAUCGGCUCUGGUCGUCGCCGAUUGAAUGUCCUCCUUCAUCUUCCGGUCGUAACGGCCAACCUUGGCCUUAUAGUAAGUGGUCAUGCAGCUGAGGUGGAAAGCGCUAUACUGCAUGGCCCCCACCAGCUCACCUAGGGUGCAGCCAUCAAAGUCCUCCAGGUCCUUCUUGCUCACGAGUUUAAAUAGCUCAUUGAGAUAGGGGACCAAGUGUUCUGCUCGGUGGUCAGAUAAACGAGAUCUAGGCCCGACAGGAGGAGAAGAGAAAGCAGGAUCAGUGGCAGCUCCACUAGUCUCUCUGACUUUGGCAGGAGGAGGAGGAGGUAGAGUCUGCAAGGGAGCAACCUGUUGCACGAUGUUCACCUGCUUUGCAGUAGGAGCAUCUUUAUUCUGGUCCUGCUUGGUCGUUGGAGGUCGAGAACGUUUCCUAGUCAGAGCCCCAAUCACAGCAUCCUCCAUCUUAUGGCCGGGAGGCACCAAACAAGACUCGAGCAGGUUAUAAGUAGUUAUCAGCUCUCGGCUCGAGCAGGAAUUGGCUAGUACAGCCUCGACCCGUUUGAGCUGGUCAGGUUUGAGCGGGAAGUAAACACCCCAAGAACCUGCAACACAAAUAGACACUUGGUUAGAGACAAACCAGUAUAGCGAGAACAAUUAUGGAUACAAGACAUCUAAAGCGAGCAGGCAACCUGAGAUCACGAAACGGGGUGGGACGCAAGAAUCCUUCCCGUCAAUUUGUGCAACUUGACCCCAGGAACCCCCAGCAAAAAAGAAUUUUUUCUUCCAAUUCCCACCACCACCAGUAAGAAGAUCGGUUAUGGGUUUCCUGGUCUUGGUACUAGAUUGGAAGUAGUACCAGCCGGCAUCUUUGGGGCUGCUCUUUAGCUGGUACAGGUGCUUCACCUCAUCAACUGUGGGCUUGCUUUGGCAACAUCUGUCCCACAAUAUGAACAGACCAGAGAGUACUUUCCACCCGUUGGGGUUCAGCUGACCAGGAGCUAGAUUUAGCCCGUUAAGCAUCCGGGCAAAGUAGGGUUGCAAGGGACACCUCAGCCCAUACUUAAAGCUCUCUAGAAACAGGGUAACGUAUCCCCUAGGAGGCCGGCUAGGGGUAUCCUUCUUUCCUGGGAUCUUAAGAGGUAUUUCACCAGGAAUACUAUACUUAAGCCGGAGGUCAGUGAGCUCGUCAAACGUGGUCGUGCACGUCAUGUAAUCAAUAGCGUAAUCCCGCGAUAGGGCUCUACCUCCUACUGUACUCUGCCCUUCUGGUCGCGAUGUUCAUAAUGGGGACACCUCACCAGAAUCACCUCUUCGAUCCUCACUCAGGGUGUUUUCCGAGCCAGAAAACCCCUCCUCACCGCUAUUUCUGCUCGAGGAGGUUGUUUGGGGGGACAUCCUCCUAGCGCUAGUACCAACACUAGGUCUAAUGGGUUCUAAGGGGAUCCCGGGGUCAAAAGCAGGAUCGGUGAGCAGACUAGGCAGGAAGUCCAACUCAUUGUCAUCAACCUCAAUGACCUUCUCUUUACCUUUCGACAUUCCCUAAGCUAUAACUAGAACACCACCACCAACUACUACCCAAGCAAAGCAAAGAGAAAAGAAAUUAUCUACAGCUAUCCGAGACUGAGGAGAUAGAAGUAAUACCUGAAAUAGUGGUUCAGUCGGAGAAGGACAGGGAUGGAGGCCUUUAUGCCGGAACUUCUUUGCCAGGGAGACAGGGACAGAGACGGGGUAAAUGACGAAUUUUCCUUUGGAGAGGUUUUAGGUUUUCCUAAUGGAGAAUAAACUCUUGGGUUGCCAGCAUUUAACAGCACCAAAUCCCGAGGGUCUCGUAACCGUUGGUUUGAAAUUCAAAUAGAGAGGUAGAUUUCUGUCACAUCACCUCGUCCGCAAUUAAAUGCGACACAACUCUUGGCAGCCUUUUUCCUAUCCCGCGCAAGCAAGAGCUGUCAAGUUUCUACUAUCGGCUUACUACGUUACCCAACACCAGAAACUGGGGGAUCGGUGUUUGUGGGAUAUGCUUCGACGAAGACCAGCAAUGAUGAGCAGACAUCUGGUAAUAGGGUUCCUCGAGCAGGUAUAUCUUGUAAGAGUCUAGUAUCCGGGGGAGCAGGAGCAGGAAUAUCCUGCUCAUCCGCGAGCACGUCAUCCACGAGGCCAAUCUCCUGUUGGAAGCAUAAAGUCAUUCAUGCUACAUUCCUGCUAAGGGUUGAGUCGAGGAGACCCGGUCAACGACAGUUGGCGAGAUGUGCUCUCCAGUCCGAGAAUCAAGGCACGAAGGCCACGCAACCACCCACGACUACGGAAAUGGGGCAUCCACUUUCGAGAGGUGGGAGGAUAACAAGCGCGAAUGGAGGGAAGGCCCGAGUUUAGAGGUGGCCUAUAAAAAGGUAGCCAACGAAGGUAAAAGGGUUAGAAUUUUUGACAUUGUAACAGAAAAAAAGAAAGCUCUAAAGAACUGAGACUAAAAAAGAAAAGCCAUAAGAUUUGUGGUUAGCGUUCCCAGAACCUUCAUAUCUGACUAGAGCGUCGGAGGGUUUACGCCGGGAAAAGAACCGGCAUACUCUGACCUGCUUCUGUAUACGCAGGAACUUCUGGAGAAGAAGCCUUACAAGGAGAGAUCCUGAUCGAGGUGGAGUUGAUCGAGCAGAGAUCCUGGUCGUAACAAGAGAGCAACCAGAAUCUCACAUCAACACAUAAUAUAAUAUAUAUAUAUAUAUAUAGAAAGCUGAAUUUAUUUAUUUACGCGCAUGUGCUAGUGCCCACUGGCAUCCACUUGAUUUGUAUCGGUUAAAUGUAUCAUACAAUACAAUAUUAGCUUGACUGUAGAAAAGAGGAGAACGAGUUGGUGUUGGUCUGAACUCUUAUCUUUGAAUCUCACGUGACUCCACUACUUUUUACUUGUUCUGUAGUCCAUUGUCGGCAGCUCAUACAAGGUCUUUUAGCUUUUUAAAAAGUUUUAGCUUUUUGGAUAAAUUACUGAUAAUUGUAAUCUAUAAAUAAUGAAAGGAAUUAAUUAAAUAUUUGGUAAAUUUUAUUUUUUAAAGUGUUAUGAGUUUUAAAAACGGUUGUAUGUAUAUAAAUUUAUUUACACAUAUAUUUAUAAAUAUGACUAUAUAAUAAUAUUUUAUGUGUACAUAUAAUAAUUGAUAACUAAAAUAAAUAUUUUUAUUUUAUUAAUGGUUUUUUCGUCUCAAUGUAGUUGGUAAUAAUAAUCUCUUGAGAUGUAACGAUUUUAUUUCCUAACUGAAUAAGGAAAAUUUUAGAUUUUUAUAAUAAAUGUUAAGAUAUAUUUAGAAUUACAUUAAGUAUGAAAUAAUCCUCAAAAUUAGAUUUUGAAAAGCAAUUCUUUUCUUGCCUUUAAAAAUAUGUCAUAUGAUGAGAUGAUUUUACUAAAAGUGAUUUUUUUUUAAAAAAUUACUAAACAUCAAAAUUAACUCUUAACUUUUUAAAAUCAUUUCUAAUCUUCUCAUCCUAAGUUCUCUAUUAUUUUGUACAAAAUCCAAGGUUUUGACUUUAAUAAAAUGCCCACUCAAAAAGAAAUUAUUUUCUAAUUAAGAUUUGUUGUUAAUGUAUAACUCGAAGUAAUAUUAGAUAUUUGUAAUUUUAUUUCAAAAAAUUUAUUCAAAUGAUAUGGCAAGCAAUGAACAAUAGUUGAUAGCAAUUUUUUUUUCUUUAACAAUGUUCAAAUCAAUCAGUUGCAUUAUCUCACCAUUUUUAUGAUGCCAUGUUAUUUUAAACGAUUUUUUUUUUAUAUAAAACAUACGACGUGUUAACAUCAUUUGCAUAACUUGACCUUUUUUUUUUUCCCUACAAAUAGUAAGUCAAAUUUACUCACCCUAUUUCUACCUAAAAUCUACCUAAAACUCAUGCAUCACUGCAAAACAAAUCCAAAGAUUGCGGUGCGUUUUUCUUGGUCAGAAAUCAAUAAUUAGGUCAAGUACUACUACUAAGCGUGCACAAUUAAUUCUAAAAUACGGUGAUCAAAAUCAUACUUUACGCAAGAGGAUCAGGGCUAAACUUCAAUUAGGCAUUAUUCAUCCAAAAAUCAUUGACUCGGCAUUCUUUGCAAGUUGUAGCAUGGGACAGCUAAGAUAAUUAGCAAAUGAUAUGGACCAUAUGCACCAAUACAUUUGUGACAUGUGAAUCUUGGCAUUAAAGGAAAGGCAAUGUGUCAAAAUUUAAUAGAGCCCAACUCUUCAUUGAAUGAUUAUCAGAUCCAAUACGCAUCCUUUGAUUGGAUUAUUUUAAGUCAAUUAUUGGUGGAUUGGGGCCCACUUGACUCUACCAAAUCGGGCUCGACCAUAUCACCUAUUAACGGCCACCUGUCCUUAUCAUAAAUAGCAAAUGUCACUUGUUUUAUUUUCUAUUUUACCAAAGUAAAGUCACUACGAACGCAAAAGAAAGUGACCUCAAUUUUGGGGGUCAUGAACUUUGGAUUAUUAUGGACACAAGAGACAAGCGCAAUGUUUCUCAUUUAUCACUGGAUAAGAUUUAAGUUAUCAACCCAAUAUUAAUAAAUUCUGCUUGAAAAGUAAAGUUUGAAGCUUCAUUUUGCGAAUAUUCAAUGGUUAACAUUUAAGUAAUUAACCUGAUAUUAAUCCAAUUAAACUUUUUAUGUAAUCCAAGUCAAAAAUAUAUUGAUAAACCUAAACUAAUCUAAUUGGACAUAUUAUUUCAACUUGAAAAGGUGAAUUUAUCAUUUUUCAAUUAAUUUUGAAUCAAGCUAUGUAAAAUAUAAGCUUAUUAAAGACAUAUUUGAAAAUUUCAAAUUGAAUUAUUUGACAAUUACAUUUCAACUAAGUUGUACUGCUAAUUAACUUCCUCAACUUAAAAUGUAUUUUUCUCAAUUAAUUCGUAACAAAGAAUGUUAGAUGUUUUGUUCGAAUGAUAACAUUCAACAUCCUUAUUCUUUAUGAUUAUUGCAUAAAAACAUAUUUUAUCCAUUUACGUCACAUAUGUUCCUAAAUUGUAUAAGAAAAUCACCAAAUUUACUCUUGUAAGUUACUAUAUCAAUGAACAUGAAACUAACUAAUCAUUAAAGUCUCGGAAUGACAUCAUGAGGGGGAUUCCGUUACAUUUAUUGAUAGGAUUAGAUAUAUGUCUUCCCAAAUAUUAGUAGGAGUAAUUAAACAGAUGCAGCUAUUAAAAAUAUGGAAUUACUUAUCUCGUCAAUAACUAACGAUAUUUUUUAUCUAUGCUCGAUAGGCGUCUGAGCUAUAUUAUAAAUUGUAAUAUUUGUAGAUUGUAACAAUUAUAAAAAAAAAAAAAAAAAGCUCCCUAAGACUAAACGACAACAGGACUGUUUUGAAAUAGAUAGAUAAAGUAUGCCCUUAUUUGAGAAAAGGUAAAACACUAGGGAUCUAAAUGUUAUUAUAAUCCCAUGCACAAAAAUGCUAGAAAAAACUAAUAACAACUAACCGAAAAUCCCAGGCGUCAUAUUCCUUUUUACCGCGUUUUAAAAUGCACAACAAUGAUAUUCUCACAAAAGUGGGUACAAAGGUUUGUACAACCAGGGUCUCUUUGUAAAUUAUUUCAAAGUUUUGUGUUAUUUUUUAAAUUUAUGAUUUUUAUUAAUUUUGAUUCAUUGGAGCAUUUCUCCUUCCAUCUCUUCUACAUCUAUUUUUAAAGUUUUUUAAAAUUUUGACUAUAUCUUUAUAGAGUUCUAAAUGAUUAUCUUUUUUCAUAAAAAUCUAUACUUAAAUUAAUCCUUGAAUUUAUAAUCAUUUAUCUUCUUUGAGUCAUAGACCAAAUUUUUUCUUCUAACAUAUCUAUGUAUACUCCUAAGCUAUCUUCAUGGCUUAGAUACAUUCUAUCAAAGCUUUCACAUAUAAAUUGUGAUUUGAGAUCUGCAUCUUGAAUCAACAUCUCUAUAUUAUCCAUUGUUUUACGCUCGAGGGUAGUUAAAAUUGAUUCUAUUAAUGCUAUCGUGUUUCUCCUUCAAAAGAAUCAAAUAUUUCUGGAUUAUUAAUUUCUUUUAUUUCUUCAUACAAGCAUUCGUUUGCCGUUAAUCUUGUUUUAAUCAAGGAAGCUGUAUAAGCAACUUGAUAUUCUUGACAAAAGUCUAAAUGAUCUAUUGCAUCUAGAAAUUUAUUAAUAGAUCUUUCCAUUUUUAAGAAAUUGAGUUACUCUUAUCACUUCCAAUCUUUUAACAUCUCAGAAAACAAACAAGGCCCAGCAUGCUUCCGUUUGUAGCUCAAAUAAAAGAAGAGUUCAGAUCACUAACCAAUGUACUAUCUCUCGGAAGUCUGAGAUAGACUCACUAAUUGCCUCUAACCAUAGAGAGGUCCAUGGUCAGCACCACCAUAGCUCCACACAUCAUACAAGAUCACUUCAACGACUGUUCCACAUGGCCUAAUGCAACACACAGCAGACUGGCCUAAUAGGAUAUGUCUAAGUGAUUUUCUUGCAGUUGUCUCUGGAAGAGUGCUUAGUAAUAGAAAAUCUUCUUCGUUUAGUACAAGUAUUGGUAUGUAAGGUUCUUGAUUAAUUUUCAAAAGAUGUAUAAGUGUUAGAGUGCAAUUUAUGCACUAGUUUUGCAUUAUUUACUUCCCUUAAUAUCAAUGUUUUGCACUUAAUAAUAGUGAUUUACUUGUGUUUUACUUUUGUAGGUCCAAUUCUAUUGAUUGAUGAUAAAAUUGAGCUAUAAGAUGAUGUUUAAGGAUGAUUGUUCUCUUGGAGAAAUUAUGAGCGUCAGAAGAACUUUGUUGAUAAGGCGUGGGCGCGUGCUGUCAAUUGCGGACCUGCAGUUUUUAGUUUAACGUGUUUUGUAUUUUUGGUUAUUUUUGUAAUUACGAAUUUAAUAUUUCAGAUAUUAAGAUUUUAUUUUAAAUAGAAUUCUAAAAGAGAAGAGAGAGAGAGUAUUUAAGGGAGGAAUCUAUUGUGAAAAAGGGGGAUUUUGGAUUGGAGAAAGAAAGAAACCCUAGAUCUAAUUUUUCUCUUCUCUCUAUGAAGAACUAAACUUAUUUUUCUAGUUGAAGGUUAACGAAGCUUUGAUUCAUCACUACUGUGAGAUCUUUCUUAUGCUUUAAUUGUUUUAUUACUUUUUGGAUAUUUGUUUAUUCUCUGAAUUUUUUUCAUGAUUAUGUUUGUUAAUUAGGUAAUUGGCCACUAUUUAAUUAUCAACUUAAUCUAUUGUCAAUUAAAGGAUUCAUCGUAUGAAGAAUUUAAUAUUUGUGACAAAUAACAUAGCAGAGAGUUGUGUUGUGAGAAUAAACAAUCUAAUUUAAAUGAAUCAUCAUAUGUGUUGAUUAGGAUUUGGGUCUCUCUGGUUUUUCAGGCUGUCAAUGAAUUAAAUCCUAUGAUCGUAUCUAGGGUUGUCCAUUGAUUAGGGAAAUAACCAACGGUCGUACCUUGGUUAUCGACUAGUAAAGGAGAGAUUGGCUAUUAGAGGGUCUCAAUAGCUAUAACCGGUCUAUUCAUAAGUAAUAAUAAUCUAUAUUUGAAUCAAUGAUCAGUAGUAGAAUCAAGCUGAGUUAAUUCCUUCAACCAGAGCUUUCUCCAAUUUGAAUUACAACUUUAAUUUGCAUUCUUGUUAUUUUGAUUUGAUUUUUAUUAUUGUCAACAAUUCCCCCAUUUUACGUUUUACGUUUCAAAAGGAUUUAAAUAAUUACCGAUCUCUGUGGACACGACCCUGCUCAAUCACUAUACACAAUUUAUUUAGAGUAGGAAUUUAUUUUUGUUCGCUUCGACACCACUGCUGCCUCGCCAACUAUUCCUUCUACAUCCGCACCACCUUUGAGCAUUCAGUUAGAGAAAAUAGAGCACAAGCUGAACAAGAUGGAGCAGAAUUUGGCCGCAUACUUCGAGAGUGUGGGUUUUACCCCACCAUUUCCGCCAAGCCCAUAGACGUUAUGUGGAUCAAAGCUCACAAUUCAGGGAAGUUUCUUUUUGCCCUUAAUCUUUUAUCCUUACGCUUUAAUUUUUAUGUGAGCUUUAAUUAUCUUACAUUGGGGACAAUGUAAGUUCUUGGUGUGGGGGAGGGAUUUUUGCAUUAUUGAUGUCUGGAAGUAUUAUUUUCACUCUACUCAUCUAUUUUCAUUCUACUCGUCCUUAAAUGAUUUUGGAGUUAGUAUGCUUCAUAUAUUAUUAUUUUUCUUUUCUUUUCUUUCUCACUACUUUUUUCCCAUCUAUCUCAAAUUAUUUACAUCUAUUUUUAUUCUAUCAUACUCUUUCAUCACUCACAUUUUAUCUUUCACUUUUCAUAUUACUACAUACAUCUUUCUCACUUCUUAUCAUUUUUACCUUUCCUUCACUCAUACCUUCUUCUCAUUCUACACCACUAUUGAUGGUUGAUUCAUUUGAAGAGUGUACAUGAUUUGAUGGCAAAUUUACCAACUUUGUGAGGAUUUGAGCCUAUGAGCAACCACUUUGCUCUAAUUAUUUUUAUUAUGUGAAUAUCAAUCUUAGUUUGUUUAUUCUAGAACUUGCUUUGUUAUGCAUGUUGAAGCCACAUUACGGGAUUUUUUGCAUUAAAAUGAUAAGGGCAAACCAUUUACCAUUUUUCUAUUCUCGCAUUUUCUUUUUUUUUUCUCUACCCGAAGACCUUGAUUUACUAUCUUUGUUUGAGCCUUAACCAUUACCCAUCUAAUUCUCUCCGUCUACUUAACCAUUUUUCUUCUUUUUUAGCCUCAAUUUAAGGAGAUUUUUGGACUCAUUGUGUGGAUAUAUUUUGUAUAUAUUUUGUUGCUUUUUCUACCUUGUAUUAAAGUUUCUCAAUUAGAUCAACAAGCAUUAUGCUUGAAUUAAAUUGUGCAAGGUUCAUUUCUUUUGUUUGAUUCAAAAAAAAAAAAGAAAGAAAAAGAAAAGGAAAAAGAAAAAAAAAGAAAAAAAAAGAAAAAUCGAAAAAAAAAGAAAAAGAAGAAAAAAAAAUGUUUACAUUCUUGGUGACUUGAGUAGAAAUAAGCGUUUCGAUAUCAUAAAGUUCGUUCAAUGAGUUCAUUCUUCUCAUUUUGAUCUCUUUUUCUUUCAUAAACCUUUCUUUUUCAUUUAACCCAUUUAACCCCGUUACAACCUUUUAAGACCCUUAGAUUUUUGUAUUUAAUUCAUGUUUUGUGGAUUGAAAUGUGAUAUAUAAGCAAGCUUAUGGUAAUAGCAUUCUUUGAUUUGAUUUGAGUGAAUAAAUGACACCCUAAACACUUUGAGUGCAUGGAGUGAAGUCAAUGAGAGGGCUAUUAAAUCUUGUUGCACUUGAAUUUUGAAUGGAUCUUCUUGGUGGUUGAAUGUUCUUAUUCUAUCUUAUGAGAUUCUAUGCUUUAAAAUCCUUGUCUCUCGAAUGUUGAUCGACUUAAUUUCUUGAGGUAUACUUGCUUAAAAUUGUUUUUGGAUGAGUUGAGAUGAGAAUUGAGUGGAGAUUUGGGAUUAGUCUUGAGUUAUAUGCUUGAGGACAAGCAUCAUCUUGGUGUGGGGGAAUUUGUUAGAGUGCAAUUUAAGCACUAGUUUUGCAUUGUUUACUUCCCUUAAUAUCGAUGUUUUGCACUUAAUAAUAGUGAUUUACUUGUGUUUUACUUUUGUAGGUGCAAUUCUAUUGAUUGGUGAUAAAUUAAGCUACAAGAUGAUAUUUAAUGAUGAUUGUUCUCUUGGAGAAAUUAUGAGCGUCAGAAGAACUUUGUUGAUAAGGUGUGGGCGCGUGCUGUCAACUACGGACCUGCAGUUUUUAGUUUAACGUGUUUUGUAUUUUUGGUUAUUUUUGUAAUUACGAAUUUAAUAUUUCAGAUAUUAGUAUUUUAUUUUAAAUAGAACUCUAAAAGAGAAGAGAGAGAGAGUAUUUAAGGGAGGAAUCUAUUGUGAAAAAGGGGGAUUUUAGAUUGGAGAAAAAGAAAGAAACCCUAGAUCUAAAUUUUUCUCUUCUCUCUAUGAAGAACUAAACCUAUUUUUCUGGUUGAAGGUUAAUGAAGCUUUGAUUCAUCACUACUGUGAGAUCUUUCUUGUGCUUUAAUUGUUUUAUUACUUUUUGGGUAUUUGUUUAUUCUCUGAAUUAUUUUCAUGAUUAUGUUUGUUAAUGAGGUAAUUGGCCACUAUUUAAUUAUCAACUUAAUCUAUUGUCAAUUAAGGGAUUCAUCGUAUGAAGAUUUUAAUGUUUGUGACAAAUAACAUAGCAGUGAGUUGUGUUAUGAGAAUAAAUAAUCUAAUUUAAAUGAAUCAUCAUAUGUGUUGAUUAGGAUUUGGGUCUCUCUGGUUUUUCAUGUAUAAGAUAUCUAGAAGAUGAUAAUUUCACUCAAAAGAGUUUUAUUUAUUUCAUUAUUGAAAUUGUUUACAGAGGAAGGUUACAGAGAAUACAGAGGUAAUUGAAGGUUAGACAUAUGAUAUCUUUCCUUUCUUACAUGCUUUCAUUUAUAUAUCUCUCUAGAGAUAAGAUUAUCUCUUUUACAUAACACAUGUUCGAUCCUUGUGGUGGAAUCUCGAUUUCCUUUUGAUAAGGUGACCCCUUCUUCAUCAUUGAAGCCAGUAGUUGUCUUCUUUUCAUGUUGCCAGACAACCUUUAUCUUGUUCUGGUGAGCUUUUUCUUUUUUGGAAUCUCUCUUUUUGAAUUAUUGAUACUUUUUGGAUAACACCUUUUAUCUUUUUCAGUAGUCCCCGUCACAUGCCAAUUAUCAUAUCUUCAUCUAUAGACAUGUCUUCCCCACUAGAAUCUCCUUUUUUUUUUAAUCCUUCGUAGUAGUAGCCACAUGAUGACUGAUGCUUUAGCACCUUAUAUAUCUCGUGGUGUGUCAGCAAGGUGGAUUCCACGAGAUUUUCGAAUAUGCCCUUUUUCUUUUUUAAUAUGGUAUGUCUGGCUAAAAUAUUUUCUUUUCUACUCAUAGAAAAGAUUAUAUGCUCUUUUGUGGCUUCAUGGAGCCAUAUUUUCUCCUUGUUUAUCCUCUCAAGAGAUUCAUAGAGGACUUUCAUUUCUAUGGCCCUUUUGUUGGUGAGAGCUUUUGGCUCGAAUAAUUCAGGAUCAUAAUCAUUGUAGACUUGAUGUAAAUCAAUGGUUGGACUAACUUUUCUACUGCUAAUUCCAACUUGAAUCAAGUGCUGUGCUGGAUACCACUUGUUACCAUAGUAUUCAGGGCAAGCAGUGAGGAUCUUGACAAAAAUCACUUCUUUUGUUUUAGACAUGAUUUUGAGAUCAUUAAUAGCCUCUGCAACUUUUGUGGGAAGCUCUUUUAUUUCUCUGCAAUCAUCACUUACAUAAACAAGGUUAAGAAAACCAUAUUCAAACAUGUCUUUUAUUAGUUUUAGAUUAGCUCCUGGCACAACGUUUAUCAUUGGAUAUAACCCUAAAUGAUCUAGUAUAAUAGUCUGGCUAGGACGAAUCCCAUAGGCUAUUUUACCAAUUCUUUUAUAAUCAUAAGCGUAGUCGCUUCCUAUUGGUAUUUUAACCAUAGGGACAGAUUGUCUGCUUUUAUCAUAUUGGGGUCUUAGGCUUACUGAAGAUCCCUGAGAUUCUUUUUUCUUUGUACAUUGAUCUUUAAGAUCAUUGAUUGUGAGAUAUCUCUCUGAAUGUGUGACCAUUGAUCUUUAAAAUACCAAUAGGAAGAGUAGUCGCUUCCUAUUGGUAUUUUAACCAUAGGGACAGACUGUCCGCUUUUAUCAUAUUGGGGUCUUAGGCUUACUGAAGAUCCCUGAGAUUCGUCUUUCUUUGUACAUUGAUCUUUAAGAUCAUUGAUUGUGAGAUAUCUCUCUGGAUGUGUGACCUUUAAGCUCUGCGAAGAACUCGAGGCAUUUUGACCCUCAAUUUGAUCUUUAAAAUGGACAUUUUUUUAGCAUAUUGCUAAUAUAUUGUUAUGAAGUUUGGAGUUCUGGAUGAUCUUGCAAACUUUUGUUUGGGCAAAGUUUGCUCAAUUCUUCAUGGGCAUCAUCUAUCAUGGCAAGCCCAUCAUAAAUCAUACUAUUGCCUUUGAGAAGUUAUUCUUGACCUUCAGAGCACAUUAUUAUGCCCUUAAUUAUUUUGGAAAUGCUCUGCUCCAUUGUAUUCUUGGCAAAGAUUAGAUCCUUUAAUAUAUUCAAUUUCAAAAUCAUAUUCAGCAAAAAACUGCUGCCAUCUAAUUAAUGUUUUCUAUUGAGGAAGAUUAGGCAAUUUAUUGAAUAUAAAUCCUUUGACUUGAGUGUUAUCGGAUCUUACCUUAAAUUUCUUUGGUAACAAAAAGAAAGUAAAUUUAGCUAUUCCUUUUUUAAUAGCUAAUAAUUCAUUUUCAUUACUAUGAUAAUUCUUUUCUAUGGGUUUGAAGGUCCCGCUAGAAUAUCUACAAAUUUUUUCUUGAUAUGUUUUUAAGACUGCUCGCCAGUGAUUAUCUGAAGCAGUAGUUUCAAGAAUUAAAUUAUCACUAGAGGUAGGGAAUCCUAACCUUAAGUAAAAAGCCAAAAAAAUUGACUUAUUUUAUUAAGUCAAUUUUUGAAAAUAUAAAUAAUGCAAAAUAUAAGAAUAUCAUCUACAUGAUCUAUCUUAUUAUUUGAAAAUAUAAGAAUAUCAUCUACAUAAAUAAUGCAAAAUUCAUGAAAUUUUUUUAAGAUGCUAAAUAUCUUUUUAUUUAUUAUAGAAGUAAUUAAUGUAUCUUUAUGAGGUAAAAAGUAUCCAUCGAAUUUGGUAUAUUUAUUUAAUUCUUUGUAGUUAAUGACCAUAUGAGCUUUUCCUCGUUUAAUUUCAGCAUGAUUUCUAACUGAUUAGUAUUAAAAAUUGUUUAAUUAUCAAGCGAUAAUAUGUUAUUUUAUGCUUAUGUUAUAAUUUAUAUUUGUGUUUAUGUAAUAUAUUAUGAAUUAUGAAUUAUGUUUUAAAUAUAUUUAAUUUUGUGUAUUUUUAUGUGUUUAUUAGGAAAAUUAUUAAUUUCACGUACUUUGAGGCUCCAAACAGAUAAACGGAGGUCAAAUUUGGAUUCCGGAGGUCCGAAAACCUUAAGAUCAGUCAAGAUCGGCUUAAAAUUGGGCUUGUGUAAAAAAAGUUGACUUUUCCUGUUGACCGAGCACUGAUUGGAUGAUGAAAUGAGCUUACAAUAGAUAUGAGUGCAUGGGAUAACUGGCAAUCUUGACUAAAUCUCAACCGUUCAUGAUUCAAUGGCCAUGAUUGUGCCACGUGGCAAUGGUUGGUGAAGCAAGUUGGAGGAUCCGAAUCUUUGUAUUCGGGUCGACCCGAUCCACCCAUUAACCCGCCAAAUCUCAACCGUUCUUUGGGCAAAUCGGACGAGUCAAAUGAUGCCAUGUGUGAUGUUGACUUUUGAAGUUUGACCAGCCAUUGGAUCUUGAUCUAAGGGUUGUGAGGAGCACAUGCAUGAAGCCUAUGAUGGACCGCAAAGCACUGGAUUAUGAAUUUAUUUUUCUAUAAAUAGGGCCUCAUUUUUAUGUUUUAAUCAUCUCUCUACAACUCUCUUCUUCUCAAAUUCUCUCCAUCUCCUUGUAAUCUUGAUUUCCAUAUGUGUUUUUAAUAUUUUGUAUAAUUAUUUUCAUUAAUAAAAUUAGUUUUAUUUCCAAUUUUAGUUGUUUUUAUUUCUUUUAAUUAUAAGUAAUUCAAUUUUACUACUUCUUUUUAUUUUAAUUAUGCUUAACUAAAUAAUAUUAGUUAGGGGAAGGUGAAACUCUUAAGAAAUAAAUAUGAUUUAAUCAAAUUCUAUGUUUAAUUUUAUAAAUUAAAUUAUUUUCUAUUUAAUUUUAUACAUGUUUUAUAUUUUGAAAAUUUAAUUUAUUGUAGACAAACAAAUGAAUUUGGCACAAUAAAUUCUUAAGAUCUUAAUAUAAGGCAUGGUGAAAUGGUAUUUUGACUUAUUGUAGACAAAUUAAAUUUUGGCACAAUAAAUACUUAAUCCAUCAUAAAAUUAAAGGGAAAAUAAUAAUAAUUUGUAUAAUUAAUCUUUUGAGUAAUAAAUCUAAAACAAAUUGGCAAAAAGAAUUUAUUAAGUUUUAUUUAUUUCUAAGAGUGGAUCCAUAACCCUAACUAGUUCAAUUCCAUAGUUUCAUUUAAAUUAAGUUGUUUAUAUUCAAGUUUUAAUUUCAAUUUUUAGAUAAAAUAAAAUAAACUAAUUAAAUCUUUUCUCUGUGGAUCGACCUCGGACUCACCGAGUUAUAAUACAACAAGACACUCUUAUACUUGGGAGUUAAAAUUUACUUUUAAGUUGUGUCAAGUUUUUGGCGCCGUUGCCGGGGAAAAGUUUUUUAUUUGGUUUGUUUUUCCGUUUUUUAUUUUUCUCUUAUAUGUAAAACUUCGUUUGCCCCCUUUUCCUUUUCUUAAAUUCUCCUUAGUCCCCAUGUCUUUCAUAUUUCUCGUUUCACCCCAACAAUUUCCUUUUCUAGCCCAAUCUUCUGGUAAUUACGUUCGGACCCCAACAUCUUUCAACUGUUUCACUUUCAUCCCAAAUUACUAAUUCUAAACUUCUAAAAAUUACAUUUUGACCAUAAAAUUAAAAAUAAUUUGCAAUAGAAUCCCUAGACGAAAUUCCUCAACAUAAUCAAGACUUGGACAUAUUUGGACAUACUUUGGACAUAUUUGGACAUAUUUGGACUUAUUUUGGACCAAACUAACUUUAACUACUAACUCUAAUUACUAACUCUUAACUUACUAACUGCUAACUGCUAACUGCUAACUUUUAUUUAAUUUCAGUUAUUUAAUUUUCUGCAUUUAUUUUAUUUCGUAUUUAUUUAUUUGUUUUUGCUUUAUUGGUGGGUUUAACCACCAAACUAACUACUAACUCUUAACUUUUAUUUUCAGUUAUUUAAUUUUCAGUAUUUAUUUAAUUUUGUAUUUUUUAUUUUUUUUAAUUGGUGGGUUCAACCACCAUUUUUUUUUAUUUUGCAUUUAUUUAUUUAUUUAUUUUUUACUUUGUUGGUGGGUUCAACCAUCAAAAUUGUUAUUUAAUUUUCUUUUGUAUACUUAUAUUAUUUAUUUAUUUAUUUUUUUAUUUUAUUUUGUUAUCAAUUUGUGUAAAUAUUAUCUUUAUAACAUAACCAUUGCAUGAGACGUUGGUCUCGAUCUUCAAGUGGCAGGUUAAUUCGUAGAUCUCAAUCUCCACCACCAAUCAUGGAUGAGAAUGAAGGCGAAAACGUUUUGGGCGAACUUAAUCCUCAAAUUGAUCAGGGAGACAACCAAUCUCAACAUGGGCAUGAUCAGAAUCAACCAAGGACUCUGAGAGACUACAUGAAUCCAACCAGAACCGGAGCACCGUCGUGUAUAGUAUUUCCUCCAGAAGCAUCUCGAUUCAACUUUAAACCAGGUAUUAUCCAACUUUUACCAACAUUUCAUGGUUUAGAAUCUGAGAAUCCGUACUUGCAUCUAAGAGAUUUUGAGGAAGUUUGUAAUACAUACACGGACCAAAAUUGUAGCAUGAACAUAAUUAGAUUAAAGCUUUUUCCUUUUUCAUUAAAAGAUAAAGCUAAAACUUGGCUACAAAACCUUAGAUCUGGAUCAGUAAGAACUUGGAAUAACAUGCAAGAACAGUUUUUUGAAAAAAUUCUUUCCACCUCAUAGAACAAAUUCUUUUAAAAGGCAAAUCACUUCUUUCACUCAAAAAAAUGGAGAAACAUUAUACCAAUGUUGGGAUAGGUUUACAGAGUUGCUUAACAUAUGCCCACAUCAUGGUUUUGAAACUUGGCGAUUGGUCACUUAUUUCUACGAGGGCUUAAUACCCCAAAGUAGACAGGUUGUUGAAAUGAUGUGUAAUGGUGAAUUUAGGGAUAAAAAUCCUGAAGAUGCACUAGAUUACCUUGACCAAUUAGCUGAAAAUGCACAACAUUGGGAUACUGUUGGAACUUUUGAAUUGACAAAUAAGCAACAAUCAUCUCCAUCUAGUGGAGGAAUCCAUAACCUUAGGGAAGAUCAUGAUUUACAAGCAAAAUUUGCAUCCCUAGUUAGGAAAGUUGAAGCUUUGGAGCAUAAAAAGAGUGAUCAAGUAAAAUCUGUUCAAGAAAUUGCAUGUAACAUAUGUAAUUCGAAUGAUCAUUUCACUCAAGAGUGUCCCACUUUGCCUGCACUUAAAGAAUGUCUAAAUGAUCAAGCUAAUGUCAUUAACACUUUCAAUAAACCAAACCCAUAUUCACAGACUUAUAAUCCUGGUUGGAGAAAUCAUCCGAAUUUCAGUUGGAGGAAUAAUAAUAAUGCACAAUCUUCACAAGCACCACCUCCACAAAAUUUUCAAAAUCCUCAGCCUUAUGCACCAUAUGUUCCACCACCCUGGAAAAAUCUGGAAGACACAAUGCAUUCAUUCAUCAGAAAGCAAGAUGUUAUUAACAAUCAAAAUGCACAAAAUUUUUCUGAUUUGAAAGAUACUCUUGCUAAAAUUGCUUCUGCACUCACCAUUCAAGAAAAAGGAAAAUUUCCAGCCCAACCACAACCAAAUCCUAAAAUUCAACAAAAUCCACCCACAGACCAAGUCAAGUCAGUUAUAACUCUUCGUAGUGGUAAGGUUGUUGAUAGACCUAUGCCUGAACCUUAUGAAAAUGAUGAAAAUUCAAAGGGUAAGGAAGGACUAAAUGAACUUACACCUAGUGAAGAAAUAACUAGUGUUCCACCUGAACCACCAUUUCCGCAUGCAUUGAAUAAACCAAAGAAAUCAAACCACUCUUCUGAAAUUUAUGAAAUCUUUAAGCAAGUGAAAGUUAACAUUCCUCUAUUAGAUGCAAUCAAGCAGGUUCCUUUAUAUGCCAAAUUUUUAAAGGACUUGUGCACUGUUAAGAGGAAAUUGAAGGUAAGAAAGAGUGCUUUCAUGGCCGAACAGGUAAGUACAAUUCUGUCUACUAAUAAUAAGUUGAAAUAUAAAGAUCCUGGUUGUCCUACCAUUUCUUGUAUUAUUGGUAACCACAGAAUUGAGCAUGCUUUACUAGAUCUUGGUGCUAGUGUUAAUUUGCUUCCAUAUUCAGUUUAUCUUCAACUUAAUCUUGGUGAGUUAAAAUCAACUUCAACUACACUUUUGCUUGUCGAUAGAUCAGUUAAAGUACCAAAAGGAAUAGUGGAAGAUGUUUUAGUACAAGUUGAUAAAUUUAUUUAUCCUGUGGAUUUUAUUGUCUUGGAAACUGAACCUGUUGUGAAUAAUUACAAACCAAUUCCUGUAAUUUUAGGUCGACCAUUUUUAGCAACUGCUAAUGCUUUGAUUAAUUGUAGGAAUGGUUUAAUGAAUUUAUCCUUUGGGAAUAUGACUUUGGAAUUGAAUGUUUUCAACAUGUGCAGGCAACCUAAUGAAGAAAAUGAGAAUGAAGAUGAUACUGAUGAACAAAAGGAAUUGUUUGAAUCUUGUAUCGAGGAAAAUAUUCAAAAAGGGGAUUUUUCUGAACUUUCAAAUGUUUGUUUAGUUAAUUCAAUUGAGUCAAAUAAGCAACUUGAACUUGAUAUUUCUAAUAUAAAUUCGUUGCUUGAUUCUGUGCAGACUUCACAAAAUUAUGAUGACGAGCCAAAAUUUGAGGAGCUUGGAAGUAUUGAAAAGACAGAACAACAAGAAGCACCUAAAAUGGAAUUGAAACCUUUGCCUGAAGGAUUGAAAUAUGCUUUUCUUGGAGAAGAACAAACUUAUCCUGUUGUGAUUUCUUCUACUUUAACAAGCGACCAAGAAGGUAAGUUACUUACUGUUCUUAAAAAGCAUAAAAAUGCAAUAGGAUGGACUUUAAAUGACAUUAAAGGCAUUAAUCCCUUAAUCUGCACACAUAGAAUUAAUUUGGAAGAAAAUGCUAAAAUAUGUCAACAACCUCAAAGAAGAUUAAACCCACACAUGAAAGAGGUAGUCAAAACAGAAGUCCUUAAAUUACUUGAUGUGGGAAUUAUCUACCCUGUUUCUGAUAGUAAGUGGGUAAGUCCUACACAAGUAGUGCCUAAAAAAUCUGAAAUCACUGUUGUUAAAAAUGAAAAAGGUGAAUUAAUUCCAACACGAAUUACAUCUAGUUGACGCAUGUGCAUUGAUUAUAGAAAAUUAAAUGAAGCCACUAGAAAAGAUCAUUUUCCAUUACCAUUCCUUGACCAAAUCUUAGAAAGAGUAGCAGGACAUCCCUACUACUGUUUUUUAGAUGGAUAUUCAGGUUAUUAUCAAAUUCCUAUAGCACUUGAGGACCAAGAAAAGACCACAUUCACAUGUCCUUUUGGAACAUUUGCAUUUAAAAGAAUGCCAUUCGGGCUUUGUAAUGCUCCUGCAACAUUUCAAAGAUGUAUGUUAAGCAUUUUUUGUGAUAUGGUUGAACAUUGUUUAGAGGUCUUUAUGGAUGAUUUGACUGUGUUUGGGAAUUCUUUUGAUGAUUGCCUUGAUAAUUUGGAGAAAGUUUUAAAAAGAUGUGUUGAAAAAGAACUCGUGUUGAAUUGGGAAAAAUGUCACUACAUGGUUACUUCUGGAAUUGUUUUGGGUCAUGUUGUUUCUAUUAAAGGAAUUGAAGUUGACAAAGCAAAAAUCGAAGUCAUAUCUAAAUUGCCACAACCAAAAACAGUUAGAGAUGUGCGAUCCUUUUUAGGACAUGCAGGAUUUUAUAGGAGGUUUAUAAAAAACUUUAGUGCCAUAUCUAAACCACUUUGUAACCUCUUAUUAAAAGAUGCACCGUUUGAAUGGAAUGAUGAUUGCCAAAAAUCUUUUGAAAAAAUAAUUUGUCUUUUAACAUCUGCACCUAUUAUGCAAUCUCCUGAUUGGUCUUUGCCAUUUGAAUUAAUGUGUGAUGCAAGUGAUUUUGCUGUUGGUGCUGUUUUAGGACAAAGAAGGGAUGGUAAGCCUUUUGUGAUUUAUUAUGCGAGUAAGACUUUAGAUAGUGCUCAAAUGAAUUAUUCUACAACUGAAAAAGAAUUACUUGCUGUGGUAUUUGCAUUAAACAAAUUCCGUUCAUAUUUGCUUGGCUCCAAAUCUGUUGUGUUUACUGACCACGCUGCUGUGAGAUAUUUGAUGAGUAAACAGGAUGCCAAACCGAGGAUAAUUCGUUGGAUUUUGUUACUACAAGAAUUUGACCUUACCAUCAAAGAUAAAAAGGGUGCUGAAAAUGUUGUUGCGGAUCAUCUAUCAAGACUCACAUCCGAAUUCUGCAAUGAUAUAACACCCAUAAAUGAUUCUUUCCCUGAUGAAUUUUUAUUUUCUGUUACUUCAAUGCCAUGGUAUGCUAACAUUGUUAAUUUCCUUGUUACAGGUAAAAUGCCUUUGCAAUGGAAUGCUCAAGAGAAGAAGAAAUUUUUUGUUGAAGUAAAGAAAUUUUAUUGGGAUGACCCUUAUUUGUUCAAAUAUUGCCCAGAUCAAAUUUUUCGGCGAUGUAUUCCUCAUAAUGAGGUAAGUAGUGUCAUUAAUUUUUGUCAUUCUGAAGCAUGUGGUGGUCAUUUUUCUUCAAGAAAAACUAUUGCUAAAAUUUUACAGUGUGGAUUUUAUUGGCCUACCAUGUUUAAAGACACAUAUGAAUUCUGCAAAAGUUGUGAAAAAUGUCAAAAAUUGGGAUCAAUUACAAAAAGAAACAUGAUGCCCUUAAAUCCCAUACUUGAAAUUGAAAUAUUUGACUGUUGGGGAAUUGAUUUCAUGGGUCCAUUUCCAUCAUCUUUUGGAUUUGUGUAUAUAUUAGUUGCAGUUGAUUAUGUCUCAAAAUGGAUUGAAGCAAUUUCUUGUCGAAAUAAUGACAGUAAAACUGUGAUUAAAUUUUUAAGAGAAAACAUUUUAAGUCGAUUUGGAAUCCCUCGAGCCAUUAUCAGUGAUGGAGGUAAGCAUUUUUGUAAUAAGUCAUUUGAGUCUUUAAUGAAGAAAUAUGGAAUUACACAUAAAAUUGCUACCCCUUAUCAUCCUCAAACAAAUGGUCAAGUUGAAUUAGCAAAUAGGGAGAUAAAACAAAUUUUGGAAAAAACGGUUAACCCAAACCGAAAAGAUUGGUCUCUUAGACUUAAUGAUGCACUUUGGGCUUACCGCACUGCAUUUAAAACAUCAUUAGGAAUGUCACCCUAUCGGUUAAUUUAUGGUAAACCUUGUCAUUUACCUGUUGAACUUGAACAUAAAUCACUUUGGGCUAUUAAAGCUUUUAAUUCAAAUUUGGAUGAUGCUGGUAAUGUGCGAAAAUUGCAAUUGAAUGAACUUGAGGAAUUAAGGAAUGAUGCAUAUGAAAAUUCAAGAAUUAUUAAGGCAAGAACAAAAGAAGAUUAAACCCACACAUGAAAGAGGUAGUCAAAACAGAAGUCCUUAAAUUACUUGAUGUGGGAAUUAUCUACCCUAUUUCUGAUAGUAAGUGGGUAAGUCCUACACAAGUAGUGCCUAAAAAAUCUGAAAUCACUGUUGUUAAAAAUGAAAAAGGUGAAUUAAUUCCAACACGAAUUACAUCUAGUUGACGCAUGUGCAUUGAUUAUAGAAAAUUAAAUGAAGCCACUAGAAAAGAUCAUUUUCCAUUACCAUUCCUUGACCAAAUCUUAGAAAGAGUAGCAGGACAUCCCUACUACUGUUUUUUAGAUGGAUAUUCAGGUUAUUAUCAAAUUCCUAUAGCACUUGAGGACCAAGAAAAGACCACAUUCACAUGUCCUUUUGGAACAUUUGCAUUUAAAAGAAUGCCAUUCGGGCUUUGUAAUGCUCCUGCAACAUUUCAAAGAUGUAUGUUAAGCAUUUUUUGUGAUAUGGUUGAACAUUGUUUAGAGGUCUUUAUGGAUGAUUUGACUGUGUUUGGGAAUUCUUUUGAUGAUUGCCUUGAUAAUUUGGAGAAAGUUUUAAAAAGAUGUGUUGAAAAAGAACUCGUGUUGAAUUGGGAAAAAUGUCACUACAUGGUUACUUCUGGAAUUGUUUUGGGUCAUGUUGUUUCUAUUAAAGGAAUUGAAGUUGACAAAGCAAAAAUCGAAGUCAUAUCUAAAUUGCCACAACCAAAAACGGUUAGAGAUGUGCGAUCCUUUUUAGGACAUGCAGGAUUUUAUAGGAGGUUUAUAAAAAACUUUAGUGCCAUAUCUAAACCACUUUGUAACCUCUUAUUAAAAGAUGCACCGUUUGAAUGGAAUGAUGAUUGCCAAAAAUCUUUUGAAAAAAUAAUUUGUCUUUUAACAUCUGCACCUAUUAUGCAAUCUCCUGAUUGGUCUUUGCCAUUUGAAUUAAUGUGUGAUGCAAGUGAUUUUGCUGUUGGUGCUGUUUUAGGACAAAGAAGGGAUGGUAAGCCUUUUGUGAUUUAUUAUGCGAGUAAGACUUUAGAUAGUGCUCAAAUGAAUUAUUCUACAACUGAAAAAGAAUUACUUGCUGUGGUAUUUGCAUUAAACAAAUUCCGUUCAUAUUUGCUUGGCUCCAAAUCUGUUGUGUUUACUGACCACGCUGCUGUGAGAUAUUUGAUGAGUAAACAGGAUGCCAAACCGAGGAUAAUUCGUUGGAUUUUGUUACUACAAGAAUUUGACCUUACCAUCAAAGAUAAAAAGGGUGCUGAAAAUGUUGUUGCGGAUCAUCUAUCAAGACUCACAUCCGAAUUCUGCAAUGAUAUAACACCCAUAAAUGAUUCUUUCCCUGAUGAAUUUUUAUUUUCUGUUACUUCAAUGCCAUGGUAUGCUAACAUUGUUAAUUUCCUUGUUACAGGUAAAAUGCCUUUGCAAUGGAAUGCUCAAGAGAAGAAGAAAUUUUUUGUUGAAGUAAAGAAAUUUUAUUGGGAUGACCCUUAUUUGUUCAAAUAUUGCCCAGAUCAAAUUUUUCGGCGAUGUAUUCCUCAUAAUGAGGUAAGUAGUGUCAUUAAUUUUUGUCAUUCUGAAGCAUGUGGUGGUCAUUUUUCUUCAAGAAAAACUAUUGCUAAAAUUUUACAGUGUGGAUUUUAUUGGCCUACCAUGUUUAAAGACACAUAUGAAUUCUGCAAAAGUUGUGAAAAAUGUCAAAAAUUGGGAUCAAUUACAAAAAGAAACAUGAUGCCCUUAAAUCCCAUACUUGAAAUUGAAAUAUUUGACUGUUGGGGAAUUGAUUUCAUGGGUCCAUUUCCAUCAUCUUUUGGAUUUGUGUAUAUAUUAGUUGCAGUUGAUUAUGUCUCAAAAUGGAUUGAAGCAAUUUCUUGUCGAAAUAAUGACAGUAAAACUGUGAUUAAAUUUUUAAGAGAAAACAUUUUAAGUCGAUUUGGAAUCCCUCGAGCCAUUAUCAGUGAUGGAGGUAAGCAUUUUUGUAAUAAGUCAUUUGAGUCUUUAAUGAAGAAAUAUGGAAUUACACAUAAAAUUGCUACCCCUUAUCAUCCUCAAACAAAUGGUCAAGUUGAAUUAGCAAAUAGGGAGAUAAAACAAAUUUUGGAAAAAACGGUUAACCCAAACCGAAAAGAUUGGUCUCUUAGACUUAAUGAUGCACUUUGGGCUUACCGCACUGCAUUUAAAACAUCAUUAGGAAUGUCACCCUAUCGGUUAAUUUAUGGUAAACCUUGUCAUUUACCUGUUGAACUUGAACAUAAAUCACUUUGGGCUAUUAAAGCUUUUAAUUCAAAUUUGGAUGAUGCUGGUAAUGUGCGAAAAUUGCAAUUGAAUGAACUUGAGGAAUUAAGGAAUGAUGCAUAUGAAAAUUCAAGAAUUAUUAAGGCAAGAACAAAAGCAUUUCAUGAUAAAAGAAUUUUUCGAAAAACAUUUGAGAUUGGUCAAAAAGUGUUGCUUUAUAAUUCUCGUCUUCAUUUAUUUCCAGGAAAGUUAAAGUCAAAAUAGAGUGGCCCAUUUGUUGUAAAAAAUGUAUAUUCAUAUGGGGCCAUAGAAAUUGAGAAUCCAAAUAACGGUGUCACAUUUAAAGUUAAUGGUCAAAGAUUAAAACCAUAUCUGGAACAUCACCCACGUGACGAGGACACCGAAAUUAAUUUGGAUGACCCACCAGUUCUUGAUUAAGUCUUUAAUGAUUUUUUUUUUUUUUACUAUUAUUUUACCGUUUCAUUGUUUGAUUUUUUUUCUUUAGAUUGAUGCACUGUACAUAGUUUUUUUUUAACAUUGUUUUUCUUGUGUAAGCGUGUUUGUUUGACAGUUGUACAUUCUCUCAUCAAUUUUCAUUUUACAUCAUGAGCACCUCAAUGAGAAAAUACCUAUUCGCACAUCUUAAAAGAUUUCGGCGUAUAAAAUUUCACUUAAGAGGCCUAAUACAAAGCUGUAAAUCACAUCCACUUUGGGAUCUGCAACCACCAGAAUUCGUGUCCUAUGUUGAGGAUCUAGAAGGACAACUCAGAACAGUAGAGAGUGGCAUAUAUGAAUUUCAAAUAGAGCUUGAGGUUAACUCAAUGAGAGGACGAAUGUAAGUUCAUUUUCCUUUUAUAUUGUGUGCUUUUUUUUUGCUCGCUUUCACGCUUGAUUUGAUUUUGCAGAUUUGAUUUUGGUGUGUUUUGAUUUAUUUUCCCGUAUAAAUGGCGGAUAACGGUACUCCGUGACUUCUUAAGUCGGUAUCUUCAGUUUCCCACAAUAACUGAAACCCCAAAAUCAAACAUGGAAGAAAUACAACAUAAACUCCAUAAGCAUUUUCCCUCUCUCCCUCAGAAUGCCCUCAGGAAAAUUUACAAAGCUCGUUGUGAACGACUGCGUUUGUUAAUGAUCAAUGGCAUUCUUUCUGACAUUCGUUGGUUAAUUGAAGCAAAGGUCUGAUUAGCAGGUGAGUUUUCUAGUCAAUUUGUUUCUUACAUGCCUGGUUUUGGUAAAAGUACGUUUGCUAAGAAAAGGAGAGCUAAACGACUUGGCUCAAAAUGUCAUAACUGUGUAAGACUUGGUUGCAAACGACCGGAUUGUAAAUCUUUAGGAAUGGUUUCUGAUACUCGUGAAGAUAAAAUUAAAUUCGUUAAAGAUGGCAUGAGUAAAGAAUCGUUGGAUGAUAUCUUACGAUCUCUUGAGACGCAUCGAAGCGGAAUUGUGCAAUGUGAGAUUUACAAUUUGUGGAUACUAUUCCAAAAACAAAGUGCACAGUUAAGUCUUGGGAAUCUGACUCAAAAAGACCCUGUUUGCCAGUUUAUAAGAAAACUGGAUGGGAAGCCGAUCCUCGACCCAUAGAGGGCGUUCAAGCCGUUACUGGACGUAAAACCAGAGGAAGAUGUGAGCCACAAUCACAACUACUAGUAAAUAUCCUUUCACUUCACUGUUAUUUUACUUUACUGUUAUUUUAUCAUUUGAAUUAUUGCAUUUAGCGAUGUGAUUUUGUAUUUAUUUGGUUUCUUUUACUGUUUGCUUUUUCUAAUCAUUACUUUUUUUUUUACUAUUUGUUUUUGAAUUAUUGAGCCACGAGCUUUCCUCGUCAUUUGACAAAUAUGCCAACCCAUUUACAGCUGUUUCUCUUUAUUUAUGUCACCAAGAUCUUUAAAUAUGAGCUCGUUUUUCAAACACUCACAACUUGUUUUUGAAAAAUUAGUCCAAUGGCAGCAUCUUCAAGUAAACAAUUCAAAAAUAUUUGUGUGCUUUCUGGGUUUCACUAUGGAAAGUACAAAGAGUUCGUUCAGGUAGCUGUAGAUCUUGGUCGUGUCAUAGCAGAGAGGAAACUGCAUCUUGUAUAUGGAGGAGGUGAACGAGGGUUAUCAAGACUUGUCUCAGAAGCUGUUUUUACCAGAGGAAGCCAAGUACUCGGCAUUAUCCCAAAACCCAUGAAACCGCUAGUGUGCAUGUCUGGCCCACCAAUUGGAGAAGAAUUAGUGGUAUCAAGUAUGCAAGAGAGAAUAUCUGAAAUGAUGAAUCAUGCUGAUGCUUUUAUUUUCUUGCCAGGAGAUCUUGCAACUUUUGAGGCACUAAUUACAUUUGCAUCUUGGGCCCACUUGAACAUUCAUCAAAAGCCCAUCGGUUUGUUAAAUGUUAAUAAUUUUUAUGACGGCUUGCUAACUUUUAUUAAUCAUGCAAUAAAGAAUCAUUUUGUUCCACAUUCUGUAAAAAAACUCUUUAUCUCUGCUUCUACUGCUAAUGAGUUACUUGAUCUUUUACAAGCUUAUACACCAGAGCCAGAUCCACAGACUGUUGCACUGAAUUGGUCGACUAAUGAUGGUAACGGUAACAGUAGCAGUAAUAAGAAGUGCGAUUUAGAUUUAACUCUCCGUUUGUAAAUAUUUGCUGUUGUAGUGUUCAUGUGAUGUCUUCUACACUCUUUCUAUUUCCUUUUAAAACAUUGAGGACAAUGUCUUUUUCAGGUUGGGGGGAGGGAAUAGUUGAUAAUUGUGGAAUGUCUUAGUCCUGGUUAUGUGUUUACAAAAAAAAAAAAAAAAAAAACAAUAACAAAAUUUUUUUUUUCUGUAAAGACUAACUUAGGACAAAUUUGAGUCGAAGAUGGCAGGAUAUAGAGAAUGUAGUCUCUCUAGAAACGCAUCUUCUUAAUCUUAAGGGUGUUGUUAAAAAAAAAAAAAAAUUGACUUUUUCUUCAUCUUUGUUAUCUACUUUUAAGCUUCUGCAUCAAGUUAAGGUGAGAUCUCCUAUUCUUCUUCUUUUAUUAUUCUCUUUUAUUUUUAUUUAUUAUUAUUAUUAUUUUUUUGCAUAUCUGUAAAAUUAUAAAAUGUUAGGAUAAUGUUUAGAUUAGGUUGUGGGGUGGGGAUAAUUGACGUAUGUUUUAAAUAUGUAUGUUGUUUUUUUCUCUUUUCUCUUUUCUUUUCUUUUCUUUGCCAAAAAAAAAAAAAAAUUGUUUUUUGUCUAGGAUGGCCGUGUAAAGAGUCACGACUUUUGAGACGCAUCCUAAUAGUCUUGUUGUAUUAUAUUUUGAUUUUGAGAUUCAUGGUAAGUUGUUUUUGUUCCCUUUUCUUUGAAUUACUCAAAUUUGUGAACUCUCCACUUGGUUAUUAAGUUAUUUAAUUGUUUACUCAUUUAACAGGUAUUAUUGAAUCAUUCUUCACACACACAUUAUGACACAUACUAGUGGGUUGUAAGUUAAAAUUUUACAGCAUUUAGUUCUUUUGAUUUAUUAGGAAAAGUAUCUAAGGUAGUAGAAAGUGUAUAGUUCCAAAAAAAAAAAAAAAAGUAGAAAAAAAAUUGUUUUUAAUUUUUCUAUAUCUAGAACCCGAGUAAUUAAGUCCGUAGGGGUGUUUCAACACCUAGUGCCCUAAGGUCAACUGGUCUGGGAGUCACUGGCCUAAAGCUCACUACAUGGGUAAUAGAUAUAUUGUUUGUUUAUUAGAAACCCGAGUAAUUAAGUCCGUAGGGGUGCUUUAACACCUAGUGCCCUAAGGGCAACUGGUCUGGGAGUCACUGACCCAAAGCUCGCUACACGGGUUAGAAAUGUAAUAUAUAAAAAAAAAAUGUGUGAAUAAUCUAUUGCCUAAAGAUAUAAUUUCUAAUGAAUUUUAGAACGAAAAUGUUGUUUUUCUUUUAAUGAAGCCCCAUAAGUAUUGUGUUAAUUACUUGAGCACAAAAGAAGGUUUGAUGAUAUUCUGGAUAAUGAGUGAACAUCAAUGUGGUAAAGGAAUUUGGGAGAGUUCAUUUAUUUGGUAAUUUAGAGGAUAGAUGAACAACUAUUAACUUGCAUGUGAAUUUUAUAAAUCUUAAUAUAACGCUUUAAUUGCUAGAGGGCUAGCAAUAAGCUGGUUGGGGGGUGUGAUUAGUAUUAAAAAUUGUUUAAUUAUCAAGCGAUAAUAUGUUAUUUUAUGCUUAUGUUAUAAUUUAUAUUUGUGUUUAUGUAAUAUAUUAUGAAUUAUUAAUUAUGUUUUAAAUAUAUUUAAUUUUGUGUAUUUUUAUGUGUUUAUUAGGAAAAUUAUUAAUUUCACGUACUUCGAGGCUCCAAACAGAUAAACGGAGGUCAAAUUUGGAUUCCGGAGGUCCGAAAACCUUAAGAUCAGUCAAGAUCGGCUUAAAAUUGGGCUUGUGUAAAAAAAGUUGACUUUUCCUGUUGACCGAGCACUGAUUGGAUGAUGAAAUGAGCUUACAAUAGAUAUGAGUGCAUGGGAUAACUGGCAAUCUUGACUAAAUCUCAACCGUUCAUGAUUCAAUGGCCAUGAUUGUGCCACGUGGCAAUGGUUGGUGAAGCAAGUUGGAGGAUCCGAAUCUUUGUAUUCGGGUCGACCCGAUCCACCCAUUAACCCGCCAAAUCUCAACCGUUCUUUGGGCAAAUCGGACGAGUCAAAUGAUGCCAUGUGUGAUGUUGACUUUUGAAGUUUGACCAGCCAUUGGAUCUUGAUCUAAGGGUUGUGAGGAGCACAUGCAUGAAGCCUAUGAUGGACCGCAAAGCACUGGAUUAUGAAUUUAUUUUUCUAUAAAUAGGGCCUCAUUUUUAUGUUUUAAUCAUCUCUCUACAACUCUCUUCUUCUCAAAUUCUCUCCAUCUCCUUGUAAUCUUGAUUUCCAGGUGUGUUUUUAAUAUUUUGUAUAAUUAUUUUCAUUAAUAAAAUUAGUUUUAUUUCCAAUUUUAGUUGUUUUUAUUUCUUUUAAUUAUAAGUAAUUCAAUUUUACUACUUCUUUUUAUUUUAAUUAUGCUUAACUAAAUAAUAUUAGUUAGGGGAAGGUGAAACUCUUAAGAAAUAAAUAUGAUUUAAUCAAAUUCUAUGUUUAAUUUUAUAAAUUAAUUUAUUUUCUAUUUAAUUUUAUACAUGUUUUAUAUUUUGAAAAUUUGAUUUAUUGUAGACAAACAAAUGAAUUUGGCACAAUAAAUUCUUAAGAUCUUAAUAUAAGGCAUGGUGAAAUGGUAUUUUGACUUAUUGUAGACAAAUUAAAUUUUGGCACAAUAAAUACUUAAUCCAUCAUAAAAUUAAAGGGAAAAUAAUAAUAAUUUGUAUAAUUAAUCUUUUGAGUAAUAAAUCUAAAACAAAUUGGCAAAAAGAAUUUAUUAAGUUUUAUUUAUUUCUAAGAGUGGAUCCAUAACCCUAACUAGUUCAAUUCCAUAGUUUCAUUUAAAUUAAGUUGUUUAUAUUCAAGUUUUAAUUUCAAUUUUUAGAUAAAAUAAAAUAAACUAAUUAAAUCUUUUCUCUGUGGAUCGACCUCGGACUCACCGAGUUAUAAUACAACAAGACACUCUUAUACUUGGGAGUUAAAAUUUACUUUUAAGUUGUGUCACUAACUAUAAAGGCUGGGUUACUUUGAGGACUUUUAGAUUCUCCAAAAUUUUUAUCAAGUUUUUCUAUUUUUUUUUUCAUAAUCUGAUAUAAUUUGAUUGAUUUUUAUAUUGUAUUCACCACGCUGGCUGCUUCGAAAAUGUAAUUUUCGAGUUGUUUACCUAAUAAGAUUAUAAAUUCUUGGUGUGGUGAUGGAAUGAUUACAUGGUGUUGUAAGAGUAAUUCUUUCGUUAGUCAUUAUAUAAAUGAACUGACAAAGGAAAUUGACUUCUAAAAGUAUAUAUGCUCCUAUAUGAUUAUAAGACCAUAAUAUAUGGAUACUUAAAAUGUAAUCUUCGAUUUGGAUUAAAGUUUUUAUCCUACAUGUUCCUAAAAUGAUUUGUUCACCAUUUAUUCCUUGUCCUGUUAAGGGUUUAUAAUCUUUCGAAUAUGAUUUUGGAUAAAUCCUUAAAUUAGGUAAGCUAACUCCUGAACCAGUGUCUAUUAAAGCAUGAAACCAUUCUGGCUUAUGCUUAUAAUAUGGUUUAAUCACUUUUAUAUAAACUAUAAAAAGAUUAGACAUAUCUUGAUAUGGUUUGCUUAAUUCCUUCAACUGUUAAGCUUAUUUUUCUAUCUCCUAUAGAAUAAGGAGUAAAAUUCUCAAGAAAGUUCAUCCCUAAUAAUAAAGGACUUAUUUAUGUUUCAUAAUCUGGUUCUAUGAAAAAAGAAAAGAUGAAUUCUAUCCCUUUUAUUCUUAAUAGUAUUUCACUAUAUUGACUUAAUGUCUUUCUUUCUCCAUUAAAUCCUACAUAAGUAUGAGGCUCAAUUAAAAUUUUUCUUUCUAAAUAUUUAAUAAUUUUAGAAUCUACAUAAGAUUUUGCAGCUCCUGUAUCAAGGAUAGCAAAAGUCUCGUGCCAUGAUUUUCCAUUAUUAUAUUCAAUCUUAAUUUUUAGAUUUUGAUUAUCCAGUAUUGCUAAAUUUACUGGACUAUUUGUCCUUUCUCGAAAAUGAGCUCUUAUCAUGACUUGAAUUCCUCCGAUAUGAACAUAUCCAAUUUUAAGUCUAUCACUAGAUUUUAUCUCAUUUAUCUUAUCUUUUAUAUCAGUUUUUAAUAAUAAUGGUAUAUUUGUAUUUCCUCUAGCAUACCUAAUUUCAAUAGGUUCUUCUCUUACAGUAGCACUAAGAUACAUUAUAUUUUUUCUUUUAAUCAUGUUAGCAAUGCCUUGUGCUAACUUAUUAACCGAAGUCAUAGAUGAUUCCAAUCCUUUUUUAUUAUUCUUGAGAUAUUGCUUUUUAUCAAAGAUUAAUUCUCUAUUAAAAGAACCUUGUUCUUCUAACUCUUCAUCUUGAUAUAAAUCUUUAUUUUCUAAUUCUUCUAUACUCAUUCUGAAUCAGAUUCUAAAUCAGAACUUCUCAAAGUUUCAUUAGAAAGAUAAUAUAUGCUAUCAUUUUCACUAAUAUCUUUGCUAUCGGUGAUUAAUUCUAAAUCAUUGAAAUCUUCAAAUAUUUUUAUAUUUGCUUUCUUCGUUUUAGGACAUUCAUUUGCAUAAUGUUCUUCUUCAUUACAUAACUAGCACUUGCAUUUUUUAGGUGCAUUGGUUUUGGAUCUUCUUUUAAAUUUAUUUUUCUUGUAGAAUUUCUUUUUAUAUUUAUUUUUCUUGUAAUAUUUCCUGUUGGCUUUAAAGAAUUUCUUCUUUUUGAAUUUUUUUUCUUGUGUUUAUAGAUUUUAUCUGAACAUCCAAAUCUUGGCGGAUCUUCUAAUUUAGAACAACAUAAUUCUCGAUUUUGCCUUUUCAUAAGUCUUCUAUCUCUUAUUUCAGAACACUAUUCAUUUAUUCUAUUUUGAGCAAAUCUAAUCCUAUUUCGUAAUGUAUAAGUUUCUGUAGUAUCUUUGUAUUCUUUGUUAUAUUCCAACAUAAUCCUUCUACCCCAUGGGUCUGGUAUCUUUACAAAAUAUAGAUCAUGGUAAUAGCAUAUGUUAUCCUCAUCUUUAUCAAAUUCACAUUUAUAAUAUAAUUCUUCGAAGCUACAUGUAUAUUCUUCUAAAUAACAUAUAUUACAUAUUUCAAGCCUUGUUAGCUUCAUUAAAUUUUCUAUCUGUUUUCUUUUUAUUUCUUGUUGAAAAUCAGUUUCCCAAUCUUCUCCCAAGAAUUUUUUUCUUAUUUCAUUUUCGAAUCUAUUUAAAACCUGAUCAACACUUUCGUUUCGAUUAUUAUUUUCUCCAUACAAUAUUCUAUUUUUAUGAUUAUCAUUUAAUCCCAUAAACCAAUGAGAAACAAUUCCUAUAAACGAAAUUUUAAGGAAUUCUAUACUAUUAUCCCUAUCAAUUUUGUGAAAUGCAAAAGCCAUUUUCAUAGAUUUAACCCAAGCGGUAAUCGUUUUAUCUCUAUCUUUGAUACAGUCUAAACCUAACCAUACACCAUCAUGGUUGAUUGGUCUUUCUCUAUAUUCUCCUGGAGUUUUAUGAUCUUUUUUAGGUUUGUUAAUCCUAAAAUAUUGACCUUGUGCUCUUUCCUGAGUUGGUAUUUCUUCCCUAACAUAGGAAGCUCUAUUACUAGUUUCUCCUUGUUAAAAACCGUUUAACUUUGGUUCAUUCAUUUUUAGAUGUUCUAUUCUAUUUUCAAUAUCCUGCAAAUUAAUGACUAUAUCAUCUUCUUCUUCGGAUUCAGAUUCUUUAUCAGAUAUCUCUUGAUUAGGUAAUUCUAUGUUUUCACUUAGCAUUCUUAGACUUAUUAAUUUUUUGUCUUUGUUUAUUUUGUUAAAUAUCGGUUUAGAUGUUGUUAUCAUUUCUUUAUCUUUAAGUUCAUUAUAGUAAAUUAUGGUAUCUUGUAAAAUUUUAUUUUGUUUAUUGAUCUUCUGUACUUCAAUCCUUUUGUAAUUUUCCAUUUAUGCUUAUAGCGAAUUUAUUACCAAUUUUUUCAUCGAUUUUUUCAAUUUUUUGUAGUUGAUUUCAAUCUUGUUGAAUUUAUUUUCAAUUGAACUUUUGUUCACAAUAUUAAAGAUUUCUUGUUUUAAUCUAUCUUGAUCUUCAAUAUUAAAGUCUUUUAUUAAUAGCUUAACAAAAUCAAAUUCUUCACUCAUUCGCUAUCCUAUCAUUUUGACUUGUCUUAUAUUUUCGGCAUCAAAGCUUUUAAUCUCAAGUAUCUUAUUUACACUUUCUAUAUCAUCUAUGGUUAAAUUAGGGUUUCCUAAUUUAUUUAAUAAAUAUAAUGAGAUCCAAUUUAAUUGAUUAUUUCCCCACAUAUCAGAAUCAUUUACUAAAUCAAAUGGUUGAAAUCUUCCAUAAGUAAAUCCUCUAUGCCUAUAGCUAGAAGGUGGUAAUAUGUUGGUUUCAAUAUUUCUAUAUACUUCUCUCCUGAUCCUAAAGAGAAGAAUAGGAUCAAUAUUUAAAUUUCUAAUUUUUAUUAUGAUGAGUUCUCCAAUUUUAAAUUCAUGAACUCUAACUAAAUAAAAUUGUAUUAAUUGUUUAUCAUCCAAUAUAUUAACUUCUGAAUAAUAAUAUUGUUUAUGUUUUGUUAUAUUAUCUUUAACUCCACACUUGUUUAAAAUUCAACACACAGAUGUGCCUCUUUCUUACUAUACUGGAAUCCUCGGUAAACUUUUUGUUUGCGCAAUUUAUGUGAGCAAAUUGUGUCUUCUUUUUCAUAUGUAAAUGUUUUUGAUAUCUUGAUGUGAAGGUAGAAAAUUGCAUGUUUUGAGUUUUUGCAUAUUUGAUGGAAACACAGAACUGUACCUGAAUCUUUCAGAACCCCCUUUUCUUUGAAGUUUGAACACUUUUCUUGAAUGUAUCAACUUUAUUUAUGGGAUAUGUUGCCAAAUUGGCAAAUCUAUUCGUUAUAAAACUUUCCUUUGACAGUUUAAUCUAAGCAGAUGUUAAUUAUGCAAAUAGAGUGUGCCUAAGAUUAGUUUCAUAGAUUUGUCUCCUUCUGUACAGUAAAAACUUUGAGCAUUUUCGCCAUAUUCUGAUCAAUACACUCCAACUAGUUAGUUCUUGAGGCGUUUUAUGGUUUCGUGGAGUGAGGCAAGAUGUAUACGUUUGCAAAUUGGCAAUGUCUUUUGCUUGAUGGGUUGAGAGUUGUGAGUGUCAACAGGAAACAAGACCUCUGUUUUAUGAACUCCAAAAAGUUAUUCUGUUAAAAAGAUCGAGACAGAGGCCAUACUAUAUUUAUUAUUGCUAUAAAAGUGUGAAAAAAUAUUCUUUGUUUAAUAUUCUAAACGAUUGAGCCAUUUAGUUAUGAUACUCUGCUGUAUUGGGGCUAAUAAUCUAAGUCGGUUCAAAGUGGUAAAUUUAUAAAUUGAUAGGUAUGCCUGGUAUGACCGCUUACGUUGGAUUUUAUGAGGUCUGCUCUCCUAAGCAAGGAGAGUGUGUCUUCAUAUCCGCAGCAUCUGGUGCAGUUGGACAGCUUGUGGGGCAGUUUGCAAAGUUAUUGGAUUGCUAUGUCGUCGGAAGUGCUGGAAGCAAAGACAAGGUAUGUAAUCUGUGUGAAGUACUUGAUUGUUUCCAUGUUACUUUCAAACAUUUAAAUUAAAAAGGAAAUUUUCAUAAUCUUGCCUUUUCUAUGAUUUUCAAAACCAAGGUUGAUCUACUGAAGAACAAGUUUGGGUUCGACGAGGCAUUUAACUAUAAAGAAGAAGCUGAUUUGAAUGCAGCAUUGAAAAGGUUAGCAUCAAUAAAUGCCUUAGCUUGAUGCAGCUUGAUGAAGUAUGAUACACAUUUCUGACCAAUAUACUGCGUUCCCUGAUCUCUUACUUGAAAUAUCUUGGUUUGAGAAUCUCAUGCCAAUGCCUUUAACAUUUUGGCAGGUACUUUCCUGAAGGAAUUGAUAUAUAUUUUGAAAACGUUGGUGGAAAAUUGCUUGACGCAGUGCUACCCAACAUGAAAAUCCGUGGUCGAAUUGAUGCAUGCGGUAUGAUCUCACAGUACAAUCUUGACAAGCCUGAAGGUGUGCACAACUUGAUGUAUCUUGUUUCGAAACGGCUUCGAAUGGAAGGAUUCAUUGUUCUCGAUCACUAUCACCUCUAUCCAAAGUUUCUGGAAAUGAUCAUUCCUCACAUCAAAGAAGGGAAGCUUGUAUACGUCGAAGACAUGGCUGAAGGUCUUGAGAGUGCUCCGGCAGCUCUCAUCGGUCUAUUCUCUGGCCAGAAUAUUGGGAAACAAGUGGUUGCUGUUGCUCCUUAAUGAAGAACAAGUUAGUGUUGUCUGUCCUUUUACCCUUUGACACAAAACUUCAAUGUUAAAGAGAGAAUGCUGUUCAUAUAUACUGCUUUAUAAAAUAAUCAAGUGAGUGCAAGUUUCAUGAUAUUUGCUGAAUAAAAUAUUGGAAAUUAAGCAGCUAGCCUAGCUCCUUCUUGUAGUUGCAGUUUGAAUGAUGCUGCUGCACAACUGCUGCCGAAAAAAUCCUUAAUAGAUGAUUAGCAAGGUUUCAAAAAUAAAAAUAAAUGUUUGUGCAAUGUGUCGAAUAUGACAGCCACAAAGAAAGAGCACACAAAUUGAUUGGUUUUAUGUCUUCUCUAGGAGAAAGCUACAAUACAAGAAAUUGUACUGAUGGAGCCAUGGACCAAAUUUCUUAUUUAAACUUUUAAUUUUUUUAUUAAAUUACUUAUGUUAUUAUGGUUUAUAAUUUUAGAAAUUCUUUAGAAAUUAAUACAGAACUAGUAGCAAGUUGAGAAAUCUAUUGAAUGGUCAAGAUAUGAUCAUGUUUAUUGAAUUAAAUUGACAAUCAUCAUUUUGAUAAAUUAUUGUCAGGAUGUUUGAUUCAUGACACGUGUAAGCAACUAAAUGUGCUAAAAAAAAGUUAAUGAGUUGGGCGUGUUUGAGUUAAUGAGUUGGGCUUGUUUGAUAUUCAUUUGUUGUAAUUCUUUUAAUAAUUAUUGGGGAAAAAAAGUUAUAAUAAAAAAAAUUAUAAUUAUAAAAUAAAAAUUAAUAAUAUAUAAUAAAUAAGAUUUUAAAUAAUAAUUUUAAUAAAAUAAUAAAUAUAUUAUAAAUUUUUUAUGAUUAAUUUUUAAAUUACAACAAUAAAUAUUUAACAAACACCUUAAUACCACAACUAACACCACAACUUUUGAAUUAUGAUAGUACAAUCUAAAUGCCACAGGCCUUAAAAAAUAAAAUUACAGUCAAGUUUUAAAACUGUUAAUGAUAUUCACAAAGACUCUGGAACAAUAUUACAGAAGGUGCUCGUCGUGUAAGCAACACAUGGGACCCAACCAAUAAAUGUUUCUGAUCCUCAACUUUCCUCAUCACUGUCCCUGGAAACAAUUCUGAUUUUCUUGUCUGAUUAAACAACUGAGAAACAAUGGCGGCCGACCAAGAAGCUGGGAGCAAUAAGCGGGUGAUUCUAAGCAACUAUGUGACAGGUUUUCCAAAAGAAUCAGACAUGAAGAUAACAAGUUGAUCAAUAAAGCUGAAGGUAGCAGAGGGUGUUUGGGAGAAAUACGUCGACGAGACCAGGCAUGGUGAGCAGAUAUCUGAUGGCAGAGUUCUGCGAACCGGUGUGUUCCGUAAAAGCCUGGUGCGCGGGGGAACAGGAGCAGAAGUAUCCUGCUCGUCCACGAGCACGUCAUCCGCGAGGCCAAUUUCCUGUAAGAGGCAUAAGGUCAUUCCGGCUAGAGGUCGAGAGGCGAGGAGACCCGGUCGACGGCAGUUGGCAAGACAUGCUCCCCAGCCCGAGAAUCUAGGCACGACAGCCACGCUUUCCCCAGAACCGUGGCGUAACACGCAAGAUCUCACAGAACCACGACAGCCACGCUUUCCCCAGAACCGUGGCGUAACACGCAAGAUCUCACAGAACCACGACAGCCACGCUUUCCCCAGAACCGUGGCGUAACACGCAAGAUCCCACGUUUGCCCAUAACGCAGCAGUCAGAGUCCCAUACCGUCUCGAAAAAAGCGGAAAACUGGGAUUCAGGGGAAGCCUAUAAAAAGGUAGCCAACGAAGGUAAAAGGGUUAGCAUUUUUGAGAUUAGAAAAGAAAUGAAAAAAGAAGAGAAAACCACGAAAAAGCCAUAAGAUAUGUGGCAAGCGUUCCCCGAACCUUCAUAUCUGACUUGAGCGUCGGAGGGUUUGCGCCGGGAAAACAACCGGCGUACUCUGACUUGUCUGUGUGCGCAGGAACCUCUGGAGAAGAAGCCUCACGUGGAGACCUCCUGGUCGUGAAGAAGUUGAUCGGGCAGAGAUCCUGGUCGUAGAACGAGGAGAACCGGAAUCCCGCAUCAACAUUUUGGCGCCGUCUGUGGGGACCGGAGCAAAAAGCUUCUGUUGAUAGCAAGAAGAGGGGUGAAGCAAGUGAAAAACAAUGGAGACAGGAGGAAGUAGUGCACAAGGGGGUGAUAGGAAGCUUAACGAUUCCGUGACGCUGAGGGAGAUAGUCAGUGAAGCACGGGAAAAAGUCAUGUUCGACCGGAUGGAACGGAUGGAAAAGCAGAUGGAGACCUUGACAACCAUCCUGCAUGAGCUGCGGAGCGAGCGAAGUAUAAUCCAAGAGGGAAGGGUGAGAGGCGGUGGAGUGGCACCAGGUCCCGAUAGUGCGGGGAGAAGUCAAACCACCGGGAGAUUUGGUGGUGAGAGAGGUAACGUACCUCUGCGGGGAGAAUUUCAUAGAGAAAGAGAGCAGUCCCCGGCAAGACAGACUGGCGACGAGGACGACGGGGUGGUGAAUGCAGAGGAAACAGAGUUGAGGCAACACUUGCAUGAUGUAGAGCAAGAGCGGGAUCAAGUUGCAGCACGUGACCCUGGUUGUGCAGUGCAGCUGGAGGAGGAAGUGCGCAGACUAGCACAGAUAAUCGACGACAUGCAAGGAAGGAACAGAGCCCCUGGUUGGAGGAUAAUGCUGGACGGAGAAUCACCGCUCGCAGCAGAGAUCAUGAGGGCAGUUAUUCCGAGAGAUUUCCGCCUCCCAGACCUCAGAUACUCGGGAAGAACUGAUCCGUUGGUGCACAUAGAGCGCUUCAACGACAUAACUGGGGUACAAGGAUUAUCUCAAUCCCAAAGGUGCAGAGUGUUCCCACUAUCCCUUGAGGGACGUGCACGAGAAUGGUACAGGAAACUUCCUCGGGGCAGCAUUAAAACCUUCGAGCAGAUGUGCCAGGAAUUCGCGGAGCAGUUUAGUGGGGCAAUGGCGCCGGAAGAUGACAUGAUGGAGCUGAAAAGCAUGAAACAGGGGGAGCAAGAAACCCUUCGGGAAUUCAUCAAGAGGUUUCAUCGGGCUGUCCUUGACUUGGGAGCCUUCAACCACCCUCAGGCGUUAAGGGGAUUGAAAGAAGGGGUGAAGAUAGGAAGGCUGUGGUACAAUUUGAGAAGCCCAGCUAUUCAAACGUAUGCAGCCGCAUACGAACAGGCUAAGAGAGACAUCGAGAUUGAAGAGGAGAAGGCUGCACGGAUUAAGACAGACCAGUUAGAAGGGUUGGGGAGGAAAGAGAAGAAAGCAUUACCGGGGAAUGGGCCGAUCAGGAGGAGGGACCACCAGGCCUCCGGUAGUGGAGCAGGAGGUCGGGUAGCCGCUUACCAGCCUCAUCAAAGGCCACCACAGUAUCAGCGCAGCAGGGCGCAACCUCCUCGUUCCCCAGCUAGGGAGCCUUGGAGAAGGCAUGAGUCGGCAUCUGGUGGUCUCCAACAACACCCCCACGGUAUCAGAGCGAGCAGACCAGAAGUACUUCCACCGCCCCCAACUCAGAGCGGGGCAAACAGAGAAAGAGCAGUGCACCUGAUCGACCAGAACCCGGACUAUGGGCGGUACACUUCCUUGAAGAUGUCCCUGGAUGAGGUGUACGAGGCCAUAAAGGAUCGAGGGCUGCUGCACCUCCCUACACCAAUAACAAAGCUACCCAACAGGAGGGAUAGAGGACGUUAUUGUAAGUUCCAUGGCACCCAUGGCCAUACCACAGCAGAGUGUAGAGAUCUCAAGACCCAAGUCGAAGAUUUGGUGAGAAAUCGGUACCUGGACGAGUUUAUGGAUGGGACUUUCCCGAUGGGGGCCACAACAGGUGAAGGGGAGCAGAGUGGCGGAAACGUUAGGCGCGAGCAGCCCGCAGUAAGGGUGAUAGCUGGGGGCCCGACAUUGGCCGGAGAUUCCAACAGAUCGAGAAAAAAUUAUGCUAGGUACGCCAUGACCAGUAAAGAGGUACUCCUCAACACCCCAGCAGCCAAACGAGCAAGGGUCAGGCAAGUGCCAAUCAUGUGGACGGAUGAGGAUGAGGAAGGGAUUCUAUACCCCCACGAGGAUGCUUUAGUCAUCAAGGCUACUGUCGCUAGCAAGAAGUUUGACCGGAUACUGAUUGAUACAGGGAGCUCAGUUGAUGUGUUAUUUAAGUCAACCCUGGAAGAGAUGGGAAUAGCCGACCGGAAGUUGGAAUACACCAAUACCUCCUUGAAGGGGUUCGGAGGAGGGAAGCUGGUCCCUCUGGGCGUGGUCGAGCUGCCUAUCACAAUUGGGAGCUCUCCGACAGAAAGAACAAUGAUACUGGACUUUGUCGUAGUGGAUGAGGAAGGUCCUUACCAGAUGAUCCUAGGUCGGCCAUUUUUAAGGAUGAGCAAAGCGGUGUUGUCCAACCAUUAUCUGGCUCUGAAGUACCGGGUGAACGGGGUAGUAGGAGUGGUACGAGGAGACCAGAGGAUCGCAAGAAGCUGCUACUCCUCGGCAGCAAGGGAAGCAAUGCAGAUAACAUCCCUCGAUACCCGAGUGGAAAACAAGAAGGGCAGACAAGAACCUGUAGAGGAUCUGGAAACAGUAAGCCUGGGACCAGAGAACCCGGGAAAGACGAUCAGAAUCGGGUCGAGACUUAAGGGAGAGCAAAAGCAGGAGUUGGUGAAAUGCUUACAGGCUCAUGCUGAUGUGUUUGCUUGGACACAUGAAGACAUGCCAGGAAUUGACCCUGAGGUAGCAUGUCAUAAGCUGGCAAUAAAGAAAAGUGCUCGGGCAGUAAGGCAGAAGAGGAGGUGCUUCAACCAGGAGAGGUAUGAGGCUAUAAAUGGCGAGGUGGAGAAGCUCUUGAGAGCAGGGUUCAUUCGGGAAGUCAGUUACCCUGAGUGGAUAUCGAAUGUGGUGUUGGUAAAGAAGGCAAACGGCAAGUGGAGGAUGUGUGUGGAUUUCACAGACCUCAAUAAGGCGUGCCCAAAAGACAGCUUCCCUUUACCAAAGAUCGAUCAGCUAGUAGAUUCAACGGCUGGACAUGGUCUGCUUAGCUUCAUGGACGCGUUCUCGGGAUACAACCAGAUCCCCAUGUACGAGCAGGAUGAGGAGAGCACGGCUUUCAUCACUAACCAAGGUUUGUUCUGUUACAGGGUAAUGCCAUUCGGUCUCAAAAAUGCCGGGGCCACCUAUCAAAGGCUGGUGAACAAAGUCUUUAAGCCGUUGAUUGGGAAAACCAUGGAGGUGUACGUGGAUGACAUGAUCACCAAGUCCAAAAUCCCGGAGGAACAUGUCAGACACCUCGAGGAGACAUUCGAGCUUUUGAGGAAGUAUAAGAUGAAGCUCAACCCGGAGAAGUGUGCUUUUGGGGUCGAGUCAGGGAAAUUCCUUGGAUUCAUGGUGAGCCAUAGGGGGAUUGAAGCACAUCCCGAGAAAAUCCAGGCGAUUGUGCAAAUGACGUCUCCCCAUAACCUGAAGGAGAUGCAAAGCCUCACGGGGAGGUUGGCGGCGUUGAGCAGAUUCAUAUCCAAGGCUACAGAUAAGUGUAAGCCAUUCUUUCAAGUGAUGAGGAGGGGAAAGAAAACAGAAUGGACCUCAGAAUGCGAGGAAGCCUUCCGGAACUUGAAGCAAUACUUGCAGCAAGCUCCGCUGCUGUCCACACCGAGGGAUGGGGACAAGUUAUAUCUGUAUUUGGCGGUAUCGGAUCGGGCCGUCAGUUCUGUUCUGGUGAGAGAGGAAGAAGGAGUUCAGUAUCCGAUAUAUUACACCAGCAAGGCCCUGCUCGACGCUGAGACCAGAUACCCACCGUUGGAGAAAUGGGCACUUGCCCUUGUGGUUGCUGCUCGGAAGUUGAGGCCAUAUUUUCAAGCAUUCCCGGUCUUGGUAAUAACAAACCAGCCAUUGCGUCAAACUCUGCACAAGCCAGAUGCCUCUGGUCGGCUCGUCAAGUGGGCUGUAGAGCUGAGCGAGUUCGACAUAGACUAUAAACCCCGCGCAGCGAUAAAAGCCCAGGCAAUGGCCGAUUUCGUAGCUGAAUUCACAGAGCCCGAAGUAUGCUUAGAUCAACAAGAUGCAGAUAUAGGCAAUGACGAAACUCAAGUAUGGCAGAUGUCUGUGGAUGGGUCAUCAGGGGAGCGGGGUUCAGGAGCAGGGAUUGUCUUGGAAGGCCCAGAGGGGGAGGAGAUCUCUUAUACUGUAAAAUUGGAAUUUGCAGCCACGAAUAACCAGGCAGAGUAUGAAGCCUUGAUAGCAGGUCUGGAAUUGGCUAAGGCCGUGAAAGCAGACAGAGUUAAGAUCAGAACUGAUUCCCAGCUGGUUGCGAAUCAUGUCAGUGAAAGAUUCCAACCAAGAGAGGAGAAGAUGGGGCAGUACCUGAAGAUAGUCAGGCAGAUGAUGGGGAAGUUCGAAGCAGUGGAGGUGAUACAAAUCCCCAGGGAGCAGAAUAGUCGAGCAGACAUUUUGGCUAGGAUGGCAGCAGUAGCCGACCCAAAAAUGCCAAAGUCGGUCCCUCUGGAGGUGAAGUCCAGCCCAAGUAUCGAUCAGAAUUUGGGGGUGUUGCAGAUAGAACAAAAAUGCUCGUGGAGGGACCCGAUAAUUUCAUACCUUAGAGACGGGGUAUUACCACCAGAUAAGAUGCGAGCUCGCAAGCUUAGAGCCCAGGCCUCGAGAUACACGAUGAUUGAUGGGGUACUGUAUCGGCGAGGAUAUACACUACCGUUCCUUCAGUGUUUGGAUGAGGACGACGCGGAUUACGUACUGAGAGAAGUACACGAAGGAAUUUGCGGAAAUCAUUCUGGCGGGAGGUCCCUGGCCCAUAAGGUUCUAAGGCAGGGAUAUUUCUGGCCGACAAUGCACCAGGAUGCGCAAGAGAAGACCAGGAGUUGUGUAAGCUGCCAGAGUUUUGUAAAUUUCUCUAACCAACCACCAGAGAAGCUCACCUCCAUGACCUCCCCCUGGCCAUUUGCUCAAUGGGGAAUUGAUCUGAUCGGCCCAUUGCCAAAGGCACGGGGAGCAGCAACAUAUGCAAUAGUUGCUAUAGAUUACUUCACGAAGUGGAUAGAGGUAAAAGCCCUUAGCAGGAUCACAGAGAAGAAAACAACAGACUUCGUAUGGAGAAACCUGGUCUGUCGAUACGGGAUCCCUUAUGCCUUGGUAACGGAUAAUGGCAGGCAGUUCGAUAAUCACAGCUUCAGGGAUUUCUGCCAGAACCUCGGGAUAGAGCUGAAGUAUUGCUCGCCUGCUCACCCUCAAUCGAAUGGACAAGUAGAAGCAGCCAACAAGACCAUCAAGAGGCUUUUGAAAACCAGGCUUGGAGCAAAAAAGGGUGCGUGGGUUGACGAGCUGGCAGGUGUGCUAUGGGCAUCCAGAACAACAAAACCGCAACUGGGGAGACACCGUUCGCUUUGGCUUUCGGACAUGAAGCGGUCGUGCCGGCUGAGAUAGGAACGACCACACACCGGACAAAUCAUUUCAAUGAGCAGGAGAACGACGAGCAGAUAUGUUUGAAUCUUGAUCUGCUAACGGAAAGGAGGGAGCAAGCAGCCGAGCGAUCAGUCAUUUACCAAUAGAGGGUUGCUCGGUAUUAUAACCAGAAGGUGAACAUACGGCAAUUCAGGGUCGGAGACUGGGUACUGAGAAGAGUGAAUCAGAGCACCAAAGAUUCGACUCAAGGAGUGCUGGGACCGAAUUGGGAAGGGCCAUAUAGAGUCAAGCAGAUAGCGGGACCCGGAGCUUACAGGCUGGUUCGCACGGACGGCCACGAGGUGAAACGCCCAUGGAACGCAGCACACCUCCGAAAAUACUUCCAGUAAGACUUGUUCACAUGUGAAAACUAUUUUUGCUCAUGUUCAUUACCGUUUAUCUUUCACGCUUAUUGUCCAAACAAUUUCAUGUAAGUCGAAUCCUGCCAUUAAUGGAACGUCGAGGAAUUUCUUUCACUUGAAACCGAGAAAAUUUCCCAAGGCAUGCAAAGGCUCACCAAGUCUCAAAGCCUGUCUUAUGGUGAGACAGAAGCCAAGCAUGCCAGGAUCUGCUCGGCCACGAGAAGGCAAGCAGAAUCCCAAUCCUCGAAGAAUCCAAGGCACGCAAAGGCUCACUAAGUCUCAAAGCCUGUCUUAUGGCGAGACAGAAGCCAAGCAUGCCAGGAUCUGCUCGGCCACGAGAAGGCAAGCAGAAUCCCAAUCCUCGAAGAAUCCAAGGCAUGCAAAGGCUCACCAAGUCUCAAAGCCUGUCUUAUGGCGAGACAGAAGCCAAGCAUGCCAGGAUCUGCUCGGCCACGAGAAGGCAAGCAGAAUCCCAAUCCUCGAAGAAUCCAAGGCACGCAAAGGCUCACCAAGUCUCAAAGCCUGUCUUAUGGCGAGACAGAAGCCAAGCAUGCCAGGAUCUGCUCGGCCACGAGAAGGCAAGCAGAAUCCCAAUCCUCGAAGAAUCCAAGGCAUGCAAAGGCUCACCAAGUCUCAAAGCCUGUCUUAUGGCGAGGCAGAAGCCAAGCAUGCCAGGAUCUGCUCGGCCACGAGAAGGCAAGCAGAAUCCCAAUCCUCGAAGAAUCCAAGGCAUGCAAAGGCUCGACAAAGUCUCAAAGCCUGUUUUAUGGCGAGACAGAAGCCAAGCAUGCCAGGAUCUGCUCGACCACUAGAAGGCGAGCAGACUCCAAAGCAUUCGAAGAAAUGCCCAAGGCAUGCAAAGGCUCGACAAAGUCUCAAAGCCUGUUUUAUGGCAAGGCAGAAGCCAAGCAUACCAGGAUCUGCUCGACCACGAGAAGGCGAGCAGACUCCAAAGCAUUCGAAGAAAUGCCCAAGGCAUGCAAAGGCUCGACAAAGUUUCAAAGCCUGUUUUAUGGCGAGACAGAAGCCAAGCAUGCCAGGAUCUGCUCGACCACGAGAAGGCGAGCAGACUCCAAAGCAUUCGAAGAAAUGCCCAAGGCAUGCAAAGGCUCGACAAAGUCUCAAAGCCUGUUUUAUGGCGAGACAGAAGCCAAGCAUGCCAGGAUCUGCUCGACCACUAGAAGGCGAGCAGACUCCAAAGCAUUCGAAGAAAUGCCCAAGGCAUGCAAAGGCUCGACAAAGUCUCAAAGCCUAUUUUAUGGCGAGGCAGAAGCCAAGCAUGCCAGGAUCUGCUCGACCACUAGAAGGCGAGCAGACUCCAAAGCAUUCGAAGAAAUGCCCAAGGCAUGCAAAGGCUCGACAAAGUCUCAAAGCCUGUUUUAUGGCGAGACAGAAGCCAAGCAUGCCAGGAUCUGCUCGACCACUAGAAGGCGAGCAGACUCCAAAGCAUUCGAAGAAAUGCCCAAGGCAUGCAAAGGCUCGACAAAGUCUCAAAGCCUGUUUUAUGGCGAGGCAGAAGCCAAGCAUGCCAGGAUCUGCUCGACCACUAGAAGGCGAGCAGACUCCAAAGCAUUCGAAGAAAUGCCUAAGGCAUGCAAAGACUCACCAAGUCUCAAAGCCUGUUUUAUGGCGAGACAGAAGCCAAGCGUGCUAGGAUCUGCUCGACCGCGCGAAGGUGAGUCGAAUCCCAGGCAUUGAAGAAUCUCCAAAGGCAUGUGGCAAAACCAUGAGCCAAGCCGGAACCUGCUCGUCUAGACAGAGACAAGCAGAUUCUCAACCGAAAAUUAAUUCAUAAUUACAACACAAGAAAGUAAUCAAAAACCAUUUUUAUUAAUUUGUUAAUAAUUAACAGAGGGGAUAAUCUUUAUGAACAUUGUUCAUUACAAUACAAGAAAUAUAUCAGGAAGAUGGUGGACCAGUAAGCCCGGCAGCAUCGGUUGGCUGGACCUCCUCAGGUGCAGGAGGGGUAUCACCAGUUGCGUCCGGGGGGGUGCUCGCCUCGCCAACAUCAGCAGGGACUGCAUGAGCAGGAGAGUCUUCCUCCUCAAUCACGAUCGGCUCUACCCCAUCGGCAUCUUCCUUGGCCGCCUCCUCGUCCAUAUGUUGAGCAACACCAGCUGCAAGGUCAUCCAUCUUCAGAUCAGGGUGUUGCUUCCCGAGGACGGCCAUGAUGCAACGAUAGGAAUGCCGAAGUCCCUGGUCGUACUGGUUGUCAGCCUCCCUCUCUAAGUUCUCGACCUGAGCUCGGUGGGAGUCGCGGAGAGAUUCGAGCUGAGCCUCAUACAUAGCCUUCUGCCUUUGCAGAUCCUCCUUGACCGUGGUAAGCUCCUCCUCGAGGGAAAUGGCUUUUGCUUGAGCAAGUGAUUCUUGCUCUAUUAGCUUCAGAUUCUCGAGAUUCAGGUCCUUCUUGCUCACGAGUUUAGUUAACUCAUUGAGGUAGGGGACCAGGUGUUCUGCUCGGCUGUCAGGUAAGCGAGAUCGAGGCCCGACAGGAGGAAAAGAGGAAGCAGGAUCUGUGGCUGCUCCACUAGCUUCCCCGACUUUUACAGGAGCAGGAGGUAAAAUCUUCAAGGGUGGGACCUGCUGCAUGAUGUUGGCCCGCUUUGCAGCAGGGGCAUCCUUACUCUGGUCCCUCUUCGUGGUUGGAGGUCGGGAACGUUUUCGGGUCAGAGCCCCAAUCACAGCGUCCUCCAUCCUAUGGCCAGGAAGUAUCAAGCGAGACUCGAGCAAGUUGUAUGUAGUUAGCAGUUCUCGGCUCGAGCAGGAAUUGGCUAGUACAGCCUCGACCCGUUUGAGCUGGUCAGGUUCAAGCGGGAAGUGGACACCCCAAGAAACUACAACACAAACAGACACUUGGUUAGAGACAAGCCAAUAAAGCAAGAACAAUUAUGGAUGCAAGACAUCUAGAGUGAGCAGGCAACCUGGGACCGUGAAACGGGGUGGGACGUGACAAUCCUUCCCGCCUAUUUGUGCAACUUGACCCCAAGGACCCCCAGCAAAAAAGAAUUUCCUCUUCCAAGCCCCACCACCACCGGUUGGAAGAUCGGUUAUGGGUUUCCGGCUCUUGGUGCUAGAUUGGAAGUAGUACCAGCCGGCAUCUUUGGGGCUGCUCUUUAGCUGGUACAAGUGCUUCACCUCAUCAACCGUGGGCUCGCUUUGGCAACAUUUGUCCCACAAUAUGAACAGACCAGAGAGCACUCUCCACCCAUUGGGAUUCAGCUGACCAGGAGCUAGAUUUAGCCCGUUAAGUAUCUGGGCAAAGUAGGGUUGCAAGGGACACCUCAGCCCGUACUUAAAGCUCUCUAGAAACAGGGUAACGUAUCCCCUAGGAGGCCGGCUGGGAGCAUCCUUCUUUCCUGGGACCUUGAGAGGUAUCUCACCAGGAAUGCUAUACCUAAGCCGGAGGUCAUUGAGCUCGUCAAACAAGGUCGUGCACGUCAUGUAAUCAAUGGCAUAAUCGCGCGACAAGGCUCUGCCUCCUACUGUACCCCGUUCCUCUGGUCGUGAUGUUCCAGAUGGAGACACCUCACCAGAGUCACCUUCCCCAUUCUCACUUAAGGUGUCCUCAGAGCCAGAAGGUCUCUCUUCACCAUUGCUUCCACUCGUGGAGGUUGUUUGGGGGGACAUCCUCCUAGCACUAGUCCCGACACUAAACCUAAUGGGUUCUAAGGGGAUCCCGGGGUCAAAAGCAGAAUCAGUGAGCAGACCAGGCAGGAAACUUAGUUCGUCGUCAUCAAUCUCAACGACUUUCUCCUUACCUUUCGACAUUCCCUAAGCCCUAACCACAACACCACCAACUACUACCCAAACAGAAGAGAAGAGAAAUUAUCUACAACUAUCCGAGACCAAGGAGAUAGAAGAAAUACCUGAAGUAAUGGUUCAGUCGGUGAAAGUCAGAGAUGGAGGCCUUUUAUGCCGGAACUUCUUUGCCGGAGAAACAGAGACGGAGACGGAGUGAAUGAUGAAUAUGCCGUUCGAGAGGAUUUGGUUUUCCUAAUGAGGACGGACUCUUGGGUUGCCAGCAUUUAACGGCGCCGAAUCCCGAGGGUCUCAUAACCGUCGGUUUGAAAUUCAAAUGGAGGGGGGGAUUUCUGCCACGUCACCUCGUCCGCAAUUAAAUGCGACAUGACUCUUGGCAGCCUUUUCCAAUCCCACGCGGGCGAGUACUAACGAGUUUCUACUGCUGGUCCACUACAUUACCCAACACCAGAAACUGGGGGACCGGUGUUUGGGAGAAAUACGUCGACGAGACCAGGCAUGGUGAGCAGAUAUCUGAUGGCAGAGUUCUGCGAACCGGUGUGUUCCGUAAAAGCCUGGUGCGCGGGGGAACAGGAGCAGAAGUAUCCUGCUCGUCCACGAGCACGUCAUCCGCGAGGCCAAUUUCCUGUAAGAGGCAUAAGGUCAUUCCGGCUAGAGGUCGAGAGGCGAGGAGACCCGGUCGACGGCAGUUGGCAAGACAUGCUCCCCAGCCCGAGAAUCUAGGCACGACAGCCACGCUUUCCCCAGAACCGUGGCGUAACACGCAAGAUCUCACAGAACCACGACAGCCACGCUUUCCCCAGAACCGUGGCGUAACACGCAAGAUCUCACAGAACCACGACAGCCACGCUUUCCCCAGAACCGUGGCGUAACACGCAAGAUUCCACAUUUGCCCAUAACGCAGCAGUCAGAGUCCCAUACCGUCUCGAAAAAAGUGGAAAACUGGGAUUCAGGGGAAGCCUAUAAAAAGGUAGCCAACGAAGGUAAAAGGGUUAGCAUUUUUGAGAUUAGAAAAGAAAUGAAAAAAGAAGAGAAAACCACGAAAAAGCCAUAAGAUCUGUGGCAAGCGUUCCCCGAACCUUCAUAUCUGACUUGAGCGUCGGAGGGUUUGCGCCGGGAAAACAACCGGCGUACUCUGACUUGUCUGUGUGCGCAGGAACCUCUGGAGAAGAAGCCUCACUUGGAGACCUCCUGGUCGUGAAGAAGUUGAUCGGGCAGAGAUCCUGGUCGUAGAACGAGGAGAACCGGAAUCCCGCAUCAACAGAGGGUUCAAAAGACACGGUGCUUUUGAAGAAUCUUUAUCUUUAUUGUGAUCCUUACAUGCGAGAGCGUAUGAGCAAGCUUGAUAGACCUUCUUUUGUUGAUUCAUUCCAUUCUGGUGAGGUUAGUUCAUCACGACCUCAACUUAGAUUUUGGGAUGGUUUACGAUUCACUCUCAGUUUAUGCAGAAAAACAAUCUAGUUUUAAUUUGGCAGGGUUUUUC